rnacentral:lncRNA from 1 species
GUGUAUCAUGAAUUUGACUAUGUAUGACACGUUGCUUCUUGUAAGAAAAAUACUCAUUUAUAUACUUCCAUUUUAUUGAACAUGAUUCACUGUCUUAUGAAUCACUGAUAUACUACAUAGUUACAUUCCACUCUCGUGGAAACUGAAAUACAAACUAAAAGGGACAUAUUUUUCCCAUUAUUUAGUACUCGUUUAGCCUGAUAUUGGCUGUCUAAAGCACAAACACCAAUCAUGGAAUUAAUAUUUAGCAUAAGGCCAAUCACAAUAUAGUGAACUUCCAUCCUCAAAGUAAAGAGUGCAGCCGUCGGAGACGCAACAAUUGGUGCAGUCUGUGUAGGUCUUCGUUCCAUUACAGAUCUUGUACACGGUGCCCCCUAUGCAAUUUCGUGGGCAGGGCCUGAGAAGCCCAUGCCUGACAGCCUUGACUUCAAUAUUUGCCCCCAGAAGAAUCAUUCCUGUUUUCAGUACCAAAAUCAUUUUAAAUCAUGUGCAAACCAAACCUUUUAAGAGGGGUGAGUGCAGAUAUUUUGAAAAAUCAUCCUUAUGUGUGUGUACGUAUAUAUAUGUAGAUGGGAUGAGUACUUCUCUUUUUAUUUUUUGAAACUGCCCCAACAGGUUUAACAAAAGAAUAGAAUUGUACAUACCACAAAAAAGAAUAGCCAUUGCACCAAUCUUGUUGAUUGCCAUGAUUCCUGGUCUUCCAAAAGUUAGCGUUCUGAUUUGAAAUCGCUUGGGCUUUUGGAUAGGCUCUUAUAUAGACUGAGAAGAGUAAAGAGUGAGAGUUGAUCGUGCUAUUAGGUGCAAUUAUUGUGCUCAUUGUGCUUCCGUAGAGUUGUGGGACAUGUCCAUCCUCAAUUAUUGUGCGUCAGGGUCCAUCUAAAAUUAUUUUAAUGUGUUUGGAUAGGAAAGAAUUGGCAGCCUACAUUGGAAUGGGGAUUUGAUCAGCGUUGCUUUGUUAAUUGUUGGGUAGUGAAUGUUUCAACCUUUUGCUAAACGGGUUCUAAGAAACUUCUUUAUAGGGCUUGCCUAGCCACCGUUAGAAAAGUCUACAUUUAGUUCACUUAACAAAACAAUUUAGUAAUAAUUUCAUCCACAUUAUCCUAGAUAAUAUAACAAGCUACCUAAUUUCUAGACAUCCUCACGCGUGGCAUGAGGCACUUAUUGAAUUGGUCAAGAAUAUAAUUCAUGGCCACCACCUUCCCAGAUUGGUCCAAGACAAUUCAGAUGAAGGAUUUGUCAAAAGUCAUUAGUGACUUCGUUGACAAAAGAUCACAAUAAGCCGUAGCAUUUGGGGAGAAAACUAUACAAAUUUGUUGACAAAAGGCCACAAUCGGCCAUAGCAAUUAGUGCGAAAACAUUUACUUGUAUACAGAUAGUACUAACUACACUGACAUGGAAGAACGGACAAAUUGCCAAAGUCCAAUUUUCCAGCUCGAGCGUUACAUUUGUGGACGGCCAACCGUGCCUGUGUCUUGAGCCAAAUCUACACGUGAUUUUCACUGGAUAUUCAGGCAUCUAGACACUAAAAUAGACGAGGAAAAAUGGUGCUGCAUGUUUGGCACCUUACUAAAAUAAAUGGGAUUCAUUUCAUCGGUUGUUGUUGUUAGGGAGAAACGCUUCGAGAGUGCUCAUCAAAUAAUUCAAUAUAUAAAUCAAGAAUCCAAUUCUGAUCCAAAAACUUAAGCUAUUAAGUCUCGAACCCUUAUUUAUAUAUUAAGUGCUCUUUCUCCAUCUUUCGAUUCAAUGUGAGACAUAAUCCUUUAUUCAUAAAUCUAACAAAUCUUUUCCUUUAUGAGUAACCCCUCAUAUUAAACCCAAGUUUAAUGGCUCUUCUCUGAACUCACAUUACUACUCAACGCAAACCCACCUUAACACCGAAGGCCACCUUUUCUUCUAAUCAUGGAUCCACUAUUCUUCAAUAUCCAAAAUGGAUUCCGAACCCCUACCAACUCUUGGCUCCUUGGUCUAAGGACAAUUCGAUCCUCGGCCAAACCCAUGGCGCUCCUGGUCCAAUAUCAACCAAACUCCUUAGCACUUUGAUUCACCACCAAUAAGAGAAUUUUCACCAGAUCAAUUCCUAAAAUAAUCCACUUGCCCAUGAGUAGCUCAAUCUAGCAAUCUGAAACUCUGAUACCACUUGUUAGGGAGGAACACCUGGAGAUAGCCCAUCAAAAAAUUCAAUAUGUAAAGUCAGAAACUCAAUUCUGAUAUAAAACUUUAAACUAUUAGGUUUCGGACCAUUACAUAUUAAGUGUUCUUUCUCCAUCUUUCGAACCAAUGUAAAAUAUAAUCCUUUACUCAUAAACCUAAUAGUUGUGCACCAAAGCUCGAGAAAAAAAUAGAAAAUAAAUGAGGUCAGUUGUUGAAUAAGUGUUUGAGCAAAUAUUAAGUCUAAGGUCAAUUACCUUCCAGGGUUUAAUGUGUAAUUGAACCAUUAAUGUUAUAAUAAAUUAUAUUUUUAUCAUAUGGAUUGCUUACAUUUAUAUAAGUAUGAUAAAACUCUUAGAGCAAACCUAAUCAAUGAAAUCAUAGAGUUAUAAUGGUGAGAUUCAUUCAAUUAUAAAUAAGUUUAUUCUUAAAUAUUACUAGUCGAAAUAUUAACAAGAAAAGGCAUUGUUAAUACGGUUAGACUAGCAUAUACUAUGCCGCUUCAAUAUGAGAAGUAGUAAACCUCAUAUACAUGAUGUCUGAAACUUCUAAAUUAGUAUAUUGGUGCUUGAUAAGAUGGUCAAGUUCAUUAGAUUGAUCCGUAUAGAGACAUCCUUUAAGUACCAAAUGAUUGAUCUCUAAGCAUUUGGGCAAGUGAUUUUUAGAUUUAAUAUUAUCAUGGUAUCUUGAAUACAGAUGGCUAUACUUUAUUUAUUAUAUGAUUGCUCCCAUAACAGAGAAUGCUCACAACAAUAGCAAAUGCGUAUAUACUUGAAGUAUGAAAAAAUGGUGAAUACCUAUAAGAAUUUACCACCUCUUAUGGAAGAGGAGUUAUCUCAUGUCUGACCACUUGUAGAAGUAUAAUUCAAAAUUCUUUUGUGCUAAAUGGAAGAGUUUUAGAUAGUAUUUCUAAAUACUUUUUCAUUGGAUUUAUGUUUUGGUACAAGAAAUGAACAUUAAUCUCAUAUUGGAAUAGACACAAUUUAUUCCAAUAUUAAUGUGAGAUAAGUGUGGUAAAAAAAUAUUAAUUACAUGGUUAACAUUCGUUGAAAGGUGAAAUCAUCCACUUCGCUUUUUUCAUUACUUGGGUAGUCAUGAUGCAUUGUUAGAUGUCAAUCUUAGUUUAUAAAAAUGAAUUGAUUGAUUGGUAGAAUCAAUGACAAAGUAAAGAAGUUUUAAUUUAUCUAAUUUUCAUUUAUUAAAAAUUAUAACUCUUACUUAUUACCAACAUAUAUGAGAACCUAAUGGGUCAUACACAUAAAGUACUACAUUAAAUAGAUUAAAUCAAUUUCAAGUAGGGAUUUGAUAGAUAGUUUUUAUAACUUAUAGUUUAAUUUGUGAAACAAAUAAAAAUUGAGGGAUUUGUUGUGCAAAUAAGUUUAAGUCUUUCGAAUACAAGAGUUGUAUUAGGAUAAGGAAGUUGAAUCCUAUUGGAAACUGGUUUCAGGUUUUCAUAAGGAUAUGGACAAGUUAUUUGUUUAUAAAAAUACUCACUAAACAUUUUUGCUAUCAAGACUAAUUGAUACACCAAUUGUCUUGUGAGAUUUUUGAGAAAAAAUCUUGAGAGAAAAAUACCUAAAAUUCGUCCAAGAAAAUAAGAGAAGAAUCACAUCUCUUAUUUUUCUCAUUGGAGCAGUAAUUCAUAGUGAAAAACUAGUGUUUUUCCUAACCAAUUUAUGGGAAGUGCCUUGGCAAUAGGGAGCACUAAUCUAGCUUAAACUGAUUCAACUUAGUUUAGGUUCAUGUGGAUCACCGUUAAAGACCGAACAUUUGUAUUGUUACGUGGAUCGCUUUGCCCUUCUUUGUCAAAUCUCCAUCGGUUUAAGAAGAUUUUCAUGGGUUGAAGUAAUUUUCUUAAAUUAAUUUUAUGUCACAUAGAUUUAAUCAAAGGUGGAUCUACUAAAGGAAUAAAAAAUUUUAAAUUUUUUGCUAUGCAUAUCUCUAUAAUUCCUUACAAUGGUGUCAAAGCCAGAUUUGAUUAACCCAUGUGACAAAUUUAUUGAAUUGUCAUGGAUGAUGAUUAGAUCACAAUUAUAUGCUAUUCUCGAAGUUAGUUUUGGGUUUUAUAUGAACAAAGUUGAUUGAAAAUUUUUUAGAAUUGUUUUUAAAAAUUUUUUAAUGCUUGUAAUAUGAAGUUUUCAAUCGAAAAAUGAAGUUUUUUUGGCCGUUUUAUGAUGAGAUCACGAACGGCACAAAAACGAAGAUAAAGUGAUAAUGGUUAAAUUUGCUGUCUUUUUGAAUGUGUUUCAUAUUGUUUUUGAGUCAAUUUGUAAGAUAUUUGGUAUGAAUUGUCCAUUUUAUGUCACUAAAUUGCACCUUCUUGUGAUAAAUGAAUUAUUUAUGAUUUUUUUAUCAUUUUACUUGCAAAGCUUCUCUAUUUUUGUAGGUGAAAUGAUCAAGUUUAAGUGGAAUUAUAAGUAAAAUGAGCAAGGAUAUGAAGCUUGAGGAGUCACAAUAAAUGCUAAGUGAAGUGGUGCAAAGGAAAAAAGAAAACAAAAGGAGAGAAGAUGAAUCCGUGGCAGAAACUGCUCGUAUUUUCUCAUGCGGUUUGUGAUCAGAACUUCAAUUCAUAGUUGCUCUGUACAAUCCCUGGAAGAAUCCCUCCAGGGAUUAGUCCAAGGGAUUCCUGGCAGCUGCAAGUUACCAACUUGCAUGCUUCUUGUUUCUUUCUUAAUCUUGGACAAGACACAAGAGGACAAUUUGUACCAACUUUUGGAGGAUCUAGGAGCUUUUUUGUUGACUCUUAACAACAAAGAAAUACAUUAUUGAGGAGAGAGAUUGGCUCUUGAAAACCAAGAAUAUAUACUAGCUAGUUCUUCUAGUUUGAGGAAGAGUGGGCAGUGAGUUCAAAAUUAGCUUGAGAGAAGAGAGAGAGUUUGGAGGAAGAAGAAGAACAACAAAAGGGUUGUGUCUUGCCCCAAAGUCUUGCCCUUUGGGGCAAGGGGCAAGACACAAACCCUUAAUAAAUGUAAUUCUCUUUAUUUUCUCUUAUAUUAAUGUAGGUUAGUGUAGUAUAGUCUAGUUGUGGUUAUCCAUGCUUGUAUUGGUUCAACAAGGAGAGGCCUACGGAGAUGAGAAUGAGAGGCUCAAGAAACUCUAGUAACAAGGAUUCUCUUAUCUCCACUUUUUAUCUUUGUAUUGAACUCUAAAUUUGUUAAUGCAAGAUUUGGAUAUUGUGUUUGUGAUGUUAUUUUAAAAUAUAUGCCUUGGGUAUUUGGUUGAAAUUUCGAUGAUUGUUUGGUGUUAAUUUCUUGGCUAAAUGAUGCUAUUAUCUUGAUUGAGUUAUUUAGCACUUUUGCUCUUAUAAUCAUGAUUAACUGGCCAUCGAUUAUGAUCAUCUAAAAGUGUUAGAUUUGCAAUGAGAAUUGAAAUUUGACACUAGUUCAUAGAAGUGUUAAACCUAGGAAGUACACUCAUGAAAGUAGAGGUACACCUUUGUGGAUUUUGUGGCUUUGUUCCAUGUAAUUUCAUAGAAGUGAAUGAACUUAUAGUUGACUUCAUAACCACGAAAGUAGGUAUGAAUUAACUAUAGGUAUAGUUGGUACGCCAGCGAAAGUGGGUAUCACAUCUAUUAGAAAAUUAUGCCAUAAUUUAACCGAGAUUUUGGUACUCAUUUGGUUAGGGAGUUAGGCUAGCAUGAAUAGGUAGGGAUUCCAUUAUCCAAGGAGUUUUCAUUUGCAUUUAUCUAUCCGUUUAUCCCUUAGUUUAUUUCUUUUAAUUUGUUGAACAUCUAAAUAAUAAAGGAAUUUAGUAGUGCCGGUAAUUAUCCAUUCUUCUUUAUAGGAUCGACCCUUAAUACCAUAUACUCGGUCUCGACUCGUAUACUUGUGAAAAAUUACGUGUGGGGUAUUUAUGUUUUUAUAAAUGUAAAACUUGACUGUGGAUUAGCAAAUUAUUAUAUGUAUGCCUCGUACUCGUCAUAAAGCAUGAACUAAGACGAAAAUUGUAGGACGUUAUCAGCAUGAUUAAAGUCAAGGGUAAAUUGUCAUUGAUGCAAGUCAUAUGACCAAGACCCAAGGUUUAAUUAAUCUUGCAUGGCAGAACGUUCUUGGCUUUCUUAUGGCAUGCAUUUUUUUUAUUUGUUUUGAAUAUCGAACAUUCUCGGUUUGGAUUGAAGAUUAUUUAAAAUUUUUUUUGGGAUGUGAUGUAUAUGAGAUAAAAGAAUAAUUGAAAAACGUGUAUAUGAGGUAAUAAUUUUUUUCUUUUAAGAAAUUUCAAUCCAAAUAGACGUCUUGAUGACUGUUUAAAUGUGAUGAGAUCACAUAAGUACAAAAUGCAACGAUUAAAGAAGAAACAUAGAAGCCAUACCUAUUUUUUUUUUUUUUUGGAAACAGGUUACUUUAUUUCAUAAAAAAGGAGGGCAUAUAUGGCAAACAAAACCAGAAACCACAAGUGCUAGCGUAACCUACACUCUAACUCUACGCAAACUUGGAACACCCAUCUGAUCAAAAGCGAAGUCACCCCUCACCAAGCGAGGCAAAUCACGCAAUGAGCCAUACGUUAGAGUCUUCCCUGAGUCCGCUCCGAUGUUUGCAAGGCGGUCAGCCGGUUUAUUCGCUUCCCGAAAGCAGUGUGAUACCUCUCUAACGAAUCUUUUAACUUUUAACAGGUCCUGUAAGUUCCCUCGCAACCGCCACGGACACCGAGUCUUCCCUUGAAUGAUCUGAACCAGAACCAAAGAGUCAGAUUCUAAAUGUAACUCAGAAUACUCACGAUCAAUAGCCAGCCCAACACAAAAAAUCAUCGCUUUCAAUUCAGCCUGCAGACUCGUCAUCUCCCCAAAGAAGCACGAGUACCCCAAAAUAAACCUUCCUUCCGAGCACUAAAGCACCCCUACCUCCACUCACCCCCAGGUUUUCCGGAGAGCAGCCAUCCGAGUUCAGUUUGACGACAUUAUGAACUGGGCAGCUCCACUGAACCACCAAGGUCCUGGAAACCCUAUGCAGGCCAACCACCAUACCGUAAAAACCCGGCCAAUCCUGAGCAGAGAUAGUGAUGCUUUUAAAUUUAAGGAGGAAAAUAUCCCUGAGGUCCCCAAAAAUUGCCUCACACACACGAGCCAUGGGUCGCAGAUGGGCAUCAAAGACAAACGAAUUCCGCAUCUUCCAUAAAUUCCAACAGAUCAAAGACGGCAAUAAACGGAAAAGGUACUGGAGGUAUGGGUUCCGAGUAGGCUUCAACCACCAGCUAACCAACUUGUGGCGUAUCGUAAAGGACUCCUGAAACCCUCCGAUCACCCCUUCGAAAUAACCCCAAAUCCUCUUUGCCGCCUCUUCGGUACAGAAAAUAUGAUCAGAAGAUUCUUGACAUGGGUGUAGACAACAACCACAACAAGAGGGGCCGAAUAUACCAAGUUUAUGCAACCUGUCCAUCACUGGCAAAUGGGACCCUACCAAUCUCAACAUGAAAAAAGAAAUCUUUGUCGGCUGCCCUUGAAGCCAGAGCGGUGAGUAGAGCCAAGAGCUGUUUCUAUCCUCUCGAGCGAUCCGGUUGGCUGAUGCUAAUGAGAAGACACCGGAGGUACUAGGAGCCCAAACCAUGGUAUCCGUCUGGUCCAGCGAGGAAGGCAUGACUCCCACUAUCCUCCCCACCCAUCCGCUAGGCGCUACCCUGCUUAACCGUUGUACAUUCCAACAACCCUGUUCAAUAAAAUCGGAAACCGAGUACUCCUAAAAAGUAUCCAUGGAACGACAUAAUGGGUCCGUCCCCAACCAAUUAUCAUGCCAGAAGCUCACAUUAGCCCUAGCCAAAACCCAAUAGAUGUGUUGCUCUGCUACUCCCUAGAUAGCCACCAGUCUCUUCCAAGUCCAAGAGUCCCCAGGAGAAGUAUCAGCAAAGGAAGGAUGAAGGUUGGAGCAAUAUUUACAGUGCAUGAACUCAACCUACAACAAUUGUCGCAACCGGAAGUGCCACCAUAAUCUCAUGGAGAAGGCAUCAAACACAUGCUUAAGAGAUUUCAAACCAGCACCCGCCUGUCAUACGAGUUGCACAACUGGAAGCACGGCCUAGCCUUUAAGGAGCUGCAUAAAAAAUCAGCAAAAAUGCUCUCCAUCCCACUAAAUAUCGACUUGAGAGGGAUUGAAGCAGCGAAUGUGUGAAGCGGCAUAGAGGACAGCACACUCUUGAUUAGAGCUAAUUUACCACCAUGUAAGAAAAACCUCUCUUUCCAUAACAACACUUUACUCGUGACCGAGUCACAAACCCCUGCAAAGUAGCAUCUCCUCCUCCGCCCUGCAUAUAAAGGAUAACCCAGAUAUCUGACCAGAAACUCCUUCGACUGAAACCCAAUCAUCUCCGCAAUAGACCGUUUCCUGCUCCCGGGAAAAUUGGCAUGAGCCAAGACACAGCUCUUUUGCUGGUUCACUUUUUGACCUGACACUGAAACAUAAGGGUCCAGCGCCUUCAGCACCAACCGCACAGAUUGCCGCAAACCACUAGAGAAGACAAUAACAUCAUCAGCGAGGCUAGAUGAGUAACAGGCGGGCAGCCCUGCGAAACUCUAAAAGGCGUAAAACCCCGAUAGCUACUCAAAGUGUUCAACAGACGAGAAAGAACUUCCGUACUAAUCACAAAGAGCACCGGUGAAAUCGGAUCUCCUUGUCUCAAUCCACGACUAGAUUUGAAGAAUCCCUGAAGCGCUCCCUUAACUAUUACAGAGAACCACACAUUCGAGAUAAGUCUCCAAAUCAUAUCAAUCCAUACCUCGCCAAACCCAAACCUUCUCAACACCUGGAGCAAAAACGGUCAAGAGACUCUAUCGUAGGCUUUGGCCAUAUCGAGAUUCAAAACUACAUUUCUCUCUCUAUUUUUCCGGUGAAUAUCCGACACAAACUCUUGGACCAACAGAAAAUUAUCAAAAAUUUGCCUACCCUUAACAAAGCCACUCUACUGAGGAGAGAUAAUACUUGGCAGCACCUUUGACAAUCGAGCCGCCAGUUUUGAUAUAACCUUAUUGACAAAGUUGCAAAGGCUUAUGGAUCGAAACUGACUAAAGUCUUGGGGUGAGGACACCUUUGGAAGCAGUACUAUCAAAGUCGACAUAACGCUCCUCAGCAGCUCGUGAUCACAGAAGAAGCUAACGAUGGCUUCAAACACAUCAUGCCCCACUAUGUUCCAUGCAAAGGUUAAAAACCUACCUGUGAAUUCAUCAGGGCCCGCCGCACUCUCCCCAUCCAUUGCGAGUACCACCUCUUUUAUCUCCUUCAUCGAGGGAAGGCGCUGCAACUCAGCAUUUUGUUCCCUUGAAAUAAUAUUGGGAAUGACCUCCAAAGUGCUCCAUGACCCCGUACAAGGUUCGGCCGAGAAUAAAGAUGUGAAAUACUCUACUGCCUCCGUCGAAAUGUGAGCUUCAUCAAUCAGCCACUCCCCCGUGCUACUCCGAAUCCGGUGUAUAACUGAUUUAGCACGUCUCUCUGCCACUACCGCAUGAAAGAACCUUGAGUUUUUAUCUCCGUCCUGAAGCCACUUGAUUCUUAUUUUUUGCCUCCAAUAUGCUUCCUCCUUGACCAUAGAGUUUCUCAUAACCGCCAUUGCCUCCUGGAGUGCUAACCAUUGUUGUUGUGAUGGGUUACUAUCAAGUGCAGCCUCUGCCGCUAUUACUGCCUCCUCUGCCUGCUUCACUGCAUCGAAUAUAUUGCCAAAGUGCUCCCGCGACCAAUGUUGGAUUGCAUGUUUAGUGAGCCGUAAUUUGGCAGCCAACCGCUGCAAUGGGCGUCCUGGGCAAUAGCUUGGCCAACUCAUCCUAAUGACAUCUAACAGCUCUACUUUCGAAGUCCAAACGUUUAAGAAACGAAAAGGUCUAAACUUGUUAUCAAGUCGAGUCGAAGCUGAUAACAAGAGGGAGGAAUGAUCGGAAGGCUCUCUGCCUAGGUGUCAAACUCCAAAAGUCAUCCCCAUUAAAGUCACAAUCGGACUACAUAGCAGUCUAUCUAGUCGCUUCCAAAUUCGAGCACGACCACCCCUAUUGUUACACCAUGUGAAACAUGACCCUGAGAAUCCUGCGUCAAACACCCCAGCCCUGGACAUAAAUGAUCUCAAUUCCACACCUUCAUCAACCCGGAAAGGCAACCCGCCUCGCUUCUCUUCUGCACUAACAAUGGUAUUAAAAUCCCCACCACCAACCAUGGAUCAUCCCUCGGUUUAUCCACUAACAACGCUGACCACAACGGAACUCGCUCUUGCUCAGUACACCUUGCAUGGACGAAGAAAAAAUAAAUGGGAGCCGACAGCACCUGAGGUGAGAUUCUAAGGGACAGGUGUUGAGGAGAUUCCCCAACAGGAGCACAUUGGAAGCCAUUUUUAUAGAAUACCCAGAUAGAUCCCACCCUAUUAACCAUCCAACUAUCCAUAUUGAGACGAGCACAUAUCAUUUAGAUGUCACACGCCCAAACCUUUGGCUCACAAAUAGCCACUAAUUGAAUCGAGAACUCAAAAAUUAACCUUUUUAAUCUACGAAAAUUUGGAGUACGCGAGAUACCUCGAAUGUUCCAGAAUAGGAAAUUAAUCAUCAGAUAAUGCAAAGAAGGAGUUAGAGCACACCUUUGCCUUCGAGCGUAGAGAAAGAUCAGUAGGAGCCCACAAGCGAACACCCUUACGCUUAGGUUUAUCAACUAGCUUAACAUCAUCCCCACCAUUAGCCUUCUCCUGAAUCUGUUGAAUUAUUGGGUCAAGGUUAAAAAUGUCGAUCACCAAGGAGCUAGGCUCACAUUGCCGUUGGACUAGUUGCCCUUGCGGCGAUAGACUGCCAGCCCUCUGCUUAGCCAUGGAAAUGGCCUCCUCCUCCAACUACCCAUCGGACACCAUCUCCUUCUCUCCCUCAAUCGCUGCCCCAGGUUCAGCACCAUCCCUUCCAUCCACCAACCCAUCAGGCGAUGGUUGCACCAACACCUACUGGAAAGGCAACCCGUGCGCAAGCAAAGGGUCCUGCACCAGCGUAGCAUGGCCUGCUGCCACCCUUCCUCACUGGCUCCAACUGCUGCAAGCACCAUGCUGGUUCCAGCAGGCGGCCGCCGCUGUUCUCCCCCCAAACCCACGGCUUGCGGCAUCGCCAACUCCUCCGUAGAGUCUUCCUGCUGCCGUCCCAUCCUCCAUCAAAGGACUGACCCAGCCAGGCUUUGGUUCUGCGCACAGUCUACGGCAACCCCUCUAGCACUUGCCCCUACGCUACCCACAGGAUUAUCCCCAUCCGCAUGCUGCAAAGUUUCCUCCUGGGCAGUCGCCUUUCCCUUGGCAUUAGACUCCAGUGGGAUGCCCUCAACAGGCACAGGCGAGCUACGCACCUCAUCACCCUUCUUCUCCACCUUCUCCAUCUUCAAAGUAGGAUGAAGAACGAAGCAUGAAGCCCUGUCAUGUCCCUGUUUGAAGCAAUAGUCGCAGUAUUGGGGAAGACGUUCCGGGAUAAGCUGCUGCCAAAAGCCACCAUGCUCCCCAUUACCAAUCCAUAUCUGUGAAGGGAGAGGUUGUAGCAAAUCAAUCUCCACACACACCCUAGCUACACUAGGGCGCACUCCAGAAGCUGUUGCAGAGUCCACGAACAAAGCCUUACCCAAGCAGCUCACAAUCUGAAAGAGAGACUCCUUGUGAAAGAGAUGAAUCGGCAAUUUCAGCAAUUGGAACCAAACCCGCACCACCGAAGGCUCACGAUCGACAUGGAAAGUGGUUGACCAUUUAAACACUCGCAAAAGAACACCAUGAAUGUACCAAAUCCCACGAGACCAAAGCCUAAGGAAAUCCAGCUCAUUCCCCAAUCGAAUGAGAACAUGUCUAGAGUCGAGUAAGCCUACCGUCGUUGUUUCCCUGAGAUCCAAAGUCAGAAAAAACUUCUAUAUAACCUCCAUGCUAGGCCUUCCCUUAGAGAAUUUGCCGACGAGAGCAAACAUGAAAGGAGCGGACAGAGUGUCAAGAUCAUCCUGAGCAAAGGAUAUAGCAAGCUCGCCCCUAUGAGAGGACAGCAUAGCCUUGACAUUGAGUAGGGGCUGAUUCAACUGAGAGAAGAGUGAAGAGAGAGACUUCAUUGCAAAGGUGGGAGAGAGCAAAGAUGGUUGCCCUCCAGGCAUCAGCCGGAGGGCAGCCAUGGCUGCCAUGUUACAAGCGAAACCCUUGGAAGAAGAAACUAAGGCAAGCAGGCGGCAACCCUCGAAGCCAUACCUAUGAAUUAAGAUGAGCCAAAUUAAUUGUUCAAAUAGUUUGACUUUGUAAACUUAGGAAUCUUGGCCUAAUCUUUAUCAUAGUCAAAUUGAUUUGCCUUGGUUUCUUCUUCCAUGCAUGAAAACGUUUCAUGCCUGUAUUGUUUGGUUGCUGGAAAUUGCAUGAAAUCACUGUUUUACAAUGGUUUUUAACGUAGUCCCACGGCAGCUACUUUGUUGCAAUUUUUUUAUUCUUGUUGCUUCGAAUUCCUACCAUGUAAUGAUGGUGAAGUUGAUAUUCGAUUGGUUAACAAUUGCUAAAAAUUUUCUGGAGAAAGGAAAAUUGGGAAACCAGUAAGUUUCCAAUGACAAAUAAGAUAUGGUCAUUGAUUUCCAUUUUUCGUGUGGGUUUCUAUGACAACAUGAAAAGUUCCUAUAUUUCUAAUAUGAUUAGAAUUAUGGUAUUUUUUAAAAAAAAAUCUUAAAAAUUCAAAUUGGAAAAAAAAUUGUUCAAUUAAGUUUUGAAAACUUACUAAAUUUUGGUGAGACUAAAAUUAAGAAAGUCUAAUCAACUUUAGAAACUUCCAAAUUUGUUGAGAUUAAAUUUGGCAAGUGUUGAAAUACUUUAGAAACUUUCUAAUUUAAUGAAAUUAAAUUGGGAAAAUACUCUAAAGUUAGUAUUUGAAAGUCUAAAAUGACUUAAAAGAAAAUUUCCUUUCCUGAGUGAAUUAAGAAAUUCUAGUUGGACUAUAAAAUCAUUAUUUAGACUUGGGCUCAUAAUCAGAUUAGGCAAAAGUUUUGUUCAUGGUUUUAAAAUAUUGAAAAUUGUUCUAAUGAGAUUAGAAAAUGUAUUCCAUAGUUUUUUCAAGAAUUGAAACUUUAAAUGGCUUAAAAUUUGAGCAUAUAAUGAUUCAUGAUUAGAAUUAAAUAAAUGCAUUAUUAUGCUUUCAUUUAGUGUUGUAUUAUGUGAAUUCAUGAUAGAUGGUUAUGGACUAAAACCAAUAUGAAUGGUUGAAUGUAUGUAUGUUUUGGUUUUGGUAUUUUCGAAAUAGGACCUAUGUGUCUUGCUUUCUCUAAAUACUCUCAAUAUAAAUGCUCUUUUCAUCUCACUCCCAUUGAAUGUAAGUCAAAGUUUCUCUCAAUAUUAUGUAAUGUACUAUAUUAGGCAUGGGGAAAGGUUGAGAAUCUAAAAUAUUUAGAUUAGGUUUAUAUUUAUAAUGUACAAAGAAGAUGGAGAUGGCACCAAUUCUACCAUGACAGACAUACAAAAGGUGUACAAGGCAUGGAGAUAUUAUUUGUCUCUCAGUUGACCAUCUAGUUUUCUUUUGGCUCAAGAAAACUAGUUUAGCAAUAAAAUCCAUAAUCAUCCAUGUUUAAUUAUAGUAUGUUUAUUUAUUUAUUUGAUGAAUAGAUAUGCAUGUUAUAUACUUGAUGAGCCCAACUUGGAUAUAUUAUGUCUAAAAUUCCUCAAUUAGAUGUUAAGUCUGGACACAAGUUGCCUUUCAUUGUUAUAGUAAAAUAUGAGUUCUUGUUCAAGGACGCAUUUUAUUAUGAGAUGAGAUCUUGGAAUAAUAAGUUAAACUUAACUACAAUAUAUAACUUGUUCACCUCAAUGAAGGUUGUAUGUUGUAGAGGCAAAGAUUAAGAAACACAUAAGAUGUGUCUUGUCUAAAGUUGACAAUUUAACUAUCUAGAAGUUAUAAUUAUUGUAAUUGGUAAUAAGUACCAACUUGUUUUAGUUAUCUUGGUUUAUUCACCUUAAUGUAGAUUAAAAUAACUAAAAUGAGAUUCUAACCCACUAGGGAUUUUUGAAUUCCUGGUUUCAUGUUUGAGGAUUAUAGUAUUAAAAUAGUGGGAACAAAAUCAAACUUAUUUUUAUUUUUACAUAAAUAGCAAUUCUCUUUUAUCUUUACAACUUGUUGAAGAAAUUAUGAGUAAUUACAUAUUAUUCUUAAUAUAAUUAAUAUUUUCAAUUUCUUGGACGGGCAAAGAGAAUUGAGAGAAGUUUUCAAGUAAAUCUGGUUAUAUCUUUUAAAACUUUAAUACUUCCAAUCAUGGAAGAUGGAAUGGAAUUAAUAGUAUAUGCUUAUAGUAAGUACAAAGGAGAUGACGAUAGUGUGUCAUAGAUGAUUCCUAAAUCUCUUAUGUUACAAGGAUUCAUUUUCUUUCACCAUAAUUAGACAUCUCAAAGCGUUGAAUAACAGAUAAUCAAGGUUUAAGAUAUAUGAAAUUCUUGAACAAUAAUUCCAUCACUAAAUGACAAAAUUUUCUCUAAAUAAACAUUGAUUUAUUAGAGAACGAUUAGCUAUAUUGAAAAAUUAGUUUAAUCAAAUUUUGUCAUGGACUAUAAGUCAAGUUUUGACUAAAAGAAUAUAACUUAUCAAGAGUUGAUAAGGUGAAUCAAUUAUCAAGAGUUGAUAAGGUAAAUCAAUUAUCAAGAGUUGAUAAGUUAAAAGGUUUUAAAGAAUAAGUCUUAUAGUUCAAACUUUGAUUGCAUGAUUUUAACUUGAAUAAAAUGUAACUUUGUGAAAGUUUUAUUUUAAGUUAAGUUUACAAUUGAGAUUAAUUAGUAUAUUUACUUCUAAAUUAAAUUCCUUGGGUAUGAGAUACCAGAUAUUCAAUAUGCUAGGAUUCAAAAGAAGUAAAUUAAAGAGAAAGGUAAUGAUAAGUAUGCAUUUUGAGAUAUUUAAGUGUGUUUUAUUAUUUAGUUUUGGUAUGUUUUAUCCAUUUUUAUAGUUAAUUAACUAGGUUUCUAGUGAAAUUUACAUUUUAUGGUUUAAGUGUGAAACAUUGCAUUUCUACAUGUUAAAAUGGUGACAAUUUCAUAUUUUUGUAGGUUUAAUGAUUCAAUCAUCAAAUGAAAAGAAUUGCAAAGACGUUUGGAUGAUUGUUGAUGAUUUAAAAAGAAUAUAAAGUACCAAAUUCUCAAGAGAUGAAAUGCAAUCAAGUAUUAAAGAAAAGAAGUUUGACAGUUUUGACAACUGUUGGUAUUUCAAUUAUAUCUUGAAUAACCAAUAUCAGAUUGAGGUGAUUCUUGAGCCAUUUUGAAGUAAGACAUAACUUAACAUUUCUUAUGAAGAUAUCGAAAUCCAGUUCAUGAGUUUUCAUAGUCACAAAUUCGAAAUACAGUUGACCAUUUCUGUUGUCAAAACUGAAAUAGGAGAUUGACCAAUCAAGGAUAUUUUGGUUAUUUUUUAGUUUGCAGAACUCCAAAUUGAGCGAUUCUUGAAAACUAAAAAAGAUAACUAAAAGGGCCGUAACUUUUGUGUUUUGAAAAAAAAGUUAGUUCAACCUCUAUUAUCAAGAAAAUAUUAGUAAAAUUUGGUGCAAAAACAGAGUAAGGUUGAAGAUUGGUCAGAAAUGAGGAAACUUGCAAUAAGGCAUAAUGUGGGGUAAUAUGCGACCUCAUGCCCACAUUUUCAGAGGUCACGUAUGCUUCAAUUGCAAUUACAACUUACUCAUCAAUUUGUUCUGUAUUCACAUAGUUUUUAUAACUAUUCCCUUACUCAGAAUUUCGGCCAUAGCUAUAAAGAAAAGUGUAGAGAUUUCAAAAAACAACUUUUGAUGAUUUCAAGAGACAAAAUUGUCAACUAGAAACAACUCGCUUUGAGCUUUAAUAUUCUAUAAAAGGGCCUUUGUUGAACUUGCUUCACAACUUUGGCAGGCUGUAAACACUACCAAAAAUGUAGUUUUCAUUAGUUUUUCUUAGUUUAUUAGUAUAAUAUAGUUAGUGUAGUUUAUCUAUCUUGUAUUUGUAGUUAGAUUUGGAUGAAGAAUUGAAGAACAAGAUGGAGAGCUUGCAUAUCAUGUGACAAGGGUGAUUUCUCUCCUAUCACUUUCUCUUUUGCAUUUGAGUUCAUGUUUAGCCAUAAUACAAGUAUGGUCUUUUCUUUCAUUCUCUUUAUGUUUUGCUAAAGUUAUGCCUAAAUUUAUGGAUGAAUUUUCUAUAUCUUGUUAGUGAUGUUUACUUAAUUAUUUGGUGAUAUUAUUUUGAACAAAUUAUUUAGAACUUUUGCUUUUCUAAUCAUAAUUAACUAGCCAUUAAUUGUGAUAAUCUUAAGGUGUUAAGUUUAUAAUGAAAAUUGAGAUUUAACAAUAGUUUAAAGAAGUACUAAACCUAGGGAGUAUACUCACGAGAGUAGAGGUGCACUUUUAUGGCUUUAAUGGUUUGUUCUAUGUAAUUUCAUAGAAUAAAUGAACUUAUAGUUAAUUUCAUAACCACGAGAGUAGGUAUGAUUUAGUUAUAAGUAUAGUUGAUUUACAAUGAGAGUUGAUUUCACAUAUAUUUAGAAAUUAUGCCAUAACUAACCAAGAUGAUAGCAUUAAAUUAAUCAAUAAUUUCACUUGCAAAAGUAGUGAAGAAUUCCAUAACCCUAGGAGCUUUCUAUUGUUACUUUUAUUACUUUUAUUUCAUGUUUAUAAUGUAGAUUUAAUUUCUUUCACUUGUGAUAGUUUAAGUAAUAAAGGAAUUUGAAAACUAUCGGUAAUUGGUAAUCUUCCCUAUGGGAUCGAUAUCUAACAUCCCUUGUACUUGAUAAAUGAUCGGUAUACUUGCAGAAAAUAGAGUAUUUAGGUUUUAUUAAAAUUGGGGUAUGGUAGAGCCUUGUCAAUAAGUAUCUACUUUUAUGAGAUAAAAGUUAAUUCAUUAAGAUGUAGUGACAAAUUAUCUUUCUUAACCUAGUGGACUUAUUUUAGAACUUAAUAAGUGUUAUUAAUCUCUAAAAUAAAAGAAAAUUAUUUUCUCAAUAUAAUGUUAGCCGACCUGAAAUCAUCUUAUCUUUGACAUUUAUAAACUUAGUCUUGUGAAUAAGUUUCAUACCUUUGAAUUACAUGAUGAUAUUUGGUUGGAUUCUAUUGAUUAUGAAUCAUUUGAGAUAGUGAAUCUUAUUCAAGACUAAAUAGGUCUUUUGUUUGAAAAGGCUUAAAGAAUUGUUAAAAUUCAUUCAUUCUGAUGUAUGUGGAAGAUCAACAAUUCAUGUUAGAGAUAAUUAUUUCUUAUACUUUAGUACUUUCACUAAUAACUAUUCAAAAAUGGACACAUGUGCUUUUAAGUUCAAAUCCAAAGUUUUGAGAACUUAAAGAAUUAUGAGAUUAGAUGCACCAUGCAAGUUUACCAAAAUAGUUUUGAGGUUUGUCCUAAAUAAAUUACCUUUUAUACACUAAAUCUUAUUCCAUGUAUAUAUUUGUUUAAAGUAUAUCAUGUGAGAUAUAGAGUGUUAGAAAUUUCAAAGCUUUGUGAAAGUUUGGAUUGCCCUACUUAUAAAGUAGGCAUCUAUAAUUAGACAAGUUGGAGUUAAGAUUCGAUUAAAAUCUUUUGUGGAGAGUUCUUGAGAAUUAAAAGGAAAAGAAAGAUCAGCCAAAAAGAAGAAGAGCAAAUCGGUUCUCUCUGUUUCAUUGGUUUGAUUUCAUCCACUCAUAAGUUUGAGUUUCCCUGUCUUCUCCAAAAACACUGUUAUAUUACCAAAUAAAAAGUGUUUUUUCCUCCAAAAUUACUAUUUUUUAGAUAAAUUGCUCAUUCUAGAUAAAGUAGUGGGAGUAAGAUAGAAUUUAAAACUUGAAAGAGUUUCAAGUAUCACAAAAAGAAGUUGAACAAAAACAUGAAAUUGGAGCUUGCAUUUCACGAUGAUGAUGAGCCACAACAAAAGUGCUUAAAAUUAGGGUUUCAUAAGUCUCGAAAAUAUAGAUUUCUUGUGGAGAGUCAGUGUUUGAUCAUGUGCUCUUAGUGACUUAUGAAUAGUUUUAUGACUCAUAGAAAUGGUUAAGAAUUAUAAAUCUAAAAUGAAUUUCAUGUUUGACAAAAGGUAUUGACCAUAGUCAAUUCGUCUAAGGGUAUAAAAGGCCUAUUAGGUGUAAGAGAGUUUUUCGAGUAAAGACCAAUAUAAAAGGAAAAGUGUUACCUAUAAAGUUUAAUUGGUAGAGAGAUUACCUUUAAAGAUAAGUAAUAAUCUUUAACGAAACCUUCUCUAGUCAAUAAGUUUAAAUUAAUUUAGAUUUACUUACUUUCUUUAACUAUGACUUAUAGCAUGGCAAAUAGAUAUUAAAAUCACUUUCCUUGAAUGGAAAUGAUAAAUGAUUGUGUAUGUAACAUAGGUUAAAGUUUUCUAUAUCUUGUGUGCCAUUAAAGCAAGUUUCCAAGAGUUGUAUCAUCCGUUUUAAUGAGAUAAUCAAAGAAUUUGAUUUUAUCAAAUUUGAGAAUAGGCCUUAUACUUAUAUGCAAUUUAGUGGGAGGUAUCAUAAUUUCAUCAUUAUAUAUGUGGUCAACAUAUUAUACUUGGAAAUACCUAUGCUCCAAAACUAUAGGUAUAGUUGAUUAAGAUUUUCUCCAUGGUGUUAAGGAGAAAUAGUUUUCUUUUUAGGAGUAAAGAUCUAUAGUGAUAGAUCAUGAUUGCUUGGCCUUUUGUAGUACAUAUAUAAGAUGCUAAAGACGUUUAGCAUGAAGUGAUCUAAGAAGAGAUGUAUCUAUAUCAUACAACGUAAUCCUUUCAAUGCACAAAGCUUAUUGUGUUCUUUGGUCCAUGAAGAAUUAAGAUUGGUAAUUUGAGAAUAUACUUAUAAAUAAUCUUACAAAGAUGAUUUGCAAGUUUUUUUUAGUACAAUAAGCUCUACAUCUAUUACAUCUUACUCUAUUUCCUAUAUCUAUCAGCACUAUAUCCUCUAAAGCCUCUAUCUCUAUAGUAACUAAGUACUCAGUUAAUGUCUAACGUUUCCGUAAAAAAAAAAAAGUACUCAGUUAAUGGCUCAUAUAUAUAUAACACCUAUCUAGCUCAUCAAACACUUGUAUUCAAGUCCCCAUUCGAGCAGUAGUUCCAGAUUUUCAUUUGUUCUUGGAGCACUCUCCCACGAUACACACGUUGAUUGGACACAAUUUACAAUUGCUGCAACAAGUUGAACUUUGGUUUUGCUGAUUUGCUUAAAGACCCUGCUAUUCCUCUCCUGCCAUAAGUGCCAAACAAUCACAGAGAGAACCAGCCUUCUAAGUUUAGUUGCAAAGGAUUCACCCUUCAAGAAAACACUGCACCAUUGCGCCUCCAUCUGCCAACACAUAUCUCCUCUAUAUACCAAACACAUUUUUUUGUACUUUUUGCCAAACUGACUUAGCAAAAGCACACUCAAAAAAUAAGUGGUCUAUUGACUCAAUCCCUCUACAAAGUACACAUGUUGGAUCAACAUUCUGCAUUCCCCAUUUUCUCAGUCUAUCUUUUGUCAUCAGCUUUCCUUGUACAACCAACCAUAAAGUAAAAGCAAGCUUCGGAAUGCAACCCUUCCCCCACACCAUUUUAUACCACUUUACAGUUUCACCACUAGGAAAUAUCCUCCUCAUUGCAAAUUUGAUAGAGAACAUGCCUGUUGAUGAUCCUAGCCACCUCACAUGGUCCUCUCUAUGUGUGUUUUGCAAUAGAGAUGUAAGAGUUGCCUUCUUGAAAUCUUGAACAAGAGAGUUAAGUCUUCUUUCCCAAGGCCAUUUCCAGCACUUGUUGAGAAUAAAAUCAGCCACCUUAGAUCUUGUAUUUAGUCCCAAGUUCUUGAGCAAGGAUAUGGGGUAUAUCUUGUAGAGUGGUCCAACGGAUGCCAAAAAUCAUACCAAAAUGAUGUUUAGCCUCCAUUGCCUAUAUAAGUACAUAUAAAUGAUUGAGCUAGAGCCUUGCACUACAUUAUUUUUCUCCAAAUCCAAGAAUAGCCAUCAGUUUUAAUAACCUCCCAAAAACUUCUCCCCUUCAGUAUUACAGAAUGUAUACACCUCACCCAUAAAUUGUCUUUUUUACUAAAAAUGUUCCAUACUAACUUUAAGAUAAUGCACACAUUCCACUGUGUAGUGUUUUUUAUUCCCAAACCACCUUUUCUCUUGGGCUUACAAACAUCACUCCAUUUCACCUUAACUGCAUACUUUCUUUUUAAGUCACCUGACCAUAAAAAAGAAGCAACAUUCCAUCAAUCUUAUGAAUAACAUCUUUAGGAAGCAUAAAAACAUUAAACCAGUACAAGUAUAUUCCACUUAGUACUAAUUGGAUGAGCUGCAAUCUACCACCAUAGCUUAACUUCUUUGCUGCCCAACUCUCAAUCUUACUUUUAAUCUUGUUAAAGAUUUGUUGACAAUCUUUGAAGCUGAGCUUCGUUGAUAUCAGCAGUACUCCAAGAUACCUUACUAGCAGAUUCCCUCUAGGCAUUUCCACCAGACUGCACAGUUCCUGAGCUUGUGCGUCAGUUACACAAGACAAAUAGACAUCACAUUUUUGAUAAUUUAGCUUGAGGCUAGACAUUAGUCCAAACUCUACUAAGACUUCUUCAAAAACUGAAAAGAUUGGAUAUUAGCAGUAGAGAGCAAGAAUAAAUCAUCAGCAAACAUCAUAUGGGAUAUCUCGAAGUCCCUGCAUGCUGGAUCGAAAUCAAACUCCCUUUUACCAAUAUACCAUUUUAAGAGACCAGUAAAAACUUCCAUAGCCAGGAGGAAUAAGGGGAAAGAGGGUCCCCUUGAGAUCCAUUAAGAUUGACAGAAAACAUAGCAGUAGUCAUACUAUUUGCAACCCACUUUAUAGUAGUAAACUGGAAAGACCAAUCAACUGUGUCAUAUGUUUUCAUAAGGUCCACUUUAAUGGCAACUCUUGCUUUACCAUGCUUACAAUGAUACCCUCUCACCACUUCAUGCAUCAUGAGAACACUAUCCGUAAUCUGCCUGCCUUGGACAAAAGCAUUUUGAUUGUUGGAAAUGAGAUUAGGAAGUACCUUCUUUAAUCUGUUGGCCAAGAUUUUAGGGUAGCAUUUGUAAAAGAAAUUGCAACAAGAGAUGGCUCUGAAUUCCUUCAUCUUAGAGGCAUUCUUGAUUUUGGGAAUCAAUGAGAUUGUCGUACUAUUCAGAGAUUGGUACAUGUAUUGUUCCUUAAAAUAGUGCUUCAAAGAUGCUAUAACAUCAGCCCUCACAACAUUCCAACUUCCUGCAAAGAAUUUGCCAGUAAAUCCAUCUAGCCCUGGUGCUUUCACUUUCAUCAUGUUAAACACUAUAUUUGUGAUUUCCUCCUCAGAAACGGGUGAUGUUAAAAGCUCCUUUUGUACUCUCUACUUGAGAGCUUUCUCUCCAUUGGGUGGGAGCUGGGAACCAGGAAAAAUCAAAUUUCACAGACUCAAAAUUCAAAAUCCACAACUCUUCUAAACAACCAAAAUAGCAAGACCAAAAUUAUGCAAUAGAUUCAUAAUAGAAUAUACAAACUCAGAUGCGAAGACAAAAUGUCUCGGAGUGCUGGAGCAGAGAAUACAAGGAAGGACUCAUUGGCACACCACUGUGAUUAAUAGCUCGCAUUUAUGAAGCUUCAAAAUGCAAGACUACGAACACAAAUGGGAGCAAAGUCUAGUCGGAAAAAGGAAACUAUGCAAUUAAUGCUCAUGGAAACGCUGGAGGAAACGAGAAUCCAAGUAAUUACAGCUUAUAUAUCCUUCCACUAGGCCUUAACCUUCUCAUGCAUAUCAUAGAUUUGGUCUGCAUACUGCCUACCUGGUAGUGUAUUUACUUAGAAAAGAUAGUAGUCUAGUUCCUUUUCUUCUCUGAUUUUUCAGGUUCUGUUCAUUGUUAGUCUAUAAUUUAACGAAUCCCUCUUAGAUCUCAUCGACCCUAUGGUGGAUGAACUAGAGGAAGUGUCGAAAAAUUUUGCUCUGUCAAAUUUAGAGCAGAACGGUGCGUGGAUAGAACUGGAUGAUGUAGAUCCAGGGAUCUCUGAGUGCUUGAACAGUAUCAUUGGAAAGAUAAGAGGAGAGAAAGUGGCUAACUUUACUGGGGUAAAGAAUUUUGUCACAGCAGCUUGGGGGUACCCCAAAGACUUCACAAUAGCUGAGCUGGGGCCUAAUCUCUUCUAGUUCUUUAUUCCUGACCAGGAGACUAGAGUAAGAAUCCUUAAUGAUGGACCAUGGUUGAUUGACAACCAAAUACUGGUUCUUAACCGUUGGGAGGAAGGAAUUGAGGAAAAUACAGAGGCCUUUAAAUUUGCCCUCUUUGGGUACAAGUAUGGAAUCUCCCAAUUCACUGGAUAACAAAGGAAGUAGGAAAGAAAAUAGGUAUGGUCUUCAAGGAGGUCAAGGAAGUAUUAAUUCCCCAUUCAGGGAGUAAGGAAGGAAACACCUAAAGUUGUUAGUUUGUGCAGAUAUGACCCAGCCUUUAUUAAGAGGAACUACAGUUAAGAUGAAUAGAAUAUUAAAAUGGGUAAGCUUCAGAUAUGAAAGAGUCCUAGACUUCUGCUAUAGAUGCGGCAUAAUUGGGCACAGUGAAAAGAAAUGCAAGAACAAUGUAACCAUCAGUAAAGGUCAAAAAGAAAAUCAGUAUGGCCCCUGGUUGAGAGCUCAAUCUGGAAAAGGAUCUCCUCAAAAAGAUGGUAAAUCUAACACGUACAUUCCUGACAGACAAGUAUGGAGGUUUCAGAAUAGGGAAUGGAGCAGGAAAGGACCAGGGAAACCAGUAGAGAAAGAUAAAAACCCUCCCAGGACUGAACAUUGUGAUGAACUGCUUAAGGUCACAAGUGAUGAAUCUUUGUUGAAUACUCAAAAAGAUCUACCUAUAGUGAGAAUUCAAGAAAUAGGACAGAGAAAAGGGGCACACUAGAAGUACAGUUGGUGGUAGGGAAUGAGAAAGCAUAAAAGGAAAGGAAUGUGGUUAAAUAGUUGACUGGACUUGAGGAGAGAGGGAUGGAGGAGGCAAUAACCGAGGUGUUACUACUAGAUCAAGGAAACAUGGGGAAUAGGAACCAAAGAAAUAAGAAAGAAGAAGGUAUGACUAUGAAUACAGAUAUGCAGCUGGAUGGUGAGGACAUGGAUCAGAUCCAAGAGACAAGAACAAAAUGAGAUCCAAAAUCUGGGAUUUAGGAUUGGCAAGAAUACCAAAAGAAAGUUACUCAUUCUAGAUGAGGAGAUGCCAGACAUGGAGUCAACAAAUCAAACAAUCAAAAGGAACAGAACUAGUAAAAUGGAAAAGAGCAUAGAUCAUAACAUAAGGGAGGAAGAGACCAACCCAAACUGGUCUCCAAAUCAAUCAUGAGGGCUCUGGUGUGGAACUGUCAAGGUGCUCCACACUUGGCGGUGUGGAGCACCUUGACAGUUCCCCACUUGAAGGAGGAAAAUAAACUCCUCUCCCUAAGUAUAAUAUUUCUUAGUGAAACAAAAAAUAGGAAAAAUUUCAUGGAAAAAGUUAAAAAAAUUUUGAACUUUGAGAAUAUCUUUGUUGUUGAAGCCAUGAAUAGAUUAGGUGGAAUAGCUCUUUUGUGGACCAAUGAGGUCAAAAUUACAAAAGUACAAGGGACAACAUUCAUGAUUGAGGCCAGAAUUGUUGAUGAGGAGAAACAGGAGAGGUGGUGGUUCAUUGGCAUAUAUGCUAGUUGUGAUUAUCAAAUAAGAAGAAGACAGUGAGAAGUAAUAAACAGAAGAAAAGCAGGCUGGGGGAAAAAUGGAUAAUCAUGGGAGACUUCAAUGAUAUAAUCUCAAAUGAUGAGAAAUGGGGUGGAAGAAAUAGAGAUGACAGAAGUUUCCAAGAUUUUAGGAAGUUCAUCAAUGAUAAUUAGCUGGAGGACAUUGGUUUUAAGGGGAAGCCAUGGACAUGGAGCAAUAAUUGGUAUGGGGAUGGGGAAGUAAAUGAAAGAAUUGAUAGGGGACUAUGCACUUUGGAGUAGUCACAAUGCUUUAAUGAAGCCAAAUGUAGACACAUUGAAUCCCAUGCCUCAGACCACUGUAUGCUGAUACUGGAAACUUAGAAGGAAGGUAGGAAAAGGAAAAAAAAAGGUUUCAAUUUGAUAAAAUGUGGCUACAACAUAAUGAGGUUGAAAGGGUGGUAAAGGAGGCAUGGAACACCACCUACGAAGGAACAAGAUGGUUUAAAGUGACUCAGAAGAUAAAAAAAUUGUAGGAUUGAGUUACUGAAAUAGAGCAUUAGCAAGAAAGGGAAUUCACUUGAAAGGAUCAAAUGGUGCAAACAACAGCUUGAAGACACAAAGGCAUCAAAUGCAGAAAACAAAAGGCAACAAAUGCAGGAGGUCAAGAGACAACUGAAAAUGGCCUAUAAGGAUGAAGAAGCUUAAUGAGGUUGAAGGGGUGGUAAAGGAGGCAUGGAACACCACCUGCGAAGGAACAAGAUGGUUUAAAGUGACUCAGAAGAUAAAAAAAAUUGCAGGAUUGAGUUACUGAAAUAGAGCAGUAGCAAGAAAGGGAAUUCCCUUGAAAGAUCAAAUGGUGCAAACAACAGCUUGAAGACAUAAAGGCAUCAAAUGUAGAAAACAAAAGGCAACAAAUGCAGGAGGUCAAGAGACAACUGAAAAUGGCCUAUAAGGAUGAAGAAGCUUACUAGAAUUAGAAAUCAAGACUAAGAUGGCUAAAUGAGGGGGAUAAGAAUACUUAGUUUUUCCAUGCAACAGUUAAAGGAAGAAGGAAGAGAAACAGGUUGCAGAAAUUGAGGAAAGCUAAUGGUGAAUGGACUGUGAAUGAAGAUGAGGUGGAGGAGAAAUAGCUACUUAUUAUAAGCAGCUGUUUAAGUCAUUAGCUACUGGGGAUCUGGAGAAGAUCUUAGAUAGGAUUCCUGUCACUAUAACUGAACAAAUGAAUAAGGAAUUGAGUAAAAAAGUGGAAGAAAAAGAAAUUAAGACUGCUUUCUUCUCUAUGGAUCCUAAUAAAGCUCUUGGAAGUGAUGACAUGUCCCCUUUGUUUUUCCAAAGAUUCUGGAGUAUUAUUAAACAGGAUCUAGUAAAUGCAAUCCAAGGUUUCUUUUAUCACAGUGUCAUCCUUAAAGCUAUAAACCAUACAGUCAUCUCCUUGAUCCCAAAAAUAGAUUGGCCCAUAGAGGUUAAUCAGUAUAGACCUAUCAGCCUAUGCCAAGUGGUAUAUAAAGCCAAAGCCAAAAUUCUUGUCAGUAGAAUGCAACCUUUCCUCAGUAGGUGCAUUAGCAAAAAUCGGUCUGCAUUUGUUUCAGGUAGGCAAAUAUUAGAUAAUGUCAUUUUAUCUCAUGAAUUACUGCACUUUCUCAAAAACAAAAGACAUGGUAGAGAAGGAUAUAUGGCUGUGAAACUGAAUAUGUCCAAAGCCUAUGACAGGGUGGAAUGGAAAUGUUUGAAGGCUAUUAUGGAGAAAAUGGGAUUCUGUUCUACUUGGAUAAGCUGGAUUUCAUCCUGCAUCAGCUCAGUAACCUACUCUUUCAAGGUAAAUGGGGAACACAACGAGUACAUCACCCCCUCCAGAGGUGUAAGACAAGGAGAUCCUCUAUCUCCUUACUUAUUUUUGCUGUGUCCAGAGGGGUUUUCAAAUCUCUUACAAAAAGCAAAGCAUGAAAAGGAGUUGACGGCGGUAAAAGUUAGUAGAAAAGUACCUACAAUUACCCACUUGUUCUUUACAGACGACUCACUGGUGUUCUGCAAAGCAAAAGUUCAAGAAGCUGGGAAACUAAUGAAAGUCCUCAAGGUGUAUGAGGAGGCAAUGGGACAGCUCAUCAACUUGGAAAAAUCCUCAGUAUUCUUUAGUAAGAACACAGACCAAAUAGUGAGGAAUGAAUUCUGUCAAGCUGUGAGGUCAAUUCAACAGGUAGGACAAGGGAAAUAUUUGGGAUUGCCUAUGAUUAUCACAAGGUCUAAAAAGCAAGUUUUUGGAUUCAUAAAGAAUUCCAUUGACAAAAAACUACAAGAUUGGAAAAACAAACUACUGAGCCAGGCAAGGAAUGAGAUAAUGCUUAAAGCAGUGGCAUUGGCAAUGCUUACUUACACCAUGUCUUGCUUCAGGUUGCACACCCAAUUAUGCAGAGAAAUCAAUUCAAAAAUGGCAGACUAUUGGUGGAGAGACACAGAAGGGAAGAACAAGAUACACUGGAUCAGCUGGAAGAAGAUAACACAGACUAGGGAAGCAGGGGGCAUGGGAUUCAAAGAUAUGCAAAUCUCCAAUAAAACCUUAUUGGCUAAGCAAGUAUGAAAGUUAAUUACACAACCAAACUUGCUAGUCAGAAAAGUUUUAAAGCAGAAAUACUAUCCCAAACAGUUACUCUUCAACUGCAAAGUGCCCAAAAAUGCCUUCUGGAUUUGGAAAAGCAUAUCAGCAGUGAGAAAGGAACUGCAACAAGGAACUACAAGGAAAAUUGGUAAUGGUAGAGACACGAGAAUUUGGGAAGUCAACUGGAUACCAGAUAGGCCACAUGGGAAACCAACUUUAGCUAAGCCACAGGGAUGUCAGCUAAAUCUUUUCUCAAAUCUGAUAAGUAAUAACAAAUGGAAUAGAGUUCUUGUCCUCAAAACUUGCAGUUCACAAGAUGCAGAGAGAAUCCUGAGUAUACCAAUAAGUGUUACAGGUAAAGAAGACAGCUAUUAUUGGGUGCACUCUCAGAAUGGUCAAUACAUGGUCCAGUCUGGCUACAAGACAUGGAUAAAGGAAAAGAACCAGGUGAACUCAGCGGUAAGGGAGAAGGCUGGAAGAAGCUAUGAAGGUACCAUCAGCAAGGUCUGGAAAUCACUGUGGAAGCAGAACGUGAGUCAAAAACUGAAGGUAUUCAUGUGGAAAAGCUUACACGGAGCCCUUCCAGUAAGGGAACUAAUUUACAGAAGAACAAAGCAAGGAAAUCCUAUGCGUGCAGGAUGUGGAGAAAGAGAAGAAACAUUAGAACAUAUGAUGCUCCAAUGUAAGAAAGCAAAGGAAAUAUGGAAAAUGACGCCAGUUCAGUGGGAUGGCCUGGAACACCUUUAUGAUUGUUUUCUAAAAUGGUGGAUAACAAUUAUGGAAGCUCAACAAAGCAGAGAUGAUGCAAAACAGGUGAAUGCAACCAUCAACAUACUCUGACAGAUAUGGAAAGCCAAGAAUGAUAGAGAGUUUAACCAAAAGGAAAGAGAGCCUCACAAGAUAGUUGAGAAGGCUAUAAAGGAUUGGGUGGAGUUUGAAGAGGCUAACAAAGGAAAGGAACCAAGGAAGAUCACUCAGGAAACAGAAGUACAACAUAGGACUAACCAAAAUCAUAAUGAAGGAGUCAGGAAGAUGCUACUCAAGAUUCAUACCCAACAAGACAAACGUCAAUCUGUAGUGGGGAUAGGCAUCACAGCAGCAAACAACCUGGGACAACUACAAGCAGCCUGGGCACUCAGAGAAAGAAUGUUAGAUGAUCCAUUACAAGAUCAAGCAAAAACUGUGAAACCUGCUCUAUUAAAAGCUGCCAACCAAGGCUGGAGACACAUCAAAGUAGAGCUAGACAACAGAAGACUGAUGGAAUACAUAAUGGAAUCAAGACACAACAAUUGGCGGGUUGCUACUCUUGUUGAGGACAUUUAGUUCUUGUAUAAUUUGUUUCAUCAGUGCUCUCUCUCUUUGGCUAACUCGGGAAAAGUAGGUAAUAUUAAGCUGAGCAUGUAUACUAUUAACAUCUGGUUAGAUGAAGAAUGGGUUAAUCCCACUCUUAGAUGCUAAUGCAUCAUUGUCAAGUGUAGGACUGUUGUCCUUUUUGUUUGGACCUUUGUCCAAUUACUGUAUAGAGUUUACAAUGAAAUAUAAAGCUAUCAUUUCGACAAAAAAAAAAAAGCUCCUUUUGUUCUUCUGACAGUGAUACUGAGAUCACUUGCUGGAGUCUAGAUUCAUACCAACUAGUAUCAUUCCUCUUAAAGGGAUUCUGGUAGAAUUCAACUACCAUCUUCUUCACCUCCUCAUAUUCAUAUACCUGCUCACCCUGGUCAUUCAUCAAGGAAGGAUCCUAUUACAAGCUAUGUGCCCCUUCAUUUCUCUAUGAAAAAAGGAAGUAUUGUAGUCUCCUAUCUUCAGCCAUUGAAUUCUGGACUUAUCUUUAUAGAACCUUUCUUCUACAAGUAACAACUCUGUAUAUUCUUUUGUAACUUCCUUGCAAAGUUGAAUAAGCUCCAGGUCACAUGGGCUGUGCUGUAAGGUGGACUGGAUAUUAUACAGCUGCUCUUGUUUUGCUUUCACCUUGCUACUAAUAUCGCCAUAAUAUUCUUUAUUCAACAGCUUCAAGCUAGCUUUUACUUCAACUUUUCACACACAACCCUUACAGGAUUCCCUUUCACAGUUUCAUUGCACCCCUGCUCAACAAUUUCUGGAUACUUAUUAUGUUCCAUCUAGAAACUAUGAAACUUAAAGGGCUUAGGUCCAAAAUUGAUACUAUCAGCAAUAUUGACAUUGGUAGGAGAGUGAUAUGACACAUUAGGUGAUAGCAAAUCAAUUUCUACUGCAGUGAAGUCCUCAAGCCAACCAUGAUUAACAAGGGCUCUAUCAAUCUUGCUGUACACAGUCCCUUCUUCCCUAUGAUUACUCCAAAUAUAAAACACCCUUUACUGGGAUGUUCAACCACAUCAAUAUCCUCAAUACAUUGAUUGAAUUCCUCCAUAGCUGGAUAAUCAAACUCAUUACUGCCCAAUCUUUCAUCAUUUUUCCUUAUGGCAUUAAAAUCUCCCAAAAUAAGCCAUGGUGAUGAGCCAGCAUAACCUCUCAAUUCCUUCAGUUGUUCCCAUAAUUCCCUCAUUUCCUCAGAUUUAUUCUUACCAUAGACCACAGUAAGAAAAAAAGAGGAUCUCAAGAGGCCAGAUUGAACUCUACAAGAUAUUGUUUGUCUAUGAGACACAACAUGCUGGCAUUGAACUUUAUCAUUAUCCCAACAUACCAAUAUUCUACUAGCUGCAACAUUAGUAGAAUCAUGUAAAAAAGCCCACCCAGGUGCACACUUAUUCACUAUACUGGUUAUAUUACAUAACUGGACUUUAUUCUCAACCACCCCAAUGAUAUCGGCAUUAGUAGAGGUUAAUAGUUUUUGUAUAGCUAUUCGUUUAAUAGGUCUAUUCAGACCUCGUAUAUUCCAACACAGGACCUUCAUUGCUCAAGGAAUUUUUCUUAAUUCUUCGCUUACUUUGGGGUUAGCACGACUUCCACCUUCAGAGCUACUACCAUUCAUUUCAUCAUUAGAACCACAGAUAAUAGAGAAGAAAAGGUCUUAUCCAUUGGAAGUACUAUUUCAAUUUUUUGAAUAGGAAUAUGUGUAUCUUCUUUAGGAUUGCAAGUAGCCACUUGCUCGUGCAUAGUCAAUGCUACUUGAUCAUUAUCCAUACUGUCCUUCUCCCUAACACUGCUAUGGAUACUGUUAGCGCUAGCAUCAACAAUAAUUUCUUCCCCAUUGCGAUUUAAUAGACCAUUACUAAGACCAGCAUCCUUCUGUAUAUGGUAGUGGACAUCACUACUCCCCAUGAUACACUGACAUCCUUCUUUAGCUAUGCUAACUAUGGAAUCGUGCUGUAACUCAGUACCCAUUUCACCAGGCACUUCCUUAGGGAUCCAUUUCUAAGUACUUCUAUGACCUAAUUUAUUGAAACAUGCCCAAACCUUUUAUAUUUACCACAACAUGAAGGGAUCCAUUCAUAUUCAACAACUUGAUUCAUAAGAUGACCAUGCUCAUUCAAAAAAGGUAUGGUCUCUGGUCUCAACGACUCCACCUCCAACUCCACACAUUUCCUUGCAAAUGCAACUUGGGUCUACAGUGCAGUAUGUUGAUCUGUAUACAAGGGUUUCCCAACAUAACUCACAAGUUUACUUAGAGCCUCCAUAGUAUAGUAAUGCAGCUUUAAUCCUGGAAGACGAAUCCACACCGAAACACUCUUAAACUCAAUAUUUUGCAUCUCUAGAUCUGGACUCCAAAGCCUCAGAAAUAGCAUCUUAUUACCCCAAGGUCAAAGGGACUGAUCAACUUACAAGUCUCUAGUAUCAGCAUCUUCAAAACUAAAUACAUAGAUUCACUUCUUCAUCGUUACAACAUCAAUUUUACCCAUAUCUCUCCAUCGUGAGUUUACCAGCUGUUGAACAUUAUAAAAGGGGGUAGGGGAACCUAGCAUAUAUCCAACAAUAGCAUUUUUCCAUUUGCAAAUACCAGAUACAGUAUCUUCGGUAUUCAAUUUCCCAACCAAUGCAUUAGAAUUUAGAGACGCCUUAGGAGGAAUAAAGGAUAAAUGCAUACCUCCAUGGACAUUUUUCGAUUUGCCAAUUACUUGAGCCCAAGUCAGCUUAUCUUCCUUCACCAACUUCCGUGUUCCAUUGCUAUACCCCUCCUUUAAUAUCUUUAGUCCUACUAAGCCAGUCCUAGGUAAGGGUGGAAAAUUUUCCAUUUCCUAUUCUUUUCCAUUCAUAUUUCCAGAAUCAUCCAACCAGAGAACUCGUGUUUUAGUUGAGCUAGUCGUCAUUGGAUCUCGAGCUAGGAGAAGCUUCAAAACGUGCCAAAGACCCCUCAAUGAACAAAUUUCGAUCGGUGAGAUGAAAAUGGACCUAAGGACGAACACAAUAUCCCAAGAAUCUAUCCCAUUGAAGCUUGAAGACCUCAACAAUGGCAGAUUUGUGAGGUGCACACUUUAGCAGGAGCUCCUUUGUCAGUGAACGUUAGCGGCAGUUAUUAUAGCUCCUCUGAUCCUCAACAACGGCAGAUUUGCAAGUUAUGCAGUCACUUAUAAUAUUGGUAUUAUGUGUUGAAAGGGUUUCAAACAAAACACAACUGAAGUUUUUACAAUUAAAUCUUAACAAGUUGCUAUUUGAGAAGUGGCAAAACAAAGCAUUUGGAUCUGUAAGUUCAAUUAGGAACUUGGGUUGGUUCUCUCUAUUUUAAAUUCUUUAUCCUGUAUUAUGACUAUAAUGAAAAUUUGCCCUGCCAAAAGAAUCAAGGUCUCAUCGCGGAUCCAUAGGCUUGUUAAAGUGCUGCCAUAUGAUUUGAUGAAAUCAUUGGUAAGAAUAAAAUUGAAGAUAGAAGGAGUACCUGUGGAUAACACCAUGGUUGAUCCGUUUACUAAAUUUUAUCUUAAAGGAAACAUGAUGGUCAUAUACGCUCAUUUGGUAUUUGAUUUAUGAGUUAUUGGUUUUAGUGCAAGUGGGAGAUUGAAAGUAUAUAUACCCUAAAGCCAAUCAACUUUUAGGAUUUAAUAUGCACUUGAACUAUUUAUAUUAUAAUAAAUGGCAUCUUUAUCAUAUUAAUUGCUUAUAUUUAUAUCAAUAUUUUGAAACUCAAACCAUUAAUUGAACCAGUAAGGUGUUCGGGUUGAGAUUCAACCUAUCAAACCUGUUCAACCCUGAUUCAAUGAAUUUUUUAAAAAAUGGUUUGUAUAAAUAUGUGCAUAAAAUAAGACAUGCAAUGGGCUUUAUAUGAUCAAAGAAUUUGGAUUUUCACAAAUAAAUUUUUUAAAUUAUAAGUUGAAACAAAUAAAUUUUAUCUCAAUUUCAAUUAUAUCUAUCAAAAAAAUCUUAUAUCGAAUCCAAAAAUAUCACAAUAUUUUGUAAUUAUACAAAUUCGCAUAUAUGAGAUUAGAUAUUGUGAGUUUAAAUUUUAAUUCAUGUUUUUUGGAAUUUAGAGAUUACAACUUUUAAAAAAAAAUUGGACGUUAAGAAAAUAGAAAAUAGAGAUGCAAACUUGAUACAAGGCAAAAAAUGAGAAGAAAGUGAGUGGAUAUGGCAUUUAAUAAUUAGUCUGUAAGGUUAAAGAAAACCUGCUCUUUGUUUUUUAAAUUUUCUUUCAAUUUAAUACCUGAAAACCAAAAAAUCGCUGGUUCAAUAGUUCAAUUCGGUUUGCACAGUUCAAAUGGUUCUGAUAUUUAAGUCCAAAAACCAUUCUUCUUUUCCUAAUUUUGGUUCCUGCCAUUUCCCAAAUUUUUUAUCAAUACAGUACCAACAAAACCAGCAAUAUGAAGCAACCAAAAAAAAAACCACACAUACAUUCAAUCUAGUUAACUAAAGAAAAAGAAAAACUGGAAAAAGGAAAAGAAAUACCUCAAUGAAGAGUUUGGUCCCUUGGCCAAAGUUUUUGAUGAAAUUUGCCAAGGUCCAAUAGCCUAACCGAUCGCUGCCUCCUUUUUGUUGUGUGCAAGUGUGUUGGGAAAGUAUUGGGAGAGAGGAGAGCCGAGAGGGAGUAGUGGUAGUUUUUCUUUGGUUUUGUCUCUUGUCCUUUGAGAGAGAGCCAGAGAGCUUGUCUAUUUGGAGCGUGAGUGGAGUCUUUUUUUUGGCUUGUCUGGAGAGAAAAAGAGAGAGCCAAGAGAGACUUGUGAGUUGGAGUUUGUGUGUGUGUGUUUGGUCAAAAUGAUCGUCUUUUACCUAAUAACAAGAAAGGUGCAUGGGAAAAAUAUGAUGAACUUUUUUUUAACCAAAAUGAGAAGAAAUGUUAAUGAGAAUGGAGUGUAAAAAUGAGUAAAUAGUGGUUUUGGUAAAACAAAAAUAAUUAGGAUGAUUUGGAUUUCUUGAUUUUCUUUUUUUUAUCUUCUUUUUUUUUUCUUUUUGUUUUUUUGUUUUUCUUUUGUUUUUCUUUUUCCUAAAAAAACCUGCAAAAAAUGAGAAAAAUACACAUAAAAAUGUAAGAAAAUAAAUAACUUAUUAAACAGAAAAAAUUCAAGAAAAUAUUAAAAAUUGACAAAAAUUUGAUGUCUACAGCGGUCUACAAACAUUUUUUUUCAAGGGAAAUCUUUUUUUAUAGUUCAGAUAUUUAUAAGGGAAAAUUUGCUAUAUAAUUGGCGAAAGAUUUGAUAUUCAAGGAUGGAGUAAAAUUUUGUCCAAAGUCAUAAGUAGGGAGUUUGGAUUCUUUUAAUGGGAAUUAAGCUAAAAUGAUAGAUUUGCCCAUAGAUAGUUUUGCAUGAAUUUAGGACCUCAAUUGGCCACGUUAUGUCUGUCGACAGUUUUGUAAAGUUUUGACCAAUGCAACUGCGUCGGGAUAGGAGAUUAUUUGAAAUAAUUUUAAAAAAAAAAAUAGUGUAGCACUUUUCAAUGAAAAUAUAUUCCAUUUUGGCCGAUGUGGCUCUGUUUGGAUAGGAGAUUAUUUGGGAUAAAUUUUUUAAAAAAUAGUGCAGCACUUUUCUAAUGUGAUAUCUGUGUGACAAAAAGUGAUUAAAAAUAUAUUUAUGAUACAAGCAGAUAAAUUUGUGUAAAUAAUUUACUAUCCACACUAAUUCGUUGUGAGGGCCCAAGUUAGAUAUGUAUCCAUAUCAACAUUAAUCAAGCAAUCAAUACAUAAAAACUGAACCGUCAUGUCAAAAUUUUAAAAAAUCGUUGUCUCUCGUUCAAUUUAAGGGUGCCCACAUAGCAAAAUAAUUUUUGUUCUUAAAAUCUGCCUUUACAGUUUGGUGGAUUGUAGAAUCUGCUAUCUAAAAUAGGAUUUUGCCCACUAAAUUUUGUAGCCACUUGAGAAGGAAUCCUUGCAGCCAUCUGCUAGAAUAUGAUACAAACAUCUCAUAAUGGUCAUUAUUUAGUCUCUUUAGUAAUAAGAAAUAUUUGCAUUGUUUCCUUGUAUGGUCAGUGCUCUUGGAUGUAUGUUUAUACCGAUUCUUUAUUCCUUGUCUACGGUUGUUGAGUUAAUUUGUUCGAAAUACAACAUCAUUAAGGACGAAUAUUCUAAAAUAAUUCCGGUUUUUUUUACCCUAUUAUUGUUGUUUUUAUGUCACCAAUUGCUUUGUUUUCAACCUUUUUCGUGCAACAAUAUUUUUUUAGCCAUGAACAAAAUUGUAAAGAAAGCUUGGCGGAGGCACAACUUAAGCUAUUUAGGUGCAUGAUUUGGUUUUGCUGAUUUUAAUAUAAUGUCUAAAGUCAGGAGGUGAAUUUCAAUAAAUAUAUUUUUUUCAUUCAAUAAAUUUCAGGAGGUUAGCCAUUAACGCAUUGGCUUGUUGGUGGAAACGAAUAAAGCUUGAGGCACUAGCAUUCAAAAUCUUUUGUUGAUUCCUCUUCCAUUUUUGUAGUGAUGGACGCUAAAGUAAUACACUUGUACGUUUGUCUUCUUUAGGAUGGAAACAAUCAAGAUAUAUCUAUACGAGGAGCUAAAUUCUCAGUACUGAAAACAAAAAUUCAUGUUACUCGUCCCUCUUGUAUUCAGACAUUUGAUACAAUGAAAACUUGUAUCUAGUAUUCAAAAUUGCUUUUUUUUUUUUUUUACUCCCUCUCUUUUGGUAACAAUGAAUGUGAAGUUUUACAUGCACAGGAGAUCGAUUUUCAGAAGAUUAUAUAAUGGGUCUUGUGGACGGACAAAAGAAGCAUCCCCAGUAGUGCCUGCAAAUUUGAAAAUUCUUGUUCGGAUGUGAAAUGAGGACGGAACCAAUCAUACUCAUUCACAAGAUCUCUAGACGGUCAUUAAGAAUCAAAGGAGCUGAUAGCUUUUACUUUUCUUGUGAUUGCUUCUUGUUGGUGCCUCUGCAUCUCUCUCCCAAGCAAGCCCACACAAAUACACUAAGAUAUGAUCAAACAAUAACUCUUGAGACCCUAUAACCAUUAUUAAGUUUAAUCUUAUUUAAUAUUAGAUUGCCAAUUUAUUCUUGGAUAAAGUUUGUGCAUACUGACAAUGUAUACACAAGUGGAGCAGGAUGCAUGAUAGCUGAUCACAAUUUAAAUUUAAAUAUUAUAUUUUACAUAUAUGAUAUAUAUAUCUAACCCCACUUGUAUGUAUACUGUUAAUAUAUAUAAAAUUUAUAUAUUUUUUUCUUAUAAUUGGUAUUAUUUUCUUGUACUAUUAAGCUGAACUGGCUCAAUGAUUUGCAGUGGUCAUAGAAAGAGGAGGAAUAGCAAAGGUGCAAGCCUCAAGAAAACCUACCAGCAGAAGCUGAUGCAUUAAUAAUAGAGGCAGAGCCAAAUGGAGCUGAGGAUGACCAAUUGCCCUCCCGACUUUGAGAAAUUUUUAUUUUAGGCAUGGAACUUUUGAAAAUUUUUAAGUUGUCCUUUUUUGCACCCUUGAAAUAUUUAAAAUUCUCAUUCUUAUCAAAGUUGCCCCUAAUAUUUUUGAAAUUCUCUUUCUUGUCUAUAUUGUCCCCUCUAAAAUUUUUUAAAGUCUCUUUCUUAUUUUGACUUGGGACUUGGACUUUUAUUUAUGGGGUGCUCGUUUUUUUGAACUUUUGUGUUCUAUCAAAGUCCAACAACUACAACUAAUUCUUUGCUACUAUAAUUAAGUUGGUUGAUGGGCUUUUUUUUUGUCAAAUUAAAAGGAACCUUAGUUGGUUCAACUUAAAAACAAAAUGACUAAUCCAACUAGAAACUAAAGUAACACUCUUCCUCUUCUAAGAAUCGUCACCUCCAGCAGUCGCUCUACAAGUUCUAGUCAUUUCCUCUUUUUUUCUCCUCUUCUCUUCUAUCCCCUUUUUUUACACUAUUGGUGGUGAAAACAAUAAUGAAGUUAAGCUCAGUAGAUAAAGAAACACACUUGUUUUUCCCUUCCACUUCUACCUUUGGUUUUCAUAUCCAUGAUUUUUUCUACCAUUUCCUUGGAGUUAAUUUUACAAAUCCUAUCAGAUUUCUUUUUGAGUUGGGAAAGUUAAACUCUUCUUUGUUCAAUUUUAGAUAUUGGAUAGAUUUGUUCAUAAUUUUGUUGAUUCUUUAUUUUUUUAUGAAAUACUUUUUCUUUUAUUUGGUAGAUGAAUUGGAGGGUACUAGCCCAGUAAAUCUUCCCUAGAUGACAUUACAAAAUUUGGAUUUUUGUGUUGAUUUUACACAUUUUUUCUUAUUUGGUAUUUUUUAUUUCAAAAAUAAAAAAUAAAUAAAUAAAACAAUGACUUGGGAUUGAACCGAUUGAACCUGAUCCAACUACUUUACUAGUUUAAUCACUGGUCUGAGUUUCAAAACAAUGGUUUUGUACGAGUCCAGGCACAUUAUCAUUUGUGUCCCCACUCUUAGCAUGGAAGCCAAAAAAAAAAUGAAAUUAUUAUUGCUGGUUCACCACCACGUCACAUCAUUAUUUGGGGAUCCCACCCUAUCAAGGAAAGCAAAAAUGAAAUUCAUUGAUGCUUUAGAAACCAAACCGCAGUGCCCAGAUUUUCUCAAUGCUCCGUUAAAGUUUAGGCUUGGUCAUCGAUAAAUGUAGGGAAAAUUCCACUUUAUCCUAUGUGAUUUAGUAUUUUUGUACAAAAUCCCUUUAUAGUUUUAAAAGUUAUAUAUAACUCUUUCAUGGUUUGAUUUAAAGUGUUAAAAUGAUGGAAAUGAUCAUUUAUAAUGGAAUCGCCUAAAAUAUUAAAAAUAUCCUUAUAUAAAGUUAAAAAUUAUUUAUUAAACAAGGAGGUUUAUGUGUAUAUUUUGAAAACCUUAAGGGAGUUAUAUAGUAAAGUAUUAAACCAUAAAGGAGUUAUAUGAUAAAACAUAAAAAUCAUACGAGAUUAGUGUAUCAUAUAUUUAUAAGGGUAAUUUUGAUAUUUUUAGAAGUUCUGCUACGAAUGCCUAUUUCCGUCACUUUGACACUUUAAUCCAAAUCAUAAGGGGGUUAUGUAUAAAAAAAAAAAUUAACCACAGGGGAAUAAAAUGUAAUUUGCCCAUGAAUGUAAGAAGAAUUUACAGUUCUAGAAUAAAAAAUUUUUCAUAAACCUAGUGAAUGCAUGUGUUUUUGGCGGCGCCAAUCUCGUCAUGCAUAGACUGCCAGGAAUUAAAAUAAUUUUCCCUUAUGUCACCGAGAAAGCAGUUUAUCCUUUUUUUACCACAAGUUCGUAAUUUUUUUAAUCUUAUUUUUAAGGAAAACUCUAAAUCUUAUAGAGAAAAAGGAAAAUAAAAAGUUUAAUAAGCCUGUGUUAUGUAAUUUGCCCGGAAUUAAUUUAGUAAGAACUUAUGCAUGAAUUUGUCAUAUUGAAUAACGCUAAUUUUCUUCCUCAUAUUCUUGUAAUGUUAAUUUAGAGUAAAAUCAAGUAAAUCUCCGCAGAGCCAAAAAUGUAUUGUUAUUUUGAUUUAAAAAAAAAAACAUAUCCAGUACGAAAGGAUACUUCUUUUUGUCUUGGAGAAUUGGUCAAAUUGGUAAGGUGGAAGUGAGAAAAUGUGACUAAUGCUGGUUGGGGUUGAUUUUGAGUAAUUAGUGCCCAGGUCAAGAGAUUAGAAUGCUGAUCUCAUGGAGAUAUAUAUGAACAUUAUCCAUGACAGUUAUACUCUAACGUCUCCAUAAUGUUUUUCUGGAUAAUACUGAACAAAUGAUGCACAAGAAGUUGGUGGAUCAAGUAAAAUGAAAGAAUCAUCAAGUUCUUGAAACUUUUGAUGAACAUGGUGUUAGGGCGGUUAUCUAAAUCUAACCACUGGUGGAACUGAUGUGUAACUUUUGAUGAACUGAUACCAAUGUUGGAUUAAGGAUCCAACAAUCUCCCAUUUGGACUAUAUGUGUAACCUUAUAAUUAUGUUUUGCAAUUAACAGUAUGAGCUCAACUUUACUGUCAUUAUCACAAUGUAUCUGUAACAAAUUCGGUCCAUCAAUUACACAAAUAUAGGAUCAAAGCGGCCUUUGUUACACCCAUCAAUGGUCACGUAUAUCAAUGCAAUUGAAUGACAUGAAUCAUGAUGUGGAUGUGUAGCAUGAAAAUUUCAUGUAAUGUGAUCAAAACAUGCCUAUUUCCAACUGGUCCACCUUAAAUUUUCAUGAGAUCAAACCAUACCAAAAUCAGAGUGUAAAUAAAUCCAAACUUUAUUUAUGCAUAAAAUAUCUUUAAAUCCUUAAUAACUGAGAAAAAUCAUAAGAGCAUUUAAAAUAACAAACUCCCAUUAAAACUGUACAUCAUUUGAUAACACGACACCUAUACGAGCAGUAUGCUCAUGAAACAUUUUGGGUGGCAAUCCCUUAGUAAGCGGAUCCGCAACCAUGGAAUUUGUCCCGAUAUGCUCUAUCGAUAACUGUCCAUUCUGCACUCUUUCUUUAACAGUCAGGAACUUGAUAUCUAUAUGUCAAGAUUUGGUCGAGCUCCUGUUGUUAUUGGAAUAUAAGACUGCUGACUUAUUGUCACAGAAUAAUUUGAGUGAUUUUUCAAUACCAUCCACUACACGUAAUUCUGUGACGAAAUUUCGCAGCCAAAUUUCUUGGUUGGAUGCCUCAUAACAAGCUAUAAAUUCUGCAGCCAUAGUGGAAGAUGCUAUGAGGGACUGUUUAGCACUCUUUUAGGAUAUGACACCUCCAGCCAACAAGUAGACAUAGCCUGACACUGACUUCAUAGUAUCUUUGCAUCCAGCAUAAUCGGAAUCAGUAUACCCAAUGAUCUCUAACUCAUCUGACUUCCGAUACGUGAGCAUGUAGUCCUUUGUUUUCUGUGGAUAUCGUAAGACCCGUUUGGUUGCUUUCCAAUGAUCUAAUCCAGAAUUACUCAAAUAUCUACCCAACAUUCCAAUAAGGUACGCAAUAUCCGGACGCGUAGAUACUUGAGCAUACAUUAGACUCCCUACUGCUGAUGCAUAAGGAAUCUUUUGCAUCUCUUUUUUCUCAAAAGCAUUCUUGGGACACUGUUCAAGAUUAAAUUUGUCUCCUUUAGCCACGGGAGUGUCACCUGAUUUACAAUUUUGCAUGGCAUAUCUUUUGAGAACCUUUUCGAUAUAGCUCUUUUGUGAUAGUCCUAAAAUACCCCGAGAGUGAUCACGGUGUAUCUGUAUGCCUAACACAAAAGAUGCAGCACCAAGAUCUUUCAUCUCAAAAUUUUUAGUUAGAAAUUUCUUGGUUUCAUACAAUAGACCAAUAUCGUUGCUGGCAAGCAAAAUGUCAUCAACAUACAAUACCAGAAAAAUAUACUUGCUCCCACAGAACUUAUGGUAUAUGCAAUCAUCUACUAAAUUCAUAUCAAAAUCAAAUGAGAUGAUCACUUGAUGAAAUUUGAAAUAUCAUUGUCGAGACGCUUGUUUGAGCCCAUAGAUGAAUUUUUUAAGUUUGCAAACCAUAUUCUUUGGAUCUCCUGACACAAAGUUUUCUGGUUGCACCAUAUAAAUCGUCUCAUCAAUGUUACCAUUGAGAAACGCUGUCUUUACAUCCAUCUAAUGUAACUCAAGGUCGAAAUGCGCCACUAGUGCCAUGAUAAUUCUAAAAGAGUCCUUUGAAGAGACCGGAGAGAAAGUUUCUUUAUAGUCGAUACCUUCUUUUUGUGUAAAUCUCUUAGCGACAAGACGAGUUUUGUAUCUUUCCACAUUGUCUUUCGAAUCCCUUUUGAUUUUAAAUAUCCAUUUACAACCAAUGGGUUUCGCACCUUCUGGCAAUGGGACAAAAUCCCAAACAUCAUUGUCCUUCAUGGAUUUAAUCUCCUUAUUCAUGGCAUCGAUUCACUUUUGAGAAUUUGAACUUUUCAUGGCUUGACGGAAGUUGAUUGGAUCAUCUUCCAUCAAUCCAAGUCAUCCUCAUGUUCUUGGAGAAAAACAAUAUAAUCAUCUGGCACUGCACUUCUCCUUUCUCUAGUGGAUCGUCUUAAUGGCACUGGUUCUUGGAGAGAAAGAGUUUGUUCUUCUAUAACAAUUUGUUCUUCGACAUUGUCUUGAUUUGUUAUGUCAUGAUCUUAUUCAGGAAUAGGAUCCAAAACAAGAUCAAUGACACCUGUGGGAAUAUUAAUAUAUUUCUCUUUAAAGACAAUGUCCCUUACUGUAUUUUCUCCCCCAAACUCGACAUCCUCAAAGAACCGAGCAUUUCAUGUCUCAAAAAUUGAUUUGGAUGUGGGAUCAUAAAACUUGUAACCUCUGGAUCUUUCAGAGUAUCCAAUAAAAUAACAACUAAUCGUUCUUGAGUCCAGUUUCUUUUCAUUAGGCCUGUAAGGCCUUGCCUCAACUGGACACCCCCAAACAUGCAUAUGCUUUAAACUGGGCUUUUUCCCUGUCCAAAUCUCAUAAGGGGUUUUGAUAGUUGCUUUAGUUGGAACUCUAUUAAGAAUAUAUGCUGCAGUCUUAAGUGUUUCACCCCAAAAUGACUCCGGUAAGAUAGAAUGACAUAUCAUAUUCCUUACCAUAUCUUUAAGCGUUCUAUUUCGUCUUUCAUCUACACCAUUCAUAGUGGGUGAACCCGACAUAGUGUACUGUGGGACGAUACCGCAUUCCUCUAGGUAUUUAGCAAAUGGUCCUGGACGUUGUUCACCUAAACCGUCAUAUCUACCAUAGUAUUCACCACCACGGUCAGAUCUGACGCUUUUAAUUCUUUUGUUGAGUUGAUUCUCAAUUUCAACUUUAAAAUUUUUGAACACGUCCAGUGACUGUAUUUUUUCUGAAAUGAGAUAUAUGUAGCCAUAUCUUGAAAAAUCAUCUACGAACGUUAUAAAAUAUUGUUGACCAUUCCAAGCAGAUGUAGAAAAUGGUCCACAAAUAUCCGUAUGUAUAAGUUCUAAGACGUCUGAAGACCUAUUGGUUUCAAAUCUCCUUUGAUUGGUUUGUUUCCCCUUUAUACAGUUAAUACAAUCGUUAAAAUCUGUAAAAUUCAAGGGGUCGAGAAUUUCAUUUGACACAAACCUUUCCAUUCUCCGUUUGGAAAUAUGUCCCAAUCUCUUAUGCCAUAAUACAGCUGAAUUCUCAUUGACUAAUUUUCUUUUAACUCCUUUAGCACUCAAAUGCAGAGAUUCAUUAAAUGAGACAAUCGUAUCAAUUAAAUAUAGAUUAUCGUAAUGCAUUAAAGAACCAAAACCAACCAAUUUGGAAUCAUGAAACAAUUCAAAUUUUUCAUUUUCAAAUGAACAAAAAUAAUCAAAUUUGUACAAAGCAGAAAUAGAAAUUAAAUUCCGUCUAAAAGACGGUACAACAAAUGUCUCAUAGAGAUCCAAAUAAAAUCCGAUUUUUAACAAUAAUCUAAAAACUCCAAUUGCCUCAACUUGAACUGUUUUGUCAUCGCCCACAUAGAUAUAUCUUUCAUUAUCAUUAGACUUUCGGCAAUUCAGGCAACCCUGCAUAGACACACUGAUGUGAGUUGUUGCACCAGAAUCUAACCACUAUGUGUGUCUAGGUACCGAAGUUAAAUUAACUUCAGAACAAACCAAAUUAAGAAGCAUAUCUUUCUUAGCACGCCAAACGUGAUAGUUGGUGCAAUGCUUCUUUUGAUGCCCUUCAGCUCCACAGAAGAAACAACUAUUUUUUCCCUGAUCAUUUGAUUUCUUUUGUUGUUUCUUUUGUGGCGCUGUACCUGCAGCUCCUUUUUCCUUCUUUCCUACUUUUAUUAUUAGUGGUUGACACCAGAUGGACACUUUCUGUCUGCUCUUACUUCAACCUUUCCUCUUCCUCUACACAGUGUGAGAUGAGUUCAUUUAAAGAUCAAGUCUCCUUUUGACAGUUGUAACUCACCUUAAACUGACUAAAUUGUGUAGGAAGAGAUAUUAAAAUCAAAUGCACUAGUAACUCUUCAGAGAGUUUCAACUUAAGUGCAUUUAAUUUCGAAACAAAAUGAGACAUCUCCAUGAUAUACUCUCUGAUGUUGCCUUUACCACUAUAUUUCAUUGAAACUAGGCGUGUCAAGAGCGUACUAACUUCAGCCUUUUCGUUCUUGACAAAUCCUUUUUCAAUGUCUUGAAGGAACUCUUUAGCAGUUACAGUCGUUUCUGGCAUUGUUCCUCUGAAUGCUUCUGGAACGGCCUUUUUAAUGAUCAUCAGACACAAGCGAUUUGAUCUCUCCCACCUCUCAUUAUUUUUCUUUUCAUCAGAGGUACUCUGGUCUGUAAGAGGUGGGGGAGAAUCAAUCCUUAACGCAAGAUCGAGAUCCAUUACUUCAAGUACUAUCAAGAGAUUUUCUUUCCAAGACUUGAAAUUUAUGUCAUUCAACAUAGGAAUAUUAUUGAUGUUGGAAGUAAUAUUUGUAAGAUCAUUCGCAAUUGAACAGAAAACAUAAAAUAAUUAAAACUAUACUCACAUAAACCAAAAUAAUAAUAAAUUUAAAUAAUGGUAACCCCAUCUCAAGAUACCGAUAUUCCAUUAAUAUUUUAUCUUUGGACAAAACAUUAACUUCUAAGUGAUAUCUUGGCGUAGUAAUAAACACUGACAAUAAUAACAUGUCAAAAAAUAAAUUUUCCUUUGGGCCAAUUUAUAAUUCACAUGUAAGAAACCGAAUAAUCAUCACAUGUUUAUUACCACAAGUGAACAAGUAAUUUCAUUAAAUAUUGACCUUCCUUUGGACCGAUCAAUAUUCAUAAAAUUACUAGUACCCAACUAAUUAUAUUUUAAAAUAAAUUAACUUCCAUAAUAGAGGUCACUUUGGUGGCAUAUUAUUUCAAUUAAUUUAUUCUAAAAUAUAUAUAAUCAUACCAAUAUUUAAAUUUAAAAAUUAUCCAAAUUAAAUAAAAUUUUGAUCAAAGUCAACUUUGGUCAAAACAUGGUCAAACAUGGUCAAAUCAAUCAAAUUAAAUCAUGAUCUAUUGGACCAAAGGUCCAUACCUAUAAUUUGACCCAAAAUUAACAGUCAAGUCCAAAAAUUUCUUAAAAUCCAUAAGUACUUUAUAAAAGUUACAUAUUUAAUGGGCCACACAUAUGAAUUUUAUAGGGCUUAAAUGUCCUAUUUAACUUUAUUAGGGUUUACUUAAAUUAAAGAAAACCCUAAUUUCCUUAACAUACAAAUAUAUGUGUAUUGGCUCUUAAAUAGAAGACAAAUCAAAGAAAAUUGAAGUUUUAACCGAAUCAACCGAUAAACAUGCAAAUUGAAGUCCAGAUCUUCGUAUAAGGUUUUGUCUCAAAUUUGGUUAUACACAAAAAAAUUUGACUAAUCAAUCCAUCGCAAUACAUCCAACAAAAGCCUAGAUACGGCGGAAUCCACAUAAAUACAAACUUGAUUCAAUGGUCAAAGCACAAAACAAUGAAUCAUCAGUCAACCUGUGAAUUGGCAUCAUAACAAAGUAUAUAGAUGUCUAAUAAUUCAUAGGGCCUACUGGAUUGAAUGUUGACUCAAUACAUGGAUCGGCCAACUACGCAUCUUAAUUCAAUACUCAUGAAUUAAUUAUGCUUGACUACGGUAGGGACCACAUAUUCAUAUGUAAUACAAAAACCAGUGAAUCAUGAAAUCCGAAGCAUCAAACCAAAACAUAAAGUCGCACCGUUACAAAAUCAUGACAUGAACAAGAAACCAAUUAGUGAACAGUUGGCCAUCACCAAGAAGUUUAUUGUUUAGCUGACAACCAUAUAACCGAAACCCAAUUCGUGAGACAUAAAUAUAUAUAUACAAAUUAUUGAAUCCAAUGUAUUUCUCGAUAAUCAACCAUAUGGGUUCUGAUACCACUUGUUAGGGUGGUUAUCUAAAUCUAACCACUGGUGAAAACCAUCACCUUUAUACCCAAGAUCUAUAUGGCGAUUAUUAAGAAAUACAUUAACUGUAAAAUAGCGGAAGCGUACCUGAAUCCAUAUUAAUAAACUUGAUACUUGAAUCCCUAGAGAUUUUGGGUGGCCUUCCAGGUCAACAGGUAUUUACCGAUCCUUUGAAAGAGGCCUUUAGUUUCUCUCUGGUAUCUUUCCUGACGAUGGGAUAUCAGGGAAGAGCUAUUUUGUGGUAUUAGGAAAUACGACAACUAAAAACGAUACCUGUGACUUGGGGACCAUAACCCUAUUUAUAGGCAACAUUCCUGUUACCUUUUGGAGCCUUAUUUCAGCCCAUCAUUGAAAUAGGAGCCCAUAAGUUUCUACACAUUAAAGGGCCCACAUCCUAUUAAAUACAUUAAACCCAAACUAUAUUUGAUCACUUUAAUUGGAUUUAACCUUAAUUGACAGUUUGCAAUACAUAAUUAUUCACAUAUAAGUCCAAUGUUGGAUUAAGGAUCCAACACAUGGGUUUCGUAAGUUGAGUUUUGUCCAAUUUUUGCUUGCUUGAUAUAAUAUUAAUUGUGAAUUUAUUUGUACCAGUUGACAAAUAACAAUUAUCAUGAAAUUAUGUUAGUUUACAGCAUAUAUUGUAAGAAUUACAUUAAUUGGACAAAAAUCAAUUGGAGAAGUUGUAGACUCUUUCUCUCUCCCUCGUAUAUUUGGGAGUAUUACAUUUACUUUUUUGAAAUGUAAUUAAUCAUUCCAGGUGAUGUAUUACGAAUUUCAUUAUGCAUGACAGGUUGCUGCUUGUAAGAAAGGUACUUCAAUUUUAUUGAACAUGAUUCACUAUCUCAUGAAUCACUGAUAUACUACAAAGUUAUGUCCCACCCCCGCGGAAACCGAAAUACAUACUAAAAAGGGCAUAUAUUAUACCCAUUAUUUAGUGCUCCCAUAGAGUACUAUAUCUUGUAAACUCCUUUACCAACUGGUUCACAAUACUCUUCAGUUCCAUCAGUAAAGUGAAGAGUGCAGCCUUCCGACAAGCAGCAAUUGGUGCAGUCUGUGUAGAUCUUCUCUCCAUCACAGUCCACGUACUCGAUCCCCAAUAUGCAAUAUUGUGGGCAAACAGGCCCAGGCCCAGGCCUGACAGCCUUGACUUCAACAUUUGCCCCCAGAAGAAUCAUUCCUGUUGUCAGUACCAAAAUCAUUUUAAAUCAUAUGCAAACCAAAUCUUUUAAGAGGGGUGAAUGUACAGAUAUUUUGAAAAAUUGUCCUAAUAAUUUUUGAGAGAAGCUCGAAACUUCAUAUGUAUAUAUAUGUAUGUAUAUAUAUGUAUGUAUAUAUAUAUAUGUUAGAAACAGGACACACAGAUAUAGACCAAUUAAUAAGUAAGUUAGAAAAACUAGAAAUUUUUGGAGAAAAUCCAACCAUUCAUUAGAAAAAAGAUAAAAUAGAAUAUAAGUUAGAAAUUUUAAACCCAAAUUUAAAAAUUAGUACAGCAAAAAUAGAAGCUAGUAAUGAAGACAUAAAAGAAUUUGAAAUGCAUAUAGGAGAUUUAAAUAAAUUAAAAAUAAUCAGAAGAAGUACCAGUUCACAUAGAAGUGUAGCAUUCAUAGUUAGAAAACAUAGUGAAAUUGAUAUAUAUAUGUAUAUAUAUAUGUGUAUAUAUAUAUGUAUGUAUAUAUAUAUAUAUAUGUAGAUGGGAUGAGUACUUCUCUUUUUAUUUUUUGAAACUGCCGCAACAGUUUAACUGGUAUACAAAAGAAUAAAAUUGUACAUACCACAAAAAAGAAUAGCCAUUGCACCAAUCUUGUUGAUUGCCAUGAUUCCUUCUCUCUGUCUUCCAAAAGUUUGCCUUCUGAUUUGAAAUCGCUUGGGCUUUUAGAUAGGUUCUUAUAUAGACUGAGAAGAGUAAAGAGUGAGAGGUGAUCGUGCUAUCAGGUGCAAUCAUUGUGCUCAUUGUGCUUCCGUAGAGUUGUGGGCCAAGUCCAUCCUCAAUUAUUGUGCGUCAGGGUCCCUCUAAAAUUAUUUUAAUGUGUUUGGAUAUUGAAAGAAUUGGGAGCUUACAUUGGAAUGGGGAUUUGACCAGCGUUGCUUUGUUGAUCGUUGGGUAGUAAAUGUGUCUAUCUUUUACUAAACUUCUGGCUUGCCUAGCCACCGUUAGAAAAGUCUACAUUUAGUUCACUGAACAAAACAAUUUAAUAAUAAUUUCAUCCACAUUAUCCAAGAUAAUACAAGAAGCUACCUAAUUUCUAGACAUCCUCACGCGUGGCAUGAGGCACUUAUCAAUUGGUCAAGAAUAUAAUUCAUGCCCGCCACCUUCUCCCAGAUUGGUUUGGUCCAAGACAAUUCAGAUGAAGGAUUUGUCGAAAGUCAUUGGUGACUUUGUUGACAAAAGAUCACAAUGAGCCAUAGCAUUUAGGGAGAAAACUAUACAAAUUUGUUGACAAAAGGCCACAAUCGGCCAUAGCAAUUAGUGCGAAAACAUUUACUUGUAUACAGAUAGUACUAACUACACUGACAUGGAAGAACGGACAAAUUGCCGAAGUCCAAUUUUCCAGCUCGAGCGUGACAUUUGUGGACGGCCAAUCGUGCUUGUGUCUUGAGCCAAAUCUACACGUGAUUUUCGCACUAAUUGCUAUCGGGGAGUUGACAUAGUUUUCUUAAAUUUGAGGAUUCCUACGUCUUCAAUUAGGUCGGAGUGUUGCUCAAUGAAUCUAGCAUUGUAUUUGUAAGUAUAGUGUUUGGUAUCUCGCUGAAAAGUUGUAGUAGCUGGUGUUAUGGCUCCAAAUUGUGUGACUAAAUAGUACUUGUAUAGUUUUUGUCUUUGUGGAGUAAUUCUAGUAGUAAUUGUCCAUGAAAUGAAUGGAUCACAGUCCAUGGCAGUGCACAGUGUAUUUGUUGCUAAUCUGCUUCAUUUAUGAUGAAGUAAUGUUCAUGAUAUUUGAGGAAUGUUUUGUGUAUAGAAUAUAGUGAAAUUACUGUGCAUGUAUAAGCUGGACGAUAGUAGCAUGAAAUUUGAAUAGUAAUUAGAGGGAAAAUGAGAAAAGUAAUUGUUAUUAGUUUGUGAACAGGGAAAUGGGAUUUAAUGGGUAAUUGAGGAAGAAAUAAAGGAUCAAGAACUAAGGAAAAUGUGUGUUAGCAAAUAUAGAGGUUUAAGUGGGAUGAUUAGCAUAGAAAUUUGUGGAAAAUCAUUAAAAUGGUAUUUAUAUCACUAAGUGCUGUAGAAAACUAUUAAAAAAUUUCAAGUAAUUAAAUGUAUAAUCAUUGACUCGAAAAUGUUCUAUAUAGGGUGUACUAUUUUAGGCCUAACAAGAGAAACGGAAAAAUGAUUUUGGAAUCUUUCUGUAUUUGUGAAGAAUUGGAGAUGAAGUGAGUGAUGGCCAAAAUUGUGGAGUUUCAGUACGGUGAUAUAUUGUGAAAUUAAUUGCAUAAAUAAUUAAGCAAAUUUUGUGGUGGAUUUAUGUUGUUGAUGUCUUUGGUUACAGGCACUAAGAUGUAUCAUAUGAAAGUCUAAAAUCUUUUUCUCAAGAAUAAUAGCUGUAAAUGGCCGAAACAAGUAAAUAGAUGGUGCAUGAUUUUUGUAAUAAUGAUGAGAUUUAGUAUUUAGGUUAGCGUUUUUUAAAGGAUUGUGAAUAUAAAUUGUGGUAAUUUUCACGAAGCAAAUAUCAAGAAAAGUUUGGAAACUGACCCGGUAAAAAGUGGAAGAAGCGUAGUCUUCUGUGUGAAGCUGUGCAAGUGGCUGAAGCUGUAAGUGGCCAAAAGUUGGAGAAGAAAGGUGCAGUAAAUUCUCUGAUGUGGUUGAUUCUUUGCUGGUAAAAUGGUGCUAGACCGAUGGUAAGCUUUUUGUCGUAAAGUGGUGGAUCUUGUGGCAGAGUUAAUGGCAUUUAUAGGGGAUAGUAAGUGCGGUAAUGUAGGGUCGGUAUUUGUUGCAUGUAAAUGUCUACAUAUGUGUUGGGCUUGGGCAAUGUAUUUUGUACAUUAAUUACAAUUGCCAAUUGACGAAAAUAGCUUCCACAUCCAAUAAUAAUUGCGACGUAAUCACUUGACCAAAAAUCACUAUUCAUAAUCCAAACUCCCUCUUUUAUAUUGUUAGAUAUUCAGGCAUCUAGACGCUAAAAUAGACGAGGAAAAAUGGUGCUACAUGUUUGGCACCUUACUAAAAUAAAUGGGAUUCAUUUCAUCGGUUGUUGUUGUUAGGGAGAAACGCCUCGAGAGUGUUCAUCAAAUAAUCCAAUAUGUAAGUUAGGAAUCCAAUUUUGAUCCAAAAACUUAAACUAUUAGGUUUCGAACCCUUACUUACAUAUUAAGUGCUCUUUCUCCAUCUUUCGAACCAAUGUGAGACAUAAUCCUUUACUCAUGAAUCUAACAAAUCUUUCCCUUCAUGAGUAACCCCUCACAUUAAACCCAAGUUUAAUGGCUCUUCUCUGAACUCACAUUAAUACUCAACGCAAACCCACCUUAACACCAAAGGCCACCUUUUCUUCUAAUCAUGGACCCACUAUUCUUCAAUAUCCAAAAUGGAUUCUGAACCCCUACCAAACUCCUUAGCACUUCGAUCUACCACCAAGAAUAGAAUUUUCACCGGUUCAAUUCCGAAAAUAAUCCACUUGCCUAUGAGUAGCUCAAUCUAGUAACUUGAAACUCUAAUACCACUUGUAGACACCAAAUUGUUGUCAAUUUUUAAUAUUUUCUUGAAUUUUUAUCUAUUUGAUAAGUUAUUUAUUUUUUUUACAUUUUAAUGUGUAAUUUUCACAUUUUUGCAGGUUUAUCUCCAAAAAAAAAAAAGAAAAAAGAAAAACAAACAAACAAAACUUCAACCAAGGGAUUGCCACCUACAUUCAGGUAAUUUUUUUUAGUUUUGUUUAGCACAUUAAAUCCAUGCUUCAUGGUUUAAUCUUCUUUUGCUUUUGCUGGUUUCCUUGGUUGUUGGGUUGCUGAGUUUUUGGGACAAGUCAUGCACAGAAUUAAGGAAAAAGAAAUGAGCCCAUGAAUGCAUGUCAAGUGCUUGUGAAAAUGCCAUGGAAAAAACGAAUUGUAGGGGCGGUUUUGCUUUAUUCUAGCCUUUUUAUGUUGUUUUCUUGUCAAAUUAAAAUCAUAGUUGUAAUGUAGAAGUUGCAAGGAGUGUUGUAGUAUAAAUUUUAUGUUUUUUGGUGAAGAUUUGAGGGUUUAAAAAUAAGUAAAACCGCGGCUGUUUUUGGGCAUUUUGGCCACCUUCGGGUCUUUUUUUGUAAAAAGUAACUCCGGAAAUGAAAUCUACGCGAAAAAUCGAGUGAGAGGGUGAAAUUUGGUGACCGGAGAGGUCGCCGGCGGCGGUCCCGUGGUGGCGGUGCCACCGGCAGCUGCCAUAGCUGCCACAGGGAGAAGCUUUAGUUUUCUCGGUAGAGAAGAAGGGGAGGAAGAAGAAGAGAAGGAAAAAGAAAAGAGAGAAGAAAAAGGAAAGAGAGGAAAAAAAAGAAGAAAAGGAAAAUGGGUUGGGCUAAAUUUAUUGAUUUAUUUUUAGUGGGCUUGUUUCUUCUUUUCGGUUGAGCUAAAAGCUCAGAUCCAUGCUUUAUUUUUGGUUGGGUUUGAGUGAUAAAAGGGGGCUGGCCUGGGUAUUUUGGCUUGAACUUUCGUUUGGGCCUGGUGGCCUUUGGCCCGAAAAAAAUAGAGAAUGGCCCAGUGGCCUGUUUUCUUAAGAAGAUCUGCUAGCGAAUUUGCACUUUAGCUCCUGAUCUUUGGAGUAGUCUCACUGCGGUCCAGAGCAUUUUAAAUUUCUUCCACUUAGGUCCUUAAAUUAAUUUCACUUUGGUCCCUGUAUUUUAUCUUUCAUUUAAUUUUGACCCCUGAACUUUGAAAAAAUAUAUUUUUUAUCCCUAAAAGUUUUGAAUUUUUGCAAUUCAGUCCCUAGUGAAUUUUGACUCUCUUUAUUAUGAUUGCUUCUUUUUUUUAACAGCUAAUUAUGUUACUUUUGAGUAUGUUUAACUUGUAAUUUUUAGAUGUUCUUAAAUUUAUUUACGUUUGACAUGUUAAGGUGAAUUUAGUAUUUUCAUUAUUAUUAUUAUUAUUAUUAUUAUUCAAUUAAAUUGGUGCCAUGAUUCUUUUGUUCAUUUUGAGUAUAAAUAUGGCAAUUUGACUCCAUUUAGUCACCACUUCAAAAGGGAGGUACCCCUAUUAUUAUUUCAAUAUCAAUUAAAUGCUUUUAUGUGCUCCUACAUGUUCCUAUGCGUUUAUAUAUUUUUAUAUGCUUUAUUUAUUUGAUUUAAAUAUUCAUCCAAAUUUUCUUAUAUUUGCUUAAUUAAUUUUUAUAAUUAUUUGAGAGGCAUUUAAAUACCUCAAAAAUGUAAUAGAUAAGAUAAUUAGAUUUGUUUUAUUAUAUUUUCCCCUUUUAGAUUGUAAUUAGAUUUAUAUUUUCCCCUGUUGUAAUAGAUAAGGUAGAUAGGAUUUUCUUUAUUUCCCCAUUUUAGAUUGUAGUUAGGCUCCCUACUGUAAUAGAUAGGUUGGGUGUUUAUGUGGUUUAUGUGUUAUAUGUUUUGUUUUAUCCGCUUUCCUUGGGAUUUUUGCAUCUAGAUAUUAUGCUUAUGUGUUACGUGUUACAUGCGUUUAUGUGUUUAUUUGUUUUAAUUUAUGCCUUAUUUAUUUUACUAUGUAUUAUUAAUGCAUGACGUCACCACACUAGUCCAACGCUAGUUGUGGCUUCUCCCUCCGCUUACUUGCUAGUUCAACGCUAGUAAGGAUUUUUAGAAAUGAGCUAGUUCAACGCUAGACCCUUAGAACGUUCGUGCGUUAGAUUCAUUUUUGUGUGAUAUUCACUACAUUGUCAUACAUAUUUCUUAUUUCUAGGAUUUUUUCUCAUUUGCAUGAUAUUCUUUAUUAUAUUAUCCUAUACCCCCUACCCUCUAUAUGUGUUAAUCAUAUCAUUUAGAAUUGCAUUUCACUUGGGAAAUUGUAAAAUAAGUUAGCUCAUUUGCUUGUUCAUAUUAGGAGAAUUAUUAUUCAAACAUGGGAAAUGAGUUAUUAUAACUUUUUAGUUUAAAUAUCCCAUUAAUCCAUGUAUAAGAAAAUUAUGUCACGAGUUUUUGCCUAUCGUACCCUUUAUGUUGCAUUCCCUUUUUCUUUGAUCACUUAUAUCUAUGUGUAUAAUUUAAUUUAAUUUCUUUUCUUUUAAUUUCAUCAUUUGCAUACUGGUGACACUUUCAAUGAAUCAUUUUGGCCUUCGCAAUUAAUGCGAUUGGUUCAAUUAUACCCUUGAAUGAACAUUUUGUUCCUUUCGAUAUUUUUAUUUUUGUACCCAUGUAGGAAACAUCCAAACAUGAUAAAAUUAAGUGUUAGAUUAGGAAAAUUUUGACUAAAUCUCGCAACUAGCUUAGAUUAGAUUGAAAGGGUGUCUUAGAUUUGAGUUAAUCGAACCUUUGCCUUCCCUUUCUUCAACCGUGAUUCCCGAACUCAUUUUCUCUUGUUUUUUCGAAAACCUGGAGUUGUCGAAAAGGGUUUUAUUUUAUUUUAUUUUGUCAAAAAAAAUACUUUUGGGUGACUUGGUACACCAAAACUCAAUAACAAGUGGCGACUCCUAUUUUGCUUAAAAACCCUUUUAGACUAAAUUUUGGACCCAAAUUGUCGCAUCUUUUAAAAUCUCAUUUUAGGUCCUUUUUCACCUAUUUUAAAUAAAAUCACAUCUUUUAUAAACUCCUUUCUUAUUUUCCAUCGCGAAAAAUGGGGCGCGACAACUUGGCGACUCCACUGGGGAUCGCUAGAGAGUCCGAGCACUUGGCUUAGUGUCUUUUCUCUUUCUAACCAUUUUAUUUAUCAUAUUUGGAUGUUUUAGGUUGCAUUUUUCUUACUUAGGAUGUUUUGCAUUUCACACUCGUAUUCGUUCAUCAUUCCUCGUGUAUGUGAUAAAUGGUUUAUUUAUUUACUUUUGUUUAUUUGCUUAUUCGUAUCGCGUUUUGCAUUUGGGGUGGGGAAUAUUACCUUAGAGCCUUCACGUGCAUUUAAUGUUAAUCCCUCCACUCAAAGGAACAUUUCAUACGUGCAUACGUUAUUACCUUUAACCCUUUAUUUUAUUUUUCUUUUAGUGGUUGUCACACCACUCCUCCUUGUUAGGAUUAGGAUCGAUUCACUUGGACAUGUGACCGUGGCACGACGUGCACGUAGCAAUGUUUGGGGGAUCACUCGAGCCACCGACCAAAGGCUUUGGGAUUGAUGACCCUUCGCCUCUUGGUCUAAAGGUUUGGGAACUGUAGACACCAAAUUUUUGUUAAUUUUUAAUAUUUUCCUGAAUUUUUAUCUAUGUGAUAAGUUAUUUAUUUUUUUACAUUUUUAUGUGUAAUUUUCUCAUUUUUUACAGGUUUAUUUUAGGAAAAGAAAAAAAAAACAAACAAAAACAAAACAAAACAAAAAAAGAAUAAAAUAGCAACAAAAAGAAAAAAAAAGGAGAAAAUCAAAUCACCCUAAUCAUUUUUUUUUCACCAAAUGCACUUAACCCAUUUCACACUCAAUGGCCAUGGACCUUUCUUUUCAUUAGAAAAAAAUCAUCAUUUUGGUCAAUCAAGCAUACAACCUAACACUUUUUCUCCCAUAUACAUCUCUCGGCUCUCUCUUGAAACAAAGGGGGGAAAAACACAUAAGAGAAAAGGGAGGCUCUCGGCUCUCUCUCUGGUCUCAACCGAAAAGAAGAAAAAAAAAAAAGAAAAACUCCUCUCUUCCUCUCGGCUCUCCUCUCCCCCAAUAUUUUUCCAACACAUUUGCACACAAGGCAGUAACCGGUUGGAUUGGAGCAGGGCAAUUUCAUCCAAAACCUUGGCAAAGGGACCAAACUCUUCAUUGAGGUAUUUCUCUCUCUUUUUUUCAGCUUUUCUUUUUUUAAUUAACUAGAUUGAAUGUAUGUGUGGUUACUUUUUUGGUUGUUUUUAUUUUGCUGGUUUUUGUUAGUAUUGUAUGGAUGAAAAUUUGGGAAAUAGCUUGAGCUAGAUUAGAGAAAAGGGAGAUAAAUUUUGUAUAUGCAUGUUAGGUGUUUGAAAAAAUGCCUAAAUCAAAAACCGAAUUAAAGUACCCAUUAUUGUGCAUUUUGUUUGUUAAAAUAGAUGAUUAUGGUUAGUGCAAGGCCUGAAAACGUGAUGUUGCUCAAACAUUUUGGGAGUUUGAACUUUAGAAGCAUGUGAAUAAUUUUUCUUCAUUUUGGACUGUUUUAUUUUAAUUUUGUCACAUUUGUUGUUGCUUUUAUUGAUUUCAGUUCAUAGUUAGGUUGUAAAAAUCACAAGGAGUGUUGUAGUAUAUUUUUUUAUAAUUUUUAGUGAAAGAUAUGGUGAUUUGGAAAAAAUAAAAACUGAUCUGUCUUUUGCUUUUUGGCCACUUUAGGGUCAAUUUUUAUUAAAACUAAACCCAAAAAUGAAAUCUACGCGAAAAAUCGAGUGAGGGUGUAUUUUGAGAAAUUUUGGCGACCGGAAAGAUUGCCGGCGACCGCCAUAGCCGCCAGCCAGAAGGGAGCUUCAGCUCCUCGGUAGAGCCGGAUGGCCGUGGCCCAAAGAAGAAAUAGAGAAUGGCCCAGUGGCCUGUUUUUCUUAAGAAGGUCUGCUAGUGAAAUUUUCACUUUAGCCCCUGAUUUUUGGAGUAGUUUCACUUCGGCCCAGAACAUUUUAAAUUUGUUUCACUUAGGUCCUUAAAUUAAUUGCAUUAUAGUCCUUAAACUUUAUCUUUUAUUUAAUUUUGACCCCUUAACUUUUGCAAAAUUAUAUUGUUGUCCCCAAAAGUUUUUCAAUUUUUGCAGUUCAGUCCCUGAUGAAUUUUGACUCUCUUUAUUAUGAUUGUUUCUUUUCUUUAAUAGCUAAUUAUGCUACUUUUGAAUAUACUUAACUUGUAAUUUUUAGAUGUUCUUAAAUUUCUUUAUGUUUGACAUAUUAGUGUGAAUUUAGUAUUUUUGUUAUUAUAUUUUUCAAUUAAAUUGGUACCAUAAUUCUUUUGUUCAUUUUGAGUAUAAAGAGGGCUAUUCGACUCCAUUUAAUCAUCACUUCAAAAGGGAGGUACCCCUAUUAUUAUUUAAGUGUCAAUUACAUGCUUUUAUGUGCUCAUACGUGCUCUUAUGUGUUUAUAUAUUUUUAUAUGUUUUGUUAUUUAUUUGAUUUAAAUGUUUAUUCCAAUUCGCUUAUGUUUUUUUUAGUUAAUUCUUAUAAUUAUUUGAGAGGCAUUUAAUUAUCUCAAAAAUGUAAUAGAUAGGAUAACUAGAUUUGUUUUAUUUUAUCUUCCCCUUUUAGAUUUGUAAUUAGGUCCCCCAUUGUAAUAGAUAGAAUAUAUAGGUUUUAUUUUUUCAUAUUUUUCCAUUUUAGAUUGUAGUUAGAUUCCCCGUUGUAAUAGGUAGGUUUUGUGUGUUUAUGUGGCUUAUGUGUUAUAUGUUUACCCGCUUUCCUUAGGAUUUUGCAUCUAAAUAUUAUGUUUACGCGUUAUGUGCUACGUGCUCUUAUGUAUUUAUUUGUUUUAAUUUAUGCUUUAUUUGUUUUACUAUGAAUUAUUAAUGCAUGACGUCACCACACUAGUCCAACGCUAGUUGUGGCUUCUCCUUCCACUUACUUGCUAGUCCAACGCUAGCAAGGAUUUUUAGAAAUGGGGUAGUCCAAUGCUAGACCCUUUAGGUCGUCUUGCGUUAGAUUCAUCUUUGUGUGAUAUUAAUUACAUUUUCAUGCAUAUUUUCAUUUUUAGGAUCUUUUCCCAUUUGCAUGAUAUUCCCUAUUAUAUUAUCCACUAUCCUCUAUAUGUGUUAAUCAUAUUACUUAGAAUUGCAUCUCAUUUAAGAAAUUGUAUAAUAAGUUAGUUCAUUUGCUUGUUCAUAUUAGGAGAAUUAUUCUUUGAACAUAGGAAAUGGGUGAUUAUAACUCUUUAGUUUAAAUACCCCAUUAAUCCCUAUAUAAGAAAAUUAUGUCACGAGUUUUUGUAUCCCGUAUCCAUUAUGUUGCAUUCCCUUUUUCUUUGAUCACUUAUAUCUAUGUAUAUAAUUUAAUUUCUUUUCUUUUCUUUUAAUUUCAUCAUUUGCAUACUCGUGACACUUUCAAGGAAUCAUUUUGGCUUUCGCAAUUAAUGCGAUUGGUUCAAUUAAACCCUUGAAUGAACAUUUUGUCCCUUUCGAUAUUUUUAUAAAUUUAGAUUUGCAUCCAUGUAGGAAACAUCCAAACGUGAUAAAAUUAAGGGUUAGAAUAGGAAAAUUUUGACUAAACCUAGCAACUAGCUUAGACUAGGUUGAAAGGGUGCCUUAGAUUUGAGUUAAUCGAACCUUCGCCUUCCCUUUCUUCAACCGUGACUCCUGAACCCAUUUUCUCUUUUUUUUCAAAGACCUGGAGUUGUCAAAAAGGGUUUUGUUUUAUUUUAUUUUUGUCAAAAAAUAUUUUUUAGGGUGACUUGGUACACCCAAACUCAAUACCAAGUGUCGACUUCUCUUUUUCUUAAAAAUCCUUUUAGACUAAAUUUUGGACCCAAAUUAUCGCAUUUUUUAAAGUCCCAUUCUAGGUCCUUUUUCACUUAUUUUUAAAUAAAAUGACAUCUUUUAUAAACACCCAUUUUAUUUUUUCAUCGCGAAAAAUGGGGCGCGACAGGAACCUGAAACCUUAUCGAGUCUAAAUGUAUUAGUAAACCCAACCCCAUGCAUUCAUAUUAGAAGUUACUUAGGAUAGAGUCAAUCUUAUCCGAUUAGUAACACUAGACACGAGGGGAGGGAUUUCACCCUUCUUUCUUUGCUUUCUUUAUAUGCCAUUCUUGUAUCAUUUAUUGUUCCAACAUGCUAUGUGUUUUUUGUUGAACUAACCUUUUUUUGUUUUCUCUUUUUCUGUAUACACUAACCUUAGAAAUAAGAGUCCUGACGUGGUACUCGUUAAGGACAGACCACCUUUUGUAAAUAGCACGUCUAAAUUUCAGUCCAUCACAUAUAUACAUAUAUGCAUGUCAUUUUAGGCUUACCCGGCAUCUAGAUGAGGUACCCUUAGAUCAUGUUUCAAUUACCGUAUUGCAUAUUUACUCACUUUAAUAAACUGACAUCAUGCAUUAAUUUUAGAAGGAAUGCCGCAUAGGGAAUCCCACGUUAGGAAUAAACUACUUUGUGUCUCGGAUAUAUAAUCCAAUGAGAUUUGUACGUUUAUAUUUUUGUACCAUCCAAAGGGGUAGUGCGCAAGGUAAGGUAGGAUCUGAUCCCUUCCACGAUGGCGACAUUGAGAAUGAUGGAAUAGUUUUUGCGCAUUAGAAUAUGAGUAUCUAAAAAUCAUUUUUUGGCCAUUUUGUCAAAAUUGGUAAAAUCCCUUGCAUAAAGAACAUUAAAUUGAAGAAAUUCACAAAUAAUUUUUUAUUGUUGAGAUGAUAAAUAUAUCGAUGUCAAAUUUUGAUUUUAGAAUGCUCAUAGACUAGUACAUAGCAACAAAAUUUGUGAAUUUUGAAACUACAAAUGGAGAAGCAAUCCAAUCGAUUUUUGAAUAAACAGUCAAUUCCAUCCAAUCCAUUUUAUUAAUUUAUUCAUUUUUAGGACAAUCCAGUCAAUUUUUGAACAAAUCGUCAUGUUCAUUCAAUCCAUUUUACUAGUUUAUUCAUUUUUAAGAUAAUUCAGUCAGUUUUCAAAUAAAUAGUCAAUUUCAUUUAAUUCAUUUGACCAAUUUAUUCAUUUUUAGGACAAUACAAUCAAUUAUGAAUAAAUAGUCAAUUCCAUUCAAUUCAUAAUUCAUUUAGUCAAUUUUUAUUUUUUGAAUAAAUUCUCAAUUUCAUCCAAUCCAUUUGAUCAGUCUUAUUCAUUUUUAGGAUAAUCCAGUCAAUUUUUGAACUAAUCAUCAAUUUCAUUCGAUUCAUUUAACCCGUUUAUUCUUUUUUAAAGUGUCGAUCUAUGGUUCACCGAAAGAAACUAGUCGAGACAUUUCAAUCCUUUCAAAAAAUAAGUUUUUCACACUAAAUUGAUUUUUAAUAUCACUUUAUGUGUCAAUCAAAGCAAUCAAUCCAUUCGGACUUUGUCUUUAUUUUGUUAUGACAAAUUGUCUCUUGUCACUCCAAUUAGUCAAAAUUUUCAAAAUUGUCUUUUAUUCGAAUUUCAAUAAGUCGAUCGGAUCCAUCAGGUAUUGUAUGGUAUCUACCCCUGAGGAUUGCAUUUUUCAUGUUAGGCCUACCCUUGGCAUAAAAGGGCCUCCCUAUAGGACAUGCAUGCUGAUUUCACAGUUUUGCUUACUAACUCUAGAUAUUUUUCUUUUAUUUUUUCCCCCUUCUCCACAUUUAUAAAAGAUGUUUCAAUAGGGUAAAAAAAUGUUUUGUUUAUAUAUGAUAAUAUUUUUGGUCUAUAAGUUUUGAAAAUUAUAGGUAUUAUUUGAUUCUUGGACAGAUCCUACAAUGUAAAAAAAAAAUGAAAAAUCUAUCUGAAAAUGCUAGUCUAAAGCAUCUCAAAAAUCUCUUGAUUUAUUGUUUCUAAUACAUUUUGUCUCAAAAGAUAGAAAAAGAAAGUAUAUAUAUAUAUAUAAAUGUAUUCUUUAGAGAUUUUUCUUUUCUUAUAUGUAUUAUAUUUUGAGUACAAAAAAAAAAUUUCAAACAUUUGAAUAAUAAAGUUUUUAUUUCGAUAAUUAUUGUUUUGUAUAUAUUCAUUCUUUAUUUGCUCAUUGGGAGAUUUCAUGAUGAAUUCUAAUAAAUACAACUAAAUUGAGAUUUUUCGACCUCUUGUUUGAAAAUUCAUGAAUGUAUGUCCAAUUUCCAAAUAUCUUUGUAUACACUAAAUUUGUGGUCUAAACUAUUCAUUGAGAGUAGUCGGAAACAAAAGGAGUCACUCAAAUUUGAUAGCUUGUUAUAACAGAUCAACCCCACCACUUUUCUUUUUCAUUUUUUUUGUUCACUUCUAUUGAACCUCCAAAGUCAGUCGCAUUGGUUGACUAGCUUCAAAGUGAGACAAUUUUUACUGUAAAAAUAUCCAUUGUGUCUAACCAGAUUCAAUCCACAUCUGAGUGAAAGCAAAAAUGUACAUUACUUCUUAUUUGUUUUGAAAAUUUGGAAUGAUACUUUAGGCUUUCGUUUCUCUAUCUAUACAGAUUUUAUCAAUUGUUCUCUCAUUUGAACCUUUACAAGUACAAUUUCGUUUCAAAUAAGAGCCUUAGUGAUCAUAAUUUUACAUGUCAAAAGGAAAUGGAUUUUCCGAAUUGGCUAUUAUUUACUUUGGUUGCCAUGAGAAGUAAGAAUGAUGCUUUGGCCAUUGCUUCUGCUAUCUAAACACUAUCAAUCCUUUGCAUCCUCGCUUGAGUCUAAAUUGGUGGUUUGUUUCAAAAGCACUUAUGAUUACACCCCCACACUAGGGAAGGAGAUUUGAGAAUUGAAAAAAAAAAUGGCAAAGAUGCUCAAAAUUUUUGAAAGGGACAUUAAAUAAAGAAAAAGAGUGAAAGAAAAAAAAAGAGAAAAAUUACAAGUUGGGGAAUUUGACUCUACCAUUGAUAUUUUGAUCUUCAAUAUCGGAAAGAAAGAGAGGCCAUCUAUACUCCAAAAUUAGGGAGUUUUCAAUUCUAUCAUGGGCAUUUGGGAUCUCAGCAUUGGGAAAAAAAAAAAAAGGAGAAACAAAGAAAAAAUGUGAAAAAAAUGAUGAAUGAUGAAAUGAAAAAAAAAUGCAAAGACAUCUAAUGCCGAAUUCCCUCUAGUGAUUGAUAAAACAAAAAAAAGAGUCAAAAUAGGGUCCCAGGUUUUAAGUCCAAAACUGGGGCAAUUUUUGGGAAAGAAUGUGAUCUUAAGUGCGUUGUCCUUGAAAAUUUUAUUUCUUUUAGCUAUCGUUGUCAAGUUACAUUACAAGCUCAUAAAGUCCAUUGCUGACUUAUCUUUCAUGACAAUUUGAAGUGAAAAUCUUGCCUCUAAGGAACCUACCAAUCACUCGUAAUCAUAAGGCCAUAACUUGUUUUCAUAUGUUUACCUAUCGUUUCUACUCAUACAUUACAAGCCCAUAGAGCUUAUAUGUUGACUGAAUUUUCUUAAGAAAUAAGGGUGAUAAACUAUUUGCUUUCACCAAGAUGUGAUAUUGAAUGUGUUAGAUACAAUCUGGGCACAAAAACAAGACAGAUCCUGACAUACUCCCUGAGCCACCUCAAAAUCAUGAGUAAUACCCAGUUGAUUGGUCCUAAAAAAUGAGCUAACAAGAAGGGGACCCUUUUCCCUGAACACCGAUCCCAAAAUAAGGAAGAGAUCUUUUGCAAUUUGGUCUUAUUUUGAGAGAUUUAUCAUGGAAUCUUCUAUAUGACUUCGGAUAUGACAUUUAAAUUCUUCAUUUGAAAAAUGUAGUUUCUAUUCACAUUGCAUGUGAUUAUUUUGCAAUUAAAAUAAGCCCAAAUUAGGGCAAAUUUUUUGUAAUAUAUUUGUGAGAUUUCACCAAAUAAGUUCAAAUUGAGGCAAAAAUUUUUAUAAUACAUUUGUAGGGUAUGUCCAAGGUCAAGUAUAUAUUUUUCAAAUCUUGAUAAGUCAACACUUUGCAUGAACAUUAAUUGUUAUAUCAUUUAAAAAAAAAAACAAAACAAAAGAAUUUUGAAAAAUUCAAAUGCUUUGAAAAAUUCCCCUUGUGCAGGUGUUUAUGGUUAAGAUCGAGAAAAAGACGCAAGUCAAAAUCUUGCAAAUUUGGAGAGUAAUCACGAAUAAAAAGGGGGGCAAUAAUACUCCAUUGCAAAGUGGAGAAUCGGCUAUUUAUUCAGAAGGAGUACAUACUUCAGCAGUCAACUUGAAAAAAAAAAAGAGAAAAGAAAAAAAGGGAGUGGAAAAAAAAGAAUUUUUCCUUCAAUUUUGCAAAUUUUUGCUGUUGAACUUUGGGAGCAUUUCACUUGGAGAUUACAUUGCUAAGUUGGGACAACACCUUAUCCUCUUAUGCUUCGAAUGGAAGUGGUAAUACCUGCCAAAAUUGGGAUCCCGUCCUUGCGCAUUUUGACGAAGGCUCAAGUAGAAGAAAUCAAAUGGAUCAAGGAGUACAAUGAGUUGCUAUCUCCAAUGGAUGAAAAGGAGGUUGAAUGUUACCUAUCAUGGACAAUGUUAUCAACAAAAGAUGGUUCGUUGGUUAGAAAGGCAAAUCUCGCUUAUUUGAAGUAAGGGAUGAAGUUUUGAAGCGAACUCUUCCGAUUCAAGAGGAGGUUAAAGGAAGUUUGCUCCAACUUGGUAAGGACCAUUUAUUGUUCAAAGAGUGCUAUCUGGAGGAAUGCCCAUUCUCACAGAACUGGAUGGAUAGGUAUCUUCUCUGCCGAUCAAUGCAGAUAUGUGUAAGAAAUUCUUUAUCUGAUUAUGUGAUUUUUCUUUUGAGAUACCAUCUAGGGUGGAUUAAAGGCGACCCUUCUUCUUUUCUCUUUGAACAUUUUACCCCUAGUUUUUCCCUUUGAACCUUCAGAAUAAUUUAAUCAUUCAUUUGGUAGCCCUCCUAAAGAUCGCAAACCCCACACUGGGGCAAAAUUUAUCUCCUAUUUGUUAAAAAAUUAAGAAAAAAAAGAGAAGAAAAGAAAAAAAAAAAGAAAAAAGAGUCAAAAGCCAAACUGGAGCAAUUUUUUUCAGUUUUAAUACCCUCAUACUGGGCAAAUAUUGAUAGAACGCGGUCUUAGGGUUUUUGAAACCUCUCUGAAGAUUUGCUUUCAAACCUUAACAUUUCUUCUAUACCCCACCUGACCCCAUCAUAAAAAUCAUAAAGUCCCGACCUCCGCCUUAGUAGUAUUUCUAAUAAAAAUCACUUAAUCAAAUGGCAAAUUAUGUCAAUACACCUUCGCCAAUUUUGUAUGGGAAGGAUUGUCGCACUGAUGCCAUCAUUUCUUAAAACACAUGUCUGAGUUGAUAAGGGCUAUCGACAAGAUUUGAUCAUUAGGUGAAAACCCAAAAGGGCACCUUGAAAAAAAAUAGAAAAAAGGAAAGAGAGAAGAGAAAAAAAAACAAAAACAAAAAAUAAAAAAAAACAAAAACAAAAAAAAAGAGAAAAAGAGAGAAAAAAAAAAAGAAACAGAAGAAAAAAAGGAAUCCCUACACUGGGGCAAGUUUUGAAAAAUUAUGACUUCAUAAGUUAUUUUAAGACCGUUUAUAUCCGUUAGCAUCAGGUCCAACCCACUAACGUGUUUUUUUCUUUCACCGUUAGUAUCGAGUAUAUCUCACUAACGUGUGUUAUCUUUUAUAUCCGUUAGUAUCGGGUCCAACCCACUAACGUGUUUUUUCUUUCACCGUUAGUAUGACUUACUAACGUGUGUUAUGUUUUUUUCACAUCCGUUAGCAUUGGGUCCAACCCACUAACGUAUCUUUUGUAUAUCAUGUUAGGAUCGGAUUUUUGUCCCACCGACCUCGGCAAGCUUGGGUUUUAUCCCACUGACCAUUUUUAUUUUAUUGGGUUUGGAUUUUAUCCCACCAAUCCGUUAUUUCCUGACAAUCAAAUUUAAUUUCCUGUUGGCGAGUCUCAGCGUCCGCCACGCACCCUUCUACCUCCCUUCUUGGAGCGUAACAACGUCUUUCCAUGCAUCUUUUCUAAAUCAUAACAACCCAUUUUUCUUGACUAUUUUGAUCAAUAAUUGUGUUUUAUCAUUCAUUUUGCAUUUCAUGUUUAGAAGUUCGGAGAGCUCAGAUUUCUUCGACUUUGAAAGAUCACAGAUGGUUAAUGUACUUGUUUCAUUGUGGUUCACUUAAUACGAACUACUUUUGACCUGAUUCCCAUGGUGGGAUACGUAGGCAACUCUACAUGAGUUCGGUCAUGUUUUCUGCAACGUUAUUGUAUCAUUUUGUUCAAUAAUUAUAGUCAAGUGUUGGCUUGUUUAUUUUAACUCAGGUGCAGUUAGAAGAAACAGAUAAGCAAUUUGACGUCUACGUCUUUGUCUUCAGUUUCUUCGAAACUCUAAGACAAAGAAGGGCAAACUGUAGACACCAAAUUGUUGUCAAUUUUUAAUAUUUUCUUGAAUUUUUAUCUAUUUGAUAAGUUAUUUAUUUAUUUUUUACAUUUUAAUGUGUAAUUUUCACAUUUUUGCAGGUUUAUAUCCAAAAAAAAAAAGAAAAAAGAAAAACAAACAAACAAAAAAAGAAAGAAGAAAAUCAAGAAAUCAAAAAUCAUCCUAAUCAUUUUUGUUUCACCAAAAUCACUAUUGAUCCAUUUUUACACUCCAUCCUCAUUAACAUUUCUUCUCAUUUUUGGUUAAAAUUCAUCAUAUCUUUUACAUGCACCUUUCUUUUCAUUAGUUGAGAAAUAAUCAUUUUGGCAAAUCCAACACACAAACCUCUACUUUGGCUACAAAUAUGCUCUCUCGGCUCUCGCACACGGAAGACAAGAAACAAACAGACACAAGAAGAAAAAAAAAACACUCAAUAUCCCUCACUCUGCACUCGGCUCUUUCUGGGAAAUCAGACAAAACUCUCGGCUCUCAACCGAAAAAAAAGGAAGAAAGACACUCUUCCUCCUCCCAGCUCCCUCUCGGCUUUUUCUUUGCUCACGAAACACAACACACUCACACACUACUUCAAACAUCAAAAGAGAGGCAGCAACCGGUUGGAUAAUUGGAGCUUUGCAUCAGAAACUUCAACCAAGGGUUUGCCACUUACAUUGAGGUAAUUUUUUUAGUUUUGUUUAGCACAUUAAAUUCAUGCUUCAUGGUUUAAUUUUCUUUUGCUUUUGCUGGUUUCCUUGGUUGUUGGGUUGCUGAGUUUUUGGGACAAGUCAUGCAUAUAAUUAAGGAAAAAGAAACGGGCCCAUGAAUGCAUGUCAAGUGCUUGUGAAAAUGCCAAAAUAGAAAAAACGAAUUUUAGGGGCUGUUUUGCUUUACUCUAGCCUUUUUAUGUUGUUUUCUUGUCAAAUUAAAAUCAUAGUUGUAAUGUAGAAGUUGCAAGGAGUGUUGUAAUAUAAAUUUUAUGUUUUUUGGCGAAGAUUUGAGGGUUUAAAAAUAAGUAAAACUGCGGCUGUUUUUGGGCAUUUUGGCCACUUUCGGGUCUUUUUUUUGUAAAAAGUAAUUUCGGAAAUGGAAUCUAUGUGAAAAAUCGAGUGAGGGGGUGUAUUUUGGUGAAAUUUGGUGACCGGAGAGGUUGCCGGCGGCGGUCCGGUGGCGGUGGCGCCACCGGCGGCUGCCAUAGCCGCCACAGGGAGAAGCUUUAGUUUUCUCGGUAGAGAAGAAGGGGAGGAAGAAGAAGAGAAGGAAAAAGAAAAGAGAGAAGAAAAAGGAAAGAAAGGAAAAAAAAGAAGAAGAGGAAAAUGGGUUGGGCUAAAUUUAUUUAUUUAUUUUUAGUGGGCUUGUUUCUUAUUUUCGGUUGGGUUAGAAGGUCAGACCCAUGCUUUAUUUUUGGUUGGGUUUGACUGAUAAAAGGGGGCUGGCCUGGGUAUUUUGGUUUGAACUUUCGUUUGGGCCAGGUGGCUUUUAGCCCGAAAAAAAUAGAGAAUGGCCUAGUGGCCUGUUUUCUUAAGAAGAUUUGCUAGCGAAUUUGCACUUUAGCUCCUGAUCUUUGGAAUAGUCUCACUGCGGCCCAGAGCAUUUUAAAUUUCUUUCACUUAGGUCUUUAAAUUAAUUUCACUUUGGUCCUUGUAUUUUAUCUUUCAUUUAAUUUUGACCCCUGAACUUUGGAAAAAUAUAUUUUUUAUCCCCAAAAGUUUUUGAAUUUUUGCAAUUCAGUCCCUGGUGAAUUUUGACUCUCUUUAUUAUGAUUGCUUCUUUUCUUUAACAGCUAAUUAUGUUACUUUUGAGUAUGUUUAACUUGUAAUUUUUUGAUGUUCUUAAAUUUAUUUACGUUUGACAUGUUAAGGUGAAUUUAGUAUUUUCAUUAUUAUUAUUAUUAUUUUUCAAUUAAAUUGGUGCCAUGAUUCUUUUGUUCAUUUUGAGUAUAAAUAGGACAAUUUGACUCCAUUUAGUCACCAUUUCAAAAGGGAGGUACCCCUAUUAUUAUUUCAAUGUCAAUUAAGUGCUCUUAUGUGCUCCUACAUGUUCCUAUGUUUUUAUAUAUUUUUAUAUGUUUUAUUUAUUUGAUUUAAAUAUUCUUCCAAAUUUUCCUAUAUUUUCUUAAUUAAUUUUCAUAAUUAUUUGAGAGGCAUUUAAAUACCUCAAAAAUGUAAUAGAUAGGAUAAUUAGAUUUGUUUUAUUAUAUUUUCCCCUUUUAGAUUGUAAUUAGGUUUAUAUUUUCCCCUGCUGUAAUAGAUAGGGUAGAUAGGAUUUUCUUUAUUUUUCCAUUUUAGAUUGUAGUUAGGCUCCCUGCUGUAAUAGGUAGGUUGGGUGUUUAUGUGGUUUAUGUGUUAUAUGUUCUAUCCGCUUUGCUUAGAAUUUUUGCAUCUAGAUAUUAUGCUUACGUGUUACGUGCUACGUGCUUUUAUGUGUUUAUUUGUUUUAAUUUAUGCCUUAUUUAUUUUACUAUGUAUUAUUAAUGCAUGACGUUACCACACUAGUCCAACGCUAGUUGUGGCUUCUCCCUCCGCUUACUUGUUAGUCCAACGCUAGUAAGGAUUUUUAGAAAUGGGCUAGUUCAACGCUAGACCCUUAGAACGUUCGUGCGUUAGAUUCAUUUUUGUGUGAUAUUCACUACAUUGUCAUGCAUAUUUCUUAUUUCUAGGAUUUUUUCUCAUUUGCAUGAUAUUCUUUAUUAUAUUAUCCUAUACCCCCUACCCUCUAUAUGUGUUAAUCAUAUCAUUUAGAAUUGCAUUUCACUUAGGAAAUUGUAAAAUAAGUUAGCUCAUUUGCUUGUUCAUAUUAGGAGAAUUAUUAUUCAAACAUGGGAAAUGGGUGAUUAUAACUUUUUAGUUUAAAUAUCCCAUUAAUCCCUGUAUAAGAAAAUUAUGUCACGAGUUUUUGCCUCUCGUACCCUUUAUGUUGCAUUCCCUUUUUUUUUGAUCACUUAUAUCUAUGUGUAUAAUUUAAUUUCUUUUCUUUUCUUUCAAUUUCAUCAUUUGCAUACUCGUGACACUUUCAAGAAAUCAUUUUGGCCUUCGCAAUUAAUGCGAUUGGUUCAAUUAUACCCUUGAAUGAACAUUUUGUUCCUUUCGAUAUUUUUAUUUUUGCACCCAUGUAGGAAACAUCCAAACAUGAUAAAAUUAAGGAUUAGAUUAGGAAAAUUUUGACUAAAUCUCGCAACUAGCUUAGAUUAGAUUGAAAGGGUGUCUUAGAUUUGAGUUAAUCGAAUCUUUACCUUCCCUUUCUUCAACCGUGAUUUCCGAACUCAUUUUCUCUUGUUUUUUCGAAGACCUGGAGUUGUCGAAAAUGGUUUUAUUUUAUUUUAUUUUGUCAAAAAAAUACUUUUGGGUGACUUGGUACACCAAAACUCAAUAACAAGUGGCGACUCCUAUUUUGCUUAAAAACCCUUUUAGACUAAAUUUUGGACCCAAAUUGUCGCAUCUUUUAAAAUCCCAUUUUAGGUCCUUUUUCACCUAUUUUAAAUAAAAUCACAUAUUUUAUAAACUCCUUUCUUAUUUUCCAUCGCGAAAAAUGGGGCGCGACACCACUUGUUAGGGAGAAACACCUCGACAUAGCCCAUCAAAAAAUUCAAUAUGUAAGUCAGAAACUCAAUUCUGAUCCAAAAGUUUAAACUAUUAGGUCUCGAAACCUUACAUAUUAAGUGCUCUUUCUCCAUCUUUCGAACCAAUGUGAGAUAUAAUCCUUUACUCAUAAACCUAAUAGUUGUACACCAAAGCUCGAGAAAAAAAUAGAAAAUAAAUGAGGUCAGUUGUUGAAUAAGUGUUUGAGCAAAUAUUAAGUCUAAGGUCAAUUACCUUCUAGGGUUUAAUGUGUAAUUGAACUAUUAAUGUUAUAGUAAAUUAUAUUUUUAUCAUAUGGAUUGCUUACAUUUAUAUAAGUAUGAUAAAACUCUUAGAGUAAACCUAAUCAAUGAAAUCAUGGAGUUAUAAUGGUGAGAUUCAUUCAAUUAUAGAUAAGUUUAUCAUAUAUGUAUAUAUAUAUAUAUAUAAUAAAGUCGUAUUCUCAUUCUUAUCGCUUUAUGUUUUCUCUUUCUUAUGUGGCUUAACGACAGGACAAGUGGUUUCAACACACACUAUAAAAUAACCUACACUCUUCCAUCUCUCUCUUUUUUUGCCUUUGUUCAUUUAUUCCAUGAUUUCCACCUUUUUUAAAAAAGAAUAACCUAUGCUCUAUAUGGAGCUUAUCUCUCUCUUUUCAUAUGCACAAAAUCAAUUAUCAAUAUCUAUCUAAAUUAAAUUUCAAAUAACCGUCCUUAUCAUCCAUGUAUGACUUAUAAAACUGUCCUUGGCAUUCUAUCCUAUAUUCGCGGUCGAUUAUAAUUCUAUCAUAAUCAUAUAUUUGUGGCUGCUUGCUCCUCUUUUGGUUUGUGAACUUCUAGGUAUAACAACAAGGUAUGACCCGUACAAUUUCUUUAGUAUGCAUGCCUUUAGUAAAACUAUUUUUUAUUAUCAUCUUUUUAUAUUCUUAUCAAUAUCUCUUUAUAUCCUUAUCAAUUCUUAUUUCAUAAUCGAAGUUAUGUACUUUAAGCAACUUAAAUUAAGAUAAAACUACUUUUAAUAUUCUUAUCAAUAUCUCUUUAUAUCCUUAUCAAUUCUUAUUUUCUAUCCAAAGUUACGUACUUUCAGCAACUUAAAUUAAGAUAAAGCUACUUUUAAUAUUUUUAUCAAUAUCUCUUUAUAUGCUUAUCAAUUCUUAUGCCUACAUAUAGCCUCUUUAUAUGGUUAGGUAUUUUCAGUGCAAGCGCUUGGCACAUUAAACCAUCGAUUUUGGGUUUUCACUCGUCUUGAUUAUUACGUAAAUCUUCCUUUGAUACACAUUUUUCUUUUUUAAAAAGACACGUUCAUCUUCAAUUGUAAGAAUUUAGUAACAUAUCUUGAAUUUUGUGUGUUUUGAUUUAUUUUCUAUUUGUUUUGUAUGAAGAGAUAGGAUUUAAAAUAGUAUUUUCAUCGUAAGUUUUCAUAUAGAAACAUGUUAGAUGUUUCCAUCGAAUUGGACAACAUUCAUAUGCUAUAUGAUGCAUGUUAGAUGUUUGUUAAUUUGCCUUUGUUUCGUUUGUUCAGGGUACUGGGCUUGUAGCUGGUGCUGUGGAUCCUUGCUUAGUGCAUAUUCCAAGAGUUGAAUUUGUUAUUUUCUCCAACCUUUUUUUCCCAACCACAUGUAAGUCUAUUAGUUACUUUAGUUGAACUAUCUAUUUUAUGUUUUUUACUGCUGUUAAACAUUCAUAUUAUAAGCAUUUGGCCUAUGCCUCUUGAGUGAUCAUGAACUGAGAGGGGCAAAUUCUUUUCGUUCCUUUUGCGAAGACAAAAUGUCUACUAAAUUUUCAUCUUGAAUUGUGAGUGAUCAUGGGUUUUGUUCUUAAUAGAUCCCAAUUAGUAUAACAGAUGUUCUAAUCAACAACAUUUCAAUGCACUUCCUAUGAAUCAUUCAUCAGAGGGUUCAACAAAAAUUACAGAGGAAGGGAAUCCUCAUAAAAAGAUUUACAUGAAGAGGUAGAUUUAAUAUACUAUUUUACUUUCUUAAUCUAUAAUCUUUAUGUAUUGUCUUACACAACUUUAAAUGUGAUAAAUCAUUUAUUUUUUUAUACUUAGUUGUCCUACUUUGCUAUCAUGCAGUGAUAAUGGAAAAUCAAAAAAUACUGAUUUGCACGGAUAAAUGGAGGAGAAUGUUCAAACAGAAGAAAAACGAAAAAAAGUUUCUGAAGAGUAGAAUAUGAUUUGAUACUAUUUACUGCACUUUUUAUUUCUUUUCAAGUUUUUGAAUCUUAUGAUAUUGUCGAAUGUUAUUUUUUUCAUUUUUGAAUUAUUAUUCACUGAAUUAUAUUUUCACAUUUAUAUUAUAAGAAUACUUUAUAUUAUGAUGCACACAUAGUAAUAUACUUAAGAAAGGUUAUACUAGAAUAUACAUUAAAUUUGUAUUUCAUAUCGACAUUUUUAUAAAAUUGACUAAAUAGUUUAUUAUUUUUCAAAGAUUCCCGUUCAACGAAUGUGAUGUGUGCACGGACCUUAGCCCACGUAAUGAUCCAGUCCGAGUUCCAUUGGGCCCAGUCAUACGUGCACGGGCCAAGCUCUUCAAAGAAUCACUCCAAACCCUUGUGCGAAUUGUCCAAGAUCAACAUGGAGUCCAUAGAGAUAUUGAGGGCUUGGAAAGAGACAAUCAAGUCAUCUACACCAUGAUCCAAGCCCAUGAAGAGUCAAGUGGGCCUCCAAGAGAGUUGGCCGAAUAGGGCCUUAGGCCUUAGUAUUUAUUUAGCAUUGGAUUAGUUGCUUAAGUAGAGCAUGGGGCGGCCCAUCUUGUUCCAAGAUGGCUGACUUUCCCUCUUCCCAUUCCCUUUAGGUUUUUAGUAAACUUUAGCCUAUAAAUAGGCUUGCUUUGUAAGGUUUGAAAACACAAGUUUUAUGAAUAAAAGUUUAAGUCUUUUCGUUUUCCUCUUAAAGAGAGAAUUCGAGCCUUCUACUUGCUUCGGCAAGGGUUAUUGAGCAAUCUUGCGUCUUGUUCUUGAUUGUUCUACCGAUCUAUCCAUUGGAGUAAUCACCUUCUUUGGAGUUGUCGUUCUACCGCCUUUAAUGAAAUCGCGAUUGUCCGUUUGAUUCUAGGUUCCGCAAUCCAAGCGUUGGACAACCUCGCUAGAUUCUUGGGCAAACGUGCUACGUGUCUCAAAACGUGUUGAUCGAGGAACGUAUCAGAAUGGGUACAAAACUAGUUCUUAAAUAUUUCUAGUCGAAAUAUUAACAAGAAAAGGCAUUGUUAAUACGGUUAGACUAGCAUAUAUUAUGCCGCUUCAAUAUGAGAAGUAGUUAUGUCACAACCCCACCUCCCUCUAAGGCGAACCAAAGGGGUUCGGCGGACCGCCUGCUCAACUCUGGUCGGGGCUCACUCACUUAUCGCUUUAAGAGCAAGUAAAGAUGUGCCAAUCAAACUUAAUAUAUAUACAAUCAUUAACACAGAUAUACAAUCCUCAAGGUAAAGUACAAAAAGUUCAGGAUCCAACCAACUACUAAUACUAUCACUAUUACACAACAAAAGUUCUAAUCAAAAGUUUAGUCUUCCUCUAAUCACCUGUCCUUGCUCUUAAACCCUGUAAGGAAAACAAAUUUAGCAGAAUAGAGGGACGAGCUAAAGCUCAGUUAGGUUCCCAUACAUAUAACCAAACAAUUGAAACAAGGACAUUAUUCAUUUAAUAAUAAUCAGUCGAGAAAACAUUCAUAAUAUAAAAACAAUAAAAGUAUACUCAUUAAAAGGAUACAUGUUCAUGUAGAGCCCUUCGUUCCUUCAUUCAUUCAUUCAGCCCGUCAUUCUCCCUCAUUCCUUCAUUCAUUUCUUCCCUUAUAACUUCAACAUUUCAUUUCAUUUAUUUCAUUUCCCGUCACUAGCCAAUUCACUGGCCAGUUCUCCACCAAUCUUUGUGGUCAUACUCGAGUAUACCAAACAUUAUCCCAAGAUCACCGGUCGCCCAACCGAGUCCAUUUCUGGCUCGAGUCGAUUGGCAACAAAGGGCAAGGGCCCAGUUCAGCCAAAAGGCUUACAUUCAUGUACAAGUAGCAUUCAAUCAUUGAAAAUUCACUUUUGUUUGGGUCGAGUGCGAAAAAGUACACACUUGCCAAUCAAAAAUUCAUUUAGCAAUCGUUGGAAGCAUUUAACAUUCAAACAACAUUCACAAUAUUCCACAUAAUCAUUUAAAGCACACAUAUAUGCAAGGAACACUCACCCUAAAUAUGUCACGUUUUAUCAAAAUUCAGUUCAGGGCCGACACCUUGGCCACUCUCGAAAUCUGCAAUCAAAUAUGGUCCACAAAGAGCCAAUCAUACACUAGUGCAAGUUGCAUAACUUAUAUUUCUAUAUCAAAGGAAAACGGCAUGAAAAGUAUAGUAAAUUAUAUAGGCAAGGUGCACGCAUAAUUUGUAAAAGAAAAUAAUAAAAAACGGUUAAGUUCAAAGCCAAUAUGUGCAACUAAAAACCAUGUUUUGAAUACUUGUUUAGAAUGUUAUAAAUUAGGUUUAGAACACUUGAGAAGUACAUGUUAAGUCGGACCAAGGAAAUGGAAAACAAAAGAAAGGCAACGAGAAAUAAUGAAGGUGGUAGUUUUGCCAUCCGUUGGUGUUUUGAUCACAACUGAAGCUACACUUAUCGGAUUGAGGCAAAUUUUAUGGCGUUUCGAAGCUAAGACAUAGACCUACAUUUCCCAUAAAGACAUCGACACCCAGUUUUCACAUUUUCAGGGUAAAAAAUGGAUGGUUAGAAGCACAUGAAAAACAGGUCAGGAAAAUUAGAGUUUUUGCGAAGUCAGGAGUGCUCUGGCCAAAUCAUAAGCUAAAAUGAUCCAAUUGAUAUGAAAUUUUGCAGGUAGAAAAUCUCAAUAACUUUUAUAUUUUGUCCAAAAGCUGAUUCAGUCUAAAACAUGGAGAAAUUCACAGCUAGUUUUCUUCCAAGUUUUGACUCCCAACUCAAACCCAAUCAAGAUUACAUCACUACGCUACCUCUUGUUAACUUAACCCUAGAUACAAAAGCUUCGGCAGCACCUCCCCUAUUUUCGGUCCAUUUCCCCUUGAAAAAUCAAGGUGUAAACCAUAGCAAUCCCAACACAAUCAAAGCCAUGAGUCAUAAGAUAUUAUAAGCCUUAUUCUAGUCUAUCAAAGCCUUUCAAAAUUCACACAAAUAAAGAUUAACCGAAAGACAUCAAAGCUGAAAUUUCCAAAUUCAAGUAAGAAAAUCACUUAUUGAAGUUGUAGACAUGCAUAUCAAAGCUCAACCACCUUCUAAUAUGAUUGGAUAACCUAUCUCAAAGUUACAAACUUAACAAAAGCUGAAAUUUCACUUCUUAGGCUAAAAUUUGCAUAUAACCAUCACUAAUUGCGAUUAAAAGCUAGAAAUGCCACCUUAACACUAAACUAGCUUCUACUAAUCAUAUAAAGGCCAAAUCAAAGAUGAAAUAAAGUAUAUAAAAUCUAAAAAAUAUCAAUAAAACUGAAAUUUAUCAUCCCAACCCUAAAAUCGCAAGAAUCUCCAUAAAAUCAAUCAAAAUCAAGUUAUCCAAUAACUUAAUCGCAAGAUUAAAGAACAAAAGGAGCUUCUAAUGAUUAUACCUUCCAACACCUUGAAACAAGCAAAGCAAACCCUUUUCUUCUCAAAACACUCCACCCUUAGCUUGCUAUCACCUUAGAUGCAAAGUUAAUCGGAGUAGAUUUUGGUAAUUGAAAGAAAUCUCUCAAGAUUUGGUGAAGAAAAUUAAAGGAAAAAUGGACUUAGCUUGCUUGGUUUUGCUCCUCUUGAGGUUCGGCCAGCUUGAAGAAGAAAGAAGAGUUGUUUUGUUUUCCAAAUGAAGUGAUAAAGAUGAAAACUUAAGGGCUCCAAGAUUAAAUGAAAACGCAACACGUGGCACAACUUUAACUAAUGAUUAUCUCUUGAUUUUUCUUCUUAGUUUCUAAUCACUCAUCUAUGUGGUGUUCCUCUCAUUCACUCUUAACACUUCUAGGCAUAUAUUCCUUGGUAUAUAACUAGUGACGGAGCCAGGAUUUUUUCCUUGGGGGGGCCAAAAUUUUUUCGAACAAAAUUACCUUAAUAUGUUAUGUUCAAAAUAAUUUUCAUUUAUUUAAAUAUAUGACAUCUUAAAAUUUCAAAUAUUAACUUUAAUUAUAAAGGUAUGUCUAUUUCAUAAAUAUGUAACAUAGUUAUAACUAAAAUUAAGACAAGAAAUAACCUUUGAUUAAAUAUCUUAUAACAUCACAAACCAUCUAAGUUGCACAUUAUGAGAAGAUGCUCCAAUAUGUCACUUGUGCAAAAAGAAAAAUAUAACUAUACAACAUAAAUAUAACUAUUUUCAAUUAAAAAAAGAUAAAAGUUAUGUUAACAUACUUUGAAAUUUCAUCCGCUUUUAUUAAAAGUAAAUUGAGCUUUACGUUCUUUCAUAGAACUAAAUUCAUGUAUAAUUGAAUCAAUGUUAAAUUUUUGAAGAACUUCCUUUCUUUAUGUACAUUGUUAGGCAAUCAUUCAAGAAAUUAUCUUUUAUCCUGUUUUGGAGCUUUUGUUUUGAUUAUUUUCAUAAUUGAAAUGUCCAUUCUAUAGAUUAUAGAAUGGAGCCAGGAUUUUUUCCUUGGGAGGGGGGCCAAAAUUUUUCUGAACAAAAUUAUCUUAAUAUAUUAUGUUCAAAACAAUUUUCAUCUAUUUAAAUAUAUGACAUCUUAAAAUAUCAAAUAUUAACUUUAAUUAUAAAAGUAUGUCUAUUUCAUAAAUAUGCAGCAUAGUCAUAACAAAAAUUACGACAAGAAAUAACCUUUGAUUAAAUAUCUUAUAACAUCACAAACUACCCAAAUUGUACAUUAUGAGAAGAUGCUCCACUAUGUCACUUGUGCAAAACAAAAAUAUAACUAUGCAAUAUAAAUAUAACUAUUUUCAAUUAAUAAAAAACAAAAGUUAUGUUAGCAUACCUUGAAAUUUCAACUUCUUUUCUUAAAAGUAAAUUGAGCUUUACGUUCUUUCGUAGAACUAAAUUUAUCUAUAAUUGAAUCAGUGCUAAAUUUUUGAACUUCCUUUUUUUUAGGUACAUUGUUAGACAAUCAUUCAAGAAAUUUUCUUUUAUCUUGUUUUUGAGUUUUGUUUUGAUUAUAUUCAUAAUUGAAAAUGCUCGUUCUAUAGUUGCAAUUGGCACAGGAAAAGUGAGAACAAAUAUAAUCAAUCUGUCAAUAACAGGAUAGAUCACUCAAUUUCUUGUCUUCACCAAGCCUUCAAGUAAUUAUUUGUAUAUUUGUAUAUGGGUUAACAAGAGGAUAGAUCACUAAUUUUAAACUUUUUAUCAAUUAGACUAAAUUGUAUAUUUGUAUAUGGACCAAUAAAGUAAUUAUUUUUGUUUUAGCCUAUUGAUAAUUAUGAAUUGAGUCUUUUAUAAUAUUUCAAAUUGGGUCAAUUUACUAUGGAUCAUCAAUUAUAUGUUUAAUUUUUUGAACGUUAAAUAAUUAGCAUAAUAAAAAAUAAAUAACUUUUUUUGAAGCAAAAGUUAAAUCAAAGGUGGCUAAUUCACACACACACACAUAUAUAUAAAAACUCUCAUUGUAAAAAAUUAGGGGGGCCAACUUUGUCUUAUAUAUAUAUUUACACAUUAUGAAUUAAAAUUUUCAAAACUUAUGGCCCCCUGACUCUGUCAUUGUCCAUCACCAUGAGCUAGUAAAACAAAAGUACCCCAAAGCCGUUAGAACUAGUCACGUUUUUGUAAGGAAAUGCAUAGCGAAUAAUUUAAAAUUUUAAUGAACAUUUAUCAUGUAAUUAAUAUCUUUUUGUCACAAUUAUCUCAUAUUAAUUUGAAAAUAAGUUGUGCCUAUUCUAUUAUUUGAUUAAUGUUCAUUUCUUCUACUAAAAGAUAACUCCAAUGAAUAAAUACUCAAAAACAUUUUUUAAAACUCUUCCACUUAACGUUAAGGAUUUUGAAUUAUACUUCUACAAAUAGUCAGACAUGAAAUAACUCUUCUUUCAUAAGAGGUGGUAAAUCCUCAUAAGUUAUUCACCAUCUUUUCAUGCUUCAAGUAUAUACUUAUAGGCUAAUGGUGUAAACAUUCUCUAUUACAAGAGCAAUCAUAUAUCAAACAAAAUAUAACCAUUCAUAUUCAAGAUACCACAAUAAUCUUAAUCUAAGAAUUGAUUACACAAAUGUCAUUUAGAGAUUAAUCCUUUGGCACUUAAAGAAUAUUUAUAGGUGGAUCAAUCUAGUAAAUUUGACUAUCCUAUCAAGCACUCAUAUACUAGUUUAGGUGUCUCAAACACUAUAGUAGAAGAGAUCUACUACUUUUUAAAUAGAAACAGUAUAGUAUAUGUUAGUCUAAUUGUAUGAACAAUGUCUUGCCUUGUUAGUACUUUAACUAGAGAUAUUUAAGAAUAAACAUUAUUUAUAAUCAAAUGAACCUCAUUUUCAUAACUCAUAUGAUUUCAUCGAUUAUACUCUAAGGACUUUAUCAUACUUAUAUAAACAUAAGCAAUCAAUAUAAUAUAGAUGUCACUUAUUAUGACAUAAAUAGGUCAAGUGCAUAUUAAACCUAGAAGUUGAUUGACUUUAAAAUAUAUACACUUUCAAUCUCCCACUUGCAGUAAAUCCAAUCACUCAUAAGUCAAAGAUCAAAUGAUUCUUGGAAAAUUGCAAUUUUUUUUAUUUUAGAUAAAGAAUAUUUCUUUUUUUUCUUCGUUCUUUGCAUUGAAAGAACAGAUUUCAAAAUGAUAUGAUUCAACCUCAAACCCAUUUAAAUGUACAUGACUAUCAUAUUUCCUUUAAAAUAAGUUUUAGUAAACGGAUCAACCAUGGCGUUAUCCGUAGGCACUCUUUCUAUUUUCACAUUGAUUCCUACCAAUGAUUUCAGCAAAUCAUGUGGUAGCAUCUUAACAAGUCUAUGGAACUGUAACGAGACCUUGGUUCCUUCACUAGAGCAAAUUUUCUUUAUUGUCUCAAUAUAGGAUAAAUGAUUUAAAAUGGAAAGAACCAAUCCAAGUUCUAUUUGAACUUACAAAUCCAAAUGCUUCCCUUUGCCAUUUCUCAAGUAACAAUUUGUUAAGAUUUAAUUAUACAAAUUUUAGUUGUAUUUUGCUUGAAACUAUUUCAACACCCAAUAAUAUUAUAAAUAAAUGUAUAAUUACUUGUAAAUCAUCUUUGUAAAAUUGUUAUAUUCUCGAACUUCGAAUUUAAAUUCUUCAUGAACCAAAGGAGACAUGAGUCUAGUAUAUUGAAAUGAUUAAUUCUAUACAAUAUAGAUAAAACUCCUGAUUGGAUCACUUAAUCUUAAAUGAAUUUAGCAUUCCGCCUAUGUACAAGGGAAAAUUUGCUAUUUAGCUACCGGAAGAUUUGAUAUUCGAGAAUGGAGCAUAGCUUUGUCCAAAGUUGUAACUUGUAAGUAGAGAAUCUAGAUUCUUUUAAUGGGAAUGAAGCUCAAAUGAUGGAUUUGCAUUCGCAUGGAUAGUUUUGCAUGAAUUUAGGACUUCAAUUGGCCAUGUCAUGCCCGUGGACAGUUUUCAUGAGUCUCGGACCACGUGGCAACUUUUGUGGGUCCCACUACCAUGUCACAAUUUAUGGGCCCCACCAUCACGUCAAUCAUUAUUUGGGUCCCACUCCUGUCAGGAAGGGGCUCUUGUUAUUUCAACGCGGACGAGCAAUCUCUUUCUUCCCUCGAUUUUUGUUGCAUUUCCAAAUAAUUAUUUGAUUAUUUGAUUUUUGGCCACAACAUUUGCAUCUUUUUUGUAAUUUGUGACUAAUCUUCUUCAAGUCAGACCGUGCCCCUUGUAGGGAAACUUUCUCAAAUGCUCUUUUCAUUUUCAUGAAUUUCAAAUUUGAGAUCAAUAAUUAAAAAAUGUAAGUUUCUUUUGCUUACACCAACAUUCGUCCGCAAUUAAUCCAUUUGUUACAUUGUAUAUGGUAAGAUGAGUGAUUUGUGGAAUAGUUAUAUUGUAUAAUAGGAGUGGUGUUUAUCAAAAAAAUGUCGUCAGACUAACAAAGCCACUAAUGUAAAAUCACUUUCUUUCCUAUAGUUUUAGGAUAAAAUGAAAAAAGAAAAAAUGGGACAGGAUAAACAAGCAACCUGCUGAUGUAAAGUUGCAUGUUUAGAUUUUGCAUAGGCUUGGUCAUUGCUGGACACAUAUUCGGUAGUACGUAAUUACUAGUGUGUAUACUCGUGCUACGCACGGUGCUAAUAUUAUUAAAAGAAAUUAAAAGAGAAGGUGAAUUUAAAAAAGAAAAAAAAACUGUAUCGACAUAAUUAAAAAGAUUUGUCUAGUAAUAGUUCAAAGUAUGAUAAAAUGUAUACAUCAUUCAAGAAUUACAUUUUUGUGAAAGAUGGAUCUUGAAAUAAUAAUAGAAUUUAUAUUAGAAAAUGAAUGAUAUAUGGAUAAAAAUGAAUGUAAUUGCAUGUUUUAUUUGGUUUCAAAAUGAAAUAGUUACAAACAUUAUACAUUCGAUUUGAUAAUCUUGUACGAAAACCAAUAUUGAUAGUUUAAUUAAUUCUAUUGAAUUUUGUGAAGUUCGUACUACAAAAAAAUGUUCAGCGAAACUUGUCUUUCUUAGAAGUGAACUUGUUGAGCCUUUUGAAGUAUUUCAGUGGGAUCAUUGUGUGUAGACUUCCGUUGUGUGAUCAGUUGUUUUCUCCUUUACAAUCUUGCAAGUUUGAAAUUAAAAUGCUAUUGAAAUUAAUGAUAGAGCCAAGAGGGGCUAAUGGGGGGCCAUGGCCCCCUUAAGUUUUGAAAAAUUUAAUUCAUAGUGUAUAAAUAUAUGUGUAAAAUAAAGUUGGCACACUCUCUUAAUUUUUUACAAUUUCAGUUUAUAUUAUGAGAGUUUCACCUUUGAAUUAAAUCUUUUCUUCAAAAUGUAUUUAUUUUUACAUAACUUUACAAUUUCUAAUAUUUGAUGUUUUUAGAUGUCAUAUAUUGAAAUAGAUGAAAAUUAUUUUGAACAUAACACAUUAAAAUAAUUUUGUUAGGAAAAAUUUUACCCCCUAGAAAAAAUCUUGACUCUAUCAUUGAUUGAAAUGCUUGUAGAGUUGUAGGUGAGAUUCGUCCAUGAAUAGAGUAUGAUAUGUAGUCUUUUUUUUUUCUCAUUGUAUUUGGUUUGUGUGGACCACAAAUAAAUAGAGGUUGGUUAUUGUUAGCGCUCUCCAGCCCUAUAUUUCUAUCUUUAUAGUCCUUUUACUAUUUAGGAUUUGUUACCUUACUUUUAUCCUUCCCAAUGCUAUACUCCUAUCUUUCUAUUCCUUUUUAUUAUUUAGAAUUUGUUAUCUUACUUUCAAGUUUUUUUUUGAAAAAAAAAGUUAGAAUUAUAGUCGUCAAGAAAAGUAAUUGGGUAUAAUUUUGGCGAAAUACUACUAUUUUUUUGUAACGACCACCCAAGAUAAUUGUUUAAACAAUAUUUUUUAAAAAUUUUUAAUAAAAACUCCAAUAACAACCAUUUAAAUGCCCCUUUUAUUAAUUUAAAAUUCAUAUAAAAAUUUGUUUUUGUGCACGUUUUGAUAUACAUGUUAUAUGAAAAAUAAUCCUAAUGGAAUUUGCGCAUGUGAAAAAUUAUCUAGGUGACUUGUGUGUCAGAAUAUUUAUUUCAUUGUUUGGAAUAAUUGUUUAAUAAGAUAAGUUUAAGGCUAAAAAAAGUGAUUUAGUUGCUAUAGGUUAAAUGGUUAAGGAAUGGUUAUAAUUGAAUAUGUCAUUUGAAUGUUUAACAAAUCUAUGUAUAUACCGAGAAGGAAAGUGUUGCAAAUGUUAUUAUGUAAUGAUUAAAAAAUAGGACUAAUCAUAUUAUUCCUUAGAUCCUAUUUUUGGCAAAGGCAUAUUUAACGUUGUUUUUCCUAUUCUUUAAUUUUUAAUUUUUAAUUUUUGUUAAAUUUCAUCCUACUACAUUAUGACAAUAAGGUAUGUAGAAUUCUGGAAAUUGUUAUUUAAACCAGCUCCUAAAUUUUGGAUAUAUGAAUUGUCAUAAUGGUGAGUUUCUUAAAUUAUCAGUGAGUUAUUACUAUCAUCAUGUGGUAAGUGUUAGAUGUGAUUUAGGGGGAGAGGGUUGGGCUGGGUGGUACGGGGAGAGGGAGUGUAAGUGAGAGGUCUCGGGUUCGAGUUCUCCUACUUACACUUAAAAAAAAAAGUGUUAGAUGUGAUUUGGGAUUUGCAGCACUUGUCCCGCCCACUUUUCAGCCAAAAAUUUGAGUGGUAUCAGCCCGGACUAUCAAGCAAUUAUUGUUUGGGUUAAUUGCAAAAUAUAUACCAUUGAACUAUUACUAAUUCGUAACUUGCACCUCAAAUUUCCACCAUUAAACUAUUAGUAAUUUGUAACCCAAUGGACUAUUUUGCACAUUACUUAAUUAUUUUUUUGGUAUAUUUUUCUUAUUAUCAAGAAAUUAUCUUACUAACUCAUACUUUUUAUCCAAGAAUAAAUUUCUUACUUUUUAUUUUAGAUAAAAUUCCAUGCAAAUCAUUUAACAAAAAUUUGACAAAGGACAAGGGGAACUCAUUAAGAUAUCUAAAUAACACCUAACUUACUAUGUCGUUAGAUAUACUCAUUUGUAAUGCUAACUUUCAAAAAAAUAUUAUCCAAGAAUAUAUUUUCUUACUUUUUAUUUUGGAUAAAAUUUCAUGCAAAUGAUUUAAUGAAGAUUUGAUGAAAGAUAGGAGAAAUCAUUAAGAUACUUAAAUAACACCUAACUUACUAUGUCCCUACAUAUACUUAGUGAAGUGCUUGCUGGCUUUUAGAUAUUAUCCAAGAAAAAAUUUUCUUGCUUUUAUUUUAGUUUUCAUGAAAAUGCUCACUUGCACUUCAAUAUUAUCCAAGAAUAAUUUUCUUACUUUUUAUUUUAGAUGAAAUUUCAUGCAAAUGAUUUAAUGAAGAUUUGAUGAAAGAUUGGGGAACUAAGAUAUUUAAAUAAUACUCAACUUGCUAUGUUGUUACAUAUACUCACUUGUAAUGCUCACUUGCAUUUAGAUAUUAUCCAAGAACAAAUUUUCUUACUUUUUAUUUUAGAUAAAAUUUCAUGCAUGUAAUUUAAUGAAGGUUUGAUUAAGGAUAGGGGAACUUGUUAAAAUAUUUAAAUAUUCCUAACUUGCUAUGUCAUUACAUAUACUCAUUUGUAUUGCUCACUUGCGGUUAGAUAUUAUCCAAGAACAAAUUUUUUUACUUUGCAUUUAAGAUAAAAUUUCAUGCAAAUGAUUUAAUGAAGAUUCAUGAAGGAUACAGGAACUCGUUAAGAUAUUUAAAUAACACCUAACUUACUAUGCCGUUACAUAUACUCACACUGCUCAUUUACACUUAGAUAUUAUCCAAAAAUAAAUUUCUUACUUUCUUAUUUUAGUUACUAUUUCAUGCAAAUGAUUUAUCCUAGAAUACAAUACCACAAAGUAAAGUGAUAUCAAAUAUCGUCUUGCAAUAUACUAGUGCUAUUUUUUCUAUUUCUUUCUAUUUAUAUUUGUAAAAUGUGAAAUUACAAAAAGAAAAUGGCAGUUAUUUGCCUCUUAAGAUUUUACACUGGAUUGGAGCCCACAACAAAUACAUAAUGGACCCUUAGGCAAAACAUGCCUUACGAAGGCUUUCCUAAUUAAGUUUCAAGUUAGCCCAUCAUGGAUCAAGCUAAAACAACUUUAAAUUGACCAUCGUCUUGUGAAACCAAAAUCCCAAUCUCCAUUACAUCUAUCUUUCAAAGAUCCCACUCUGCAGUCACUUUUUUUUAUUAUAAUAUUAAGGGAAAAUCGUUGAAAACAUUGCUUACAUUUUGUCAGAUGACUUUUUUUGUCCCUCACUUUAAAAAGUAUAAUUCUACAUCUCUUACAAAUUCAUAUUGGCCAAAUUUGGUCCCUACUUAGAUUUUCGACUAGUUUUUUGUCGGAAUCCAUCACGUGCCUUGCACGUGAUCAUUUUUAAAAGACAAAAUUGUCAAAUCAAUUUUUAUAUAAUUCAAUCUAUUGUCUUUCACAUUUUAUUGAAUAAAUUGAAAAUUUUACCUCUAAGAAAUAAUCACGUGCAAAGCACAUGGUGGAUUCCUACAAAAAACUAUUCGAAAACUUAGGUAGGGACCAAAUUUGAUCAAUGUCAAUUUGUAAAGAAUGUAAAAUUGCACUUUUCAAAAUAAGGGAUGAAAAAAAGUAAUUUUACAAAUUGUAAAAGACAUUUUGAGCAAUUUUUUCAAAUAUUAAACUAUGGAGCAAUUUUUUUCAAAUCAAUUUUUUCAAAGACAUUUCGAGCUAUUCUUUUGCUUGGAGACUGAUGAAACACUUGAGUUGUGAUUGUGGUUGAUGAUGGUUGAUCUCAUUGAUGCCUUGUGUUGUUCCUUUAGAACUUGAUAUGCACGAUCAACCUGCAAGCAAUGUUAAACCCAGCCUUGAUCGUGCAUUAUCAAGAUAUGAACUUGAUAUGCAUUAUCAAAAUUAUCAACCUGCACGAUCAAAUCAACUUGCAUAUUAAACCCAGCCUAUUCUUUUGUUCCUUUAAUAUAAUUUUAAGUGUGCCCCUAGAGUUUUUUUAGAAAGAAUGUGAAAGAAUUACAUGAUUUUUUAAGUUAGUUCAUAAACUAAAAUUCUAAAAAGAUACGUGGGGCACAAAUUCCAUUUGAAAUAAGCUAAAAAAAGCCUUUUCAUUUUAACUAGCAAAUACCAAUUAUAUUAUUCACUUUCUUUAGGGCCCACUCCCCAAUUUCCCUUCCCACCUUUGGUCCCCCAUUUUUCCCCUACAACCGAGAGCCACUACCUUCCGCAACCAAGCAGCUAGCUACUCUUUCUCUUGAUCAAUUCAUCCAAUCAUAUCAUUCACUUCCUUUGUCAUCACUUCCCAAUUUCCCUUCCCUCCACUGGUCCCCCAUUUUCCCUCUACAACCGAAAGCCAUUCUUACUUCCACAACCAAAUUAGUUAUCAAAAUAUAAAAACUCGCAGUGAGCAAUUGUAAAUAGGUUAGUUUGUUUUUGAAAUAAAAUUAUUAUUACAUUAAUAAUUUUGAAUUUAUCUUUUUAUGUUUUUCAUGGAAUAUAUGCAUCAUUUGUACUUAUUGGUGAAUUUUUUUUUUUUUUUUUUGCUUAAAAAACUAGAAAAAGAGUAGGUAAAAAAUUUUAGUGUUGUUUUUGCCCCGACUAAGAAUUUUUUCUGGCUCCGCCCCUGAUUACAUAGGUUACAAAAACAAGACAUAAAUCUCAUAAGUUACCUUUUUUAAUGGUGAUCUUAUAACUGAAAAUUCAUUUCAAAUUUUGUAACUUAUUGCAUUUGAAUUCAAAAUAAGCAUGUGAAUGAAUUCAAAAUAAUAAUGAUAUUUUUAUUAAAAUAUCCAACAAUUCCCCACUUAUUUUAAUAGAAAUAGUUCGGGCAUAUAGUGAGAACAUCAUACAUUAUGAAAGUGGCAAUGCUUUUAAACUUCCACUUAGUGUUUCAGUUUUCCCGUAUUAGAAUCAUAGUGGACUUAGCCUUUAAACUAUGAUUACUUGAGGAUACGUAGAAAACUUAACACACAUGACAUUCUAGGUGUUCUUAACCGAGCUUUUCAAACCAGUGCAUUAUGGCCAUGUACUUUACCCCAGUGUUCAUGAGUGCUUUAGAGAACUAGCCCAACUUCUCAUAAGGGCGGCCAAACCCUUACACUCAUAUAGGUGAGUCUAUCAAGGAUAUUUAUGUGACUAACAUAUCCCACCCAUAAGGGCUAUAGAACUCAUUAAGAGAUUAGUUCUCAACCUCUCAUAUUCGUCACAGAAUUACAUGCAUAGCAUCAUAUGAUUAGACUAAAAAUUUGCAUGUAUCACAACAAGCGACUCUAUGAUUCGUUUGUCUCCAAUCUAGUUCUUGGGAUCUCCAGUCCCUAGGUGAUUGUAUCCUCAUCGGUAGCUUUUACAUUUUUGGGCUUUAAUCCAAUCUCUCUUGAUGCUUUCCAGAUCUUUUCUGUAGCUAGAGCUUUUGUAAGUUGAUCGGCAAGAUUAUCGCCUAAUCUCACAAAAUCAAUGGUUAAUGAACCAUUAUUUAAAUAUGAUCUCACAGUACUGUGUUUUCUCCUUAUAGAUCUGGAUUUUCCAUUAUAAUAUUUAUUGUGAACUCUGCCAAUAGCAGCAGUACUAUCACAAUGUAUUAAAACAGGAGGUAUCGGCUUAUUCCACAUUGGAAUUUCAGAUAGUAAAUCACAUAACCAACCUGCUUCUUCACAUGCAGAAGCAAGAGCAAUUAACUCUGCUUUCAUGGUAGACUUUGCGAUUAUAUGUUGUUUUUUGGAUCACCAACAAAUGGCUCCACCUCCCAAUGUAAAUAAAUAACCAGUAUUGGACAAAGAAUCACUAGAUUGUGAACUCCAAUCUGCAUCACUAAAACCUUCAAGUACAACAGGAUAUUUUUUUUUAAAAUAGACCAUAAUCUAAAGUUCUCUUAAGAUAUCUCAUGAUUCUAUGAAUUGCAUUUCAAUGUGUAAAGUUGGGUUUACUAGUAAACCUACUAAGUACACCAACCGCAUAUGCAAUAUCAGGUCUAGUACAAUCAGUUACAUAUCUCAAACUACCAAUUAUACUAGCAUACUCUUUUUGAUUUAUCACAUCAGAAUCAUUUUUAGUAGAAAAUAAACACACAUGAGAAUCAAAGGGUGUACAAACUGGUUUACAAUCAAAAUAAUUAUAUUUCUUUAAUUUUUUUUCAAUAUAGUGAGAUUGAUCAAUAAAAAUUCCUUCUAAAUUUUUUGUAAUUUUCACACCAAGUAUGACAUUUAGCUUCACCUAAGUCUUUCAUUUCGUAAUUACUUUUAAGUAAUGCUUUUGUAAUCUCAAUUACUUGCAUAUUAGUCCCAAAUAUCAAUAAAUCAUCAACAUAUAAACAAAUUAUCACAUGAGAGUCUCCAAACGAUUUAUAAUAAAUGCACUUAUCACUUUCAUUUGACCUAAAGCCACUAGUCAAUACACAUUGAUCGAAUUUUUCAUGCCAUUGUUUAGGUGCUUGUUUAAGUCCAUAUAAAGAUUUAUUCAAUUUACAAACUUUAUUUUCUAAACCAGGUUGAAUAAAUCCUUCGAGUUGAUCCAUAUAAAUCUCUUUAUUUAAAUCACCAUUAAGAAAAGCUGUUUUUACAUCCAUUUGAUGUAUUUUUAAUUCAUGAAUUGCUGCUAUAGCUAUUAAAAGUCGUAUAGAAGUCACUCUUGUAACUGGUGAAAAAGUAUCAAAGAAAUCUAUCUCUCCUUUUUGCUUAAAACCCUUUGCAACAAGCUUGGCUUUAUAUUUAUCUAUAGUGCCAUCAGGUUUAAAUUUUUUCCUUAAUAUCCAUUUACAACCUAUAGUUUUACAACCUGGAGAUAAAUCAACUAAUUUCCAAGUUUUAUUAGACAUUAAAGAUUUCAUUUCAUCAUUAAUUGCUUCUCUCGAAAAAUUAGAAUCAAAAGAUGAUAAAGCUUCAGAAAUAGUUAUAGGAUCCCCCUCUAUAUUAUAAGUUUGAAAAUCAGGACCAAAAUCUUUUUGUGUCCUUUCCCUUUUACUGGUUCUCAAUUGCUCUUUUCCUCUAGUUGAAACUUUAGCAUUAGAAGAACUAGCUUUUUCGGAUUUUCCACUAUAUUCAUUCAAUUUUAUACCCCCACUAUCUUUAAAUGGAAAUUUAUCUUCAUGAAAAAUUGCAUCUAAAGAUUCAAUUACUACAUUAUUUUCUAGAUCUGGAAAUCUAUAUGCUUUACUGUUUAAAGAAUAUCCAAUAAAUAUACAUCUAAUUGCUCUUAUUUCUAAUUUUGAAAUUUUUGGUUCAGAAAUUCUUACAUACGCUAAACAACCCCAUACUCUAAAAUAUUCAAUAUUGGGUUUUUUGUUCCUCCAUAAUUCAUAAGGAGUUAUUAAAUCUUUUUUACGUGGUACUCUAUUUAAAGUAUAAUUAGCUGUUAAAAUAGCUUUACCCCAUAAAUUUUUAGGUGCACUCGAAUUUGCUAACAUAGCAUUUAUUAAAUCUAUCAAAGAUCUAUUUUUUCUUUCAGCCACACCGUUUGAUUGAGGUGAAUAUGGUGGAGUAACCUCAUGUAUUAUUCCUAAUGAUUUGAUAAAAUUUAUAAGGCCAAUAGUAUCAUAUUCUUUUCCUCUAUCUGUUUUAAAUCUUUUGAUUUUUCUUUCAAAACGAUUUUCAACCUCUUUAACAAAAAUAGUAAAUUUCUCAAAAGCCUCACUUUUAUGUUCAUAAGGUAGAUAUAACAAUAUUUUGAAAAAUCAUCUAUAAAUGUAAUAAAAUAUCUUUUACCUCCACGUGUUAAUAUGCUUUCAAAUUCACAAAUGUCAGAAUGUAUUAAUUCUAAUAAUUCUGUUUUUCUUUCAACUUUCAAAUGAGGUUGUUUAGUUAUUUUAGUCAUUCUACAAUAUUCACAGUUUUCAAACUCAUUAUGCAAUUUUGGAAUUAACCCUAUGCGGCUCAUAUUUUUUAAGUAUUUGCUAUUUAUAUGACAAAGACGUGCAUGCCACAUAUUUAUACAAGAAACGAUAUAAGCAGAAGUAGAAAAUUCAUUCAUUUCAACAUUAAGUUUAAACAUACCAUCACAAGUAUAACCUUUUCCAACAAAGGUACCAUUCUUUGUAAGCACAUAUUGAUCAGACUCUAUAGACUAUUUACAACCAGCCUUAUUGAGAAGAUAGCAAGAAACCAAGUUCUUCCUAAUUUCAGGAACGUGAAGAACAUCUCUUCGGGUCAAGACACGCCCAGAAGUAAACUUUAGUUCAACUUCGCCCAUGCCUAGAACAUUGGUUGUAUGUGAAUGUCCUAGCAGAACUUUUGUUUCUUUUUCAAUAGGAGAAUAACUUUUGAACCAAGUUCUAUCAUAGCAAACAUGCCUAGAGGCACUAGAAUCAGCCCACCACCCUUCAGUAUUUCCAAUAAAAUUGAUUUCAGAAACCAUAGCCACAAAUGACUCUUCAAUUAGUUGAGUCACAUUUGCUUGUGGCUUAAAAUUGGGUCCAAAAUUUCUAAAACGACAAUUUUUUGCACGAUGACCCAAUUUACCACAAACAAAACAAGCUCUAUUAUUCAUAUUAUUUCCAAAAUUUGGAGUGUUUGAAACUUGUUUUGAAGGGGGUCCUUGAUUUGACUUUUUCUGGUUAAAAUAAUUUUUUGAAAACUUGUUUUUCAUAUUCUUCCCUUUAGGCUUCAAAUAGGCGUUAUUUUUGUCUUGUUGACCCUUAGAGACAUUUUCACUAGAAGUUAGGAAGUUUACCUUAGUACUCCCAUUGAAAUCUUCACCUUUAUCUUGUUUUCUAGCUUCUUCAAUGAGCAACCUUGCCAUCAAAUUUGCUAUUGUCAAUUCUUGUUGCUUAUGACGUAGCCCUUUCUGAAAAUCUUUCCAUGAUGUUGGAAGUUUGUCAAUGAUGGCUGCAACUUGCAUUUGUGGAUCGACUUUGACUCCUUUAGAUUCAAUCUCAUGGACGAUCAUUUGCAAGUCAUGAACUUGCUCUAGUACUGGCUUGUUUUCCACCAUUUGAAACUUGAAAUAACGGCUACAAGCAUAUUUUUUCGAACCUGCUUCUUCAGUAUCAUAUUUUUGUUGCAAUGCUCUCCAACUUCUUUUUGCCGAAGUAUAAGAUGAAGAAUAAAAAUCAUAAAGUUCAUCAGACAAACAAUUAAGGAUAUAAUUUCUGCAAUCUUCCUCAUCAUUUUCCCAUUUUUGAAGUUGUUUGGCAUGAUUCUCCCUUUCUUCAUCAGUCAUUGAACUGGUGUCUAUCUUUUUUGGAUUCUUUGUGGAUAAGACCUAGGCAACCUUCAUUAGUUUCAAAUAGAACAUCACUUUCUUGGCCCACCUUUUGAAGUGUUGGCCACUAAAGCGAAAUGGUUUAUUGAGAUCACUAGAUCCAAUAGUUGUAGCGUUUGCAACAUUGCUUGCAACUUCCAUGGUACUCGAAUCGUCUUAAAUUGUUGUUCCUUUAGAACUUGAUAUGCAUGAUCAACCUGCAAAACAAAAGUCAAAGAAAGGGAAAUAAAGUAAUUUUGGCUAGGUGAGGCGCGGACUAGGUCGCUCUCUUAAGACGAUUCGCGCCCCUCUUGGGAUUAUGUCCCGUGUAGAAGGUUGAUGGCAUGUCGCCUCUGGGAUACAACAACCCAACCUAUACUGUUGCUUCUACUAAAUCUACACAAUUUAGAGAAGCUAAAGCUCUUCUCAACACCUAACUAAUACCCAAUAGAAGUGAGAGGAAGAUAGUUUUUUUGAGAUAGCAAGAAAGGUGUGUCAAAUUUGGUUGAUAGUGAUCUCUAUUUAUAGGCUAAAAAUUUAGGAGUAUUAGAAUACCACCAUUAAAUGGAAUAAAUGUGUCAUAUUUUUCAGUUACAAAAUUUGAAAAGGUCUAGGUCAUUGUAUAAUAGUCAAAAUUUAAUAAAUAAAUUCUUAAAACCUAAUCAUUACAUAGGUUACAAAAACAAGGCAUAAAUCUCAUAAGUUACCCUUUUUAAUGGUGAUCUUAUAACUGAAAAUUCAUUUCAAAUUUUGUAACUUAUUGCAUUUGAAUUCAAAAUAAGCAUGUGAAUGAAUUCAAAAUAAUAAUGAUAUUUUUAUUAAAAUAUCCAACACCUUGUGCAUGACUUAUUUAUUUAUUUGGCUUUAACACUUAGGGUUGCUUGAUCACCAACCUUAGGUCACACUAGUCGAUGGAUAGGCAAAAAAUUUUGCUAUUCAUUGAUAGAAAGGAAAUAAAUGAAAUCGAAGGAGGAAGCACAAAAAAGUAAUGAUACACUUAAAUAGGCAUUGGCUUUACAUUUUAUGAAGUAGAUGCACCAUUUACUUUGAAUCCCACCACGAAAGUGGGGGGACUUUAGGAUUGGAAAUGCCGGGAGCGAGUCUCAGUUACCAUUGGAAAUGACCUUGAGCGAGACGAGCCAUUAGUGAGACCCUAGUCAUUUGAUUCUCGAUUAUGGUGAGGCUGUGAAUUCUAUACCCCAGAGCCUUGGGUUAGUUGAUUCCACCUUUUCUUGGCCUGUUUUUACUGUUUUCAUGGUAUAAUUUAUUUUGCUUGUUUUAUGACUUUAUUUGAUAGUCUACACAGUAGAGCAAGCUUAAGUCCUUAAUAAUUGCGUCAUGGUGCUCCCAACUGGUUUGAUCCUUUAUACCCUACACUCACUAUCCAUAUACAGUGAAAUUGAACUAAUUUUAUAUGCAUAUCUUACACACGUCAAAUUUGAACUUGUUAAUGAGGAGCUUUUCUACUUUUUACUUGAAUAGAAUCAUAUCCUCUAUAUUCCUUUUAAUACUUUCACUUUGAAUAGUCAAUAUAUGGAUGUAACAAACUCAAAAAAGUGGUUGUCAAGUCGUUAAAAUUUCAUUAAAUUUUUGGAGAAGUUUGUUUAGGGAGUUUGAUGUGAGUAGUUUAUCUUCUUAAUAUUAAUUUAGUUUGAUAUUGAUAAUCUAUGAUUUUCAAUAAGAUUGAAAAUCAAUUAAAGUUUGUACAAAAGUUUUUUUCUAUGUUUUGUUGAAGAAAAAAAUUAGGCUUUGUUUGAUAAUCCAAUUCAACACUUAAACUUAAUGAAUUUACAUCUUAACAUGUUAACAUGUGUUUGAUAAUGAAAAAUUGAAUAUCUAACUUAAUUAAAUUGCACUAAAUUUUCUAGGAAAAACUUGCUUCUAAAAAUAAAUGAUAAGUUAUUCACUGAUCACUUAAAUGUGAUAUAUACUCAAAUGCAUCAGAUUUAAUACUUAACAAUUCAACAUUUUAAUAGAUUUAGAUUUAAGAUUUUAGACUUUAAAUUUUAGUUUUUAAAUUUUAAUUUUAUCAAACGCAGCUUUAGUCAUAGUAUAACACUUUACAUACUUAAUUUCUCUUUUAUUUUUAGUAAUCAUGAGAAAAAAAAACUUUGUGACUAAGUAUCACAAAAAGUAAUACGUUUAAUGUGUGACGCAUAUUCUUCUAUACUAAUUACUCUAAGUAUUGCACAAAAAGAGCGUAUUUUUAAACAAUAAUACAUACAAUGUGCAACACACGUUAUCUUUUUUUUUUUUUUUAACAAAGUACAUUUUUGGAAUUAAUUUAGUAAGAACUUAUGCAUGAAUUCCUUUUAUACUCUUGUCAUAUUUAAUAAAGCUAAUUUUCUUCCUCAUAUUCUUCUAAUGUUAAAUAGAGUCAAAAUCAAGUAAAAUCUCCUUAGAUCCAAAAAUGGGUUUUGAUUUUUAUUUAGAAAACAUAACCAAUACGAAAGGAUAUUUCUUUUUGCUUUGGAGAAUUGGUCAAAGUGGUAAGGUGGAAGUGAGAAAAUGUGACCUACAUCAGUUGGGGUUGAUUUUUGAGUAAUUAGUGUUGUAAAUAAAAGGAUUAUUUCAAAAGAUCUUGUCCCACAUCGAAAAAUUAAAGAGACUUUUCAUCAUUUAUAACGCAUAGUCUGUUAUUGGGCUUAUGUUAAGUUAGUAACUAGUAUGGGCUCGCGCGCAUGAUGUGAGAACUCGAAAAAUUAGGUUAUAUUUAUUUUAUUUCUUCGCAUGCAUUUUCUUUACUUUACUUUAUUAUAUUAAUUUUUCAGAGAUUUUUAUAAGUGAAUCAAGAUUUUAAAUCAUUUUCUUGGUAUAAGUUAGUACACGUUAAGUUUGAAGUGUAUUAUGGACGUGGAACCCGCUAAUGCAGUCUGUACGGUAAAAUUUUGACGACUAGGGGCCUGUUUGGCACCCUAGUUUUUUAUCAAGUUUUUUAGCUACUAGUUUUUUAAUAACUUUUGCUACAGGAACCCCAAAAAACUUCCCAAAGUUUUUUAUCUACACACUUAAAAUAUCUAAAACACAACAAAAAAAAAUUCCCUUCCUCUUUUCUUCUUCUUCCUCCCCCACCACCACCUCAGUCACCGGCUCCGGCGUCGAUUUCCGGUGCCGAUCUUCUUUUUUUUUCCCCUUUUUUUCCCUCUCCCCCUCUUCCUCCCCUGUCAUCCUUCCCUCUUGUCUUUUUUUUUCUCUCUGCGUCUCCCUCAUUUCCUCCCCCAGCUCUCUGUGAAAAAAAAAGAAAGAAAAUAAAGAUGGUGAGAAGUGAGAAGGGGAACAGGGGAGGCGGGGGGUGGCGGGGCAGAGGGGGAAGGGGCAGAGGUGGUGGCCGGGGGAGGGGGAAGGCGGGGCAGAGGAGGUGGCGGGGGGAGAGGAGGAGAAGGGGAAAGGGAGGAGAGGGGUGGCGGGAGGUGGCAUUGGUGGAGUUGCUACUGGGGGUGGCAGAGGUAACGGGGAAGAAGAAGAAGAAGAAGAAGAAAAGAAAAAGGAAAGAAAGAAGAAGAAAAAGAAAAAGAAAGAGAAAGAGAAAAAGAAAGAAAAAAAAAGAAAAAAAAGAAAAGGAAAAAAAAGUUUUUCACCUUACAAACUUCUACAAAAUUUUUCACUUUACAAAAACUUCUACAAAAUUUUUUCAAAAAUUUCUACAGUGCACUACAGUAAAGUUUUAGACAAACACCCAAAAAACUUAGGUUCCAAACAGGCCCUAGGUGAAGUCUUGCAUAAAGGAAUAUUAUUUUACAAGGUGUUAGGAGAUAAUUAGAGGUUAACUAGAUAAAUGAGCUUUGAAAGACAAGAAGAUUAGAACAAAACCUUAAGGUGCCAUUUGUUGCGAGACUAUUGGAAGUUGGACCUUUGACCAAGACUAGUUUUAGUCUUCAUCUUGGAAGCAAAAUUGACCAACACAUUUCAUUUCUUUCUUACCUCUUGGCCGAAAAUGAGAGAGGGAAAAACCAAGGGAAGAACUUAAUCUUCAACCUCAACUUCAUGCUUGAAUCUUGAGUUUCAAUCCACAAGCUUGCAACAUAUUUCAUAAAAGUGGUUCACUAGGGAAGAUUAAGGGAUUGAGUGGAGAGAUUUUUGGAGGAAAAGCACUAAACUUCCAUCUUUCUUGGAGGGACAAGGUAUCUUUGGCAAUACACUUUCCUCUACUUCAACUAUAUGCAAAUUAGUGGAUUAGGGUUGUAAAAUUGGUAGUUUUAUGAGGAAGUUUCAUGGUUUGAAAUAAUGUUGUGAAAAUUUUCAGUUUUUAUGAUAAUUUUCUGCUCAUAUAUGAAGCUUAAGAGUUGGCCAUGAUUGACUAGUUUUGACAUGUGAAAAAUCUAGUGUUUAUGUGUUAGUUUACUUUGCCUAAAGAAAUUUCCAGCUUGGGUGCAUAAAUUUCAGCUUAGGGUUUCAUUUGCUAACUUGAGUAAGUGAUGGUUAUAUGCUUGAUUUAGUGAGUUAUUAGUUUGGUAUGUAUAUGAUUGAGUUGAGGCUGUUUUGUGGUAAGAGUGAAGCCUUGAAUUGGCUGGAAAUAGUAGUAAAAACAAAAGAGGUGCUGCUGAAAAUUUUGUAGCCUUGGACAGUCUUAGGAAAUAUGCUAUAUCUUGUUGUAGAAAAGCUAGAAUCGAGUUCCGUUUGUUGCGUUUGAAACUAGAGUCAAAGUACUAUCAACCAUGAAAAUUUCAACCUUUUUAUCCAUUCCUAUGAAUAUUUAUGAUUUUUCAAAAUUGACUGAAAUUGCAUACCUGUUCUAUCUUGUACUGGAUGAAGCAGCAACUUGAGACUCGAAUUUGACUAACUUGUGGUCUGAAUCUUACAAAUGUGUCUUCUAAGAACUUGUAACCCUUUGAAUUUAUUUUCUGAUGGUAUAAGGUUUAUCAAUUUUGGACUUAAGAAUCUUGAGAUAUGAUUUUCCAAAUAGUGUUGCGCAAAACUGGAAAAUUCUAUUUUUCUAGAGCCGUUCUUACUUUCAUUUCCCACUUUAAGUUUGGGGUUGGUAAAUCAUUUUGAGUAUGAUUUGUGAGUGGAAUGGAGAUUUAAGUGAAAGGAAAUGAAGUCUUAGAAACCUUAAUUUCUUCAUGUAUUUUGGCUUUGUAUUGCUAGCUUUGUAAUAUAAUAUGUGACCACAGGACUCGAGAGAGUUCAAGAGGACGAACCAGGGUUAAAGUGAAGUGUUGCCAUUGAUUGGUGAGUGUACCCCUCCCAUGAUUUGUUGCUUAAUUGAUUUAUCUGUACUUGCAAUCUGUGGCUUGAAUGACUGUGAUCUCUGUUUAUUCUGGACGAGACCAGGGUGUACUUUAUCACACUCGUUUCUCUGGCCUGUGUGACUGUUUACUGUAUAAACUGGAAUCUGUUACUGUGCCUGAUAUGAUGUCGUUUGGAAGCUUAUCCAACGACUUUCCUGUGCCUGUGAAAUUUGAGUUCAACUUCAUUGGUAGUUAAUUGAAUCGAGUUAGCAAGGACUUGGUCGAAAAAAAUUGACAAACCAUGGGGACUGUUUCUGGGAAAUCUUUAGUUAUUGGAGAUUCUGAAUUUCCGGUAUACUUCUUGUAUUACCAUCUCUGUUCCUGUUGAGGCGUUCGGACCCGGUAAGGGGUAUGUUUGGUGGACAGAUUUUGGUGUAAAGUGGUGCUCUAUUGGACUGAUUACUUUACUUGAAAGUUGAUGGAUGGUCAACUACUACUUGAUCAAGCUCUGGUGAAGCAACGGGAAUUUGGCUCCUGAGAGCCAUCUGUAUCCUUUCUAUUUGAAUUACUAUGUUUAACUGAGGCGUUUGUACAUCUUUAUAUCUGGUGUGUGAGAACUCGAGAAAAAAUAAAUUAUAUGUACGCUAUGAAUUUCUUUUAUUUUAGUUACUUUGAUAUUAGAAAUAUUAUAACGAAUAAAUGGUUAAAUUAAAUGCCUAAUUGAAUUUAUAUAAAAAUUGAGAAUUUAGAAAUAUCCUAGAAUGGUGCAAUAUAUAUAUAUAUAUAUGAAUCAAAUAAACAUAUGAUAUGCAUAUUGUAAUUUGAGCAAUUUGAAUAUAUUAUAUAAUUGAAUAAAUUACAUGAUUAAUUAAUUUUUCCUUAAAGUCAAAUGUGUGAAAAUCUACUAGAUCAAUAUAAGGAAAAUCUUUUAAGGUACGUACAAAUUAGAACAAAUGCAAUUUGGAAUCAAUGAGUAAGAUAAUAAAAUUUCGGGCCUUAGUAGGUAAAUAUGCUAAAACUAGAGGACUAAUUUAACCCUAAAGGUUAGACAAUUCACCAUGCAUCCCAAGAAGAAAUUAUCGGGACUAGAACCAAGUAGAAGUAAGGUGAAUUAAUUGGUAAAAGUUGGGCGGUGACUGAAGGAAAAUUUAAAGAAAACAGCACUAGAACUACUAAGUCUAAGCGGUGGAAAUGAAGCAGCAAAUAAGAGUUGGCCAGCUAGCUGGGCGGUGGAACAUUUGCCGAGGCAGGAGUGACUAAAGGCAAGAGGAUUUCGGUAGCAUUGUUAUCUUUCUUAUGUUAAAACUCUACAAAACAACCCAGAGGAAAUAACUAGACAGCAGGCUCAUUAUUUGGGCGGUGAUCAGAGGAGUGAAGCAGACAGCUUCUUUUCUUUCUUUCUUUCUUGCAUCUUACAAAAACAAGAUCGAGGGUGAGGAACUCAGUGUGAGGGAAAAAAAAAGAUUAGCAAGCUGUAUCAUCAGCUAAACAAAGUCGAGAGAAUACUGUCAGUGGGCAAAGGAAACUGGAGCUAAGAGUGAGGAACUAGAACCAGAAAUUUUAGCAGCCGGCAACAUCGAAUUCUUAGGAGAAAAGGGUAAGAACCUACACUUAUUUUCAGUUUCUUCGGUAUAACUGGAAUAAUACAUGAGCUGCAUGUGAAUUUAGCAAAGAAAAUAAGUUCUUAGCUAAGAUAAAAUUCUGUUUUGAAAGGAAUGAAACUAACGGACAGAGAUGGAGAGAAUUGGGAGUUGUUGUUUGAAUUUCAGCCUAUAAGUGAUGGAAAAUUUAUGUGAUAAUCUCUUAAUCACCUAAUACACUUGAAUACGUAUGUUGUAUGAUAGUUUUUAGCCAAGAAAAGUGAGUUUUGCUAAAGGAAAUCCUGUGUAGAAACUGAUUCGUUCUUGGAAAGCUCAACUUGGCCGAUGGUAGGAGAGUUGAAGUUCACAGCUGUCCAUUCAAAAUCUUGGAGGAAAUUUCACUAAAAAUGCAUGAUAUAUGUUCAAUCUCAUGGCUUUUAAGAUAUUUGUUUUGAAACUAGUGAAUCAUUAACAAACUUGGCCGAAUUUGUUGAAAGAAACUGCUGGAAAUUUGAUGACAUGGUCGAGAGAGAAAUGGAAGAAUUUUCCAGUUUUCUUCAUGAAUAUUGACUGUGAAAUUGCAUAUUGUUGCUGUCUACACCUUGUAAUCCAAUAAUAUUAGCAUGCAUGUAGUAUUUAACUUGAAUCCAAGUGAAAUAAGUGUUGGUGUUGAAGGAACUUACUGGAAAUUUCUGUUGAGACCCGAUGAGAGAGGAGCUGGGAAUUUUUCUAGUUUUAUCUCCACAAUUUUGGUUGUGAAUGAAUAUAUAUCUUUGCUCCACAUACCUCUUAAUACUUAAACCUUAGCAUGCAUGUGGUAAAUUAUUUGGAUUAAACAAGGAAAGAUCAACUUUUGGAGGAAAUAUCAAAGCUGGAAUUUCUGGACAAAAGUGUUGUAUGAACCCGAGAGGAUAAAGCUGCAAUUGUUGGCUCUUUUCUUCAAAAUUUGCUGGAUUCGAAGUUGCAUGUUUUCACUUUAGUGUUUAGGUGAUUGCAUGUUGGAUUUGGUUAAUAACUUGGUAGAUUGAAUGAAAUCUCGGAAGAUACAUGGCUGGAAUCUCCGUUUUGAAACCUGAAUGACUGAUUGUAUUCUCUCAAGCUUAACUUCUGUUUCGUAAAUUGAAGUUUAUGCGGAUAUUGGCUAAAAGUAUCCUAUAGUACCCUGUUUUGUUGCAUGUAUUAUGAUUACUUUGAUUUAGAAAGAAACAUAGAGCCUUUGGAGAAGAAAUCUGAAGCUAGUUGAGCUUACGAGACUAGUUUACACAGCUUGGAAUAGUUGAGGAGUUUAAACCAUUUUCUGGAAUUCUAGGGGAUUUCAAUCAAACCUUAAACUAAGAACCACCUGUUGGGUAUAACGAUAAAAUGCAUGAUGGAUUUUAGGAAACUUAAACAAAGAAAAUGAUGGACUUUGGAUGGAAGACAUGAAGUAUGCCCUGCUAAAAAAUCUGGUUUAAACAAUUCUAACUUAGUACUUAAAUUCUAGAUUUAACUUUGAGUUCCUAAAGAGGAAAUGAACCAAAGCUGGUCAAAGCCUCUUUAAGGCUAUCUUAUAAAGGUUUUACUCGCGACUUUCAUCCAAACUAUAGGAUAAAAUCAAGGAAGUUUAUAGGAAUACUAAGCUGCCAACCUCUAGGAAAUUUAUCAACUUUGAACUUUGAUUUCUAAAAUGAUCCUUAGUACCUAGAUCGCAACUUUCAUUAUAAAAUGUAAAUUGCAAUAUAAUCACUAUAUCUUACUUUCUUUUGGUAAAACAUGGAAUUUUAAAGCUUGAAAGAUUAAAGCUACCUAGACUUUGAACCUUUGAUGUACUAGAAUAAGAUAAAUACUAAGAUUACCUUAAAACCCUAUAUAUAUGUAUGCAUUUAAAUAUCUCGAAUUAUACUUAUACGCACCUAUAUACAUUUAACUAAAAUAAUCAUGAGAACCUUAACUUCACCAUUGGAGAAAUAAUAAGCAGACUAGUAAGUUUACAAAUAUCUCAGGAAUCGAGAAAGAACUAGAGAAAGGUCCAAGUGUGACGCCCCCGCUUCUCCCAAGGGCGAACCCUAGGGUAUCGGCGGGACGCCUGCCUAACUCGCACCAGGACUCAAAAUUUCAAAACAAUAAAACUAGAUAAACCCACAAGCGUACUAUUCACAAUAUAUCUAAUGCCAAAAGAGUUCUAUUUACAUCUUCAAAAGUAUCGAGUUAAACCACUCUAAUACAUUAUAAUAACAACCAGCAGAAGGUAGACCCUAAGGAGGGUCCUUAUACAAACCACCAAAACAAAAACAAAUAUCCUAACUGUCCGACUAUUACAAUCAAACCUAACUAUACUAGUGAAGGUGCCAAGAAUUUUCCCGCGUCGUCCCCUGUUAAGGAAAACAAAGGAAACAGGGUAAGCUAGAAGCUUAGUAAGUAAACAGGGAUAAAAGCGUAAAAUUUCACAUUUAAAGAAACAGCUAUUCCACAAAAUGUCAAGUCAAGCACAAAAGUAACAAUACAAAGGAAGGAUACAGGUUGGCUCCAAAUCCAAGUCAUUUGCCAUGCGUGAUCUCCUGUCGACACUCCGUCGACCAUAAAUAAGGUCCGUAGAACUCCACUUGUACACCCACCGAACACCUUAUCACCCUCACUGGCCAGUCACAUCACAAACUUGCCCGGGCGAACGAAAUCACAAACUUGAGCUUGAGUCACAAGCUCGGGUCACAAACUUGGUUCACAACUGGAACAUACGAACUUGGUGACCUCAGACUAGGUUGGAUUGGCUCCGACCAAGCCCCGGCCGACUCGAAUAGUCCAUCCAGGUCUUGAGAUCGGGCCCACAAUUUCAACAUAUUUCACGAACUCACGAAAGUCACCCCGAACUCCAAGCUCAAGGGGUUCAGCACCAAAAUAAUUCAUAUAUACACAUCUUAUGGAGAAACAUAGGUACAAACUAGGGUUUAGGUCGAGUGUGAUAAAGUACACCCUCGCCUAAGUCCCCCUUUUCACAUCAAAACACAUAAGCAGUUUAUACACAUAAAUGGCUUGAAUACUUACUCAAAAUACAAAAAUGGUACAAGAGCAAAAUCACUUCGCGCGUGUUCGCUAGUAGUGGGCCCCACCGGUUCCGCCUAACUCACCACUGUCUGAAAUAGAAGAUUGUAUCACAUAUUAUCACAAACGGCCACUAACAUGCCCAAAACAAGCAAAACGGCAAAAUCGGCACAUGCAAGUGCGGAAACGGCAAAAUGGGCGCACGCGCGCGCGCGGAACGGCAAACGGAAAUGGCCAAAUCUGCCAUCUCAAACCGUUUUGAUCAAAAGUUAGGCUAGGAAUGUCAGAUCAAGGUGAACAAGACACCAUUUGGAAGCUAUGAGGAAGGGCUACAAUUCUCCUGAAGACACCUUAAUCUAGAUCUGAAUGGAAGCAGGUUGAAAUUGUGGAAAACAGUCCAGAAAUUUACGUCUUAGGGUGACGAACAGGGUUUGUUUACUAGAUCAUAACUCACAACUCAAAAAUACAAAUCAAGAAAUUCCAAAGGCGUUGGAAAGCUAGGACAUAAGGCUAUAACUUUCAUGUUUGGACCAAAAGCUGAAUCAAUACAGAGCAUGGAGGAAAAUGGAUCCAAACAUUCCUGUCAGAACUGUCCAAUGCGAAGGCAGUUCUGACAACUGAUCUUGUUUUGGUCAUAACUGAAGCUACGAAACUCAGAUUUGGAUGCACUUUAUACCGUUUCGAAGCUAAGACCAAGAUCUACCUUUCUUAUGAAGACACCAACACCCAAUUCAUAUGUUAUCAAAACGGACAAAACAGGGUCAGAAGCUAAAUCCAGAAACACGGCAGAAUCCGAAGUUUAGAAUAGAUGCGACUAUUUUGGCCAUAACUCAGGCUACAUAGAUCCGUUUGAGGUGUUCUUGGUGGCGUUAAAAAUAUAAGACAGAGUAAUGAAACUUUCAUGUUUUGGCAAAUGGCUAAAUCCAAACGGAUUAUAGUGAAUAAACACAACCAAAAAGACUAAACUGUCCACGCGAAACUCUGGAAUGUAACCUAGAACAACGAGGGUAGUUUCAUCUUUUCACAAGCUACGUUGCUCCGAUUGAGCUGAAAUUUUGUAGGCAACUAUAAAAUACCAUUCUCUACAACUUUCAUGUUUUAUUCUAAGCCUAACUUGGCCUCUAACAUGGUGAAAUAAAACCGGACAGAAUAGAGCUGAAAUUUUCCAGAAACCUGAAAUUUUGGGAUUCAAUGCAACCUUUCUUGAUUUCUUGCUCUAAUCAUCACUAAAAUCAUUUAUAUAAGCUUAGAUACAACAUAUAUCAUCCAUAUAGCAAUGAUAGGCAGCAAGUAUCUCAAACCCUAAUUCACAUAAAUCACCUUUAAAUCCUCAUAACAACUUGUAUCACCACUAAUCCAAUCAAAACAAGUAUUAUAUAACAACUUAAACCAAAAUGAAAGAACCAAAGCCAUGGUUUAGCCUUAUACCUCAACAAAUGAAGCUUGCAAGAGUAAUACUUCACCUCCUCUUGGAAGUCUUGUUUCCCCUAGCUUCUCAAACCCACAACUAACACUUUAAUCGGUUUAGAAGUUUAAUUUCUCACUUGGAUGGCUAAAUUCAAGAAGAAGGAAGUUGUUUCUUGCUCUCUCUUUCUCUCCUCUCUUGUUCGGCCAAGCAGCAGAAAUAAUGAAAGGAAAUGGAGCAAAAUUGGUGAUAAGAAGGUUGGAAUUUGUCUUGGUCAAGAAGCCAUGGUUGAGUGACACUUGUCACCACUAAUACCAACCAAAAUUUUCUUUUUCCUUCUUGCAUUUUUAGCCCUAAAAUUUGGUCAAAGCUAGCUGGAAAAUGAGAGGAUAUUUUGCUCAAAUAUUAGUGAGCUUGUAUGGUAAGAAAGUGGUGGUCAAGUGGUGUGUUCAAUCGGUAAUGCACGGUACACGUCGGUUCACACCGUUCUUCCUUAAGUCACACGUACUAGGGUUUUUUUACUUCCUAUUCACUAACUUUUUAUCAUUGCAUCUAAUCACAUAUUAUUUCUCACCCAAAAGUCACUCUUAAGCACCAAAUUUGAUCCUUGCUUCGUACCGAAAAAUCAUCCGGCGAAAAAUCGCGAAAACCCUAAUUGCUCCAAUCUUGAAAACGAAGAGUGAAACCCUACUUUUUAGGUUCAUUUGCACUUAUUGUAGAAUGAUUGGGUAGUAUUAAUGGUUUUACACCCCACUUAGAAUUCUAACAAAUCAUAUCACUAGAAACUUUUCUAGUUUAGGGUUUUUCUAACUUUUAAACUCACUUUAAGCACCAUUCGAACUUAUAAUUAAUACAAAACUAGGGUUUCAAUCCUACCCCCAAUUUAGGGUUUUCGAAGUAUUCCCAAAAUCAAAUGUUACCGCACAAAUAAUGAAUAUAACCUAAUAUCAACCUAAGAACGGACUGGGGCUUCACACCAAGCACCGAGUAGUGAACUCAAAUUACUUUGGGUGAGUGUUUCCGAAUUUAUGUGUUUAACUGUUUAUGUGUACUUAAGUGAAAUUAUGUGACAAAUAUGUGUAUUGUGAAAUAUUGCUAAGUGAUUCAUUGUAAAGUGUAUCUCGGUUGUCCCUCACCUUCUAAGUCAAGGGUGUACUUUAUCGCACUCGACUUAGUUGAGCUAGAAGGUUGAUAAUUAAUCAAGUGAUAUUGUAAGUAUUCAGGCUGUUUUUGUGUAUAACUUGCUUAUGUGCUUUGAUGUGAAUGAGAGGGUAUGUAGGCGAGGGUGUACUUGAUCACACUCGACCUAAACCCUAAUUUUGCACCUGUGUUUGUCUAUGAGAUGUAUAUAUAUGAAUUAUUUUGAUGUUGAACCCCUUGAGCUUGUAGUUUGGGGUGACGUUUGUGGGGCCCGAUCUUAAGACCUAGAUGGGCUAUUCGAGUUGGCCGGGGCUUGAUCGAAGCCAGUCCAACCUAGUUUUGAUGUCACCAAAUUUGUGAAUCAAGUUUGUGAAUCAAGUUUGUGAACCGAGCUUGUGAAUUAAGUUCAAUUUCGUUUCGUUUGCUCGAGCCAUUUUGUGAGGUGACUGACCAGUGAGGGUGAUAAGGUGUUAGGUGGGAGUACAAGCGGAGUUCUACGGACCUUUAUUUGUGGUCGACGGAGUGUCAACAGGAGGUUACACGUGGCACAUGAUUUGGCUUUGGAGCCAACCUGUAUCCUUAACUUGUGUUGUUACUUUUGUACUUUUGAUUUGACAUCUUUGUGAAAUAAUUGUUCAGUGAAGUGUUUUCUCAAUUGCUAAUGAAAGUGAUUGUACAGUGAAAUGUGCAUUACCUGCUUAAUUAUAUUGAUUCAUGUGAUUAUUAAAUGUUACUUGCAUGGAAACCUCACGGGCGUAAGCUUACCCUUUUAGCUUUGUUUUCUUUACAGGAGUUAAAGAUUGAAGAGUGAUUGAAUUGAACUAGAAAGUUAUUUUGGGAAGAUCCGUUAUUCUGUGUAUAUAGUGUAGGCAUGGUCUCUUUUGAAUUUUGAGACGGUUGAAUUUUUGUUUGAGUUGGUGUGAUAUUAAGAAUGGAUAUUUAGAAUAGGUAUUUUGUUUCUUUUAUUGGACAAAUUUAUGUUUCAAGCUAAUUGAAGAUGUACUUAAGAGUGGAUGUUCAGUUGUCCAAUGGUAAUGUUAUCUCUGAAGUUAAUGUGAGUGAGUGAGUUCUGGCGAGAGCCAGGCAGGCGAUCCGCUAACUUCUAGGGUAUGCCCUAGGAGAAAGUGGGGUCGUCACAUGGUGUUUCUAUGUGAUUGAUUAAAAGUAAAUCUUGACUGCUUGUACUUUUGGUACUGCACUGGGUUUUUAACUCAACUCUCGUUAUCUUUAUUUUCCUUACAGGAGACAAACUUUGAAACUGUGAUUAGUGGAGAAAAGAGUAGAGCUAGUUAGAGACAUUCUUUUGAUUAAACUCCUUUGUACUGGCAAACCUUAAUUGUACUUUGAUAAAUUGUGGAUAUUCUGACUUGUAUUACCAGUUGAACUACUGAACAUUCCAAUGUAUAUAGAUAUAAGUGUCUAACCAUGAAUAUUAAAUGUAUUCGUUUGAGAUGUACAUUUCUAUGGUUAUGUGAACUUGUUGGAAAUUUGAGAGAAUGCGAAACUUGAACAAGGAAAGAAAAGGAAUCUGGCAGGAUCUACUGCAGAGAUUCCAGCGGUAUAUCCGGCCGGAUACUUGGCCGGAUUGUCAGGGGAAAAUGAAAAGUUUUGAUUUUGUUCACUGCCUUGAAUCCGGCCAGGAAUCCGGCUAAAUUUUGGUUGGAUUCUGACGUGCCAUUUGUUCUUUUCGCUUUUCGUCGGAACGUUGAAUCGAAGUUCUAUUGCAUCGUUUAGUUUAGCUAAUUCAGUUUCCGACAGUUCAUUUUCUCGAAGUUCUUUUGCACGUUUUGUAUGGGUUUGCGUGUGUUUCGACUCAGUAGUCCUGGCGAGAACUGGAUAAGCAGUUCGCUAACCCUUACGGUACGCCCUAAGGGAAGGUGGGGCUGUCACACAUGAGAGAGGAGUUGAGUUGGGCUGUUUCAGUUCCAAGUGAGUUUUUCUACGACCAAGAAUAUAUUUUACAAAUUAAAAUUUGAAUCUUUCCUGAGAAGAUAAAUUUUUUAUUUCAUGGUUAUGAAGGUCAUAACGUUCCCAUUUAUUUCAUCGAUUACAUAACUUUCCCUUUUAACAUUACUAUCAUCGGUUACGAAGGUCAUAACGUUCCCAUUUAUUUCAUCGGUUACAUAACGUUUCCUUUUAAUAUUACUAUCCGUUACUUCCGUUACACGGAAUAAAUUAAACAUUACUUUCGGUUACACAAAAAAUUAGCCAUGUUUUUUUUAUGUUAUCAAAUAUUAUUUCUCAUUUUCUGCUGCCUAUAAAUACCAGUUGUGCUCCCAUUUUAGAGACAAACCAACAGCUGACAGUAGAGACCUUCCUGUUAGUUUUCUUGCUCUAAUUCUCUUCUUCUACUUCUUCCUCUCUCUGCUGAAUUUAACUAAUGUUUGCUAAAGUUCUGAUCCUUCUUGUUAUAAAUAAGAAGAAGACUUGUUUAAUUUUGGGGAAAUAUUUCAAUUUCAUGAAAUAGUUUCUUAAGAUAGUGUUAUUAGACAUGACUCAAGCUAUAUUUUAUUAGUUAACAUUGUUUUUCGGCUAUUUCUGCCUACAAUCUAAGAAACAAUGGCCUCUGGUAAUGUUAACACCUCACAAGAUGCAUCCGAUUCAGUUGCUGUCACACUAACUUUCACAAGACCUUGUCCAGACAUCUCCGAAAUUGAAGUUUUCAUCAAUGAAAACUUCAAAAGGUGGCAAGAUUGUGUGCACUCUCUACUGGACGUUCAUGGAGUGGCCUACGCACUGACAAAAGUACAACCAACUGCAACUAUGAAUGUCAAGGCACAAGAAUCUUGGCAAUAUGCCAAUAAGGUUUGUCGGCACACUAUUUUACAAACACUUCAAAUGAAUUAUUUGAUGUGUACUGUAGCUAUAAGGAAGGUAACAAAAUUUGGGAAGCCUUGAAAACAAAAUUCAUAGCUGAAGACGCUACCAAACAAAAAUUCAUUGUGGGGAAAUACAACCAAUGGCAGAUGACAGAAAACAAAGAAAUGAAAGUACAAAUCACGGAGUACCAAAUGCUACUUGAGGACUUCAAAAAUCAAGACAUAAAUUUGCCUGAAAAAUUUGCUGCUGGCAUGCUAAUUGAAAAGUUGCCCGAGUCGUGGGCUGACUACAAAAAUAAUCUGAAACAUAAAUAGAAAAAUUACACCAUUGAUGAGAUCGUGAAACAUAUUUUGAUUGAAGACUCUAGCAGAAAGGAGUUAAGGACUGUCAAAAUUAAGGAGAUGACUCUCAAAGCUAAUCUGAUUCAAAGUAAUAAUAAAAGGUACGCCAAUAAAUCCCAAAAUUACAAGCCCAAUAAUCCCAAUUUUAAAAAGAAGAAAGGCAUUUGCUAUGUCUGUGAAAAACCAGGAUACCAGGCUGCUCAAUGCAGGCACAAAAAGAAAGAUGACAAAGCAAAUGGCAAUCCUCCUAAGGUUAAUUUAACCGAAGGAUAUGAUAUAAUUGCUGCUGUCAUCUCUCAAGUCAAUAUUGCAACCAAUGUAAAAAAGUGAGUAGUAGACUCUGGGGCUAUUCGGCACAUAUGUGCAAAUCGAGAAACUUUUUCCUCCUAUACACCAAUAGGGGAUGAUGAAGAGGUGGUCUACCUUGGAGACUCACAAACUGCUAAAAUUCUGGGUAAUGGCAAAAUUCUAUUGAAACUUACUUCAGAAAAAACUUUGGCCCUCAAUGAUGUGCUGCACGUGCCGAAUAUUCGGGCAAAUCUGGUUUCUGUAGCAUUGCUAGGAAAAGUUGGGGUGAAAGUGUCAUUUGAAUCUGAUAAGAUUGUUAUGACCAAAAAUAAUAUAUUUGUGGGCAAAAACUACUGUAAUCAACUCUUUGUACUCAACGUUUCAAAUGUGAUCAUUGAAAAUGCAUCUUCUUUUGUUUAUAUUAUUGAUUCAAUUUCUUUAUGGCAUGCUAAAUUAGUACAUGUUAAUGUUAGCUAUAUAAAGAAAAUACAAUCACUUGGAUUACUUUCUGAUGUUAAUAAUAAUGACAUGAAAACGUGAAAUAUGUACAGAAACUAAAAUAAUCAAGAAAAAUUGUGUAACUGUUCAAAGAGAAACUGGUUUAUUAAAUCUAAUUCACACAGAUUUAGUUGAUUUAAAACAAACUAUGACUAGAGGAGGUACAAGAUAUUAUGUUACUUUUAUCGAUGAUUAUUCAAGAUAUACUAAACUUUAUUUACUUAGAAAUAAAGAUGAUACUUAUAAUGUUUUUUUAUCUUAUAAGUCUGAGGUAGAAAACCAACUUAAUAAGAAACUAAAAAGAAUUAGAUCAGAUAAAGGAGGUGAAUAUUUAGCUUUAGAUAAGUUUUGUGAACAUGAAAACAUAAUACAUGAAUCAACGCCUCCUUAUUCACCAGAAUCUAAUGGAGUAGUUGAAAGAAAAAUAGGACACUAAAAUAAAUGAUGAACUCUAUGUUAGUUAGUUCACAUGCUCCAGAUAAUUUAUGGAAAGAAACUAUAUUAUCUGCAUGUCAUCUACAAAAUAGAAUUCCACAUAAAAAGAUUGGCAGAACACCUUAUGAGUUAUGAAAAAAUUAUAAUCCAAAUUUAAAAUAUUUAAAAGUAUGGAGAUGUCUUACUAAAGUGUUAUUACCUGAACCUAAGAAAAGAAAAUUAGGUUCUAAAACUUCUGAUUGUAUGUUUAUUAGAUAUAUUGAACAUAGUGCUGCAUAUAGAUUUCUUGUUUUAAGAAGUGAUACACUUGAUUGUAAUACAAUUAUAGAGAUAAAAAAAGCUAAGUUUUUUGAACAUAUUUUUUCACUAUCCAAUAAAAUUUCUCGUGCACCUGUUGAAAGAAAUAAAAAAAUAAGCUCUAAUAAGGAAUUGAGAAGGAGUAAAAGGCUGAGAAAAGAAUUUUCUUAUGGGAAUGAUUUUCAAACCUUUCUUGUUGACAAUGAUCCUUUAACUUAUUCUGAUGCAAUUUCUUCUUCUGAUUGCAAGUUUUGGAAAGAAGCAAUUAAAUCUGAAAUUGAUUCUAUUUUGCAAAAUAAAACAUGGACUUUGGUAAAUUUGCCUCCUGGUGCACAAUCUAUUGGUUGCAAAUGGAUUUUUAAAAGAAAAUAUAAUUCUAAUGGUUCUAUAGAAAAAUGCAAAGCUCAUUUAGUAGCAAAAGAAUUUUUUUAGAAACAAAAUAUUGACUAUUUUGACGCAUUUGCACCAGUAACAAGAAUUUCUUCUAUUCGUGUUUUAUUUGCCUUAGGUUCUAUCCACAAACUUGUUGUUCAUCAAAUGGAUGUCAAAACAGCUUUUUUAAAUGGUGAUUUAGAAGAAGAAAUUUAUAUGCUUCAACCUGAAGGAUGUAUUAAAUCUGGAUAAGAAAAUAAAGUGUGUAAAUUAAUUAAAUCUCUUUAUGGUUUAAAACAAGCUCCUAAACAGUUGCAUGAGAAAUUUGAUCAAGUGUUGAUGAAAGAUGAUUUUUUGUCUGUAGAAGUGAAUAAAUGUGUAUAUAUUAAAGUUGUGAAUAAUCAAUAUAUGUUAAUUAGUCUAUAUGUGGAUGACAUGCUUAUAUUUGGUAUAAAUAUAGAUGUUGUUAAUAGUACUAAAUAUUUCUUAUCCUCUAAGCUUGAUAUGAAAGAUUUGGAUAAAGUUAAAAUGACAUUGGGUAUUCAUAUCAUAAGGAGAGAUGAUGAUAUAAUGUUGUCACAACAAUAUUAUACAGAAAGACUUCUUAGGAAGUUUGAAAAUUAUGAUGUGACACAUGUAAGUACUCCUUAUGAUGCUAAUACACAAUUAAAGAAAAAUAAUGGUGACCCAAUUGCUCAAUCUAAAUAUGCUCAGAUUAUUGGGAGUCUGAUGCAUUUGAUGAAUUAUACGAAAGUUGUGUGUCGACUGAGCAGGUAUACUCACAAUCCUAAUAGUGAGCAUUGGUUAGUUAGACUAAUGAAAUAUUUGAGAGGUACCAUGCAUUAUGGUAUCUUAUAUUUGGAUUUUCCACUAUAUUAGAGGGGUAUAGUGAUGCUAAUUGGAUCUCGGAUUCAAAUGAGACAAAAUCCACUAGUGUUUAUGUAUUCAUCCUUGGAGGUGGUGCAGUAACAUGGAAGUCAGUUAGACAAACAAUCAUUACUAGAUCAACUAUGGAAUCAGAGUUUAUAGUUCUGGUGUUGACUGGUUCUGAGGUUAAUUGGUUAAGAAACUUCUUAAUCAAUAUCCCUACAACUACGAAUCUGUUGCCUCUUGUAUCCAUACAUUGUGAUUGUCAAGCAGCAAUUGCUAUUGCUAAAAAUAAAUCAUAUAAUUAUAAAAGUCGACACAUGAAACUAAGACAUGAUGUCGUAAAGCAACUGCUUAAAGUUUGAAUUAUUUCUAUUGAUUUUGUGAAAUCAGAGUUGAAUUUGGCCAAUCCUCUGACUAAACUUGUAGGCAGAAAAUUAAUUCUUCAAACUACAAGAGCAAUGAGACUAAGGCCAAUAAGUUGUCAAUAGAUAUAGUAACCCAACCUAUGUGAUUGGUGAUCCGAUUAAGUAGAUUCAUAUGGGUAAUCACAAAUCAAUAUUGACUGUAAAACACUUCAAAUUUAAGUCUCUCCGAAGAUAAGUGCUUUGAUUGCUAAUAAUUGUAAGGGUGAGUUUAAAACUCUUAAUGAAUUCAUAUCUAUUUAAGGAGGUGUAUUUAAAGCAAUAUACACUUGAUUAAUUUACCUAUAUGAGAGUGGAGUGAGGCUGCUCCUAUAAUAUUUAUUGGCCGAAUCUUUAGAGCUCUAAUAAAUAACUAGGUAAGUGCACGGCCUAAAAGCGUAAAAUCGCGAUAAUAGCAAGUUAUGGGUUGUAGUGUGAUAGAUUUUUAAAAUCUCUGUCAUACAUCAAGAGUUAUUGGUUCAUAGAAAUUCAUAUUUCACCAAUAAUUUUGUAGGUCAUGUUUUGCCAAUCUAAGUUUGGUUUAUAGUCCAAAAGACACCAAACUUAUUACAUUUCGCCCAAAUAAAUCCAGUAGACUAUUUCUUUUGACCAAAAUCUUUUGAAAUAGGAAGGAGAUUGUUGUAAAUAAAACGCAUAUUUCAAAAGAUCUUGUCCCACAUCGAAAAGCUAAAGAGACUUUUCAUCAUUUAUAACGCAUAGUCUGUUAUUGGGUUUAAGUUAAGUUGGUAACUGGUGUGGGCUCGCGCGCAUGAGAGGGGAGUUGAGUUGGGCCGUUUCAGUCCCAAGUGAGUUUUACUGUGACCAAAAAUAUAUUUUACAAAUCAAAAUUUGAAUCUUUCCUGAGAAGAUAAAUUUUUUAUUUCAUCGGCUAUGAAGGUUCCCUUUUAACAUUACUAUCAUCGGUUAUGAAGGUUAGAACGUUCCCAUUUAUUUCAUCAGUAACAUAACAUUUCCUUUUAAUAUUACAAUCCGUUACUUUACACGGAAUAAAUUAAACGUUACUUUUGGUUACACAGAAAAUUAGCUACGUUUUUUUUUAUGUUAUUAGAUAUUAUUUCUCACUUUCUGCUACCUAUAAAUACUAGUUGUGCUCCCACUUUAGAGACACACCAACAGUUGAUAGUAGAGACCUUCCUGCCAGCUUUCUUGCUCUACUUCUCUUCUUCUACAUCUUCCCCUCUCUACUUGAUUUAACCAACGCUUGCUAAAGUUCUAAUCCUUCUUGUUAUAAAUAAGAAGAAGACUUGUUUAAUUUUAGGGAAACAUUUCAAUUUCAUGAAAUAGUUUCUUAGGACAUUAUUAUUAAACACGACUCAAGCUAUAUUUUAUUAGUUAACAUUGUUUUUUGACUAUUUUUAUCUACAAUUAGUGCCUAGGUCAAGAGAUUAGAAUGUUGAUAUCAUGGAUAUAUAUAUAUAUAUAUAUAUAUAUAUAUAUAUAUAUAUAUAUAUUAUCAAUGACGGCUAUACUCCAUAACGUUAAUUUGGAUAAUACUAAACAAAUGAUGCACAAGAAGUUGGUGGAUCAAGUAAAAUAAAAGAAUAGUUAAGUUCCUGAAACUUUUAUCCAAAAUUGGUUUCUCAAGUUGAGUUUUAACCAAUUUAGCUUGGUUGAUAUAUUAUUUAUAAUAUUUGGUGUAAAUUCAUACAAGUUUAGUAUAAUUGUAAAAUUUUUGUUUAACUUAAUUGUAUGAGUUGGCAAAUUUCAAUUAUCCCGAAAUUAUGUUAGUUUAUAACACAUAUUGUAAGAAUUACAUCAAAUUGGAGAGCCCGUAGAUCCACUUUUAGCACUCUUCUUUAACUCUCUUUUUCUCUUUCCCACGUACUUUCGGAGAAUUACGAACGUAAUUAAUCAAUCAAGGUGAUGUAUCGUGAAUUUGGUUAUGUAUGGCAUGUUGUUUUUGGUAACAAAAAUACUCAUUUAUAUACUUCCAUUUUAUUGAACAUGAUUCAUUAUCUUAUGAAUCACUGAUAUACUACAUAGUUACAUUCCACUCUCGUGGAAACUGAAAUACAAACUAAAAGGGGCAUAUAUUGUACCCAUUAUUUAGUACUCGUUUAGCCUGAUAUUGGCUGUCUAAAGCACAAACACCAAUCAUGGAAUUAAUAUUUAGCAUAAGGCCAAACACAAUAUAGUGAACUUCCAUCCUCAAAGUAAAGAGUGCAGCCGUCGGAGACGCAACAAUUGGUGCCGUCUGUGUAGGUCUUCGUUCCAUUACAGAUCUUGUACACGGUGCCUCCUAUGCAAUUUCGUGAGCAGGGCCUGAGAAGCCCAUGCCUGACAGCCUUGACUUCCACAUUUGCUCCCAGAAGAAUCAUUCCUGUUUUUAGUACCAAAAUCAUUUUAAAUCAUGUGCAAACCAAAUCCCGUAUAGGGUUUUGAAAAAUGCUCGAAACUUAUUUUAUAUAUCUUAUCUUAUCUUAAACUACAUAAAGCCGCGAAGGCUGAGCUACAGUUAAUUGUGCCGGUUUCACUGUGAUUUUGCAGCCAAUUUCGUCCUUUUUGGUCUUUUCGCGGGCUUCAUGCAGCGCCCUUGCUUCUUCUUCCGCUUGUCCUCAUUGCUUUUUUUGUUGCUUUGUUCCCAUUCUGCCCUUCCCUUGGUUCGUUUGUAAUUUUGUCCCCAAUUUUGUCCUUUUGUUUCUCCUCCAUCUUCCGCUGCUGCAGUUGUUAUGCCUGACUUUAUUCACAAAUGUUAGCUUUUGUCCCCAACUUUGUCCUUUUCUUUCUCCUUCAUUUUCCGUUGCUGUAUGUAACUGUUAUCGCUAGCUUUAUUCACGAAAAUGUUAGCUUAUCGUUUUUAUUUAUUAACUUUAUUUCACAUAUAACUUCCUUCAAUCUUAACUUUGUAUUAGCAUUUCUUUCUUCAAACUAUAAUUCUCUCUUCUCUUUUAUAUUUAUUAUUAUAUUCAUUAAUCAAUAAAUUAAUUACUCAAAAUAUAUAUAUUAACAAACAUAUUGAUUUUGUAAAAAAAAUCCUUCGCAUAUAUAAACAAAAAUAUACAUAAUAUACACAGCAUUAAACAAUCAUAAAGUAUAUUUUUUCACCCAAAAAAAUAUAUAUAAAAAAAAUUAAUUUUCUCCAAAAUAUAUAUAUCAACAAAAACUUCAUACACAUCCAAUAAAUAUAAAUCAAUUAUUCAAAUCUAUCUUUAACUUCCAUUCAUUCGACUAACCAUUUUCUAAAAAUAUCCAAUAGCUUCUUUCUAUUCCAAAAAUCUUAUUUCUAUAAUAUAUAUUAACUACUAAACAAUUAACUUAAAUCUUUUCCACUUCAAAAUUGAAUAACACAAUACACAUACAUUCAAAAAAAAGUUAUAAUUAAUUCUAUACCCUUUAUAUACGAUUUAUCUUCCACAAUAUAUAUAUUAACAAAAAUAUUUAUUCUCUAGAAACACAACUUUAAUUCUAUAAUACAAACACAAAAUUAUUUUGACUACAAAAACAUAUAAAUAUAUUUUUAUAUCCUAUUUAUCACCCAUUUUACAUAUCUCCACUUUUUCCAAAAUAUAUUUUACUGCAACCAAUUAUUUUUUAAAAUAUAACAUAAUUCCUCUCUAUUUCAAAAAUACUCCUUCAAUAAUAUUCGUUAAUAACCCAAUUAUCAACUUAAACUUCUUCCAUUUUUAAAUUAAAUAGCAUAACACAAAUACAACCGCCAUAAAAUACUUAUCAACAAAAAAUUCAUAACUAUCUAAUAAAUACAAAUUAAUUGUACCACUUUCCAUUACCUUCCAUUUACUCUAUUCCAAAAAUAUUACUUCAAUAAUAUUUCAAAAACUAAAAAAUUCAAAAAUAUACAACUAAAAACCAAAAUUAAAAAAAAAACUUUUCUCUAAAAUUAUAACCUACAUUAUCAUUAAUAAUAUGGGAUAAAGCAACAAUGGCAAAAAAAUAUGCAAUUGAAUCCUUGGACAGAGUACUUAGAGAUUUGCUGAAUUCUGAUCAAAUAUUUGGUGGAAAACUCAUUGUUUUCGGUGGAAAUUUUCGACAGACUUUACCAAUUGUCCACAAAGGUCAAAGAGAAGAUUACAUUUCUGCAUCUCUCAUCAACUCAUAUAUUUGGCCACACCUCCAAAAGAUUCGAUUGACUGAAAAUAUGAGAGCAUUUCUCGAUCCAUCAUUCUCAGAUUUUCUGCUCAAUAUUGGAAAUGGCACACAAGCAACCAUUGCAGAUGACAAGAUACAAUUGCCUUCUUCUAUGAUUGUCUCUUUCAUUAAUGAUGAUCAGCAAUCCUUGCACACUCUGAUAGACACUGUUUAUCCAUCUCUAUCUAGCUUUUGCCCUCAGAAUUCAACUCUCAUUAACAGAGCCAUUCUCAGUACAACAAAUGAUAUUGUGCACGAAAUCAAUCAAAUUUUGAUUCAGAAGUUCCCUGGAGAAGAAAUCAAAUAUAUCAGCUUCGAUGAGACAAUAGAUCCAACAAAACAAGCUGAAUCACGGUGACUUCUUAAAUACUAUCCACCCCCAGGAUUACCUCCACAUUUGUUGAUUUUGAAACCAAAUUGCCCAGUUAUUCUCCUAAGAAAUCUGAAUCCAGCACAAUGACUAUGCAAUGGAACCCCCAUGAUAUGCUUAAAUUUUAACAAAAACAUCAUACAUGCACAAAUUUCGGUUGGAAUUCAUUCUGGUAAAUAGGUUUUCAUUCCUCGCAUUCCAUUGCAUAGUUCUAAUGAUGAGUCAUAUCCAAUACCUUUCAAGCGUACUCAGUUCCCAAUUUCAUUAUGUUUUGCCAUGACAAUUAAUAAAUCACAAGGACAAACACUUGAUUUUGCAGGAUUAUAUUUGAAAGAACCAGUAUUUUCACAUGGCCAAUUAUAUGUUGCAUUAUCAAGGGCUAGAAUUGCUAAUGAUGUUAAAAUUUUACUCAUACGCAUUGCCUCUGAUUCUUUGUCCAGUAAUUGUACUCGAAAUGUAGUGUAUCAAGAAAUUUUAGCAGCUGCAGCUGAAGAUUAAGUACUGAACUUAAAAGUUUUCAAUUAAAAGUGCUUAUAUUCAGCAUCUUAUAUAUUUGCAUCAUUCCAUCCAUAUUAAUAUACAUUUGAUGUUCUAUAUUGCAGGCAUGGAUGACAAAUGCACUCCUGUGAAUAGUUUGACAAAUAAAUCAAGUGAGUGGAUAAUUAAAGUCGUUCUGAUUGAAAAUCCUAUGUAUAUCUAAUACAUACUAACGAAUAAAAAUUCUAUAUGUAUCUAAUCAAUAUAUAAAAAUCGAUUAUGCUAUUUUGUAUUAAUGCAGAUCAAUGAAAAUUAUAUGUGUUUAACCUAUAUCUAAUAUAUAUAAAUUAAUAAUACUGCCUUGUAUUAACAUAUAAUAAGUGUUAUUUAUAUCAAAUAAUUAUAGUUUCGAGACUAUUUCUAUAUUUAUAAUUUUCUCUCCUUCUUUAUAUUUAUCCACUUAUUUAUUAACUCGCUUAUUUAUUAAUUUUGUCGAAAGUGUGUAUAUUGACAAAAAUAUUAACUAUUAAAAAAAUACGCAAAUCACUAAAAAUGCUAUGCACAUCUAAUACAUAAAAUAGCCUUCUUUUUAUGUUUAUUCGCUUAUUUAUUAAUUUUCUCCAAAAUAUAUACAUUAGCAAAAAUAUUAAAUGUGAAAAAAAUGCAAAUUCCUAAAAAUCCUACGUACAUCUAAUAUAUGCAAAUGAAUAAAAAUUCUAUGUGUAUCCAAUCAGUAUAUAUAAAUCAAUUAUACUGUUUCGUAUUAAUACAAAUCAAUGAAAAUCAUAUGUACUUAAUAUGUAUCUAAUGUAUAUAAAUUUAAUUAAUUUUCUCCAAAAUGUAUAUAUUAGCAAAAAUAUUAAAUAUGAAAAAAAUAUGCAAAUCGCUAAAAAUCCUACGUGCAUCUCUAAAAUGUGUAUAUUAACAAACAUAUUAAAUAUCAAAAAAACAUGCAGGUUGCUAUAUACACAAACAUAUUAAUCAAUAUAUAUAAAUCGAUUAUGGUGUUUUGUAUUAAUGCAGAUAAAUGAAAAUCAUAUAUGUUUAGCAUGCAUCUAAUAUAUAUAAAUUAAUAAUACUACUUUGUAUUAACAUAUAAUAAGUGUUAUUUAUGUGAAAUAAUUAUAAUUUCGACACUAUUUCUAUGUUUAUAAUUUUCCAUCAUUCUUUAUAUUUAUCCGCUUAUUUAUUAACUCACUUAUUUAUUAACUUUGUCAAAAGUGUGUGUAUUGAAAAAAAUAUUAACUAUCAAAAAAUUACGCAGGUCACUAAAAAUCCUAUGUAUAUCUAAUACAUACUAACGAAUAAAAAUUCUAUAUGUAUCUAAUCAAUAGAUAUAAAUCGAUUAUGCUGUUUUAUAUUAAUGCAGAUCAAUGAAAAUUAUAUGUGUUUAACGUAUAUCUAAUAUAUAUAAAUUAAUAAUACUACCUUGUAUUAACAUAUAAUAAGUGUUAUUUAUAUCAAAUAAUUAUAAUUUUGAGACUAUUUCUAUAUUUAUAAUUUUCCCUCCUUCUUUAUAGUUAUCCGCUUAUUUAUUAACACGCUUAUUUAUUAAUUUUGUCGAAAGUGUGUAUAUUGACAAAAAUAUUAACAGUUAAAAAAUUACGCAAAUCACUAAAAAUGCUAUGCACAUCUAAUACAUAAAAUAGCCUUCUUUUUAUAUUUAUUCGCUUAUUUAUUAAUUUUCUCCAAAAUAUAUAUAUUAGAAAAAAUAUUAAAUAUGAAAAAAUAUGCAAAUUCCUAAAAAUCCUACGUACAUCUAAUAUAUGCAGAUGAAUAAAAAUUCUAUGUGUAUCCAAUCAGUAUAUAUAAAUCAAUUAUACUGUUUCGUAUUAAUACAAAUCAAUGAAAAUCAUAUGUACGUACUUAACAUGUAUCUAAUAUAUAUAAAUUUAAUUAAUUUUCUCCAAAAUGUAUAUAUUAGCAAAAAUAUUAAAUAUGAAAAAAAUAUGCAAAUCGUUAAAAAUCCUACGUGCACCUAAUAUAUGCAAAUGAAUACAAAUUCUAUGUAUAUCCAGUCAAUAUAUAUAAAUUGAUUAUGCUAUUUCGUAUUAAUACAAAUGAAUGAAAAUCAUAUGUACUUGACAUGUAUCUAAUAUAUAUAAACUUAAAAUUAAAUCAAUCCAAUAUUUAUUGAUUCAAAAAACAAUUAUUCUAUCAAUAAAUACAAAUAUAUGAUUCUAAAUUUAUAAUUUCAAAAUUUUAAAAAUCAUUAAUUUGUAUAUAUUAUAUUUAUGAAUUUGUAUUCUUCACUAUAUUUCUUUUCUUUUAGUUUUUCAAUACUAAACUCUUCCACUAUUUAACACACGAUCUUGAAUCUUUGGUGAGUUUCAUACAAAUUACAUUCCUAUCAAUAUAAUUCAUGCACUACAUUGCUACUCUCAUUUCAUAAUACAACUACGUUUUUUCCCUAUUUUCUAUCUCAGGUACUCAUUGGUGAUAUACCCUCGCAUAUACAAACAGACAACAUAGGAGUCAUCAAUUGUUAUCAUGCUAAAACUCGAUGGAUCUUUCAGCUAGAAGGAAUAGAAAUAACAGAAGGUUGGCCAAUAUUCGCACAAAAACACUUCUUACAUGAAGGAAGUGUCAUCCUGUUCACCCUACUCAAUGAAAACAAUUAUCAUUUGCAGUUCUUUAGCAGAGACUUUAUCCAACAAUCAUAAUUAAACAUGACCACUACAGCUUCUUGCACAUAGCAAUUAUAUGUUCCCUAAAUUUUCUUUAUUCUACUUCCACUUAUAUUUAACAAUAUAAAAAUAAACAUAUUGAAAUUAUUUCGAAUUAUUAAUUUAUCUCAACUCUUAAAAAAUGAUUUACAUUCCAUUAAUUUAAAUAAUAUUUACAUCCUGUUACUCUUAAAAAAUUAAAUACAAAUCACAACAAUAUUACUAUAUCUAUUUAUAAAUAUAUUAAUCCAAUAUAUUGUUCCUCUAUUUAUUAUUCCAACCCUACUAUCAUAUAAAACACUCUAAACAUUAAUUAUUAAAUAAAUCUUACAUUACCCUUAAACAAUCAAUAAUGGGCACCCCGCGAAACUCGCGGGGCACAAUGCCUAGUAUAUAUAUAUAUAUAUGGGAUGAAAAAUGCAAACCAAAUCAUGUGCAAACCAAAUCUCGUAUAGGCAAACUUAUUUUUUAAAAUUGCCCCUCAGGUUUAACUCAUACACAAAAGAAUAAAAUUGUACAUACCACAAAACAGAAUAGCCAUUGCACCAAUCUUGUUGAUUGCCAUGAUUCCUUGUCUUCCAAAAGUUUGCCUUUGAUUUGAAAUCGCUUGGGCUUAUACCUAGGUUCUUAUAUAGACGGGAAGAGCAAAGAGUGGAUUGAGAUUUAUUAGGCCCGCCCACCUGUCCUCCUGCUACUAGGUGCAAUUAUUCUUCUCAUUGUGCUUCCACAUAAUCGUGGGACCAGCCCAUCCUAAAUUAUUGUGCUUUUGCGUCCAUCCAAAAUUAUAGAAUAUGUUUAGAUAGGAGAUUAUUUGAAAUAAAUAUAUUUAAAAAUAUUAUAAUACUUUUUGUAAUAUGAUGUUUAUAAAAUAAAAAAUGGUUAAAAAGUUAAAAAAGUAUUUGAGAAAUAUAUUUAUGAUGCAAUCAUAUAAUUUUUUACAAAUGAAAUGAUAUCCAAACAAACCCAAUCCUCCUUAGAAUUUUGGGACCAAUCCAUCCUAAAUUAGGGAACAUAUCAGAAACCUCCCCUAAGUUUUCUCUUAAUAUCAUCUAUCAACCCUAAGGUAUUAAAAAUAUCACUUGCCUCUUUUACUUUUAUAUUUGUGUGAAAGCCCUAAACUGCCCUUUUGCUCAUUUUGCUAAAUAAAAAUACUCAUAAGCCACUUUGUUUACGCCAAGAAAAAUCAUCACCUAAAAAAUAAUUUCUAAUAGUACCACUACAUCACAAAACUAUAGUCCAUAAAAAUAUAAUUUGGAAAACAAAAUAGAUAUUUGUAGAAAUACAUUAACACCAAUUUAACUCUACAUACUCAAAAUUGAAUUCAUGAACCUUAUAUUUUUUCCAACUUCUUCUCGACUCGUGGUCCGAUCAUUUAAAUUGUACUAAUCAUUAUAAAAAUCAACUCAAAAUAAACAAAGAAAUCAACCCCAUUCUAUCAUAAUCAGAAAAGGUAAAAGAUAAACAAAAUUCAAUUUAUUAUAAUUUACAAAUAAAAAAUUGCAUGAUCAUCCAAAAAAAAUGAGAAAGAUGUUAAGACUUGAGCUAGAAGAAAGAAGAGGAGAAAGAGUUGGGGGCUGGAAGAGAAUUGAAAAAGAGAGAAUAUUAUUCAGAUUUGAGAAUAAGAAUCAUACAAAAUCCGUGCCUAGCUAUUGUUGCAUAUCCAUCAUUUAUAGGAGAUGAUUUCCCAAAUCUGCCUCUCAACAAACUAGUUUUGUCUGGGUGAAUUCUCAGUUUAUGAUGGAAAAAAAAAAGAAUUCUACAACGAGGGCGGUUCUUGGGUUUGCUUCCACAAAAGAGGGUCUUCGCAUUCUAGAAAUGCGAGCUCAUUGAGCUCGCAUUCUGAAAAUGCGAGCUCACAUUGAGCUCGCAAAGGAGCUCAUUGAGCUCGCAUUCUAGAAAUGCGAGCUCAUUGAGCUCGCAUUCUGAAAAUGCGAGCUCACAUUGAGCUCGCAUCCUCGCACUACAUACCGCCAAGACCCAUUUCGAAAAAAAGAAGAAGACAAAAGUGAGUGGGAGAAGCAGAACGCAAUAUCGAAACAUAGCUGCCGAACAUCAAAACAAAGAUUUCGGAAUUGUCGAACAGCAAAACAAAGAAAAUAAAUAACAUGCACUUCAUAAAAAUAACUUAUAUAAUUUUUUUAAAUAACAUUGCGUUAUGAAAUUUCUAAAAUUACAGUUGAAAUUGUAACAGAUAUUAAUGACUAUUAACUAUUAGAUUCUUAUAACUAAAAUUCGUCGGUGUCAACAAAUAAAUACGAUUCAUUAAUAACAAAGGAAAAUUAGAAUUUGAUAAAAAAAAUUUAUUUGAUAAAAAAGGAAAAAAAGUUAGUAUUUUAUUCAUAAAAUAUAGUCAAUACCUUACAUGUUAACAAUUUCAUUCUAUUUUUUCAUUGAUAUAUGAAAUAGAAAGAACUAUGCAUGUGUACUUUUUCCACCAUUUAAAUGUAUUAUAAUAAAAUAACGUAUUUUCAACCGUACAAUUACCAAUUUUUUUUAAUAUAAAAGAAAUAUGAUUUUUUUUAGAACACAUAUUUGAUGACUUUAGGCACGUGCAAGUUUUAAAAUAAAAAAAUUUAUUCCUCUGCUAAUUACAGAUUUUAAAUAACAUUUCUUUAACAUUUCUCCGAAAUAUAAGAUUUUAGUAGAGCUUUUAAAAUAAGAUUUUACUACCGACAGCAUUUUAGUAAAGGCAAAUUCUACAAAACAAACAACAUUUUCUGAAAAAGAUACAUUUUGGUGGGAGCUCGUAAAUUUCAUUUUAAAUUUUUUUUCUAGCAAGUUUGAAUUUAAUUUUCUGAAAGUCAUACUUAUAAAUGCGAAAUCUAACAAAAAAAUUAAAUACAAUUUUUGGAGGUCAAAUUUAUCAAAUGCGAGCUAUUUGAAAAAUUUUAUUUAGCUCUUACUAUUUUCUGGAAAAAAUUUAAUGAGAGCCUAAAAAAAAAAAAAAAAUAUCAGGGUGAGCUCAGCAGAGCUCGCAUUCGCAAAAUGCGAAGACCCCCUACGGAAUACCCAAUCAAAAUCACCCCUUUUGUAGAAUUUUUUUAAAAUUCAUCACAAAAUUAGAAAUUUCUCAGUUUUGUCUGCAUGCAUGAGUUGUUACGCCUUUUAACUACUUUCCCCGCCCUUAUUAUUACUAACGUAAAUGAAUUACAAUAAUAUCCCUCAAUCUCCUGACUGCUUGCCAUUUAGCCCCUGUGAUCCAUAACAAUACUCCCCCCUUCAGGCCUUCACACAAUCCUAGACUCUAGGAUUGGACUCCGAACUCAAGAAACUGAGCCUGCAUCGCCGAGCCAUCCUCCCAAGUUGCAUCUGCUGUAUCCAGAUUUUUCCAUUGGAUUAAUGCUUGCUCCACGUCUCUCCCAUGCCUUUGCAGAGUUCUUCUAGCCAGAACAGCUGCAGGAGCUAUUUGGACCUCACCCUCCUCUGUGAGUGUAGGGGGCUGUGAGUGCACAACAGCUCCCUUUGCAGAUGGCUUCAGUAGGAAACAUGGAAGACGGGGUGCACGGUGGAUCCCUGAGGUAGCUCCAACCUAUAAGCCACUGGUCCAACCUUUUCCAGCACCUUGUAAGGCCCGUAGUACUUGGAAGAUAGCUUCAAAUUCCUCCUUAAGGCAAUGGACGUCUGUCUGUAAGGUUGCAAUUUGAGAUACACCAGAUCACCUACUUCAAAUGAUCUCUCACUCCUGUUUCUGUCAGCAUACUGCUUCAUCAGGUUUUGGGCUCUAAGUAAGUUUUCCAUCAGUAGUUGGUUCCAAUUAACUCUUUCCGCCCACCAAUCCUCUAGGCUCUAUCUCAGCUACCCUAGAGGACCUGUCUUGGAGACUCAACUGGGGUGGGGCAUACCUGUACAAGGCUUGGAAAGGUGACAUUUUCAGAGCUGUAUGAUGAUUAGUAUUAUACCACCAUUCUGCAGCAGUGAGGCACCUCUUCCAUUUUCUGGGUUGUUGGAAGCACAAGCACCUGAGGUAAGUCUCCAAACACCUGUUCACUCUUUCUGUUUGACCAUCAGUCUGGGGAUGGUAGCUAGUCGACAAAUGCAGCUGGGUGCCUACUCUGUUGAAUAGUUCUUGCCAAAAAAACUUGUAAAAACCUUGUCCCUAUCAGAUAAGAUGCUUGAUGGUAACCUGUGGAGCUUGUAUAUGUUGUCAAAGAACACCUGAGCCACUCCGUUGGCAGCAUAAUGGUUGCUGAUAGCAAAGAAAUGUGCCACCUUAGUGAACCUGUCUACUAUCACCAAGAUCACAUCACUCCCUCCUGAUUUGGGCAGCCCCUCAAUGAAAUCCAUUGCUAUGUGUUGCUAUGCUUGUUCCGGGAUGUCCAAUGGUUGUAACAGUCCUGGGUACUUGCAAUGCUCCCCUUUACUAAUCCUGCAAGUUUCACAUUGUUAUACAAAGUCCUCCACCUCUCUUUUCAUUCCUGGCCAAAGAAGUACCCUUUCAGUUUCUGGUAAGUGCCCAAAUUUCCAGAAUGACCCCCAAUCCAUGAUUCAUGCAUACACGAGAUUAGCUGCUGUCUCAAAGUUCCUGUAGCUCCAAUCAGUAUUCUCCCCUUGUAUUUUAUGAUCCCUUGCUGAUAAGUGUGGUCAGGUAUUUGGUAGACCAAAAAAAUUUUUCCGCCUUCCUGACCCACUCCCUAGGGUUCCGUCCUUCAAAGUGGGGGAACUCCAGCUUGGGAGUCCCGGGAGAAAAGCAUUUCUGUCGAUCCUCUCACCAUGCCCUACGUCACCUUCCCCUCGCCUUCCCCCACCGGAGGUCAAACCGCGUUCGACAGAGCCUGGAGGAGUUGAGAGGAUGCCGCGAUCAUUGUGGCUGGACUUCAUCUGGUUGAGCUGGGCCACAAUAGCCGCCAUGUAGCUUCUUAUCUCCGUUGAGUUGGACUCCAUUUUUGCAGAAUGCGAUUCAAAUUUGUCUUCCAGAGUCUUUAAUGCCUCUUGCGUGGAAUCGAUGAACCCUUGCAAUCUGGUCUCUUGCUUGCGGAUCUGUUCUUCGAGAGUUUUCAGGCGAGUGCCCUCGGCCAUAGCGGAUUUAGCUACUGCUUGCUGUUGGAUAGUGAACCGAGAGAUAUGCUAAAGAAAAUAGUCUGAGUGAUUGAAGCCUGCAAUCCGAGGGUCCCAGGCUCUGAUACCACUGUUAAGACUUGAGCUAGAAGAAAGAAGAGGAGAAAGAGUCGGGGGCUGGGAGAGAAUUGAAAAAAAGAGAAUAUUAUUCAGAUUUGAGAAUAAGAAUCAUACAAAAUCCGUGCCUAGCUACUGUUGCGUAUCUGUCAUUUAUAGGAGAUGAUUUCCCAGAUCUCCCUCUCAACAAACUAGUUUUGUCUGCAUGCAUGAGUUGUUACGCCUUUUAACUUCUUUCCCCGCCCUUGUUAUUACUAACGUAAAUGAAUUACAAUAAUAUCCCUCAAUCUCCUGACUGCUUGCCAUUUACCCCGUGUGAUCCAUAACAAAAGAGAGGAUGUUGGAGAAAUGAGAGAGAGAAAAAAGUGACUUUUGUUUCCUUUUGUUUCCUAUUUUUUGAGCUCUUUAUUUGAUAUGUAAAUUAUGUAUUAAGCAAGGGUUAACAAAGUCUUUUUGUAAAAAUUAUGAGAGGUGAGUGAUUUUUUAAAACUGUAAGGGUGCUAAAUGAUAUUAGGAGAAACCUCCAGGGUGGUUUUUGAUAUUAUCCCCCUAAAUUAUUGUGCUCCUAGGUCCAUUCUAAAUUAUUUUGCUUCACAGAAAUUUGGGACCAGUCCUUCGCAAAUUACUGGAAGCCAGUACUUCCUAUGCAUUCAAUGUUUUACUGUAAUUCCCAUGCAAAAUUAGUCACGUUUUAUUUUCCUCAAUUUGUUCUCCACUUGCCUGCCAAUGUCAUUUAUGAUGCAGCUAUGUUUGAUAUGCAGAAGACGUACAACUUUUUUGAAAACACAUAGGCCCACCAAUUGUUUCUAUUCAAAUGCUUCUAUUAAAUGAACAGGGCAAUGUUGAAAUAAAUUGAAAGACAUAUCAUUAAUCUUCUUUGAUCAAUGUAUUUGGUUUGAACCUAAUCUGUUGAUAGUUUUGUAGUCAUGCAAAAUUGGCAUCUUCCAAGGAGAGAAUCUUGUUUGAGGUUUAGACAUCUCCAAAUUGCUACUCAGUUUAGUUAUUAACUUGAAUACGUACUUUAGAUUUUUUUUUUUUUUUGGAACUUGCGCUCACAAGGUCAAUUUUUGAAGUGGGAAAUGCAAUCUUUGUCCCCUAUUUUUAUUCUAUCCACAAAAAUGAUCGCAAAUGUUUCACCAGAAACAAAUCUAGUACCUCCUAAUUAUUCUGAUAUCCACCAAUAAAAUUAUUUCAAUUUCUAAUGGAACGAAACACUUGAAAUUCACUGGAAUUUUUCUAGACGUUCCUAAUUAUCACCAUUGUAUUGAACACAACAUUUAUAUGGUUGGAUGGAUACUAGAUUCUUUAACUAAACAAUGAGAGGCUCCACAAAUAUAUCAAUGUGUUUGAAUUUGUCAACGGGGUGCUUUUCUUCUGUUUGCUUGUAUAGAAUCUUAUCCUUCAUUUUCCACUUAAUAUUUUUACUUUGAAUAUUCAAGAUAUGGAUGUACCAAACUCAAGAAAAUAGUUGUGAAGCCUGAUGAAAUUCCAUUAAAAUUUUGGAGGCGUUUGUUUGGAGAGUUUGAUGUGAGUAGUUUAUGUUCUUAAUUUUAAUUUAUUUGAUAUUAAAAUUCUAUGACUUUCAAUAAGGUUGAGAAUCAAUUAAAGUUUGUAAAAAAAAUUUUUCUAUGUUUCAUUGAAGGAGAAAAUUAGUCUUAGUACAACAUUUUAAUGCUUAAUAUCUCUUUUUUUUUUCUCUAGUAUUCAUGAGAAAAAAAACUGUGACUAAGUAUCACAAAAAGUAACCACCAGCCAAGGCUGGUGGCCACCACUAAGCCAUUAAAGGCUUGAUGGGGUGGGAGGUAAGGGUUCAAACCUUGCCUCCCACCAAUUGCCACAUUAAGCGGUUUCUUAAAAAAACUUCUAGCCUACGCACCCGUCUGGUUCGAUGGUGGUUCAGUCCCCACCGGUCCCCCUAAACCCAGUUGGGUAUCCCUCCUAAGAUUAGGAUAGUGUAGGAUAUUAUAGAUAAAGCGAUGAAUGACAAAAAAAAAAGUAUCACAAAAAGUAAUACACAUAAUGUGCAAUGUACAUUCUCUUAUGCUAGCUGCUCUAAGUACUGGACAAAAGGAGCAUACUUUCAAAAAGUAGUACGUAUAAUGCGCAACACACAUUAUCUGUUUUUUUUAACUUAGUACAUUUUUGGAAUUAAUUUAGUAAGAACUUAUGCAUGAAUUCGUCAUAUUGAAUAAUGCUAUUUUUCUUCCUUAUAUUCUUGUAAUGUUAAUUUAGAGACAAAAUCAAGUAAAUCUCCGCAGAGCCAAAAAUGUAUUUUUAUUUUGAUUUAAAAAAAAACAUAUCCAUUAUGAAAGGAUACUUCUUUUUGCCUUGGAGAAUUGGUCAAAUUGGUAAGGUUGAAGUGAGAAAAUGUGACCUGCAUCAGUUGGGGUUGAUUUUGUGUAAUUAGUGCCCAGGUCAAGAGAUUAGAAUGCUGAUCUCAUGGAGUUAUAUAUGACCAUUAUCCAUGACGGCUAUACUCUAACGGCUCCAUAAUGUUUUUCUGGAUAAUACUGAACAAAUGAUGCACAAGAAGUUGGUGGAUCAAGUAAAGUGAAAGAAUCGUUAAGUUCUUGAAACUAUUAUCCAAAAUGGGUUUCUUGAGUUGAGUUUUAUCCAAUUUGGCUUGGUUGAUAUAAUAUUAAUCAUGAAUAUAUUCUAACUUAUUUAUAUGAGUUGACAAAUUACAAUUAUCAUGAAAUUAUGUUAGUUUACAGCAUAUAUUGGAAGAAUUACAUUAAUUGGAUAAAAUCCACUUGGAGAAGCCGUAGACUCUUUCUCUCUCCCUCGUAUAUUUGGGAGAAUUAAGUACAAUUUUUCAAGAUGUAAUUAAUCAUUUCAGGUGAUGUAUCAUGAAUUUGAUUACGUAUGACACGUUGCUUCUUGUAAAAAAAAGUACUGAUUUAUAUACUUCAAUUUUAUUAAACAUGAUUCACUAUCUCAUUAAUCACUGAUAUAUUACAUAGUCAUAUUCCACCCUCGCGGAAUCCGAAAUACAUACUAGAAAGGGCAUAUAUUAUAGCCAUUAUUUAGUACUAUAUCUAAGGUUCAAGUCUAUACGAGUCAGAGCAACCAAACCUUAGUUUAAUAGGCUGGCCUCUGUACAAAAGAUGUUGAACCUUAGACUCAUUCACCUGAAGAAAAAACAGAAACAACUGUAAAUCCGGAGUCCAUGCCAGCAAAAUGGAAAUAGAAAAUAAGAAAAUAAAAUUUUCACUCAGUUCAUUGGACCGAAACAUGAUUGUUGAACAACAGUUAAACCCUAGGCAACCGCUGUUAUACCAUCAACACAGAAGAUGUUGAUCCAAAAACAUGGCUCUUUUUUACAUCCUCCACAAGAAUAUCCUCAAUAACAAGAUGACGCAGCACACGGGAUGCUUCACCCUUGAGAAGAUGUUUUCCAGCUCCAUGCAGGCUCAAGGUCUCAAUGCAUGAGAUUUAGAUGUAUCUUUUAUAUUUAUUUGUUUCCUAUUUUCACAUGAAGUAUCUGGUCACAUGAGAUUUAUCUGUAAUCCCUUUUCUAAGAUUCACCAGUUUCUCGGUUGUCUACUUGACAUUUUAUCGGGCAGGUUAUGGGCAACAAAUUCAUAAUAAAAUAGUUACAUGAAUCAAGUAGACAACCGAGAGGAAUAAAGCUGAACAACAAGUGCACUCAAAUCAUAAACUAUUACUACAUCCAUUUCAAUCUCAAAUAGAUGGGACUAAUUUCAAAUGUAAUCAAUUUAGCGCAAACUUUAAAACUUAACCCUCACAAUUCAACACAAUACAGUACAUAGCUUCAAGAAUAGCUAAUAAUGUCCAAUAAAAUCUCAGGAAAAAAAGGGAACAACUUGAAGAAUGGACAGCUUCUUUACGGUGACAUUUAGCAACAACAUUAUCUAAUUGCUCACAAAAUAAAAAAAAUUUACCAUGCAAUUACAUACCUUCAACGGGAAAGCAAGGAAAGUUUGUUUGCAGGGAGAUUCAGCAGAAAAAAACUCCAAGUGUUUUGGCUGAGAGAUAAUUUGCCGAGGAUAGUUUUUUGCAGAGAGAGUGUUUCUUGUGAGAGAGAUAAGAAGAAGCAAAAUUUGACUAAGUGCUUUGGGCGGCAAAAUGAAAGUUUUGAGCAAAUGAAUCUUCCACCAAUUCACUACGAUGUCGUUUUGCGCCUUUCCUUCUUUUUUUGGUAUAUCUUACAUUUUCUCAAGUGUCAUGAUAGGUAGUUUAAAGGCACAUUAUUAUUUUUAUAUCAGAUAAAAUAAAAAAAUAAAGUAUAUAUUAUUGAGUUAAUAAUAAAUGUCAUAAUAGAAGUACUAUAAUGACACAAACCAGCAAGUGUCAUUAUAGACAUGCCGGGAAAAUCCAUUUUUGUUGUAAUAUGACAACCGUUCAGAACAAUGUAAUACUUUUUAAAUAAGUUGUAAUUGUUUCUUAACAACUUAUACACAUUUACAAUAGGAGUAUAAUAUUUUAUUACUGUUUAUGUAGAUCCCAUAUAUAAUAAUUGUGUGUUUUAUUAUAAUAUUUUAUAAGUAAUUCACAUAAAAUUAUAAAGUGUUUAAAAAAUGUUACAUCAUUCCGUUCCGUGCCUGGAGUCCAUCAAUUGACACUAACAUCAUCGUACCCCACAAAUGUGAUUAUUCUUACAUUGUUUCAUAGAAUUUUGGGACCAGUCCCUCGUAAAUUACCUUAAAAAAAAAAGCCCCUUGUAAUUAUUGGACUGGCAUGAGUCCCUCAAAUUGACGCCAACGUCACCGUACCCCACGAAUGUAAUUAUUCUUACCUAGUUUCAUAGAAUUUUGGGACCAGACCAUCCUAAAUAUUGUACUUCCAAAGAAUUGUAAAUCACUCAUCUUGAUUUUAAACUUUUUAAGUUUACACCAUAAAAAAUGGACUAUUUUUAUUCACAAAAACAUUUCAAUGGUAGCUUUGGUCAAUGCGGUCUGCAAACAUUUUUUUUCAAGGGAAAUAUUUUUUUAUAGUUCAGAUAUUUAUAAGGGAAAAUUUGCUAUAUAAUUGGCGAAAGAUUUGAUAUGCAAGGAUGGAGUAAAAUUUUGUCCAAAGUCACAAGUAGGGAGUUUGGUUUCUUUUAAUGGGAAUCAAGCUAAAAUGAUAGAUUUGCCCAUAGAUAGUUUUGCAUGAAUUUAGGACCUCAAUUGGCCACGUUAUGUCCGUAGACAGUUUUGUAAAGUUUUGACCAAUGCAACUGUGUCGGAUAGGAGAUUAUUUGAAAUAAUUUUUUCAAAAAAAAAAAAAUAGUGUAGCACUUUUCAAUGAAAAUAUAUUCCAUUUUGGCCGAUGUGACUCUGUUUGGAUAGGAGAUUAUUUGGGAUAAAUUUUUUAAAAAAUAGUGCAGCACUUUUCUAAUGUGAUGUCUGUGUGAUAAAAAAGUGAUUAAAAAUAUAUAUAUUAUACAAACAGAUAAAUUUGUGUAAAUAAUUUACUAUCCAAACUAAUUCAUUGUGAGGGCCCGAGUUAGAUAUGUAUCCAUAUCAACAUUAAUCCAGCAAUCAAUAUAUAAAAACUGAACCGUCAUGUUGUACUGCAUUAAACACGUAGGAAGACAACAUUAAUUUCUUGCUUGCAUGCUUUGCUAGAUUUCAAAUUUUUCUUUCAUAUUGUUGAUUAUGUACCACAUAUAUAUAGUAUCGAUAGGGGUAGCUCUUGAGAGGACCACAGCGAAAGAACCUUUUUCUUUGUUAAAUAUAUCAACUUUUGCGAAUUUCCGUUGAUGGUUUUAAUCUUCCACGUAAAUUUCUAUACAAAAAGCAGUACAUGUCGCUCGUGAAUUAGUACUUUAGGUUUGAGUAUUCAGCAUAUGGGUGCACCAAACUCAAUAAAAAAUAGUUGUCAAGUAUGUUAAAAUUCCAUUAAAUUUUUGGAGGAGUUUGUUUGUAGAGUUUGAUGUCAGUAGUUUGUCUUUUGGAUUUUAAUUUAGAUUGAUAUUGAUAUUCUACGCUUUCUAAUGGGAUUGAAAAUCAUUUAAAGUUUGUAUUUUUUAUAUGUUUUGUUGAAGGAGAAUAUUAUUUUAAUACGACACUUUAAAUACUUAAUAUCUCUAUUAUUUGUAGUAGUCACGAGAAAAAACUUUGCGACUAAAUAUCACAAAAAACAACAUGCAACGUACGCUCUCUUAUACUAGUUAAAAUAUAGGACAAAAGAACAUGGUUUUUAUUUAGUACUCUAAGUUUGGGUUCAAAAUAUUUUUGGACGUGUUCUGAAAUCACCAUUGCCUGGAAUACAGCAUGUACGUGAUCCCCUUGAUAAUCAAAUUCAGUGAAGAAGUAAUUGAUUUUCUUUAAAUGAACUAUUAGAGGCCUAUGUGGUAAACAAGCUUUUGAUCAAAUUUGCCUGUUACAAAUUUUUUAACAACUUUAACUAUAAUAACUUAAAAAAAAAAUUCAAAGUUUUUAACUAUAUACUUUAAAAUAUUCAAAAAAUUUUCCUACAACUUUUACAGUAAUUUACAAUAAAAUUUUAGACAAAUGUCCAAAAAACUCAUUUGUCAAUCAAGCCUAGAUUCUUUUGUUAAAGAAUAAGAGACUCAACAAACAUCUUAGUUAAGAGACUUGGUAAACAUCUUAGUUAUGCACAGUUUCUUUUCUUCUCGCUAGAUUCCUUCUUUUUCUCCUUCGAAUAGUGACUUAAAUUGACAUUAACAUCACCGUACACCCCGAAACUGACUAUACAUACCUUGCUUCCAUCGAAUUUUGCGACCGGGCCAUCCUUAAUUAUUGUGCUUCCACAGAAUUUUGGGACCAGACCAUCCUUUGUGCUUCCUGGUCCAUCCUAAACUAAUGUGCAUCAACAGAAUAUUGGGACUAGUCCUUUGUAAAUUAUUGGAAGCCAGUCCUUCCUAUGCGUUCCACGUUUUAUUACAAUGUCCAUGCAAAAUUAGUUACGUUUUGAUUUCCUCAAUUUGUUCUCCGCUAGCAAGCCUUUCAUUCAUGAUGCGCAUCCAUUAUUCGGCCUCUGUGGAUAUGAGGCUGUCAGCCAUCAGUCAUCAUCGUUCAUUGCAUGGAAUGGUGCUUUUCAAUGAACAUAUUUUCUUAGGUGUGAUAGAGUUUAUUGUACAAUUAAUCAGUUUUGGUAGCUCUUUAGUAAUUUGACAAUGGUGCUACCAGCUAGCUUGACUUCUCUUGCUUUUGUCAAUAAUAACUAUGUUGACAAGUGAUCAAGUCUUAGAUAAUUUGGGUACUAUAAUUCCACUGCUAUGUUUGAUAUACAGAAGUAGAAGACAUACAGCUUGGUAAAAUGAAGUUGAAUAGUGGUGCUAACUCAAAUUCUUUUGCCCAUAAAAUUAAUAGGCUCAUAAAAUUGGGAGCUUGCAUCGGAAUCUGGAUUUGAUCAGCGCUGCUUGGUUAAUUGUUUGGUAGUGAAUGUUUCAAAAAAGAUGUUAAUGAACAAGAUCUACCUCUAUUUAUCGACAACAUUUUACAUUUUGUCCAAGCAGGACCCGACCUUAUUGAAGUGUCAAAACGUGAAUGUUUCAAUACCCAUUCCGAUUGUGUAGUGCUAGAAAUUGUGAAAUUGCCUUCAUCAGUUGCAAGUUUGGGUGUUUGUUUAGGCUGAGAAAUGUUGUUCUAGGCCUGCUCACGAGCUUGCUCAAAUGUACUAGCCUUAUUGCUCAUACUGAAUUCUGGUAGAAUAACCCAGAUUGGUCACAAAACAAUUCAGCUCAAGGAUUUCUAUGCAAAAGCAAUUGUUGCCAGACAAUUAGCGGCCCCAGUAGGUUUUCACAGUACAGUUGUCCCUAUCCUCUGUUUGUUUUUGGCCUAAACUUAAAAAAUCGUUAGCUCUUCUUCACUUAGUGGCCCUAAUAGGUAUUCAUAGUAAAAUCACGUACGUUCGUUCCCAUCAUCUGUUUAUUUUAUGUCAAAAUUUAAGGAAAAAAAAAUCGUUGUCUCUUGUUCAAUUUAAGGGUGCCCACAUUUUAUUAAAAUUGACAUUCCCCAGCAAAAUAAUUUUUGUUCUUAAAUCUGCCUUUACAGUUUGGUGGAUUGUAGAAUCUGCUAUCUAAAAUAGGAUUUUGCCCCCUAAAUUUUGUAGCCACUUGAGAAAGAAUCCUUGCAGUCAUCUGUUAGAAUAUGAUACAAACAUCUCAUAAUGGUCAUUAUUUAGUCUCUUUAGUAAGAAGAAAUAUUUGCAUUGUUUCCUUGUGUGGUCAGUGCUCUUGGAUGUAUGUUUAUACCGAUUCUUUAUUCCUUGUCUACGGUUGUUGAGUUAAUUUGUUCGAAAUACAACAUCAUUAAGGAAGAAUAUUCUAAAAUAAUUCCAGUUUUUUUACCCUAUUAUUGUUGUUUUUAUGUCACCAAUUGCUUUGUUUUCAACCUUUUUCGCGCAGCAACAAUUUCCCAAUUGGGAGUGUUUGGAUACCAAAAUUAUUCCAAAUAAUAUUUCGCUUACAUCACAAACAAAUUUCCCAACCUACAUUUUUAUAUUCUCAAUCACCUUUUUAUCUCACAUACAUCAUAUCACAAAAAGUGCUACAGUAAUUAUUCCAAAUAAUAUUUUAAAUAAUACACUAUCCAAACAAAAUUGUGCAUGAACAAAAUAAUAUUUUUUUUAGCCAUGAACAAAAUUGUAAAGAAAGCUUGGCGGAGGCACAACUUAAGCUAUAUAGGUGCAUGAUUCGGUUUUGCUAAUUUAAAUAUAACGCCUAAAGUCAGGAGGUGAAUUUCAAUAAAUAUAUUUUUUCAUUCAAUGUAGGUUAGCCAUUAACGUCUUGGCUUGUUGGUGGAAACGAAUAAAGCUUGAGGCACUAGUAUUCAAAACCUUUUGUUGAUUAAUGUUAUUCCUCUUCCAUUUUUGUAGUGAUGGACGCCAAAGUAAUACACUUGUACGUUUGUCUUUUUUAGGAUGGAAACAAUCAAGAUAUAUCUAUAUGAGCCUCUUGUAUUCAGACAUUUGAUACAAUGAAAACUUGUAUCUAGUAUUCUGAAGAAGCACGGAACUUCCCCGGGCCGAACUGACCUGAUGAGCUCGGGGUGCUGAUGGAAGAGCUGAUUCCAAGCCUACAAGAUAAAUAGGAGGGUAAACUGGAAGGGGCCCCGAGGUGGUCCCCGAGGGCACUCCGACGGUCAAGUUAGUUUUCCGGUGAGAGGGGAGUGUACUAACAGAAAAGCAGUCGGGAGUGAAUUGCCAAUAGUGAGCGUACCUUGUACAGUUGGUAUGUGUUACCAUUUAUACCCGCUUAGGAGUCCGACCUCCGUACGUUCCGGGACUUGCCCUGGAUAGCUCCCAAUCCCCCGCUGAGGGGGAUUCUCCUCGCCCUCUGCGGGGUAGCUCUCGGGAGCCUCCCGGAGCCCUAGUCGCCGUGCGCCCUGGGCUGGUUCCCCAUGGGCCCGGGGUGCAAGCCCAACUCGGAUCAACCCUGGGCUGCCACGUGUACAGCCCCAGGACGGGGCCUCUGCACUAGCCCCCUAGAUUAGGUCAGGCUCCCAGGCAGACCUGAUCUAUCCCCUUGCCACGUGGAAGCCCCUCAUCCCACUGCUCUGCCGCGGUCACCUCCGGUGCAGUGCUGACAUUGGGAAGUGGCGUCCGCGUCCUUUCAGCUGUCGCGUCCCUUCGGUCUCUGUACCUCUAUUAAAUGUGUUCACAUGGGACGGUUCAAAUUCAAGCAACCGUUUUCCCCCCAUUUCGUUCCCUAUAAAUAGGGGUUGCCAAAUUUCAGUUGACUGUAUUUGCCAUUUUCUCCUUUCCUCGUGCAUUUCCCAAUUCCCAGUAGCGCAUUUCCGGCCAACAGCACCCAGAUUCCGGCGACUUCUCCAUCCCUUUCUUCACUCCGAUCACCAGUAAGUCCUUUCCCUUCUUCUUUCGCAUUUCCUUUCCUCCAUUUGCCACCCUUUGCAUUUUAUGUCGGGUCACUCCGACGUCACUUCCUCCGCAUCCCAGACUCCGGUCCGUCGUAGAGCCACCAGAAUCUUCAUUUCCUCUUCGUCCUCGUCUUCAUCUUCAUCUUCGUCUUCAUCAUCUCCCCCUCCUCCUCCUCCUUCAUCCUCUGCUUCCAAUCCCAAUUUUUUCAUUCCUGACUUGCUUGAGCCUAUUGACAUCAUGAGCUAUUCGUCUGCUCAUUCUCCUUCCGCCCGACUCCUGGAGGAGGCGGCCGAGCUUGAUGCCUACAUCCGGCAGCAAGCCGCUUCUGUUCCAUCCCCCGAGUCCCCACAUGACUCCCCUGGCGGAGCCCAGGGGGGAGUUGGGGAGGACAGGGACUCCUCAGAGGGGACCCCUGCUGCCGAGCAGGGGGAUGACCCUGAGUUCAACUACAGUAACCCCGACCGGGAGGAGACCACCCUCUCGCCCGGGGCGGUGGCCGAGCUGGCCGCGUCGUUCUCCAUUCCUCCGGCCUUCAAGCCGCGAGCUGCCGGGCCCACCGACCGGGCCUGCCGACCUCCCUCAGGCUUUGUAGCCAUCUACAAAGAGUAACUGGUCGCGGGGCUUCGACUCCCCAUUCCUCCGGCCAUGGCCGAGAUCCUGAGUUUCUGGGGGCUCAGGAUCACCCAGGUCCACCCUAACUCGAUCAGGAUCAUCAUCGGGUUCCUGAUUUACUGCCAGAUCUGCUCCAUCCCCUAUUCUCUCUCUCUCUUCCGUGCUACCUACGCCCUCAAGGCUUCUCUCCCUGGGUGGUACUACUUCUGCCGCCGCUCCCCAGCAAUCGCGGCGGGAAGGGCGCCCAGGAUCUCCUCUACGGGGUCCCCUCUUCCGUGAAGAAUUGGAAGGGGGACUUCUUUUUUGUUAAAAACAUGCAAUUUCCUCCUACUGCGUGGAAGGUUGGGGGGUCGGGGACGACCCCUGCCCGGAGGACCUGGACCCUGAGGCCUUCGGCCAGCUGCUGGGCUCUGCGGCGAAAUUGUACGCAGCCAAGUUCUCCACUGAGCAGAUUUCCGCAGUCGGGCUAUUGGGGAAGCUGUCCGGGUCCCUCGGAGGGGUAGAGUUCUCUCCCGCCAACCGAGAUACCUGUAAUACUGCUCCUGUUCCCUUGUUAUAUGCUGCCUUUUCCCUUGUAUUUCUCUGACUUGUAGCACUAAUCCGGUGAUGUUCUCUGCAGUGAAAAGGCUAUCCAGACUACUGGGCGCGCCGACUGAGGAGGUCGCCUCCACCACACAGCCUGAGGCAGCAAAGAAGGCCCCUGAGGCCUCUGCGACUCCUGGGGGUAGCUCGAUCCCCCAGAAGGAGGCCUCCCAGACUCAGUCCCCCUCCAAGCAGGUCCCCGCCAAAAAGAAGGCCACGGAGCAGAAGAGGGGGCGAGAUGACGACCCUUCCCAACCUGCGAAGAAGCCUGCGCAGGGCCCAACACAGCGCCCUCUCCAGCUGACGUCUGGGGGCCCUGUCCACCUGGGGAUAGGCUCCGCGGAGGAGCACGCCCAGGAGAGCGCCCCUCCGAGCUUGUGGCACUUCCGCCACGUGGCCCCCACGAAGCCGGGGCAGGCCCCCACGAUGCACGAUCUCCGGCACUUCUGCCCGUCCUGGGAGCUCUCCAUCAAUGACCGAGCCCAAUUCCCCGAGGUGGCUCGCGAGCUGGUCACGGGCUCAGUCCUUCCACGCGACAAGAAAUGGAUGGAGCUGGCCAGCCCGUCCGAGCUUCAGGACAUGUACUAUACCGUCCAGGCCCAAGUAAGCCCUCUCCUUCUUAGGCCCCUUGGGUCCCUGUUUCUUUUUUCCGAAUGGGGCUAGCAAUAUGCUAACUCUUACUCUCCUCUCUCCAGGCCAACGCCGCCGGUACUGCCCUGGUGACCCGCUUCUCCGAGCUGUCUCCCGACUUGGAGAAGAUGCAAAAGAAGAAUCGGGAGGCCGAGCAGAAGCUGGCCAAGGCCCAUAAGGAGGUAGACUCCCUUAAGGCCAAGUUGGGCAAGGCUGAGAAGGAGCUAGAGGACUCCCAGGUCCAGCUCGCCUCCACACGGUCCGAGCUGGACCAAGAGAAGAAGGGCGUGGCGAAACUGAAGGAGGAGCACGCCGUUGAGCUCUCUGGCACCGUCAGCCGGGAGCGCAAGAAGGCUGUCCGGGACUUCAUCUCCUCCGACCAGUUCGUCGAGGACAUGGCCUGCCUCAACCAGCCCAUCUUCCAGGUCGGCACAAGGUGAAGGGCCUCAACCCACCCGGCUUCAACUUGGCGGAUUUCAAGGAGUACAAUCCUGCGGCCGAAGAGAAGCUGGACUGGCUCUUCGAUGGGUACCGCAAGGGGCAUGCCCUGAAGGACCUGAUGGGAAGGAGCGACGUGGGGGCCGAGCUGGCGGAGCUUCCCCUGGAGGAGGAAGAGACUCCUGGCAGGGCUUCCGGGAAGAAGCCUGUGGGCUAGGGCAGCGGCCACUCCAGAAACCCUUUCCGUCUCCUUAUAAGGAUGUGACCAUGUUCCAGUUGAAAAUGCUCUUGAAGGUCCAUCUGAGACGGAAAGGCUCCCCAGAUCCUUUUUAACAGCCUUCUCCACCCAACCCCCAACAUGCUUAAGGUGCACCUUCAGCUCAUACCUCUCAACAUGCUUAAAGUGCACCUUCAGCUCAUACCUCUCAACAUGCUUAAGGUGUACCUUCAGCUCCUAUCUCUCAACAUGAUUAAGGUGUACCUUCAACUCCUACUAUCUCCAGCAGGAAGAAGGCGUAGCUAGGCCCUUUCCUUGUAUAGCUCGGUAGGCUUUGUAAUAGAUAGGUUGGGAGUUUUGUAAUAGAUAUGCUUUGAAUGCAUAUAUGAGAUGAAGUUUUUAAAUGAAACUGUCUGAUUUAUCUUUCCAUUCCCUGCUAACGGCAAACUCUAGUCGCCGGAAAAUAACGGUCGAGCAUCGAGCCGUAAGGUUUCUGAGUUGUGCCGAUCUCCUGGGAAGUUCCAGAGGAGGUCCUGCCGACCUCUUGGGUCGAGCAUCACAUCUCAGAUCUCGAAGGCUUUCCGCCGCCGACCUCCUGGGUCGAGCGCCCAAACAUUUGCAAAGGUAAUCAUGCUAACCUCCCGGAUCGAGCACCACGCCGUCCUACCCGGGCAACGUGCCAGCCUCUUGGGGCUGAACACCAAAUCCUUAAGGAUUUUUCCCGCUGACCUCCUGGGUCGAACGUCCGACUUUGAAGGUGUUCGUGCCGACCUCCCGGAUCGAGCAUUGAACCUCGAAUCCCAUCAGACCAAAAAUAGUAGACCAAAAAUAGUCCGCUCCAUGCCGACCUCUCGUGGCCGAGCGUCGUGGUCUCAGACUCCCCAGCUUUGACCCUUGCCGACCUCUUGGGGUCGAGCAUUCACCUGGGAGUUUUAAUCAGUGCCGACCUCUCGGGGUCGAGCAUCGCACCUUGCCAUGGCGCCCGCCGAACCCCUGGGUCGAGCGUGAAAUUUUCAGAAUCCUUCAAAGUUUUCCCGUCGUGCCGACCUCCUGGGUCGAGCGUGGAAUUUCCAGGAUCUUCAGAGCUCCCCAGUCGUGCCGACCUCUUGGGGUCAAACACUCCCGCAUCCAUUACUAACCCCUAGCCCCCCACUAGGACAUUUAGUGAGGGAACGCUAAGUGUGCUAGUGUAAGAUUAAAACUCAAAAGACUAACGAGUACAAAUGAAAUUAAAACUUGAAAGUCGAGCCUUUAUUGAAUGAUGAAACUGAAAUUUAAAUUCCAAAGAAUAGGCAACCGAACACCCUGGUCUAACCUACGCUACAAACAUUGCAGAUUGGAGAAGUGCCAAGUGCGGGGUACCUCUGAUCCAUCUAUUUUCGCGAGCUUGCAGUAGCCAGCUCGGCUUGCUUCUAGGACCAGAUACGGGCCUUCCCAGUUGGGGUCGAGCUUGUUGGAGCCAUGUGCCCGGCUGACCGAGUUCUUCCUUAGAACAAGGUCCCCUGGCUGGUACUGUAUGGUCCUCACUUUGGCGUUAUGAUAGCGGGCGAGCUGGCUCUUGUACUUAGCCAUCCGGACCGCCGCUUCCUCACGCUUAGCCUCCAGCAUGUCCAAGUUGUACCUCAGCUCUUCCUCGUUGGUUGUCGCAACGAAAUUCUGUGUCCGAGACGAGGGGAAACCAAUCUCCGCGGGUACCACCGCCUCUACUCCGUAAGUCAGAGAGAACGGGGUCUCGUGGGUGGCCGUCCUGGGCGUAGUGCGGUAAGCCCAGAGGACGCUAGAUAGUUCGUCCAACCAGUUAGACUGGGCUAGCUCCAACCUAGUCUUUAACCCCUGCAGAAUUGUUCGGUUAACGUUCUCCACCUGACUGUUGGCCUGGGGGUGUCCGACCGAGGUGAAGUGCUGGUUAAUCCCUAACUCGGCGCACCAGUUUUUGAAGGGAUUUUCAGCAAACUGUCCCCCGUUGUCGGAUAUUAGGACAUGCGGGAUUCCAAAGCGGCAGACUAUGCUUUUCCAGAAGAACUUCUGAAUUGCUCUGUCGGAGAUAGUGGCCAGGGGUUCGGCUUCCAUCCACUUUGUGAAAUAGUCGAUGGCCACCACGAGGUGUUCGUACCUGCCCGCAGCUCGGGGGAAGGGACCCAAGAGGUCUAUCCCCCACUGGGCGAAAGGCCAAGGACUGUGGAUGGGGACCAUCUCCUGGUUGGGUUGGUGGCGCAGCGGGGCAUGCACCUGGCAUGCUCGGUAUUUUUGAACCAGAGCAGCCGCAUACUUUUCUGCUUUACCACCUCUACCAGAACUUCCUUGUUCAGGUGCGCAAACGAGGAGGAUGCCAGCUUUGACAGGACGUCUGCACGCUUGUUCUGCGAUCUAGGCACCCGCUCGAUCUCAAAUGUAUUAAACAAGGCUGUCGCCUCCUGUACCUUGGCCAGAUAUUUCUUCAUGAUCUCCUCCUUGGCCUCGUAUUUCCCGCGAACUUGGAGGACGACGAGUUGAGGGUCGCUCCGAACUUUGAUGGCGGUCACACCCAUCUGGUGGGCUAUCCGCAAUCCUGUGAGCAGGGCCUCGUACUCGGCUUCAUUGUUGGACGCGGGGAAGUCGAAUCGGAGGGCAUAUGUCAGCUCCUCCCCGGUUGGCGAGAUAAGCAGCAGGCCAGCUCCGCUUCCUUCCUUGCUCGAGGCUCCGUCCACGAAUAGCACCCACGGCUGCCCAGGUACAGGCGGAGAGCUCAGUCCGCCCGUGGACGAACUAGCCCCUUCAGCGAGGAAGUCGGCCAAAGCCUGUGCCUUAAUAGCAGUGCGGGGUCUAUAGCCGAUGUCGUGCUCGGCCAACUCGACGGCCCACUUGGUCAUCCUGCCCGAGACCUCGGGCUUGGUGAGUAUCUGCCGCAGAGGCUGAUCGGUCAUGACGACAAUGCUGUGGGCCUGGAAAUAAGGUCGAAACUUACGAGCAGCGUGCACCAAGGCCAGGACCAGCUUUUCAGCUGGCGUGUACCGCGUUUCCGGACCUUGUAAGGCGCGGCUAACAUAAUAUAUUGGCCUCUGAGCCCCCCCUGUCUUCUCGCACCAGAACCGCGCUGACGGCCUCGUUGCAGGUGGACAAGUACAGGAACAAGGUUUCUCCCUGUUCCGGGGCGGUCAGGGUGGGCAACUCGACCAAAUACGCCUUUAGGUCGGUAAAGGCCUUUUCGCACUCCUCGGUCCACUGAAAGUCCUUGGGCGCUUUCAGGAUUCGGAAGAAGGGGAGCCCACUCACCGCGGAACGCGAUAAGAAUCUGUUCAGGGCUGCCAUCCUCCCCGUGAGUCGCUGGACCUCCUUCACAUUCCGUGGAGGGGCCAUGUCCAUGAUGGCCUGGAGUUUUUCGGGGUUUGCCCGGAUUCCUUCUCGGGAGACCAAGAAACCGAGGAACCGGCCCGACCUAACUCCGAAGGUGCACUUCUUUGGGUUCAGCCGCAUCCGGCUCUCCCGCAGGAUGUCCAAGAUCUCCCUUAGGUCCGGAACGAGCCGAUGGUCGGUUCGGCUUUUGACGAUCAUGUCGUCCACGUAGACCUCCAUGCUUUUGCCGAUCUGAUUUUGGAACAACUUGUUGACCAGGCGCUGGUAGGUGGCUCCAGCGUUUUUCAGCCCAAAGGGCAUGGUCCGGUAGCAGUAGGUUCCCUCCUCAGUGAUGAAGGAAGUCUUCUCCCGGUCCUCCUCAGCCAUCUCUAUCUGGUGUAUCCCGUAAAAGCAUCCAGGAAAUACAAAACGUCAAAACCAACAGUAGCAUCUACUAACCUGUCGAUUCUCGGCAAGGGGAAGCAGUCCUUCGGGCAGGCUUUAUUGAGAUCUGUAAAGUCGACGCACAUCCUCCAGGACUGGUCCUCCUUCUUUACCAGAACAGGGAUGGCCAGCCAGGUCGGGUAGUAGACCUCCAUGAUGAUUGUGGAUUCCAGCAGCUUUCCGACCUCCUUCCUGAUCACCUCAUUUCUCUCUGGAGCGAAGUUCCUCUUCUUCUGCUUCACUGGCUUGAAGCGAGGGUCUAUGUUGAGGUGGUGGACGGCCAGGUCGGUCGGAAUCCCGGGCAUGUUUUCUACCGUCCAAGCGAAAACCUGUGCGUACUCCCUCAGGAGGGCCUUCAAGUCAUCCUUCUCUUUGGGCCGUAGCGACGCUCCGAUGCGGAUUACCUGGUCAGGCCUGUCCUCCUUCAGUGGGAACUCCUCGAUCUUAUCCUGAGUGCCCAGCUGCCGAGCCUCUUCCCCUGGAAUAUAGGGUUCCAAGCUGGUCGUCUGAGCGACCACCUUCUCGUGUCCCCGGAGCAAGAUUAGGUAACAAGUUCGGGCCACCUCCAGAUCUCCAUGCACCUCGGCUAUUCCUCCCGAGGUGGGGAAUUUGACGCUAAGGUGGAGUUUGGAGGGAAUAGCUCGGAGGGCGUUCAAAGCAGGCCGACCCAGGAACACAUUGUAAGAGGACUGUUGCUUGACCACCACGAAAUUGACGGGUAUGGUCCGGUACUUGGGGGCUUGCCCUACCGUGACCAUCAGGGUUAUCAUUCCCUCCGGGUUGAUAGGUGGUCCGGUGAAACCCACCAGGGGUGUUUGAAUCGGGGUCAGCUGUCCGUCCUUCAAACCGAGCUCCUUGAACACCCGAUAAAACAUAAUGUCGACCGCACUCCCUUGGUCGACGUACACCUUCUUCACCCGAUAGUUGUUGGUCACAACAUCGAUGACGAUGGCCUCAUGGUUCCCUGAUGUUAGGGGAACCGCGUCCCUCAGCCCGAAGGUGAUCUCCUCGUUUAUGCGCAGGCGCUUUAGGGAGUUGUCCCCCUCCGGGGGACGUCGCUUGUUCUUCCGAGCUGCAUGGCUGUCCCCCCCGUAGGACCGCCGGCAAUGGUGAUUAUCACCCCUGCCAAGUUCUGGGCGUCCUGGUCGGGGGAGUAACCCCGGGGUGCGUCGCGCCGAUCAGGUCGGUCACGACGCUGGCCCUCGCCUCUUUCUCCACGGUAGGUGCGUCCCGACUCCUGGCCUGGGCGACCUUGCUUUACAAAUCGCCCCAGGAAACCGCGUUGGACAAGAUCUUCGAUUUCCUUCUUUAGGGCCUAGCACCCCUCAGUGUCGUGCCCAACGUCCCUGUGGAAGGCACAGUACCGGUCUUGGUUCCUUUUAUUCCGAGAUGUCCCCAUUUUAGGCGGCCGGUCUCCCAGGCCCUCCGCCUCCAUGACAGCCAGGAUCUGGGCCCUGGGCCGAGUCAGGGGGGUAUAGCCUUUCUCCGGGAUCGGCGGCGGAGCAGGGGCUUUUUCCUUCGAGAGCCGGUCAAACACAUUUUUCUUGGCCGGGGCAUCCUUACAUUCGGCGGGGUUUCCCCGCCCCCUCCGAUCUCCGAGCUCCCGGUCUGACUCUCGUUUCAGGCGGCCGGCCUCCUCUGCGUUGGCGGCGGCGUGAGCCCGGGUCAAGAGUUCUCGCAGAUUCUUGGGGGGCUGUUCGACAAGCUUGUAGUAGAGCUCCUCUACCCUCAACCCGUUCAUGAAGGCAGCCAUGACCACCUUUUCAUUCUUGUCCCUGAUCUGCAGGCUUUCUGUAUUGAAGCGCGUCAUGAAAUUCUUCAGAGACUCGUCCGGCUUCUGCUUGAUGGCUAUCAGAUGAGCUGCGUUCUUCGAGUAAGUCUUCGAGGAGACGAACUGGGCGGCGAACUGUCUGGCCAGCUCGGUGAAACUCCGGAUAGACCCCGGUGCUAGGCCUUGGAACCAGAGCCGGGCCUUACCCUUCAGAAACAUGGGGAAAGUCUUGCAACGGAGUGCAUCCGCGGCGGUUUGAAGACGCAUGUGUGUCAGGAAGACCGAGAGGUGGUCUUCCAGGUCAGUCGAACCAUCGUACAGCUCGAUGUUCGAGAUUUUAAACCUCCGAGGUAACGGGUAGUCUUUUACCUCUCAGGUGAAGGGCGAGGCUGCGUAGUUGUCCUCGUACAGUUGUGGUCGCAGGAUCUGUUCGAGCUCAUCCCGGACGAGCUGCCAUUGGGGAGGGUCCCGCGGCCGGCUCUUGAUAGACCGGGUAGGGGAGCGCUCCGGCUCGUUCCGCGCAAGCUUCCACUAGGAGGGAUUCUUCAGUCGGCCCCCAGCGGACCGGUUGCGAGAAUAUCUCUUACUGUCCCCGACCACCGAGGCCCGCGGCCUGGGAGGAGUCCACGGCCGUUUCCUCCUAGGGGGCUGGUCCCGGGACUCGUCCUCCGAGGGAAUGGGGAGCGACUCCCUCUCCUUCCCCUUCGCUUUAGAGGUCUGCGCACCCCCGGCCUCACUCCCCUCCUUCGCCUGCCGGAUUAUGUCCUCCAGCAUGGAGAGAUUCUCGGUUACAAACUGAUAGAUCUGCUGUUUUCGUUCCCCUGAAAGGGUCGAGCCCCCGCCGCCACGGGCUGCCUCGGUCUCCAACCGCCGGGAUCCCUCACCGGUUCCGGGAUCAGUGUUAUCCAUGGUUCGCUUGGAACGCAUUCUCGCCAUCAACACAAAUACUCGUAUCUUCGUUCCCACAGACGGCGCCAACUGAAGAAGUACGGAACUUCCCCGGACCGAACUGACCUGAUGAGCUCGGGGUGCUGAUGGAAGAGCUGAUUCCAAGCCUGCAAGAUAAAUAGGAGGGUAAACUGGCAGGGGCCCCGAGGUGGUCCCCGAGGGCACUCCGACGGUCAAGUUAGUUUUCCGGUGAGAGGGGAGUGUACUAACAGAAAAGCAUUCGGGAGUGAAUUGCCAAUAGUGAGCGUACCUUGUACAGUUGGUAUGUGUUACCAUUUAUACCCGCUUAGGAGUCCGACCUCCGUACGUUCCGGGACUUGCCCUGGAUAGCUCCCAAUCCCCCGCUGAGGGGGAUUCUCCCCGCCCUCUGCGGGGUAGCUCUCGGGAGCCUCCCGGAGCCCUAGUCGCCGUGCGCCCUGGGCUGGUUCCCCAUGGGCCCGGGGUGCAAGCCCAACUCGGAUCAACCCUGGGCUGCCACGUGUACAGGCCCAGGACGGGGCCUCUGCAUAUUCAAAAUUAUUUUUUUUUCCUCCCUCUCUUUUGGUAACAAUGGAUGUGAAGUUUUACAUGCACAGGAGAUCGAUUUUCAGAAGAUUAUAUAAUGGGUCUUGUGGACGGACAAAAGAAGCAUCCCCAGCUAGCAGUGCCUGCAAAUUUGAAAAUUCACAAGAGCAUCCCCAGUUCGGCUGUGAAAUGAGGACGGAACCAAUCAUACUCAUUCACAAGAUCUCUAGACGGUCAUUAAGAAUCAAAGAAGCUGAUAGCUUUUACUUUUCUUGUGAUUGCUUCUUGUUGGUGCCUCUGCAUCUCUCUCCCAAGCAAGCCCACACAAAUACACUAAGAUAUGAUCAAACAAUAACUCUUGAGACCCUAUAACCAUUAUUAAGUUUAAUCUUAUUUAAUAUUCGAUUGCUAAUUUAUUCUUGGAUAAAGUUUGUACAUACUGACAGUGCAUACACAAGUGGAACAGGAUGCAUGAUAGCUUAUCACAAUUUAAAUUUAAAUAUUUUAUUUUACAAAUAUGAUAUAUAUAUAUAUCUAACCCCACUUGUGUGUAUACUGUUAAUGUAUAUAAAAUUUAUUUUUUUUUCUUAUAAUUGGUAUUAUUUUCUAGUACUAUUAAGCUGAACUGGCUCAAUGAUUUGCGGUGGUCAUAGAAAGAGGAGGAAUCGCAAAGGUGCAAGCCUCAAGAAAACCUACCAGCAGAAGCUGAUGCAUUAAUAAUAGAGGCAAAGCCAAAUGGAGCUGAGGAUGACCAAUUGCCCUCCCGACUUUGAGAAAUUUUUAUUUUAGGCAUGGAGCUUUUGAAAAUUUUUAAGUUGUCCUUUUUUGCACCCUUGAAAUAUUUAAAAUUCUCAUUCUUAUCAAAGUUGCCCCUAAUAUUUUUGAAAUUCUCUUUCUUGUCUAUAUUGUCCCCUCUAAAAUUUUUUAAAGUCUCUUUCUUAUUUUGACUUGGGACUUGGACUUUUAUUUAUGGGGUGCUCGUUUUUUUGAACUUUUGUGUUCUAUCAAAGUCCAACAACUACAGCUAAUUCUUUGCUACUAUAAUUAAGUUGGUUGAUGGGCUUUUUCUUUUUUGUCAAAUUAAAAGGAACCUUAGUUGGUUCAACUUAAAAACAAAAUGACUAAUCCAACUAGAAACUAAAGUAACACUCUUCCUCUUCUAAGAAUCGUCACCUCCAGCAGUCGCUCUACAAGUUCUACCCAUUUCCUCUUUUUUUCUCCUCUUCUCUUCUAUCCUCUUUUUUUACACUAUUGGUGGUGAAAACGAUAAUGAAGUUAUGCUCAAUAGAUAAAGAAACACACUUGUUUUUCCCUUCCACUUCUACCUUUAGUUUUCAUAUCCAUGAUUUUUUCUACCAUUUCAUUGCACUUAAUUUUACAAAUCCUAUCAGAUUUCUUUUGGAGUUGGGAAAGUUAAACUCUUCUUUGUUCAAUUUUAGAUAUUGGAUAGAUUUGUUCAUAAUUUUGUUGAUUCUUUAUUUUUUUAGGAAAUACUUUUUCUUUUAUUUGGUAGAUGAAUUGGAGGGUACUAGACCAGUAAAUCUUCCCUAGAUGACAUUACAAAAUUUAGGAUUUUUGUGUUGAUUUUACACACACUACAAGAAUUUUGGUCAUCAGUGAUAACUACUUUUCGUCACAAAUAAUCAAAAAGUCGUCACUGAUGACCAUUAUUGACAACAUUUCAGUUGUCGCAAGGUCGUCACUGAAUCUCCGUCGGUAAAAGUAUACAGUGACGACUUUAAAGUCGUCAGUAAAUAGAACCUUUUUUAUGACAAUCUAUGUCGUCAGUAAAAGAUGAAAUUAUACAGUGACAACCUUAGAGUCGUCACUGAAUGAAACUUUUAAUGACAACAUAUGUCAUCAGUAAAAGCUAUAAAUCUAGUGACAACACCUUCUCUUGUCAGUGAUGCAAGUGAUGCAUGAAGGGAUGAUAGUGAGGGCAUAGGGGAAUUAGUGACGACUUUGUUGUCAAUAAACCCCUGAUCAACUGUGACAACAUUCCCUUAUCAAUAGACAGUUUUGAUUGAGUGACAAUAACAAUUGUCAAUAAAGACAUCCUGCCUAGAAAAAAUACUACUCAUUUACAACACCUUACACAUGACUUUCCUACUACAAUAAUAUCUAAAAAAUGAAAAUAUCAGCAAUGUUUAAUAAAUAACAAAUGUAGGCACCGUUACAAUAGAAUAUGCCAAAAUAAUAUAUUAAAUAUUCAAAUGUCAUAAAUAAGUGCAACAUCAUAGUACAAAUAGUUUCAUAAGUUUGAGUAGAACAAAUACUACUCAUAUAAGUCAAGGUUGCACUAAAAAACAUAUUCCAAGUCCCAAAACAUUUCCUACGCUUCUGAAACAUUUUCUAAACUUAAGACAGCACUAUAACCACAGUUUUUGAGCCGACAUGUAAGCCGUACUGCUAAUCUUCUUCGAAACCUCCAAAAUGAGCAAUAUAUCUGCAAUAAAGUAGUAAAGUUAUUAGUAAAGUUAUCAGGUGACAAAAGCAAAACAGUCUCUAAUUGCUAAAUAAACAAUAAAAGUAACAAGCAUUCACUAAUCUGAUACCACCGUAAUGAAUGCAGCAAUUGCAGCAGAAAUAGAGUGAUAAGGGGGAGAGAAACUAGACUUGAGGAAGAAGAAAGAGAGAUAUUAUUCAAAAUGAUAUUUCCAUGUUGCCCAAUCCAGAUUUCUGCAUUCUUAUACAGCUCAAGAAUAACAAAAUAACUACUUGAUUGUUGGCUCAGCACAACAGUCUAACUAACAAGGAAGAUUCCCUUUAACUACAUGAAGGAAAUACAUUUCGCAUGUACUAAACUGGUAUUCUUCAAGUGAAAUACUAUACUAGAAAUACAUUAAUUCUUCAAGUUGAAACUGACAAUCCACUGCAGAGAGACCAAAUAGUACUAUACUGGUAUUAAAGGCUAGACGGACACAAAUUAAUGGAAGGGGAGAAGAUGGAGAAGGGGAGAGUAUGUGUAACAGGUGAGCAAGGAGGACUAGGUAGGUAUGUGGCAGUUCUUCUCAUGGCUGGUAAGACAUAACAAAACUGUUUACCCCAAUGAAGAAAAAGCAAUCUUUAGAACUGAAGUCUGUAGAGCUGAAUCGGAUUCCACCCUGCAUGCCAUCCGGAGGAUUGUAAAUGGAUUGAUGGUCUGUGGAAAAAAAAAAUUAGUGCACAGGAGUGUGUGUAGGAGGAAAGAGUUGGUGGAUUGGAUUGAUGAUCCGAAUUUGAUUGCUGAAGACAUCGAUGGGGUAGAAAAAUCUUGUUUCUGCAAAUUUUGCCUGGAUGUCAAGAAAUGAUAUGUUUUUGCUGCAAUGGAUGGAAACAGGGAAAAACUGGGAACUGUGAUAAUUGCAGGCCUUAUCUACUACACAAGAUACCUUGGAUGACUACCAAAGAACGAGUGUUAACAGUUGUAAAGAGGAGGUUUGUCACAAAUGAAGACCAAUUUUGGCAUCAGCAAUGUUUCUUUAAUCUGUCAAAAUACUGUCAAAGAUGAAUAAAUCUUCUGUUUUGUUCGUCCAUCACUACUAUACUACCACUCUGCUAUACAAGAGGAAUAUUCUUUUUAGAAUAGUCACGUAAUCAAAUCAGUAAUCUUACAAUACAAGUCAGCGAUUGAUAAAAUGUUCACGUAAUCAAAUGCAGUAUUCUCCCAACCCAACACAAGUCGGAGAUUGAUUAAAUUGUUCACUUAACUCUUGGGACUGUAUAUCUUGUUCCGUCAAAAGUUUUUAGCUAACUCAUUGGCCAUGAAAAGUUUUUAGCUAACUCAUUGGCCAAAUGACAAUAAUAAUCUUUUCUAUUCUUUAGCCCUUCUGUGCUCCUCAAAUUAAUAUCAUGAAAUAGAAACACUAUUGAAGCUUUUUUUUUGUGUAAUGUUAUUGUUUCAUGAUAACAAAGCUAUGAUAAAGCCACAAAUGUACUCCCAGGAUCAAAACACCAUCUGAUUAGAACCUUGUGUUGACAGAAGUAAUUCUUAAAUGUCCCUCCUCAGUCUUGAUAUUACAAGUUAAUAUUGUCACCUACCAAUAACUAAUUUGCAAUAACUUAUGUUAACUUUAAACCAUAGCAGCCAUUAUAUCUAUUUAGACAAGUAUAUAUAGUUGAAAAAUUGCUUACCAAUCAGUUCGUUCAGAUGUGCCUUCAUCGAAAUGGAUAGGAACAAAAGGUUCCGAAAUGGGACUCAAAUCAAAAUUCAACAUUAAUUGGUUCACAUUUUCCACAAGUCAACAUCCCAUUUUUUUUAAUCUGGAUUUGCUUUGAAAGCAAAUUGAUACACAAAUCCAAGAUAAAAAUAAGAAGAAAACGAGUGAAAUAUUUCCUCAAUAAGGACAGUCUUCAUCCAGCAUUUGCUGUGAUUGAGUUAUUUUGGGCCAUAGUAGCACCAUCAAAACUAUAAGUUCUUUAGAAAACCAUUAAACUUUCCUAUUUCAUCCUAAAGUUCAUGAAAAAUCUAUCCACAAAUCAAAUGAAAACAUACCAAGGAAAAAUAAUAUGUCAAAAGGAUAAAAAUGAUUAAUCUUUUCAAUCUUAUGGGCCAUAGUAGCACUAAACCCAAAUUAAGGGGUUAAAGUACAAUUUUUUGAACAUUCCCAUGCAAAAUGCAUGCAAAAUGCUACGACCCAGCUUCUGCAGCAACAAACAAAAAAAAAACAACUUCCAGCAUGCUAAAAAGUGAAUUCCCUAUGAUUUCAUCCGCAAGCUUCAUUCAUAAACCUUCAGCAAGCGAAACUUUGAACUAACUUUAAUUAAAACAAGACUAAACAACACCUGACAAGGCAAUUAUGCAAAUUAACUGAGAAACAAACCUCUGCAACUACUUUCUAUACUUCAGAAAUUUUUUUCUUUUCUUCCCCAACCAUUCUCAUGCAAUUUCUUUAUUCAACUUAGAUGCAUUCAUGCGAACAAACCAAGAAAAACUUUAUUGAUUUGUUAACUAAACAGAAAACACCGGAGCUUGGAAUCAAAAAGAAAGAAGAAAGGAAAAAAAAGGACUGUCGAACACAGCCUACAUCCAAGCAAUCACAGCUUUGAAUCACAGGCCCUUAAAACAAACUUAAAUCAUGGACAAGAGCGAAAACCACCCAAAGUUAGCAGCUCACAUUACUUCAGUUUCACGGGAGAAACUGAUACACCAUAUACAUAAGCUCCCCAUCAAAAGAUACAAAGCACAGCUUUAAGAAAGAACAAAGGAGCAUCCAAAACUUCAGGUUCCUAAAAUUUCCUAAAGGUUUCUGGGCUCCGGCAGACCGAAGCUUUCUUUGCUCCCACAAAGCAAGCUCUUUCUGCUGCAACAAUUGCAGCUCAAACCCAAACAGAUUCAGCAGCCAAACCGACAUUAACUUUCGUAAACUCAUAAUCAAAAUGCCAUGUUGUACAUACAAGAGGAUAAGAGCUAACAAAGUGAAAGUUUGCAAAUUCUAAUUCAUUCAAAAGGUCUCCACCAGUUCUGAAUUUACCUAUGGGAGUUCACUUAACAAGUUAACACUCACACUUGGUCGGCAUUAUGAAAAGGAAAACAGCAGUGAAAGUCUUGUUUCAUGGUAAAGCAAGUCAAAAUCUCUCAAACGGGCUCUUAAGCAAAACUCCACAGAAACGUAAGAAAACAGUUACUUAAACAAGUGAAUGAACAGGAGCACAACAGAAGGUAGCAGGCUUACUGAUUGCUGUUUUAAAUCUUAGCAUACUCAUAUAUGAGAUUAUUAUCAAACAACAAACCAACCAAAAAGGAAAUUCAAACCAUUCCAGAAACUUCAACAAUUCAAAAUAUCAAAAUUUUUAUUGCUGCAAUAGAGAAUAGGGCUCUAAUCUGUCUACAUUGUUGCAGCAGGACAAGGAGCACCGUCCUUGUUGCAGCAACUCUCAGCUACUGGAAUUGCUCGCAUAACAGCGAGGGAAUGGGAAAAGAGGACAGUGUGCCUUUAGUUCAAGGCUAAUGACUUUCUAAACACAGCCCUGAUAGCUGAUAUGUUCAUAGUAUCCCACUCCAGUUGCAAACGAAAACAAGAUUAUCAAAUGAAACCACAACUUUAGCAAUCCCAGAAAGAAAAGACUGCUGCAACAAGCCGAUAACUUCGAGCUUGUCGCAGCGCAUCCUUCGAUUGGACUCCAAAGGCCCUAACAGACCCAGGUUAUGCAAAUAAGGACCAAAGAUGUAGUCUUUGGCUUACCAGAUUGGAGAAAGUUAAAACCUUUGGAUCAAACAACAAACACAGCAUCACAUCAAACGCUAUCUCAGCGACCGAAAGGCCAAAAAAGAUUAAAAAAAAAAAAGUACCGGAAACAGUUGCAACAAGCAAAAGGUUUCAUCUUGUUGCAGGGGUUCUAACAAAACCAUUAAUCACUACCACAAGUAAAGGAAUGGAACGUUGAAACAGGAAAUUUAUGUGAUUUUUCUGAUUUUGGCCUGUCAAAACAUAAGAGGGCAACCAUAAACAUCCAACGAAAGACCUCAUGGGUUCAUCAUAGACUGUACCAAGAACCUUAAAAUCAUAAGUAUGGCAAGGCUACCUCGUCAUCGUCAAACAGAUAGAUAAGAAGUAACAUACCUGGACAGCAAAAAGGAAGCGGAUUGGAAAGAUCUUUAGCGGACAGAGUUGCCCUUCAACGAUGAUGGAAACCGAUGAUGGAAAGCGAUGGUUUUCUCCUUCACUCGCUGCUUUCCCUUUCCUUUUGCUUAGAAUUUCUCAGCCUUACUCUCGGCUCUCUCGGUUUCUCUUCUCAGUUUUUCCUUCUUGUUUCAGUCUUUUUCCUCUCAGCUCCAACACCUUGCUCCCCUGUGCUUCCUCGACAUAAAUAGAGGGGGCAAAAGAUUGGAAAAAAAAAGGAGAAAAGCAAAUGUAGUAGGGAUUUGGAAAAAUUGGGGAAAAUGUAGUAGAAUAUUAGGGAUUUGGAAAAAUUGGGGAAAAUGUAUAGGAAGCUCUGUUUCAGCUCAGUGCAGAAGCUUGUUUGUGUUUCAGACCAAGUGUUCCGUUGCUUUUGUUUUCAGAAUGUGUUCCGCUGCUUUGGUCUUUGCUUUGCUUUGGAUAUUGUUUUUGUUGCGCGGCACUUUCCUAUGAUUUGAUCAAAAUUUUGACUUCACUCAUUUUCCCCCCAUUUGAUACCAAAAAUCAUGUUUUUUUCUGGAUUUGUAAUAUGGUUUGAACCAUAGAUUUUAAUGCUAUAGUAUUAUUCUUUAUUUUUUAGCAAAAAAUAAAAAUUUUCAUCAACAUAGGUGGCAAAAUUUGUUAAUUUCAUAUAAUUGAAAAUGUACUUUUAUAAUUUGCUAAUAUUUUAUACUAAUUUCUUAUAAUUGCAGCACUAAAGAACAUCAUGUAAUUCAAAAUAAUUAAACUCAAAUUAUAUCGUUAUAACAUAGUUUCAAUAAAAAUAAUCAUUUUCCCAACAUUUGAGACCAAUCAUCAUGCUUUUUUUUUAUUUUUAAUUUGGUUUGAAGCAUAGAUUUUAUUGCUAUAGUAUUAUUCUUUAUUUUUUAGUACAAAAACACAAAUUUUCAUCAAUAUAGGUGGCAAAAUUUGUUAAUUACAUAUAAGUGAAAAUAUACUUUUGUUCUUUUUCAAACAUUUAUUUUAAUGUUUAAUUUUGUUUAAAACUAUUGUACUAGUAUAGAUUUGCAAGACAAAACUUAAGUUCUCAAUAGUUAAAAAAUUCAUUACAGAGAAAACACAAAGUAGUAGUUGCAAAAUGUGUAUAAAUUACAGAUAUUUUAAUGUGUAUAAAUUACAGUUUAUUUUAAUGUUUAAUUUUGUUUGAAACUAUUUUACUAGUAUAGAUUUGCAAGACAUAGAUUUAUGGGUAAUUUCUUUUUUUUUUGCUUUCACAUAUUUAAUUUAUGUUAAAUACAAAACCUACCAGUUUCCCUUUCAUAAAAAUAUUAGUGCAACACUUUUUGAAUUUUACUUACAAACAUUUAUGUAUUUAACAUAAAUUAAAUGAUUCAGAGUGAAAUGCCCAUAAAGAGCAGAAUAUUUGUUCAUGUAAUGGAGGAAACCCACAAAGAGUUGGUACUUUAUGGGCCAUUUCUUUUUUUAAAAAAAUUUAAUUUAUAUUGAAAAGAUAACCUACCAGUUUUCGUUUUGUAAGAAAUCAGUGUAACACUUUUUGAAUUUUACUUACAAACAUUUAUAAAUUUAUCAUAAAUUAUAUGUUUGAGAGUAAAAUGCCCAUAAAAAGUUGGUACUUUGAAUAGAUAAUGCUCAUUUGCCCAUAAACUACACUCCCUGAAGGCUAUUUUGUUAAUUACUUUGUAGUACUUUGUUAUUCCUUUGCUAAUACUACUUGGCAUGUAGUACAAAGGAUAAAUCUGGCAUAAAUUUCUUAUUCCAUUGAUAAAAAGACCUGCCUGCUUUAUAACUAUUGUAAUGAAAGAUAUAUCUUUAGAGUUUAUAACAAAUUAUUACUUAAGUUUGAGAAAAUUAUAAAAUAUUUAUGCAUAGUUUAUCAAGAUACCAUUCGCAAUUUUCUAAUAAAAAAAUAGGGACUAAAUUGUAAAAGCUAGGGUGCCAUAAUAGAAAUAAUAAAAUUGGUGUAUUACAUAUGGGUGUUAAAUUGCAAAAGUUAGAGUGCCAUAGUAGAAUUAAUGAAAUUAGUGAAUUACAUAUGGGGCUAAAUUACAAAAGUUAGGGAGUAAUAAUAGAAUUAAAAAAAUCGGUGUACUACAUAUGGGGCUAAAUUGUAAAAGUUAAGGUAUCAUAAUGGAAUUUUUUACAACAUUUGGGGCUAAAUCGCAAAAGUUAGGGUGGCACAGUAGAAUUAAUGAAAGUGACUUAGAAAUAAGUACUUUAAACAGUGACGAUUAAUUCUUGUCACUAAAUCUGAAUCGGUAGAGUGACAGUGACGAUAUUAGAAGUUGUCACUAUAUAGAUCAUUUUAGUGACAACUUUUUCAAGGUCAUCACUGAAGACUUAGUUGCUUUGAGCAAUUAUGACAACUUUCCUUGUCGUCACUAAACAACUACUUUUUGUGACGACUUUUGUCGUCACUAAAAAUGUUGUCACUAAUGAACAUAUUUCUUGCGGUGUAGUUUGUGACGAAAAUAACGGGUCGUCACUAAACAGUUAGUUGCUUUGAUGCAAUUGUGACAACUUUAGGUGUCGCGACUAAAGAUGUACCUUUUGUGACGACUUAUUGUCAUCACUAAAAAUUGUUGUCACUAAUAAAUUUUUUUUAUAGUGAUCAGUGACGACAAUUAAAAGUCGUCAGUAAAUAGUCCAAGCAAUAGUGAUGAUGUUCUUAAUGUCGUCACUAUUGUGUGUUCUAAACACUCCCGCACUCUUGCUAAAUCUUGCCGGGAAUUUACUAGUGACGACUUUUCUAAGUCGUCACAAAUGAGUUGGCUCCCAUUAGAGGUUUGUGACGAGUUAGAAAGUCGUCAAUAAAGGAUCCACUUUUGUGACAACUUUUUUUCGUCACAGAGAAAAGUUGUCACUGAUGACCAAUUUUCUUGUAGUGACAUUUUUUCUUAUUUGGUAUUUUUUAUUUUAAAAAUAAAAAAUCAAUGACUCGGGAUUGAACUGAUUGAACCUGAUCCGACUACUUUACUUGUUUAAUCUUUUUUUUUUUUCCGGAAACGGUGGAAGUUAACUACUUUACUAGUUUAAUCACUAGUCUGAGUUUCAAAACAAUGGUUUUGUAUGAGUGCAAGCACAUUAUCAUUUGUGUCCCCACUCUUAACACGGAAGCCAAAAAAAAUGAAAUUAUUAUUGCUGGUUCACCGCCACGUCACAUUAUUAUUUGGGGAUCCCACCCCUAUCAAGGAAAGGAAAAAUGAAAUUCAUUGAUGCUUUAGAAACCAAACCGCAGUGCCCAGAUUUUCUCAAUGCUCCGUUAAAGUUUAGGCUUGGUCAUCGACAAAUGUAGGGCAAAUUUCACUUUAUCACCUGCGAUUUAGUGUUUUUUUACAUAAUCCCUUUAUAGAUUUAGAAACUAUAUAUAACUCUCUUAUGAUUUAAAUUAAAGUGUCAAAAUUAUGAAAAUGAUCAUUUGUAAUGGAGUCACCUAAAAUAUUAAAAAUAUCCUUACAUAAAGUUAAAAAUUAUUUAUUAACCAAGGAGGUUUAUGUGUAUAUUUUGAAAACCUUAAGGGAGUUAUAUGAUAAAGUUUUAAACCAUAAAGGAGUUAUAUGAUAAAACAUAAAAACCAUACGAGAUUAGUGUAUCAUAUAUUUAUAAGGGUAAUUUAGAUAUUUGUAGAAGUUCUGCUACGAAUGCCUAUUUCCGUCACAUUGACACUUUAAUCCAAAUCAUAAGGGACUAUAUAUAACUUUUGAAACCCUAGGGGGUUAUAUAAAAAAUAUUUAACCAUAGGGGAAUAAAAUGUAAUUUGCCCAUAAAUGUAAGAAGAAUCUACAGUUCUAGAAUAAAAAUUUUUCAUAAACCUAGUGAAUGCCUGUGUUUUUGGCGGCGCCAAUCUCGUCAUGCAUAGACUGCCCGGAAUUAAAAUAAUAUUCCCUUAUGUCACUAAGAAAGCAGUUUAUCCUUUUUUUCCACCACAAGUUCGUAAUUUUUUUUAAUCUUAUUUUUAAGGAAAACUCUAAAUCUUAUAGAGAAAAAGGGAAAUAAAAAGUUUAAUAAGCCUGUGUUAUGUAAUUUGCCCGGAAUUAAUUUAGUAAGAAGUUAUGCAUGAAUUCGUCACAUUGAAUAACGCUAAUUUUCUUCCUCAUAUUCUUCUAAUGUUAAUUUAGAGUCAAAAUCAAGUAAAUCUUCCGUAGAGCUGAAAAUGUUUUUUGAUUUUUGAUUUUAAAAAAAAAUAUCCAGUAUAAAAGGAUACUUCUUUUUGUCUUGGAGAAUUGGUCAAAUUGGUAAGGUGGAAGUGAGAAAAUGUGAACUGCAUCAGUUGGGGUUGAUCUCGUGAUGGUAUAUAUGAACAUUAUCCAUUACGGCUAGUACAGGUAGUACUCUUUCUCUGUCCCUCGUAUAUUUUGGGAGAAUUACAUACAGUUUUUCGAGAUGUAAUUAAUCAUUCAAGGUGAUGUAUGACGAAUUUCAUUAUGUACGACACGUGGCUUCUGUUAAGAAAAGUACUCAUUUAUGUACUUCCAUUUUAUUGAACAUCAUGAUUCACUAUCUCAUGAAUCACGUACUGAUAUAUUACUUGGCAUGGUUAUAUCCCACCCUCGAGGAAACCGAAAUACAUACUAAAAAGGGCAUAUAUUAAUAUUAUACCCAUCAUUUAGUACUCGUUUAGAGUACUAUAUCUUGUAAACUCCUUUACCAAACCCCAAUUCGUGCUUAGCCGGCCAAGUACAAAAGUAUGAAGUUCCAUCUUUAAAGUGAAGAGUGCAGCCGUUAGCGAAGCAGCAAUUGGUGCAGUCUGUGUAGGUCUUCUCUCCAUCGCAGUCCACGUACUCGAUCCCAAUUAUGCAAUAGAGUGGGCAAAUUUGGUCAGGCCCCGGCCUGACGGCCGUGACCUCCACAUUUGCUCCCAGAAGGAUCAUCCCUGUUUUCAGUACCAAAAUCAUUUUAAAUCAAUUGAGAGAUGGGAUGAAUUAGUUUUCAUUUUUUGAUAUAUAUAUAUAUAUAUAUAUAUAUAUAUAUAUAUAGAUGGGAUGAAUAGUUCUCUUUUUUUUUUUUUUUUGAAACUGCCCCAACAGGUUUAACCAUUGCAACAGGUAUACCAAAGAAUAAAAUUGUACAUACCACAAAAAAGAAUAACCAUUGCACCAAUCUUGUUGACUGCCAUGAUUUCCUUGUCUUCCAAAGUUUGCCUUUGAUUUGAGAUGGCUUUGGGCUUAUAUAGACCGAGAAGGGGAAAGAGUGAGAGUCUCUGAUCGUGCCACCAGCAGGAGCAAUUAUUGUGGGACCAGUCCAUCCUAAAUUAUUGUGCUUCAACAGAAUUUUGGGACUCGUCCUUUGUAAAUUAUUGGAAGCCACAACAUUACUUUCUUGCUUGCAUGCUUUGCUAGAUUUUAAAUGAUUCUUUCAUAUUGUUGAUUAUAUACCACACACAUAUAUAUAUAUAUAUAUGGUAUGGAUAAGGGUACCUCCCGAAAGGACCACAGUGAAAGAACCUUUUUCUUUGUUAAAUAUAUCGACUUUUGCGAAUUUCCGUUGAUGGCUUUAAUCUUGCAUGUGAAUUUCUAUACAAAAAGUAGUAUAUGUCGUUCGUGAAGUAGCACUUUCAGUUUGAGCAUUCAGCACAUGGGUGCACCAAACUCAAUAAAAUAGUUGCCAAGUAUUUUAAAAUUCCGUUAAAUUUUUGGAGGAGUUUGAUAUUUUAUAAUUUGGAGGAGUUUGACAAUUAAAUAGUUGUCAAGCUUACAACACAAGUGUGAUAUUUUAUUAUCGUUCAUAUGGGUCUUAUGCAUAAUAAUUGUGUGUUUUGAUAUAAAAUUUUAUAAAAAAUUCACAAAAAAUUACAAGAUAUUCAAGAAGUAUUACAUCAUUCUGGUCCAGGCUCGAAGUCCCUCAAAUUGAUGCUAACGUCACCGUACCCCAUGAAUGCGACUAUUCUUACCUUAUCUCACAGAAUUUUGGGACCAGUCCGUCCUACAUAUUAUACUUCCAAAUAAUUUUGGGACCAGUCCAUCUUAAUUAAAUUAUUGUCCUUCCUGGUCCAUCCCAGUGUUUUAAAGAAUUGGAUCGGAUUAACGGGUUUGAUCGGUCGGGCCGUGAACUGGCAAUGAUAACAGUCUACUUCUGUGAGAAAAAUGAAAAGUUAAAAAAAAAAAAAAAACCAAUCAAAGUUGGUUAAAAUCAGUGAAUCGGAAUAAACUGAUUAAACUAGUCAAGUCUGAUUUUUUGAAUUUUGACUUCGAAGUUGGACUUUUUUCUAUGGGCUGCUCACUUUUUUGAGCUUUUAAAUGCUAUCAUCUGCUACUGUAAUUAAGUUGGUUGAUGGCCAUUUUUCCUCAAAUUAUAAAAAAAAAAACUUAGUUAGCCCAAUUGAAAAAUAAAAUGACUAAUCUAACAAAAAACUAAAGAAACUCUCAAUCCUCUUCCUCCUUUUAGAAUCUUCACCUAUCGGAGCCACUCUACAAGUUCUACUCAUCUCCUCAUUUUUUUAAUAUCUUUUUUCCCUCUUCUCUUCUGUCUUUUCUUUUACAUUAUUGACAGUGAAGACAAUAAUGAAGUUGAAAUCGGCAGAUAAAAAAGCACACUUGUUUACCCUUUCCUCUUCUAUCUUUUGUUUUGAUAUUCAUGAUUUUUUCUACAUUUUUUGGAUUUAAUUUUACAAAUCCUAUUAGAUUUUCUUUUGAGUUGGGAAAGUUAAACUCUUCUUUGUUUAAUUUAAGAUGUUGAAUAGAUUUGCUCAUAUUUUUGUUGAUUCUUUAUUUUUUUAUGAAGUAUAUUUCUUUUAUUUGGUAGAUGAAUUAGAAGGUACUAGAUCAAUAAAUCUACUCCAGAAGAUAUUACAAAAUUUAGGAUUUUUAUGUUGAUUUUACAUAUUUCUGAUUAUUUUUUAUUUUUUAAUUUUAAAAAUAAAAAAUAAACAAAUAAAUCAAUGAACCGGGGAUGAAUUUGUUAAGCCGCUUGGAUCAUGAUCCAGCCACUUUACCAGUUCGAUCACCGAUCCGAGUUUCAAAACAAUGGUUUUUGUAUCAAAACAAUGAAUUUGGUAACGGGAGCUUCUCCUCUUUUUGCUUGAAUACAAUCUUAUCCUUCAUGUUCCUCUAUAUAAUCUUAGUUUGAGUAUUCAACAUAAGCAUGUACCAAACUCAAUAAAAAUAGUUGUGAAGUCUGUUGAAUUUCAAUAAAUUUUUGGACAAGUGUUUUUGGAGAGUUUGAUGUGAGCAGUUUAUCUUCUUGAUUUUAAUUUAGUUUGAUAUUGAUAUUCUGUGCUUUCCAAUGAGAUUGAAAGUCAAUUAAAGUUUAUAAAAAUAAUAUAAAAGUUUUUACAUGUUUUUAUUGAAGGAGAAGAUUAGUCGUAAUACAACGAUUUACAUACUUAGCAUCUCUUUUAUUUUUAAUAAUCAUGAGAACAAAACUUUUUGGCUGAGUAUCACAAAAAAGUAAUAUGUACAGCAUGCAAUGCUCAUUCUCUCAUACUAGUUACCCUAAGUACAAGACAAAAGGAGCAAAAAACUUGUGACGCACGUUAUCUUGAUUAUUUUAUGUAAGCUAAUGUUCUUCCUCAUAUUCUUCUUAUGUUGAUUUAGAGUCAAAAUCAAGUAAAAUAUCUGCAAAGCUAGAAAUGUUUUUUAUUUUUAUUUAAAAAAAUAUCCAAUAGGAAAGGACUUUUCUUUAUGUCUUGGAGAAUUGGUCAAAGUGUUAAGAUGGAGGUGAGAAAAUGUGACGUGCAUCAGUUGGGGUUGAUUUUCGAGUGAUUAGUGCACAAGUCAAGAGAUUAGAAUAUUGAUCUCAUGGAGAUAUAUUUGAACAUUAUCAAUGAAGGUUGUACUCUAAAGGCUCCAUAAUAUUACUCUGGAUAAUACUGAACAAAUGACGCACAAGAAGUUGGUGGAUCAAGUAGAUUGAAAGAAUCCUUAAGUUCUUGAAACUUUUUUAGCCACAAUGGGUUUCUUGAGUUGAGUUUUACCCAAUUCAGUGUGGCCGCUAUAAUAUUUAUAACAUUUGAUAUAAACUCGUGUAGUUUUAGUGUAAUUGUGAAUUUUGCUCUAAUUUAAUUGUAUGAGUUGGCAAAUUUCAUAAUUAUACCGAAAUUUUAGUAGUUUACAACACAUAUUGUAUGAAUUAUAUCAAUUAGAUAAUAUCUCUCUCUCUCUCUCUUUCUCCCUCGUAUUUUUGGAAGAAUUAUAAUUUUUCAAGAUGUAAUUAAUCAUCCCAGGUGAUGUAUCACGAAUUUGGUUAUGCACGACACAUAAUUUCUUAUAAGAAAAUUACUCAUUUAUAUACUUUCAUUCUAUUGAACAUGAUUCACAGUCUAAUGAAUCACCAAUAGACUACAUAGCUAUAUGCCACCCUCGCGGAAACCGAAAUACAAACUGAAAGAGACAUACAUUGCCCAUUAUUUAGUACUUGUUUAGUAUGAUAAUAGGAGUCCCGAGUCCAGACUCCAGAGUACGGAACCCCAAUCAUGAGAUUAAUAUGUUGCAUAAGGCCAUUUACAAUCUAUUGAAAAUCCACCAAUGAAGUAAACAGUGCAGCCGUCGGAGAUGCAACAAUUGGUGCAAGAUGUGUAGGUCUUCGUUCCAUUACAGAUCUGGUACACGGUCGGCCCCAUGCAAUUGAAUGGGCAAGGCUUGACUGCCCCGGGCCUGACAAGCACAGGCCUGACAGCCUUGACUUCCACAUUUGCUCCCAGAAGAAUCAUUCCUGUUUUCAGUAUCAAAAUCAUUUUAAAUCAUAUGCAGACCAAAUUCCGUAUAAAUUUUGAAAACUGCUCGAAACUGUUUUUCUUUUUUUUUUUAAUAGAUCGGAUAAAUAGUCAGGUUUUAACUCGCAUACAAAAUAAUAAAAUUGUACAUACCACAGAAAAGAAUAGCCAUUGCACCAAUCUUGUUUAUUGCUGCAGAGGCCCCGUCCUGGGCCUGUACACGUGGCAGCCCAGGGUUGAUCCGAGCUGGGCUUGCACCCCGGGCCCAUGGGGAACCAGCCCAGGGCGCACGGCGACUAGGGCUCCGGGAGGCUCCCGAGAGCUACCCUACAGAGGGCGGGGAGAAUCCCCCUCAGCGGGGGAUUGGGAGCUAUCCAGGGCAAGUCCCGGAACGUACGGAGGUCGGACUCCUAAGCGGGUAUAAAUGGUAACACAUACCAACUGUACAAGGUACGCUCACUAUUGGCAAUUCACUCCCGACUGCUUUUCUGUGAGUACACUCCCCUCUCACCGGAAAACUAACUUGACCGUCGGAGUGCCCUUGGGGACCACCUCGGGGCCCCUGCCAGUUUACCCUCCUAUUUAUCUUGCAGGCUUGGAAUCAACUCUUCCAUCAGCACCCCGAGCUCAUCAGGUCAGCUCGAUCCGGGGAAGUUCCGUGCUUCUUCAGUUAGCGCCGUCUGUGGGAACGAAGAUACGAGUAUUUGUGUUGAUGGCGAGAACGCGUUCCAAGCGAACCAUGGAUAACACUGAUCCCGGAGUCGGUGAGGGAUCCCGGCGGUUGGAGACCGAGGCAGCCCGUGGCGGCGGGGGCUCGACCCUUUCAGGGGAACGAAAACAGCAGAUCUAUCAGUUUGUAACCGAGAAUCUCCCCAUGCUGGAGGACAUAAUCCGACAGGCGAAGGAGGGGGGUGAGGCCAGGGGUGCACAGACCUCUAAGGCGAAGGGGAAGGAGAGGGAGUCGCUCCCCAUUCCCUCGGAGCACGAGUCCCGGGACCAGCCCCCUAGGAGGAAACGACCGCGGACUCCUCCCAGGACGCAGGCCUCGGUGGUCGGGGACAGUGAGAGAUAUUCUCGCGACCGGUCCGCUGGGGGCCGACUGAGGAAUCCCUCAUCGUGGAAGCUUGCGCGGAACGAGCCGGAGCGCUCCCCUGCCCGGUCUAUCAAGAGCCUGCAGCGGGACCCUCCCCAAUGGCAGCCCGUCCGGGACGAGAUCGAGCUGAUCCUGCGACCACAACUGUACGAGGACAACUACGCAGCCUCGCCCUUCACCCGAGAGGUAGAAGACUACCCGUUACCUCGGAGGUUUAAAAUCCCGAACAUCGAGCUGUACGAUGGUUCGACUGACCUGGAAGACCACCUCUCGGUCUUCCUGACGCACAUGCGUCUACAAACCGCCGCGGAUGCACUCCGUUGCAAGACUUUCCCCAUGUUUCUGAAGGGUAAGGCCAGCCUCUGGUUCUAGGGCCUAGCACCGGGGUCUAUCCGGAGUUUCACCGAGCUGGCCAGACAGUUCGCCGCCCAGUUCGUCUCCUCGAAGACUUACUCGAAGAACGCAGCUCACCUGAUGGCCAUCAAGCAGAAGCCGGACGAGUCCCUGAAGAAUUUCAUGACGCGCUUCAACACAGAAAGCCUGCAGAUCAGGGACAAGGAUGAAAAGGUGGUCAUGGCUGCCUUCAUGAACGGGCUAAGGGUAGAGGAGCUCUACUACAAGCUUGUCGAACAGCCCCCCAAGAAUCUGGGAGAGCUCUUGACCCGGGCUCACGCCGCCGCCAACGCAGAGGAGGCCGGCCGCCUGAAACGAGAGUCAGACCGGGAGCUCGGAGAUCGGAGGGGGCGGGGAAACCCCGCCGAAAGUAAGGAUGCCCCGGCCAAGAAAAAUGUGUUUGACCGGCUCUCGAAAGAAAAAGCCCCUGCUCCGCCGCCGAUCCCGGAGAAAGGCUAUACCCCCCUGACUCGGCCCAGGGCCCAAAUCCUGGCUGUCAUGGAGGCGGAGGACCUGGGAGACCAGCCGCCUAAAAUGGGGACAUCUCGGAAUAAAAGGAACCAAGACCGGUACUGUGUCUUCCACAGGGACGUUGGGCACGACACUGAGUGGUGCUGGGCCCUAAAGAGGGAAAUCGAAGAUCUUGUCCAACGCGGUUUCCUGGGGCGAUUUGUGCGGCAAGGUCGCCCAGGCCAGGAGCCGGGACGCACCUACCGUGGAGAAAGAGGCGAGGGCCAGCGUCGUGACCGACCUGAUCGGCGCGACGCACCCCGGGGUUACUCCCCCGACCACCACGCCCAGAACUUGACUGGGGUGAUAAACACAUUGCCGGCGGUCCCACGGGGGGGACAGCCAUGCAGCUCGGAAGAACAAGCGACCUCCCCCGGAGGGGGACGACUCCCUAAAGCGCCUGCGCAUAGACGAGGAGAUCACCUUCGGGGCGAGGGACGCGGUUCCCCUAACAUCAGGGAACCAUGAGGCCAUUGUCAUCGAUCUUGUGACCAACAACUAUCGGGUGAAGAAGGUGUACGUCGACCAAGGGAGUGCGGUCGACAUUAUGUUUUAUCGGGUGUUCAAGGAGUUCGGCUUGGAGGACGGACAGCUAACCCCGGUUCGGACACCCCUGGUGGGUUUCACCGUACCGCCUAUCAACCCGGAGGGAAUGAUAACCCUGAUGGUCACGGUAGGGCAAGCCCCCAAGUGCCGGACCAUACCCGUCAACUUCGUAGUGGUCAAGCAACAGUCCCCUUACAAUGUGUUCCUGGGCCGGCCUGCUUUGAACGCCCUCCGAGCUAUUCCCUCCACGCUCCACCGUAGCGUCAAAUUCCCCACCUCGGGAGGAAUAGCCGAGGUGCAUUGAGAUUUGGAGGUGGCCCGAACUUGUUACCUAGCCAUGCUCCGGGGACACGAGAAGGUGGUCGCUCAGACGACCAGUUUGGAACCCUAUAUUCCAGGGGAAGAGGCUCGGCAGCUGGGCACUCAGGAUAAGAUUGAGGAGUUCCCACUGAAGGAGGACAGGCCUGACCAGGUAAUCCGCAUCGAAGCGUCGCUACGGCUCAAAGAGAAGGAUGACUUGAAGGCCCUCCUGAGGGAGUACGCACAGGUUUUCGCUUGGACGGUAGAAGACAUGCCCGGGAUUCCGACCGACCUGGCCGUCCACCACCUCAACAUAGACCCUCGCUUCAAGCCAGUGAAGCAAAAGAAGAAGAACUUCGCUCCAGAGAGAAAUGAGGUGAUCAGGAAGGAGGUCGGAAAGCUGCUGGAAUCCAAAAUCAUCAUGGAGGUCUACUACCCGACCUGGCUGGCCAACCCUGUUCUGGUAAAGAAGGAGGACCAGUCCUGGAGGAUGUGCGUCGACUUUACAGAUCUCAAUAAAACCUGCCCGAAAGACUGCUUCCCCUUGCCGAGAAUCGACAGGUUAGUAGAUGCUACUGUUGGUUUUGACGUUUUGUGUUUUCUGGAUACUUUUAAGGGAUACCACCAGAUAGAUAUGGCUGAGGAGGACAGGGAGAAGACUUCCUUCAUCACUGAGGAGGGAACCUACUGCUACCGGACCAUGCCCUUUGGGCUGAAAAACGCUGGAGCCACCUACCAGCGCCUGGUCAACAAGUUGUUCCAAAAUCAGAUCGGCAAAAGCAUGGAUGUCUACGUGGACGACAUGAUCGUCAAAAGUCGAACCGAUCAUCGGCUCAUUCCGGACCUAAGGGAGAUCUUGGACAUCCUGCGGGAGAGCCGGAUGCGGCUGAACCCAAAGAAGUGCACCUUCGGAGUUAGGUCGGGUCGGUUCUUCGAUUUCUUGGUCUCCCGAGAAGGAAUCCGGGCCAACCCCGAAAAACUCCAGGCCAUCAUGGACAUGGCCCCUCCACGGAAUGUGAAGGAGGUCCAGCGACUCACGGGGAGGAUGGCAGCCCUGAACAGAUUCUUAUCGCGUUCCGCGGUGAGGGGGCUCCCCUUCUUCCGAAUCCUGAAAGCGUCCAAGGACUUUCAGUGAACCGAAGAGUGCGAAAAGGCCUUUACCGACCUAAAGACGUAUUUGGUCGAGCUGCCCACCCUGACCGCCCCGAAACAGGGAGAAACCUUGUUCCUAUACUUGUCCGCCUGCAACGAGGCCGUCAGCGCGGUUCUGGUGCGAGAAGACAGGGGGGCUCAGAGGCCAAUAUAUUAUGUUAGCCGCGCCUUACAAGAUCCGGAAACGCGGUACACGCCAGCUGAAAAGCUGGUCCUGGCCUUGGUGCACGCUGCUCAUAAGUUUCGACCUUACUUCCAGACCCACAGCAUUGUCGUCAUGACCUAUCAGUCUCUGCGGCAGAUACUCACCAAGCCUGAGGUCUCGGGCAGGAUGACCAAGUGGGCCGUCGAACUGGCCGAGCACGACAUCGGCUAUAGACCCCGCACUGCUAUUAAGGCUCAGGCUUUGGCCGACUUCCUCGCUGAAGGGGCUAGUUCGUCCACGGGCGGACUGAGCUCUCCGCCUGUACUUGGGCAGCCGUGGGUGCUAUUCGUGGACGGAGCCUCGGGCAAGGAAAGAAGCAGAGCUGGCCUGCUGCUUAUCUCGCCAACCGGGGAGGAGCUGACAUAUGCCCUCCGAUCGACUUCCCCGCGUCCAACAAUGAAGCCGAGUACGAGACCCUGCUCACAGGAUUGCGGAUAGCCCACCAGAUGGGUGUGACCGCCAUCAAAGUCCGGAGCGACCCUCAGCUCGUCGUCCUCCAAGUUCGCGGGGAAUACGAGGCCAAGGAGGAGGUCAUGAAGAAAUAUCUGGCCAAGGUGCAGGAGGCGACAGCCCUGUUUAAUACAUUUGAGAUCGAGCGGGUGUCUAGAUCGCAGAACAAGCGUGCAGACGCCCUGUCAAAGCUGGCAUUCUCCUUGUUUGCGCACCUGAACAAGGAAGUUCUGGUAGAGGUGGUAAAGCAGAAAAGUAUCGACCAGGUCCAGAUCCUGGCUAUAGACAACUCAGCCACCUGGAUGACCCCUCUCGUAAACUUCCUCUGCUCAGGCGACCUCCCUGAGAACAAAAUCGAGGCUCGCCGGAUCCAGCUCAGAACUGCCAAGUACGCCUACGCUGGAGGAACCCUCUACAGGAGGUCAUACUUAUCCCUCUGGCUAAAGUGCGUGACUCCUGAGGAGGGCGAUUACGUCCUCCGUGAAAUCCACGAAGGAUUAUGCGCGGCGCAUUUGGGGUCCCGGGUACUUGCCAAAAAGUGCCUCCUCCUAGGCUACUAUUGGCCUUCGGUUUUCCAAGAUGCGGCUGCUCUGGUUCAAAAAUGCCGAGCAUGCCAGGUGCAUGCGCCGCUGCGCCACCAACCCAAUCAGGAGAUGGUCCCCAUCCACAGUCCUUGGUCUUUCGCCCAGUGGGGGAUAGAUCUCUUGGGUCCCUUCCCCCGAGCUCCGGACAGGUACGAACACCUCAUGGUGGCUAUCGACUAUUUCACAAAGUGGAUGGAAGCCGAACCCCUGGCCACUAUCUCCGGCAGAGCAAUUCAGAAGUUCUUCUGAAAAAGCAUAGUCUGCCGCUUUGGAAUCCCGUAUGUCCUAAUAUCCGACAACGGGCGACAGUUUGCUGAAAAUCCCUUCAAAAGCUGGUGCGCCGAGCUAGGGAUUAACCAGCACUUCACCUCGGUCGGACACCCCCAGGCCAACGGUCAGGUGGAGAACGUUAACCGAACAAUUCUGCAGGGGUUAAAGACUAGGUUGGAGCUAGCCCAGUCUAACUGGUUGGACGAACUACCUAGCGUCCUCUGGGUUUACCGCACUACGCCCAGGACUGCCACCCACGAGGCCCCGUUCUCUCUGACUUACGGAGUAGAGGCUGUGGUACCCGCGGAGAUUGGUUUCCCCUCGCCUCGAACACAGAAUUUCGUUGCGACAACCAAUGAGAAAGAGCUAAGGUACAACUUGGACAUGCUGGAGGCUAAGCGUGAGGAAGCGGCGGUCCGGAUGGCUAAGUACAAGAGCCAGCUCGCCCGCUAUCAUAACGCCAAAGUGAGGACCAUACAGUACCAGCCAGGGGAUCUUGUCCUAAGGAAGAACUCGGUCAACCGGGCACAUGGCUCCAACAAACUCGACCCCAACUGGGAAGGCCCAUAUCUGGUCCUAGAAGCAAGCCGAGCUGGCUAUUGUAAGCUCGCGAAAAUAGAUGGAUCGGAGGUACCCCGUACUUGGCAUUUCUCCAAUCUGCGACUGUUUGUAGCGUAGGUUAGACCAGGGUGUUCGGUUGCCUAUUCUUUGGAAUUCAAAUUUUAGUUUCAUCAUUCAAUAAAGGCUCGACUUUCAAGUUUUAAUUUCAUUUGUACUCGUUUAUCUUUUGAGUUUUAAUCUUACACUAGCACACUUAGCGUUCCCUCACUAAAUGUCCUAGUGGGGGGUUAGGAGGUUAGUAAUGGAUGCGAGAGUGUUCGACCCCAAGAGGUCGGCAUGACUGGGGAGCUCUGAAGAUCCUGAAAGUUCCACGCUCGACCCAGGAGGUCGGCACGACGGGAAAACUUUGAAGGAUUCUAAAAAUUCCACGCUCGACCCAGGAGGUCGGCGGGCGCCAUGGCAGGGUGCGAUGCUCGACCCCGAGAGGUCGGCACUGAUUAAAACUCCCAGGUGAAUGCUCGACCCCAAGAGGUUGGCAAGGGUCAAAGCUGGGGAGUCUGAGACCACGACGCUCGGCCACGAGAGGUCGGCAUGGAGCGGACUAUUUUUGGUCUGAUGGGAUUCGAGGUUCAAUGCUCGAUCCGGGAGGUCGGCACGAACACCUUCAAAGUCGGACGUUCGACCCAGGAGGUCGGCGGGGGAAAUCCUUAAGGAUUUGGUGUUCAGCCCCAAGAGGCUGGCACGUUGCUCGGGUAGGACGGCGUGGUGCUCGAUCCGGGAGGUCGGCAUGAUUAUCUUUGCAAAUGUUUGGGCGCUCGACCCAGGAGGUCGGCGGCGGAAAGCCUUCGAGAUCUGAGACGUGAUGCUCGAUCCAAGAGGUCGGCAGGACCUCCUCUGGAACUUCCCAGGAGAUCGGCACAACUCAGAAACCUUACGGCUCGAUGCUCGACCGUUAUUUUCCGGCGACUAGAGUUUGCCGUUAGCAGGAAAUGGAAAGAUAAAUCAGACAGUUUCAUUUAAAAACUUCAUCUCAUAUAUGCAUUCAAAGCCUAUCUAUUACAAAACUCCCAGUCUAUCUAUUACAAAGCCUACCGAGCUAUACAAGGAAAGGGCCUAGCUACGCCUUCUUCCUGCUGGAGAUAGUAGGGGUUGAAGGUACACCUUAAGUAUGUUGAGAGGUAGGAGUUGAAGGUACACCUUAAGCAUGUUGAGAGGUAGGAGCUGAAGGUGCACCUUAAGCAUGUUGGGGGUUGGGUGGAGAAGGCUGUUAAAAAGGAUCUGGGGAGCCUUUCCGUCUCAGAUGGACCUUCAAGAGCAUUUUCAACUGGAGCAUGGUCACAUCCUUAUAAGGAGACGGAAAGGGUUUCUGGAGUGGCCGCUGCCCUAGGCCACAGGCUUCUUCCCGGAAGCCCUGCCAGGAGUCUCCUCCUCCUCCAGGGGAAGCUCCGCCAGCUCGGUCCCCACGUCGCUCCUUCCCAUCAGGUCCUUCAGGGCAUGCCCCUUGCGGUACCCAUCGAAGAGCCAGUCCAGCUUCUCCUCGGCCGCAGGAUUGUAGUCCUUGAAAUCCGCCAAGUUGAAGUCGGGUGGGUUGAGGCCCUUCACCUUGUUCAGGGUCCGCGUGGCGCUGACCUGGAAGAUGGGCUGGUUGAGGCAGGCCACGUCCUCGACGAACUGGUCGGAGGAGAUGAAGUCCCGGACAGCUUUCUUGCGCUCCCGGCUGACGGUGCCAGAGAGCUCAACGGCGUGCUCCUCCUUCAGUUUCGCCACGCUCUUCUUCUCUUGGUCCAGCUCGGACCGUGUGGAGGCGAGCUGGACCUGGGAGUCCUCCAGCUCUUUCUCAGCCUUGCCCAACUUGGCCUUAAGGGAGUCUACCUCCUUAAGGGCCUUGGCCAGCUUCUGCUCGGCCUUCCGAUUCUUCUUUUGCAUCUUCUCCAAGUCGGGAGACAGUUCGGAGAAGCGGGUCACCAGGGCAGCACCGGCGGCGUUGGCCUGGAGAGAGGAGAGUAAGAGUUAGCAUAUUGCUAGCCCCAUUCGGAGAAAAAAAAUAGGGACCCAAGGGGCCUAAGAAGGAGAGGGCUUACUUGGGCCUGGGCGGUGUAGUACAUGUCCUGGAUCUCGGACGGGUUGGCCAGCUCCAUCCACUUCUUGUCGCGUGGAAGGACUGAACCCGUGACCAGCUCGCGAGCCACCUCGGGGAAUUGGGCUCGGUCAUUGAUGGAGAGCUCCCAGGACGGACAGAAGUGCCGGGGAUCGUGCAUCGUGGGGGCCUGCCCCGGCUUCGUGGGGGCCACGUGGCGGAAGUGCCACAAGCUCGGAGGGGCGCUCUCCUGGGCGUGCUCCUACGCGGAGCCUAUCCCCAGGUGGACAGGGCCCCCAGACAUCAGCUGGAGAGGGCGCUGUGCUGGGCCCUGCGCAGGCUUCUUCGCAGGUUGGGAAGGCUCGUCAUCUCGCCCCCUCUUCUGCCCCGUGGCAUUCUUUUUGGCGGGGACCUGCUUGGAUGGGGACUGAGUCUGGGAGGCCUCCUUCUGGGGGGCCGAGCUGCCCCCAAGAGUCGCAGAGGCCUCAGGGGCCUUCUUUGCCGCCUCAGGCUGUGUGGUGGAGGUGACCUCCUCAGUCGGCGCGCCCAGUAGCCUGGAGAGCCUCUUCACUGCAGAGAAUAUCACCGGAUUAGUGCUACAAGUCAGAGAAAUACAAGGAAAAAGGCAGCAGAUAACAAGGGAACAGGAGCAGUAUUACAGGUAUCUCGGUUGGCGGGGGAGAACUCCACCCCUCUGGGGGACCCGGACAGCUUCCCCAACAGCCCGGCUGCGGAAAUCUACUCAGUGGAGAACUUGGCUGCGUACAGCUUCGCCGCAGAGCCCAGCAGCUGGCCGAAGGCCUCAGGGUCCAGGUCUUCCGGGCAGGGGUCGUCCCCGACCCCCCCAACCUUCCACGCAGUAGGAGGAAAUUGCGUGUUUUUAACAAAAAAGAAGUCCCCCUUACAGUUCUUCACGGAAAAGGGGACCCCGUAGAGGAGAUCUUGGGCGCCCUUCCGCCGCGGUUGCUGGGGGAGCGGCGGCAGAAGUAGUACCACCCAGGGAGAUAAGCCUUGAGGGCGUAGGUAGCACGGAAGAGAGAGAGAGAAUAGGGGAUGGAGCAGAUCUGGCAGUAGAUCAGGAAUCCGAUGAUGAUCCUGAUCGAGUUAGGGUGGAUCUGGGUGAUCCUGAGCCCCUAGAAGCUCAGGAUCUCGGCCAGGCCCGGAGGAAUGGGGAGUCGAAACCCCGCGACCAGUUGCUCUUUGUAGAUGGCUACAAAGCCUGAGGGAGGUCGGCAGGCCCGGUCGGUGGGCCCGGCAGCUCGUGGCUCGAAGGCCGGAGGAAUGGAGAACGACGCGGCCAGCUCGGCCACCACCCCGGGCGAGAGGGUGGUCUCCUCCCGGUCAGGGUUACCGUAGUUGAACUCAGGGUCAUCCCCCUGCUCGGCAGCAGGGGUCCCCUUUGAGGAGUCCCUGUCCUUAGCUCCGCCAGGGGAGUCAUGUGGGGACUCGGGGGAUGGAACAGAAGCGGCUUGCUGCCGGAUAUAGGCAUCAAGCUCGGCCGCCUCCUCCAAGAGUCGGGCGGAAGGAGAAUGAGCAGACGGAGAGCUCAUGAUGUCAAUAGGCUCAAGCAAGUCAGGAAUGGAAAAAUUGGGGUUGGAAGCAGAGGAUGAAAAAGGAGGAGGAGGGGGAGAUGAUGAAGACGAAGAUGAAGAUGAAGACGAGGACGAAGAGGAAAUGAAGAUUCUGGUGGCUCUACGACGGACCGGAGUCUGGGAUGCGGAGGAAGUGACGUCGGAGUGACCCGACAUAAAAUGCAAAGGGUGGCAAAGGGAGGAAAGGAAAUGUGAAAGAAGAAGGGAAAGGACUUACUGGUGAUCGGAGUGAAGAAAGGGAUGAAGAAGUCGCCGGAAUCUGGGUGCUGUUGGCCGGAAAUGCGCUACUGGGAAUUGGGAAAUGCACGAGGAAAGGAGAAAAUGGCAAAUAGAGUCAACUGGAAUUUGGCAGCCCCUAUUUAUUGGGAACGAAAUUGGGAGAAAACGGUUGCUUGAAUUUGAACCGUCCCAUGUGAACACAUUUAAUAGAGGUACGGAGACCGAAUGGAUGCGACAGCUGAAAGGACGCGGACGCCACUUCCCAAUGUCAGCACUGCACCGGAGGUGACCGCGGCAGAGCAGUGGGAUAAGGGGCUUCCACGUGGCAAGGGGAUAGAUCAGGUCUGCCUGGGAGCCUGACCUAAUCUAGGGGGCUAGUGCAGAGGCCCCGUCCUGGGCCUGUACACGUGGCAGCCCAGGGUUGAUCUGAGUUGGGCUUACACCCCGGGCCCAUGGGGAACCAGCCCAGGGCGCACGGCGACUAGGGCUUCGGGAGGCUCCCGAGAGCUACCCCGCAGAGGGCGGGGAGAAUCCCCCUCAGCGGGGGAUUGGGAGCUAUCCAGGGCAAGUUCCGGAACGUACGGAGGUCGGACUCCUAAGCGGGUAUAAAUGGUAACACAUACCAACUGUACAAGGUACGCUCACUAUUGGCAAUUCACUCCCGACUGCUUUUCUGUUAGUACACUCCCCUCUCACCGGAAAACUAACUUGACCGUCGGAGUGCCCUCGGGGACCACCUCGGGGCCCCUGCCAGUUUACCCUCCUAUUUAUCUUGCAGGCUUGGAAUCAGCUCUUCCAUCAGCACCUCGAGCUCAUCAGGUCAGCUCGGUCCGGGGAAGUUCCGUGCUUCUUCAAUUGCCAUGAUUCCUCGUCUUCCAAAAGUUUGCCUUCGAUUUGAAAUGGCUGAUUCCGAUUUGCCAUGGUUCUUAUAUAGACUGAGAAGUGUAAAGAGUGAGAGUAUAUCCAGCUACUGGGUGCAAAUAUUCUGCUUAUUGUGCUUCCACGGAAUUGUAGGAUUGGUCCAUCCUAAAUUAUUGUGCUUCCGGGUCCAUCCAAAAUUAUUGAAUGUGUUUGCAUAGAUGAAUAUUUGGAAUAAAUAUUUUGAAAAAAUACUGUAACACUUUCUGUAAUAUGAUGUAUAUGAAAUACAAAGAAAGAUAGAACAAUAAAAAAGCACUUGAGAAAUAUAUUUACGAUGCAAUUAUAUAAGUUUUUACAAAUAAAAUGAUAUCCAAACAAACAAACAAUCUUCCUCAGAAUUUUGGGACCAAUCCAUCCUAAAUUAUUGUGCACCAGUCCUUCGUCAAUUAUUGGGACCAGUCCUUUCCAUACAUUCCGUUCUUCAGUAGAAUUCCCAUGCAAAAUUAGUCACUUGCAUAUGCCCAGCCAUUUAUUCGGCCUCCGUGGGCCUGAGGUUGUUUAGCCAGCAAACAUCAUAAUUCCACAGUGAUGUUUGAUAGACAGAAGACGUACAACUUUUUUAAAAACACAUGGGCCCACCAUUUGUUUCGUUUCAAAUGCUCUUAGAAAUUGGAAUUUCCUUCUUCAGUGUUUGUAGUUGAUAAAAUGUAUCUGUUGACAAUCUAAUCUAAUGGAUCAUAAUAUAUGCAGUAGGAUCUAAUACAGAAGAACUGCUCUAAGUAUCCUAUUGUAAACUGUGAAUGACUUGCCCUUUGUUAGACUGUGUAUUAGAUAGAACAGCACCAAAACUUCUGUCUAAACUGAUAUAUGGCUUGGCUUUUCUUGAUUAUGUCCGUAGAUAUCAGUUUACUUUUUGUUUCUUUAUCUAUCAAUAGAUUAACCCUGAAAUUCUGUCAAAAUACAUAUGUACGGCUUGACAUGUUACAAGAUAAAUACAUUCUUACAAACUCAAUUGAAGAAUGAAGACUACAUCUGCAUCACCAUUUGGUGGGCGGCCACAGCCAGUCCCUGCAAGUAGUGAUUCAAAUUGGGACGCGGGGCAUGCACUGACAACCGUUCAAAAUAGUAUAAUACUUUUUAAACAAGUUGUAAUUGCUUCUUAAUUACUUGUACAAACUUACAACAGGAGUGUGAUAUUUUAUUACUGUUCAUAUAGAUCUCAUACAUAAUAAUUGUGUGUCUUGUUAUAAAAUUUUACAAGUAAUUCACAUAAAGUUACAAAAGUGUUCAAAAAGUGUUACAUCAUUCCGAUCCGUGCGUGGAGUCCCUCAAUUUGACACUAACAUCAUCGUACCCCACAAAUGUGAUUAUUCUUACAUUGUUUCAUAGAAUUUUGGGACCAGUCCAUCCUAAUUAAAUCAUUGUGCUUCCUUGUCCAUCCUAAAUUAUUGUGCUUCAACAUAAUUUUGGGACCAGUACUUCGUAAAUUACCUGAACAAAAAGUCCUUUGUAAUUAUUGGACUGGCACGAGUCCCUCAAAUUGACACCAACGCCACCUUACCCCGCGAAUGUGACUAUUCUUACAAGUGUGUUUGGACAAGAGAUUAUUUGUCCAAAUAUAUUUGCUUACAUCACCAUUACAAUUUCCAAUACACCUUUUUAUCUUUCCAAUUAUCUUUUUAUCUCACACACAUCACAUCACAAAAAGUGCUACAAUAAAAAUAUCUCAAAUAAUUUACUAGAAUUUUGGGGCCACUCCAUCCUAAAUAUUGUACUUCCAAAGCAUUUUAAAUCACUCAUCUUGAUUUUAAACUUUUUAAGUUUACACCAUAAAAAAUGGACUAUUUUUAUUCACAAAAACAAUUCAAUGGUAACUUUGGUCAAUGCAGCCUGCAAAUAUUUUUUUCCAAGGGAAAUCUCUUUUUUUUUAUAUAGUUCGGAUAUUUAUAAGGGAAAAUUUGCUAUAUAAUUGGCGAAAGAUUUGAUAUUCAAGGAUGGAGUAAAAUUUUGUCCAAAGUCAAAAGUAGGGAGUUUGGAUUCUUUUAAUGGGAAUCAAGCUAAAAUGAUAGAUUUGCCCGGAGGUAGUUUUGCAUGAAUUUAGGACCUCAAUUGGCCACGUUAUGUCCGUAGACUGUGUUCGGAUAAGAGAUUUAGGACCUCAACUGGCCUCUCAUCCAACGAAAAUAUACUCCAUUUUGACCAAUGCAACUGUGUUAGGAUAGGAGAUUAUUUGGAAUAGUUUUUUUUUUCAAAAAAACAUAGUGUAGUAACUUUUCAAUGAAAAUAGAUUCCAUAUUGGCCGAUGCGACUAUGUUUAGAUAGGAGAUUAUUUGGGAUAAUUUUUUAAAAAAAUAGUGCAGCACUUUUCUGAUGUGAUGCCUGUGAGAUAAAAAUAUAAUUAAAAAUAUAUUUAUGAUGCAAACAGAUAAAUUUGUGUAAAUAAUUUGCUAUCCAAACUAAUUCGUUGUGAGGGCCCGAGUUACAUAUGUAUCCAUAUCAACAUUAAUCAAGCAAUCAAUACAUAAAAACUGAACCAUCAAGUUGUAUUACAUUAAACACGUAAGAAGACGACAUUAAAUUCUUGCUUGCAUGAUUUGCUAGAUUUCAAAUGAUUCUUUCAUAUUGUUGAUUAUGUACCACAUGUAUAUAGGUAUCGAUAAGGGUACCUCCUGAGAGGACCACAGUGAUAGAACCUUUUUCUUUGUUAAAUGUAUCAACUUUUGCGAAUUUGUGUUGAUGGUUUUAAUCCUGCAUGUAAAUUUCUAUACAAAAAGUAGUAUAUGUCGUUCGUGAAUUUGUACUUUCAGUUUGAGUGUUCAGCAUAUGGGUGCACCAAACUCAAUAAAAUGGUUGUCAAGUAUGUUAAAAUUCCAUUAAAUAUUUGGAAGAGUUUGUUUGGAGAGUUUUAUGUGAGUAGUUUAUCUGCUGGAUUUUAACUUAGAUUGAUAUUGAUAUUCUACGCUUUCUAAUGAGAUUGAAAAUCAUUUAAAGUUUGUAUUUUUUUUUAUGUUUUAUUGAAGGAGAAUAUUAUUUUGAUACGACACUUUAAAUCCUUAAUAUCUCUAUAAUUUCUAGUAAUCACGAGAAAACACUUAGCGACAAAAUAUCACAAAAAGGAAUACAAACAACAUGCAACGUACGCUCUCUUAUACUAGUUACUUAAAAUAUAGGACAAAAAAACAUGAUUUUAGUCUAGUGCUCUAAAUUUGGAUUCAAAAUGUUUACGGACGUGUUCAGAAAUCACCAUUGCCUGGAAUACAGCAUGUACAUGAUCUCGUUGAUAAUCAAAUUCAGUGAAGAAGUAAUUGAUGAGGGGAAAAAUUCACUUUUCAUCCCUAAAUUUUGAGUUAGGGACACAUUUCAUUCCCAAACUUUUAGAUGCACCAUAUUUAAUAUAUGAAUUAAUUAUAUUUUGCCACAUUUAGUCCAAAAAUAGUAAAUUGUUUAAUUUGGAUGGAGAAAGUCACAUGUUUGGCAUGCGGUUGUUAAGUAAAAAUAAUUUCUCAAUCAAAAUUAACAGUCACGCCAAUCUUCUCCAUCCAAAUUGAAUAUUUUAUCAUUUUGGUCUAAAUGUGGUCCAAAAUAAUUAAUUCAUGUACUAAAUGUGAUGCGUCUAAAAGUUUGGGGACGAGAUGUAUGUCUAACUCAAAAUUUAAGGACGAAAAGUGGAUUUUUCCUUAAUUGAUAUUCUUAAAAUGAGCUAUUAGAUUCUUUUGUUAAAGAAUAAGAGACUCAACAAACAUCUUAGUUAAGAGACUCGACAAACAUCUUAGUUAUGCACAUUUUCUUUUCGCUAGAUUCCUUUCUUUUCUCCUUCGAAUGGUGACUCAAAUUGACAUUAACAUCACCGUACACCCCAAACACGCAACGGAUCUUCUGUCCCACAUCCUGUGCCACUCUCUAUCCCACUUUUUAUUAUAUUGCUAUUUCUCCUAUAUAAACAUCAUAUUUUAGUUCUUUUUUGUUUUCUUAAGAUCCAGUAACUAUUAAUUGAGUAAAAUAUAAAUACAGUAGCUUCAAAAAAGCAAUAUAUAAUAGAAAAUUAAAAAUUACAGCAUAAAAUUCAUAAAAAAUCUCAUUUUUUAUGCAUUUUGGUUUUUUGAGUUUGUUAAAUAUUGUGUAUUACUCAAUUAAUAGUUAUUGGAUCUUAAGGAAACAAAAAAAAAUUAAAACAUGAUGUUUAUGAAGAAGAAAUAGCAAUAUAAUAAAAAGUGGGACAGAGAGUGGCACAGGAUGUGGGACAGAAGAUCCGUUGUGCCCCAAAUAUGACUAUUCAUACCUGUUUCCAAAGAAUUUGGGACCGGGCCACCCUUAAUUAUUGUGCUUCCACAGAAUUUUGGGACCAGUCCAUCCUAAUUAAAUUAUUGUGCUUCCUGGUCCAUCCUAAACUAAUGUGCAUCCACAUAAUAUUGGGACUUGUCCUUUGUAAAUUAUUGGAAGCCAGUCCUUCCUAUGCGUUCCACGUUUUAGUACAAAUGUCCAUGCAAAAUUAGUUACGUUUUGAUUUCCUCUACAAUUAUUCGUUUACCGUAAUUCCUCUACAAUUCCACCGCUAUAUUUGAUAUACAGAACUAGAAGACAUACAACUUGGUAAAAUGAAGUUGAAUGGUGGUGCUGGCUCAAAUCGUUUUGCUCAUAAAAUUAACUAUAACACUCCAUUCUAUCUGGCAAGUAAGGAAUAAACAGAUUUUCCAGCAAAUUCAAACUUCUUGUAUGUGGCAGUUGUUGAAAUGGUUGUCACUAGAAGUGGCAAAAUGGAUUCAUAUCCACCAAUCCAUCCAUAUAAACCAACCUUAAAUGGAUUUGGAUGAUCCAUAUAAAUUUAAUGGUUUUAAAUGGAUAACCAUUUAAAUCCAAUUAUAUUGGUGGAUUUAAAUGGAUUAUCCAUCUUAUCCAUAUACAUCCAUUUAACUUAAAAAAUAGAAAACACAUUUAUAAAAAUGCGAGAUAAAAUCUUGUGGGACCAUCUAUUCUUUUCUUCAUAACUUUCUCAUAUGUCAAAUUAAUUUUGUGGGAUCACCUAUUCUUUCCUUCAUAACUUCCUCACAUGCCAAGUUGCCAAUAACAUUAAUUGCAUUUUAUUUGCUUCUAGUUCCUAGACUUCUUCCAUCCUUUUCAAAAUUAUAUUUUAGUCUCUACUCUUGUUUUUUUUAAUUAAACUCUCAUGUAGUAAUGAUUGCAAACAUUUAUAUUCUUAAGUAAAGAAAAAGCGAGAAUGCAUCAUGCAGUGUCAAAAUAAUUUUUAUUUUUUUAAUUCUUUUAUUUAUAAAAAGAAUUUUUCUAACGAGUGUCCCCGCAACAUUGGUUAAGAUAUGUAAAUGACACCUUUUUUUUUUUUCCAAAUCCUCAUACUUGCAAUCCCUCUCCCUUUAUCACCUAACCCAACUAUCCAAAAAAAAAGACACCUAAUUUACUAAGUAAUAUAAGGUAGCUUGUAUAUCAAUGGUAUAAUAAGGAGUUUCAUACAUUUUUAGAUACUACGUGCACAUGUGAUGAAAAUAUUUUACUUGUCAAAUAACAUAAGAUUUCUUAUUAGAACUCCACUUUUAUUCAAGACAUCACUCUUGAACAGAAGUGCAAAAAAUUGGAAACGUAAACUUCUUUUCACUGUAAAGCCGUAUUCAAUUCAUUCAAUAGUUAUAAAAAUGUAGCCAAGUUCUUAAUUGUUCAUUACUUUACAAAAUGAUACUUAAAGUAAUGACGAAAGGUUAAAUUGACCACAACAGUUAAAUUUUCUUGGAACUAAACUAAUUUUAUGAAGUACUGAAAUAGAGUAGUAGUACAAGCAUUUGUUAUUACCAAAAGGUUUUAGGUGAUUUAAGGAUAGAAUUUUGGGGAUCUGUAUUUUUUGAAAAAAAGCAUUUGGAUCUUAAAUUUAGGAUUUGAGAGAGUAAAUGGAUAAAUGGAUGGAUCAUGAUUUACACUAUCCAUUUAAAUGACAUCCAUUUAGAUCCAUUUAUUAAAUGAUUUUAAUUGGAUUGGAUCAAUUUGAUCCACUAUCCAUUUAACUAAAACCAUUUAUCAACCAUAUAUCCAUUUUGUCACUUCUAUAGUUGUCACCACCAUUUCAGAUCCGCGAUCUUGCCUUCUGGCAUGGGCUUCCUUCGAGCUAAAGAAAAUUGGGAAGCUUGCAUCGAAUCCAGAUUUGAUCAGCGUUGCUUUGUUAAUUGUUCGGUAGUGAAUGCUUCAAUUUUGAUUCCGAUUGUUAGUGCUAGAAGGACUGCAGUAAAAUUUUGUCAAGAGUUCACAAGGAGAGAAUCCUGGAUUUCUUUCAAUGGGAAAUGAAGCUAAAUGACGAUUUGCCCAAAAGAUGCUUUUGAAUAAAUUUGGCCUUCAAUUGGGCCACGCUAUGCCCCGUACUACCAUGUCACAUUAAUCUAUUGGGAAGGACAAAAAAUGACAUUACAGCUGUUGGCGUUCAGCACCACAAUAUUCAUCAUUAUUUGGCCCCGCCCUAUUAUGUAAUGGAUGUCUUUCCUUCCCUCAUUUCAAUUUAAGCGUCUGCUUUGGCAAUGGCGUUUUUACCCAAAUUUGCCGUCCUACAGGCUUUUUUAUUAUAUUUUUAACUUACGUUAAUAUAAUUUUAAAAAAUUUCAAAAUUUUUUAUUCUAUACAUUUUUUAAAAAUAAUCCAAAAUACACGAAUAAAAAUCCCGUUCUCCCGCUCUAUCUUCGCAUCUCAACCCACCACCACGUGUAGUAGACUUGGCCCUGUGGUGCCACGCAAAAACAGAUGCAGGCUUUCUUUUUCUCUCCCCUAUUUUCCCUCUGCCCUGCUCCCCCCUCCUCCCUCCUCUUUUCCCUUUCCCCCCUCCCCCUAGUCCGAUGGGGAUGGCCUUCUCCCCUUCUCUCAGGAGGAGGGGAAGGGAAGGGGAGGGGGGAUGGGGGGAGAGGGAGGCCAGAGGCAGCCGCAGAGAAAAAGCAAAAAAAAUUCUCAUUUUUGUUGUUACAACUUCGAACAGAGGGAGGGAGAGGGGGCGAGGGAGGGGGAGAAGAGAGGGAGAGAAAAAGCAAAAAAAAAAAAUCCCGUUUCUAGUGCUGCAACUUCCGACGAAAGGAGGGAGAGGUGGCGGGAAAGUGAGAGAGGGAGAGGGAAGGGAAGGAGAGGAGGAGAGGGAGAGGGAGAGAGAAAAGGCAAAAAAUAAAAAUUUUUUGCAUCUGUCUCUUCCGGCUGGGAGGGGUGGCGGCCUAGCAAGGGUGGGAGAAGGGAGAAGAAGAAGAGAGGAAAGAAAAGAAAAAAGAAAGGAAGAAAGAAAAAGAGAAAAAGAAAAGAAAUAAAAAGUUUUUUAUUUUAAAAUUUUUUCUACAAUUUCUACGGUAAGUUAUAAUAAAAUUUAGGCAAACAUUUCAAAAGAUUCAUUUGCCAAACGGAUAUUUGAAUUAUUAUUUUACUUUAAGACUCUAGAGCAGAAAUUUUACAAUAUUUGAAUUCUUAUUGUUAUUGGUCCAAAGCAGCAAUGUUAGAAUGCGACAUUCAGCGCUAAUUUGCCAUGUUUCAUCAAUGCUCGAUCACUGAUAAAUCCGGUGAAAAUUAACUCUCGAAUCAGGCUUACAAUUCCCAUGUUUAAACUAUAAAAUUGAACCUUGACAAUUUGUCCAUCACCAUAAACUAGUAAAACGAAAAUACCCCAAAGCCUGAGAACUAGUGGCAUUUUUUUGUAAGGAAUCAUAGAGACAUGCAUAGCGAAUAAUUUAAAAAAUCAAUAAAAGUUUAUCAUGUAAUUAAUAUCUUUUUUGUCACACUUAUCUUAUAUUAAUUUUGAAAUAAGUUGUACUUAUUCUAUUAUUUGAUUGAUGUUCAUUUCUUAUACCAAAAGAUGACCCCAACGAAUAAAUACCUAGAAACACUUUUUAAAACUCUUCCACUUAACGCUAAGAAUUUCGAGCUAUACUUCUUCAAAUUGCCAGACAUGAUAUAACUCCUUUUUCAUCAGAGGUGUUAAAUCCUUAUAAGUUAUUCACCAUCUUUACAUGCUUUAAGUAUAUACUUAUAAGCUAAUGAUGUAAACAUUCUCUAUUACGAGAGCAAUCAUAUAUCAAAACAAAAUAUAACCUUCCAUACUCAAGAUACCAUAAUAAUCUUAAAUCUAAGAAUUGAUUACACAAAUGUCAUUUAGAGAUUAAUUCUUUGGCACUUAAAGAAUAUCCAUAUACGGAUCAAUCUAGUAAAUUUGAUUAUCCUAUCAAACACUCAUAUACUAGUUUAGGUAUCUCAAACACUAUAGUAGAUGAGAUCUAAUACUUAUUAAAUAGAAGCAAUAUAGUAUGUGUUAGUUUAACCAUAUUAACAGUGUCUUGCCUUGUUAAUACUUUGACUAGAGAUAUUUAAGAAUAAACAUUAUUUAUAAUCGAAUGAAUCUCAUCAUCAUAACUCACAUGAUUUCAUCGAUUAGGUUUACUCUGAGGACUUUAUCAUACUUAUGUAAAUAUAAGCAAUCAAUAUUAUAAAGAUGUCACUUAUUAUAACAUAAAUAGUUCAAGUGAAUAUUAAACCCUAGAAGCUGAUUGACUUUAAAGCAUAUACACUUUCAACUCCCACUUACAGUAAAGCCGAUCACUCAUAAGUCAAAGAUCAAAUGAGUCUACAUGACUAUCAUAUUUCCUUUUAAAAUAAGUUUUAGUAAAUGGAUCAACUAUGGUGCUAUCCGCAGGUACUCUUUCUAUUUUCACAUUUAUUCCUACCAAUGAUUUUCACCAAAUCAUGUGGUAGCAUCUUAACAAGUCUAUGGGUAUGUAAUGAGACCUUGGUUCCUUCACUAGAGCAAAUUUUCUUUAUAGUCUUAAUACUGGAUAAAGGAUUUAAAAUGAAAAGAACCAAUCCCAGUUCUAUUUGAACUUAUAGAUCCAAAUGUUUCCCUUUGCCACUUCUCAAGUAAUAACUUGUUACGAUUUAAUUGUAAAAAUUUUAGUUAUGUUUCACUUGAAACUAUUUCAACACACAAUAAUAUUAUAAAUAAAUGUAUAAUUAUUUGCAAAUCAUCUUUAUAAAAUUGUUUACAAGUAUAUUCUCAAACUUCCAAUUUAAAAUUUUCAUGAACCAAAGGAGAUAAUAAGUCUAGUAUAUCGAAAUGAUUAAUUCUAUACAAUAUAGACAAAACUUCUUAUUGGAUCAGUUCAUCUUAAAUGAAAUUAGCAUCUCACCUAUGUACAAGGGAAAAUUUGCUAUUAGCUAUCGGAAGAUUUGAUAUUCGAGAAUGGAGCUAGCUUUGUCCAAAGUUGUUAGUAGAGAAAUCUGGAUUCUUUUAAUGGGAAUGAAGCUAAAAUGACCGAUUUGCGCAUAGAAAGUUUUGCAUGAAUUUAGGACCUCAAUUGGCCACGUUGCAUGGUCCAAUUAUGCGCGUAGACAGUUUUGCAUGAGUCUUGGACCACGUGGUAAUAUUGUGGGUCCCAUUACCAUGUCACAAUAUCAAUCGGGUCCCACCCUUGUCAUGGAAGGCAAAAAAUGAAAUUGUUGUUAUGGAUCACAUCAUUAUUUGGGUCCCACUCUUGUCGUGAGGAGCUCUUGUUUUCCAACGUGGACGAGCAAUCUCUUUCUUCCCUCCUUGAUUUUUGUUACAGUUUUUUUGGUUCAAGUCACAGGAAUUUGCAUUUGUGACUAAUUUUAUUCAAGCCAAAUCGAGCCUUACAAAAGGAAACUCUCUCAAAAUUAUCCCUUUUAUUCUCAUAAAUUUCGAAUUCGAAACCUCAUAAUUAAAAGAAUGUAAGCUCCUUCCACUUACACUAACAUCCAUCCACAACCAAUCCGUUUGUUACAUUAUGUAUGGGUAUAUGAGUGACUUGUGGGACAACUAUAUUGUAUGGUAGGAGUGAUCUUUAUCACAAAAUAUCAUCGACUAACGAAACCACUAUUGUCAAGCUCACUUUCUUUCGGAUAGUUUUUAGACAAAAAAUAAAUGGGACAGAAUAAACAAGCAAUCGGCAGAUAUAAAGUUGCAUGUUUAGAUUUUGCAUAGGCAUGGUCAUUGCUGGAGACAUAUUGGAUAGUACGUAAUUAUUAAUGUGAAUACCCGUGUUAUGCAAGGCACUGACAUUAUUAAAAAAAAAUUAAAAGAGAAGGUGAAUUAAAAAAAAGUAAAAAAAUUGUACCAAUAUAAUUAAAAUUAAGAUUUGUCUAGCAAUAAUUCAAAGUAUGCUAAAAUGUGUAUAUCAUUUAAGAACUACAUUUUUGUGAAAGAUGGAUCUUGAAAUAAUAAUAGAAAUUUAUAUUAGAAAAUGAAUGAUAUAUGGAUAGAAAUGAAUAUAAUCGCAUGUUUUAUUUGAUUUCAAAAUGAAAUAGUUACAAACAUUAUGCAUUCAAUUUGAUAAUCUUGUAUGAAAGCAAUAUUGGUAGUUUAAUUAACUCCAUUGAAUUUUGUGAAAUUCGUACUACAAAAAAAAGUUUAGCGAAACUUGUCUUUCUUAGAAAUGAACUUGUUGAAAUCAAUCUUACAAGUUUGUGAUCAGUUGUUAAUUCCAAGCUUGGUGUAGACUUCCGUUUUUUGAUUAGUUGUUUGCUCCUUUGCAAUUUUACAACUUUAGAAUUGAGACGCAAUUGAAAUCAAUGAUGGAGUCAAGAGGGGUUGAUGGGAGGUCAUGGCCCCCUUAAGUUUUAAAAAUUUUAAUUCAUAGUGCAUAAAUAUAUGUGUGAAAUAAAUUUAAUUCAAUGACAUAUUAUUGUGAAGAACGUUUUGAACAAUUUUUUCAAAUAUUAAACUAUGGAGAAUUCAGAAGAACUAUACUAUCUCCGAAAAAAUUCAGAGAAACUAUGGAGAGGAAAUGCAGACAACACAUUUCAUAACUCCCAGAAAUUUAUCGCAAUUCCUAGGAGGCUAGGACUGAACGCCACUUUUUCGAACAUGCAGUGCAUGUCUUGUCCUAGUAAGUUAUAUUUUUUAUUAACAAAAUUUAUUUUAGCAUGGGUCCCAACUUUCAAGCAACCUGUAUGAAUUCUUUCUUCCAUGGUGGCUUCUCCCAUCACGCCUCUACUAAAACCAUGCUCAAUUUAGUAAUUUCUUACAUAUCAUCUUAUAAUUGGUAACUCUUAACUUUACCACAAAAAUAUCAGAAACGGUUUCACCAUUUUGUAGAAUUCACCGUAACUUGUCUUUAUUAUUGUAUAUAUUUUCAUUACGUCUAGCUAAUCUUUUGCUUGGAGACUGAUGAACCACUUGAGUUAUGAUUGUGGUUGAUGAUGGUUGAUCUCAUUGAUGCAUUGUGCUUGACUUAUUUAUUUAUUUGGCUUUAACACUUAGGGUUGCUUGAUCACAAACCUUAGGUCACACUAGUUGAUGUAUAGGCAAAAAAUUUUGCUAUUCAUUGAUAGAAAGGAAAUAAAUGAAAUCGAAGAAGUAAAUACACCAAAGUAGCGAUACAUUUAAUUAGGUAUUUGCUUUGCAUUUUAUGAAAUAGAUGCACCAUUUACAUUGGAUCUCACCACGAAAGUAGGGGGACUUUAGGAUUGGUAAUGCCGGGGGCGAGUCUCAGUUACCAUUGGAAAUGACCCUGAGCGAGACGAGCCAUUAGUGAGACCCUGGUCAUUUGAUUCUCGAUUACGCUGAGGAUAUGAAUUCUAUACCCCCAGAGCCUUGGGUUAGUUGUUUCCACCUUUUCUUGGCCUGUUUUUACUGUUUUCAUGGUAUGGUUUAUUUUGCUUAUUUUAUGACUUUAUUUGAUAGUCUACACAAUCGAGCAAGUUUAAGUCCUUAAUAAUUGCGUCAUGAUGCUCCCAACAGGUUUGACCCUUUAUGCCCCUAUACUCACUUACUAUCCAUAUAGAGUGAAAUUGAACUUAAUUUUAUAUGCAUAUUUCACGCACGCCAAUUCUGAACUUGUUAACUAGGAGCUUUUCUUCUUUUUACUUGAAUAGAAUCAUAUCCUUCAUUUUCCUCUUAAUGCUUUCACUUUGAAUAUUCAAUAUAUGGAUCUACCAAACUCAAAAAAGUAGUUGUCAAGUCGCUAAAAUUUCAUUAAAUUUUUGGAGGUACUUGUAUAGGGAGUUUGAUGUGAGUAGUUUAUCUUCUUAAUUUUAAUUUGGUUUGAUAUUGAUAAUCUAUGAUUUUCAAUAAGAUUGAAAAUCAAUUAAAGUUUGUACAAAAGUUUUUUUAUUUGUUUCGUUGAAGAAAAAAAUUAGGCUUUGUUUUAAUAAUCCAAUUCAGCACUUAAACUUAAUGAAUUAGAUCUUCACAUGUUAACACGCGUUUGAUAACGAAAAAUUGAAUAUCUAAAUUAAUUAAAUAGCACUAAAUUUUCUAGGAAAAACUUGCUCCUAAAAAUAAAUGAUAAGUUAUUCAUUUAUUACUUAAAUGUGAUAUAUACUCAAAUGUAUCAGAUUUAAUACUUAACAAUUCAACAUUUUAAUAGAUUUAGAUUUUAGAUUUCAGACUUUAAAUUUCAAUUUUCAAAUUUCAAUUAUAUCAAACGCACUCUUAGUCGUAGUACAACACUUUACAUACUUAAUAUCUCUUUUAUUUUUAGUAAUCAUGAGAAAUAAACUUUGUGACUAAGUAUCACAAAAAGUAAUAGGUGUAAUGUGUGACGCACAUUCUCCUACACUAAUUACUGUAAGUACAACACAAAAAGAGCGUAUUUUUAGACAAUAAUACGUACAAUGUGCAACACACAUUAUCUUUUUUUUUUUUUUGUUUAACAAAGUACAUUUUUGGAAUUAAUUUAGUAAGAACUUAUGCAUGAAUUCCUGCUAUACGCUUGUCAUAUUGAAUAAAGCUAUUUUUUUUCCUCAUAAUCUUCUAAUGUUAAAUAGAGUCAAAAUCAAGUAAAAUCUCCUUAUAUCCAAAAAUGUUUUUUGAUUUUCAUUUAAAAAACAUAACCAAUACGAAAGGAUAUUGCUUUUUGCCUCGGAGAAUUGGUCAAAGUGGUAAGGUGGAAGUGAGAAAAUGUGACCUGCAUCAGUUGGGGUUUAUUUGUGAGUAAUUAGUGCACAUGUCAAGAGAUUAGAAUGUUGAUAUCAUGGAGAUAUAUAUGAACAUUAUCGAUGACGGCUAUACUCCAUAAUGCUACUCUGGAUAAUACUGAACAAAUGAUGCACGAGAAGUUGGUGGAUCAAGUAAAAUGAAAAAAAUAGUUAAGUUAUUGAAACUUUUAUCCAAAAUGGUUUCUCAAGUUGAGUUUUAUCCAAUUUAGCUUGCACUACAAAAAAAAAGAUUUCUAGUGACAACAAUUUUUGUCGAGAAAAGGUACGCGUUUCGUCAGGAAAAGUUUUCGUGACACCAACAUCGUCAGAGAAGAUUGGUCACCUAUACACCGUCGGCAAAUGGUUUUCCUGACAACUAUUGAAAUUUUCGUCAAGAAAAGUUUUAUUUUUUGUGACGCAUCAUCAGGAAAGGUAAUAGUGAUGAUUUGGUCAUCAGGAAAAGACCUCAUAUUGUUGACGAGCCUUUGUCAAGAAAGACCCUGAACUUUGUUACUAAAUUUUCAAUUGUCAAGAAUAGUCACACAUUGAAACUUGUCAGGAAACUUUAACGACAAUACAAUGUCAUUUUUCCUGACGACAGCUGCAUCACUUUUAAGCCCAACAAUUUUAGUGCCAACAAAGUGACCAUAUCAUCUAUUUAGACACUCCAUCCAAUCAAAAUAUAAAAGUAUGCAAGCAAAAUAUCAACCAAAACUUCACAAAUUAUCAUUAGUAGGCAACCAUAAUAUGUCAAACCACAAAAGUUAACCAUGUCAAACAUUUACAUAUCAUCCCAUUCCACGAUUUGAAACCAAUAUAAAUAUUGCUAUUUCUCCCUAGAUAACUGCCAUAUACCUAACAUAUGCUAAAACCAAAAGAUGGACUUCAAUUCCAUGGUCAACAAAAACUAGAGAUGGAUGAUAUCAAAAUAGAGGAGUUCUUCAGCAUGAGCCAAAAUCAAUCCACAAGUUCAUCCCAAACCUGUACAAUAAAACCAAGAAAAAUUUGAAAUCAGAGAAAUAAUAGAAUGGCAUGCACAACAUGUAUUUUUGUUAUUAGGUGGUAUUGAGGCUCCAAAGUUGAGUUUGAAAAUUAUGGUUCAGAUUGCAAGUUGGUAUUAGUUGGGUAGGUUUGCAAGUGAGAGUGCAGGUCUGCUCUGCUAAAUAUGAAGAAAUACAAAAUUAGAUAUUUUAAGAUAAUCAUCAUAUGUAACCGACUAUAAAGAGUUUGAAAACAGCAGUGUUGAUAUAAUAAAUAUGUUGCGCCAUGUUAUGGACCAUGUGCCUAUAUCUAGUUUGUAGAAUAGAUUAUGAAAAAUCAUUCGAUGGCACAUCUAAUGCAUAAUCAACAACAAAUUUUGAAGAUAAUGCCACAUCAAUAGCAUUUGAAUUUCUUUAUUCUCAAAUUCUCGUGUCUAAUCUUUAUAGCCAAAAGACAGAUGGGUGUUGAAGGCAAUUCAAAGGUACAGAAAGUUGAGACGUGGACAUAAACUUGGGAGAAUCAACAUAAAGCAACUUUGCAUACUAAUCUUGAGGAGAAAGAGUACAAACACUUCCAAGUAAAUUCAUAAAAAUAAUAUGUUAGCAAAGGAAUGCACAUAAGAAUAGAUUUAGAGGCAAUUAAAGACUAGGAAAAGUAAACUGUAAUCUUAAAAUCCGAAUAUGUGGAUAAUCUCUUAAUACUUUUAGGAAAUUGAGGAUAGUAAUAACGGGACAACAGCCUCUAGUCUAACCCUACUGACAUUUAAUAAGAUUUUAUUGUUGCAAACAGGGGGAAAAUAUACUGGGAGAACAAUCAUAGGAUGGCCACAGUAAAAGAGCAAACAUUUGUGGUAAGACAAAUAUUUAGGAGGUCAACCACUCACCAUUUAUUGCCCAAGGCUUAUAAAUAAUUGAGGAUAGGGGGCAAGCAAACGAUUUUGGAGAUAAGAAUGAAGCAGAGUGGCACAAAAAUUUAGAGCCUUCAGUGUUCCAAUGGCUCCGACGAACAAGCCUAAAGGAACUUUUGAUGAACAUAAAGAAUACAGAGGCAAGAAUAUGAAAUUGACACACAUGCAAAUCAACUAUGUCCCCCAUUCCUCUUCCCAUUUCUUUAAGAAUCAAAAUUUUCAGUACACAUUUUACUUAUUACGAAUAACACAAUUAGAUAAUUUCUGAGGAGGUUAAAGUUCAAUUAGAAUUUUGUUUCAUAGUUAUCUUAAAAGUUGUAUUAAACUUAGCAUGCCCAGUGUCAACUUAAGUAAAAAAAAAAAAAAUUUAAGCAACAGACAACAUGGAUACAAGAUGUCAUUCAAUUACAAUCAAUUCAUGAACAGCAGCCCUUACUUUGGAGGAUUAAAAGAUUCUCCAACUUGCCGCCACAGCUUGCAAGCAGUCACCUGCAAUCCCAAAAAAAGAGACACCAUUGAUAAUGUAGUCAUCUUACCAAUGGGAACUAACUUAAGCUGAAAAUGCAGCUAAACUUUCAGGUAACAAAACCAUAUGAUACAUUUAUUUAACUCCUCAAGAGUGAAGAAACUCUGAACUAAAGAAAUGUCAAGAAAUAUGGUCUAUAGUAUCAAAGCUUUAAAUCUCAAGCAAUAAUGGAUUUUUUGUUUGAAACGGGUACGAGUCGGAAAACAAGCACAGCAAAACAUACUUUUCAUACAUGUUAUACAUGCAUAAUCAUGUAAUAUGUAUCACAAAACCAUUCCAACUAUCCCUCCUAAAACAUGUAGAAAGAAUAUUAUACUUGGCAUUCAAAGUUGUUUUAGGGGUGAUCAUAUCACAAGUUCAAUGUUCUAACCACCCCUGGCACUCAAAUAGGCAAUGGCAAUAGUUUCAAGCAAAAUGAUAAUGGGUUUUGGUUGAAACCUGCUCAAUGAUAAUUUCUAAGUUUCUUUCCAUGAUUCAAGGUCAGUAAUUCCUUUCUCCUGCAAAAUGAAUUAAAGUUAGAAAGUUAAAUGAGUGCAGAAAUUCCUCUCCAACUAUCAGUCUGUAGCCGUGCUUACCAUGGUUCCCUUCCAUUCCAAGAGAUAUUUUAUCUCCAAUUUACUGCUCUCCAGAAGCAGUGAAAUUUGCUGCAAGGGCAUGACUCAUAACUUCAUAUACAGGAAUAAAGGACCAGAAACAAAUCUAGAGGAAAUAAAAAGAGGAAACCAAAACCAGUUACAUGUCAAACAAUAUCAGUAUAUUAGCCAUAGAUAUACGCAUGGGAAUCAGGAGAAAACUUAAAUUCCAGGAAAGCAAGCAAAACAGAUAUUACAAAGUACUUAUUCUUACUCGAACUAGAAAACUAGUACAAAGAUCACCAUUGUGCAAGUUGAUUGAGACUUACUUAAAUCACAAAUAAUAUAGCAGUAUCCUCUUGCACUAAGUUCUAGCACUGAAGCAUCAUCCUCUCUAGUCUAAUUACUGAGCACAUAGCAUAGCCUUUUAAAAUGGUAUAUAAUUGUGAAUCAAAUUCUCCCAACUCCUGAAGACACACCCACUACCAUCUGCAAAUGCCAACUUAUAGCUCUAGUUCAUAAUUUGGCAUGUGAUUGGCAAUUUGGCCGCAUGUUUACCAUUCAAAAUUGCACCUUUCCUCAUUUAGUCGGAAACUUAUCUCAAAGCCAUAUCUACAUGUGAAAGAAGAUCUAGAACAUAUACCAUAGAAAACGAGAAAACAAGUAAUUGCUAUGCUUAUUACAAGCAUUUCACCAAGACAACACCAAAAAGAUACAUAAAUCACUGCCAAUUACAUGAAUCAAUUUUUUUAGCAACAGCUGCAAAUACAGAAUAUGAGCACAAAAGCAAAACAAAAGGUCCAUUGUUAAUUUACAACAAAACUAAAACGUCAAUUUUCCUUUUCUAAAACACUGACAAAAACUAACACGGUAGAACAAACUAAAAUCAAGAAACCAGAAAUCCGACAAGAAUGGGCAUAAAAAGCAUGAUCAAGCAGAGCCGAAGUUCAAAAAUCCGAAACUACGAGCGAACAUGAAAAAUAAUGAAACACAAAGUUCAAUCGAAGCUUCCCAAAUUGCUUUUGCGAACGAACAUGAAAAAGAAUCCUUUUCACCAAAAAUCAACAUUAAGAUCAACAAAAGCAUCACACCCACAAAUGAAAUCCUAAAAGCACACAACAGUCCAAAAGAAAUUCGAACAAAGCAAAUAAUGCGCCUACGCAUUGAACUUCCCUACUAGCAGCCUUGAAACCCCUAAAAUCGUUACUAGAAUCAGCCAUAUCAUUAGCAUCCCCAAUUGAACUCAAUCGUAUAGUGAAGCAUCCCCAAUUAGCAUCCCCAAAUCAUUACCAGAACCAGAAUCACCAAAUUUUAUACUGAUUAUAUCCCCGGGCACAAGAACUGAAGCAUCUUCCUAGGUUUCGACGAACAGAGAAAGGGAGAGAUAAAUAAAAUACCCACUAUAAAAAUUAAAAAAAGGAACCAAUUAAAGACAAAAUUGAAAGGGGAUUUGGAGAAAGGGAACCGAUUCAAGACAAAAUUGAAGGAUUAUUUGAUGUUUACAUCACCUUAGACCAUCGUGUUGUCUCUCUUAUUGAAAUAGAUGAAGAUGAGUUACAGAUUUGGAGAAGUGCUUCUUUGUCGUUGUUGUUCCAAAAGAAAGAGAGAUGGAACAAGUGUUUUCUGUUUCCCGGUUUCUAUGUCAUAAGUUGAUGUCCUUCUAAAUUCUUUUUUGGUCCAAAAAAGGGAAAAAAACUGGUGGGAAAAACUGGUGGGAGAAUGAAAACUUUUCCUGACGAAUUGACGUGAGCAAAAGUAGAAAAAUAUGUUUAAAGUAGUUGUGCCUUUUGAAGGAUAUUUGCCUGAUGAAGCGUCAUAAAAGGUAUGGUUUUCCUGACAAAUAAGUUGGUUGUCAUGAAAAUUUUGUCACGAAAGAAAUAAUUUUUUGUAGUGUUGGUUGAUAAAAUAUUUAUAAUAUUCAUACAAUUUUAGUAUAAUUGUAAAAUUUUGCUUUAGCUUAAUUGUAUGAGUUGGCAAAUUUCAAUUAUCCUAAAAUUAUGUUAGUUUAUAACACAUAUUGUAAGAAUUAGAUCAAAUUGGAGAACCUGUAGAUCCACUUUUAGCACUCUUCUUUACCUCUUUUUCUCUUUCCCUCGUACUUUUGGGAGAAUUAGGUACGUAAUUAAUCAAUCCAGAUGAUGUAACAUGAAUUUGGUUAUGUAUGGCACGUUGCUUCUUGUAAGAAAAGUAUUCAUUUAUAUACUUUCAUUUUAUUCAACAUGAUUCACUAUCUCAUGAAUCACUGAUAUACUACAUAGUUACAUUCCACUCUAGUGGGAACUGAAACACAAACUAAAAGGGGCAUAUAUUUUACCCAUUAUUUAGUACUCGUUUAGCCUGAUAUUGGCUGUCUAGAGCACAAGCACUAAUCAUGGAAUUAAUAUUUAGCCCAAGGCCACUCACAAUAUAGUGAACUUCCAUUAAAGUAAAGAGUGCAGCCGUUGUCCAUGCAACAAUUGCCGCAGCCUGUGUAGGUCUUCGUUCCAUUACAGAUCUUGUACUCAAUCAGUAUGCAAAUCGGUGGGCAAGGCCUGAUAGGCCCGAGCCUGACAGCCAUGACUUCCACAUUUGCUCCCAGAAGAAUCAUUCCUGUUUUCAGUACCAAAAUCAUUUUAUAUCGUGUGCAAACCAAAUCCCGUAUAGGGUUUUGAAAAAUGCUUGAAACUUAUAUAUAUAUAUAUAUAUAUAUAUAUAUAUAUAUAUAUAUAUAUAUAUAUAUAUAUAUAUGUAUGUAUGGGAUGAAUAGUUCUCUUUUUAAUUUUUAAAAUUGCCCCAACAGGUUUAACUCGUACAAAAAGGAUAAAAUUGUACAUACCACAAAACAGAAUAGCCAUUGCACCAAUCUUGCUGAUUGCCAUGAUUCUUUAACUAAACAAUGAGAGACUCCAUAACUAAACAAUGAGAGACUCCACAUAUAUAUUAAUGUGUUUGAAUUUGUCAACGGGGUGCUUUUCUUUUUUCGCUUGAAUAGAAUCUUAUCCUUCAUUUUCCUCUUUAUACUUUUACUUUGAAUAUUCAGGAUAUGGAUGUACCAAACUCAAGAAUAUAGUUGUGAAGCCUGCUGAAAUUUCAUUAAAUUUUUGGAGGAGUUUGUUUGGAGAGUUUGAUGUGAGUAGUUUAACUUCUUAAUUUUAAUUUAUUUGAUAUUAAAAUUCUAUGACUUUCAAUAAGAUUGAGAAUCAAUUAAAGCUUGUAAAAUUUUUUUUAUAUGUUUCAUUGAAGGAGAAAAUUAGUCUUAGUAUAACACUUUAAUGCUUAAUAUCUCUUUUUUUUUUCUAGUAUUCAUGAGAAAAAAAACUGUAACUAAGUAUCACAAAAAGUAAUAUGCAUAAUGUUCAAUGUACAUUCUCUUAUGCUAGCUGCUCUAAGUAGUGGACGAAAGGAGCAUACUUUUAAAAAGUAGUACGUACAAUGCGCAACACACAUUAUCUUGGUUUUUUUUAACUAAGUACAUUUUUGGAAUUAAUUUGGUAAGAACUUAUGCAUGAAUUCGUCAUAUUGAAUAAUGCUAAUUUUCUUCCUCAUAUUCUUCUAAUGUUAAUUUAGAGUCAAAAUCAAGUAAAUCUUCCGUAGAGAUGAAAAUGUUUUUUGAUUUUUUAUUUUAAAAAGAUAUCCAGUGUGAAAGGAUACUUCUUUUUGUCUUGGAGAAUUGGUCAAAUUGGUAAGGUGGAAGUGAGAAAAUGUGAGCUGCAUCAGUUGGGGUUGAUUUUGAGUAAUUAGUGCCCAAGUCAAGAGAUUAGAAUGCGGAUCACAUGGUGGUAUAUAUGAACAUUAUCCAUGACGGCUAUACUCUAACGGCUCCAUAAUGUUUUUCUGGAUAAUAUUGAACAAAUGAUGUACAAGAAGUCGGUGGAUUAAGUAAAAUGAAAGAAUCGUCAAGUUCUUGAAACUAUUAUCCAAAAUGGGUUUCUUGAGUUGAGUUUUAUCCAAUUUAGCUUGGUUGAUAUAAUAUUAAUCGUGAAUAUAAUCUAACUUACUUGUAUGAGUUGACAAAUUACAAUUAUCAUGAAAUUAUGUUAAUUGGACAAAAUUCAAUCGGAGAAGCUGUAGACUCUUUCUCUCUCCCUCGUAUAUUUGGGAGAAUUAAGUACAAUUUUUUGAGAUGCAAUUAAUCAUUCCAGGUGGUGUAUCACGAAUUUGAUUAUGUAUAGUGUAACAGCCCCACUUUCCCCUAAGGCGAACCAAAGGGGUGAGCGGACUGCCUGCCCAGCUCUCGCCAGGACUACGGAUCAGAUUAGAGCUAUCCGCUUCAAUCCGGAACUUACAAACUCGCGUAAACAAAUCAAAAUAGUAAAACAACCCAAGAUAAAAUGAGAUGACAUCCGGAGCCUAAGGCGAACCAAAAUGGUAAACGAUCCGGAACUUACGAACGAGCGUAAACGAGUCAAAAUGGUAAAAUAACCCAAAAUUUAAAAAAAAGAAAUCCGAAGUCGGCCAUGAAUAAUAACCGACCCGUCAGAACCCAACCGAAAUAGCUAACAAACAUUUACAUCUGAUCUUUAGCGUUUACAAAUCAAAAUAACAUACAAAAGCUUUCAAAAGAUAUUACAUAUACACGGUUUGCCAAAUCAAAAGAGAAACGCCCAAAAGUACACUUAGUUUUUAAUACAUGAGCUAUAUAAAAAGAUAUGUUCAACUAGCUCAAUUUGGCAGCCAUUUGUCAAAUCCAGACCAAAAGGGGUUUAUUUUCCUGUAAGGAAAACAAAAGGAACGGAAAGGGGUGAGCUUGCGCUCAAUGAGGUACCAAACAGAUAGCAUUAAAAUCAUGGCAUUUCACAUUUAACAAAUCAGAUACACAUGUCAGAUGUAAAGCAAAGGAACCAAUGAUUCAAAUCAGAAGGAUACGGGUGGCUCUCAGGAGCCAAAUUUCCAGCGCAAUACUUGAUCCAAACCGGUUGACUCUCCGUCAACGUAUAUAGAACCAAUGCGUCCGUAGACCCCUCUUAUCACCGAAUUCCGUCCACCAAACACCCCUUUACCGGCCCGCUCACCUCAAACGAACAAAAUGGUAAUACUCGAGUAUACCCGGAAUCAAGGGUCUCAAUACCCAAAAUCCCCGAACAGACUACCGUGGUUCGUUAUCUAAUCGUCCAGGCCCUUGCCGGCCCGACUCGAAUAACUUAGCCACAGGAUUGAGCUCAUAGGUCAUAGAAAUCCGAACAGAUGCAGACACAGAUAACAGAUUCAAAUUUUGCAUAGUAAAUUGACAUAUGAACAAACUAGAGAACGAGUGUGAUAAAGUACACCCUCGUCUCGAACAAAUAAACAGAUUGCAGAGCAGAAAUCAAGUUAAAUAGCAAUGGAGGGGAGUGGUACACUCACCGGCUCAACUUCAAAAGUUUUCACUUCAGAUUGGCCUUAAUCGCCAAGAAACCCUAAAAUAACCAAAAUAAACCAAUUGAAGGUUUCAUAUCCAAAAUCGAGUAAACGGAAUGCACAAGUGAGGCUCGACUACACGUCGUACGCCUUGCCCAAAAAUACUAAUGCAAGGGUGCAAAAACAUGAUUUUCUUGGAAACAAAAGAUAACAUGAAGACCUAGGGUCAACAACCCAAAAACCCUUCAUUUCUACCAAAAGGCAAAUCCAACUUAAAAGAACCAAACGGCCUAGAAAAUCGGGCAGCACUUCCCCUAAAUUUCUUACUUUUCCAGCCAUUAAGGCUUCAUUAUUUCCUCAAAUCAGUCCCAACAUUUCACACCAAAGGUCAUCUCAUUUCCCAAAAGCCGUACAGGGCUCAAAGUGGUACAAGUACAAAAGUUAGCUAGGAAACAACCAAAAUGAAAGCAAGCCCUAAGAGAGACUCGACGACGAGUCAUAAAACAAUGCUGAACACAACCCCAAUAGGGUCUCAUAUGCAUAAAUAAGCAUGUUAGCAAACCAGAAAUUAGAAAUAGCAUUAGUCUUGGCCCCAAAUAGAAAAACUGUUUUGCCCUUAUUUUGCGGUAAUGGCGUCAAAUUCACUACGAUUAUCGGAUGGGGGUGUAAGACCCACCGUUUCGAAGCCAAGAAACAGAGAUACAACAAUGUAGAAGGUCACUCAAUCCAGUUCCUAACACAACUAGGUCAAAUAUGCAAAAUACUAUACCAGAAUUCCCAAAACAGGUUUGCAAAUCACACAAAACUGUAAUUACUAUAACUCAGUCUAUACAAGUCCAAAUGCCGAAAUUCCAAAGGCAUAUGAUAGCUAAGACAUCCAGUAACAUUUCAUCAGAAGACACCAACUUCAAAAUCCAAACCAAAUCGAGUCAAAACAGACAAUUCCUAUCGCAGUUCAAAACAGACAAUUCAAAACAGACAUAGUAUAUGCAGUAGGAUCUAAUACAGAAGAACUGCUCUAAGUAUCUUUUUUGCAAACUAUGAAUGACUUGCCUUUUGUUAGACUGUGUAUUAGAUCGAACAGCACCAAAACUUCUGUCUAAACUGAUAUAUGGCUUGGCUUUUCUUGAUUAUGUCUGUAGCUAUCAGUUUACUUUUUGUUUCUUUAUCUAUCAAUAGAUUGGCUUUAGUUGAACUGUGUAUAGGAAGAUUAACACUGAAAUUGUGUCAAAAUACAUAUGUGCGGCUUGACAUGUUACAAGAUAAAUACAUUCUUACAAACUCAAUUGAAGACUACAUAUGCAUCACCAUUUGGUGGGCGCGCACAGCCAGUCCCUGCAAGUAGUGAUUCAAAUUGGGACGCGGGGCACGUACUGAGAACUGUUCAAAACAGUAUAAUACUUUUUAAAUAAGUUGUAAUUGCUUCUUAACUACUUAUACAUACUUACAACAGGAGUGUGAUAUUUUAUUACUGUUCAUAUAGAUCCCAUACAUAAUAAUUGUGUGUCUUUUUAUAAAAUUUUACAAGUAAUUCACAUAAAGUUACAAAGUGUUCAAAAAGUGUUACAUCAUUCCGAUCCGUGCGUGGAGUCCCUCAAUUUGACACUAACAUCAUCGUACCCCACAAAUGUGAUUAUUCUUACAUUGUUUCAUAGAAUUUUGGGACCAGUCCAUCCUAAUUAAAUUAUUGUGCUUCCUUGUCCAUCCUAAAUUAUUGUGCUUCAACAUAAUUUUGGGACCAGUACUUCGUAAAUUACCUUAACAAAAAGUCCUUUGUAAUUAUUGGACUGACACGAGUCCCUCAAAUUGACACCAACGCCACCUUACCCCGCGAAUGUGACUAUUCUUACAAUGAGUGUGUUUGGAUAGGAGAUUAUUUGCCCAAAUAUAUUUGCUUACAUCACCAUUACAAUUUUCAAUACACCUUUUUAUCUUCCCAAUUAUCUUUUUAUCUCACACACAUCACAUCACAAAAAGUGCUACAGUAAAAAUAUCUCAAAUAAUUUACUAGAAUUUUGGGGCCAGACCAUCCUAAAUAUUGUACUUCCAAAGAAUUUUAAAUCACUCAUCUUGAUUUUAAACUUUUUAAGUUUACACCAUAAAAAAUGGACUAUUUUUAUUCACAAAAACAACUCAAUGGUAACUUUGGUCAAUGCGGCCUGCAAAUAAUUUUUUUCAAGGGAAAUCUUUUUUUUUUAUAGUUCGGAUAUUUAUAAGGGAAAUUUUGCUAUAUAAUUGGCGAAAGAUUUGAUAUUCAAGGAUGGAGUAAAAUUUUGUCCAAAGUCAAAAGUAGGGAGUUUGGAUUCUUUUAAUGGGAAUCAAGCUAAAAUGAUAGAUUUGCCCGUAGAUAGUUUUGCAUGAAUUUAGGACCUCAAUUGGCCACGUUAUGUCCGUAGACUGUGUUCGGAUAAGAGAUUUAGGACCUCAACUGGCCUCUCAUCCAACGAAAAUAUGCUUCAUUUUGACCAAUGCAACUGUGUUAGGAUAGGAGAUUAUUUGGAACAAUUUUUUUUUAAAAAAAAUAGUGUAGCAUUUUUCAAUGAAAAUAUAUUCCAUUUUGGCCAAUGUGACUGUGUUCGGAUAAGAGAUUAUUUGGGAUAAUAUUUUUAAAAAAUAAUACGGCACUUUUUUGAUGUGAUGCCAGUGAAAUAAAAAUAUAAUUAAAAAUAUAUUUAUGAUGCAAACAGAUAAAUUUGUGUAAAUAAUUUGCUAUCCAAACUAAUUCGUUGUGAGGGCCCGAGUUAGAUAUGUAUCCAUAUCAACAUUAAUCAAGCAAUCAAUACAUAAAAACUGAACCAUCAAGUUGUAUUACAUUAAACACGUAAGAAGACAACAUUAAUUUCUUUUUUUGGCGGGUCGUGACGACAUUAAAUUCUUGCUUGCAUGAUUUGCUAGAUUUCAAAUGAUUCUUUCAUAUUGUUGAUUAUGUACAACAUGUAUAUAGGUAUCGAUAAGGGUACUCCUAAGAGGACCACAGUGAUAGAACCUUUUUCUUUGUUAAAUAUAUCAACUUUUGCGAAUUUGCGUUGAUGGUUUUUGUAAAUUUCUAUACAAAAAGUAGUAUAUGUCGUUCGUGAAUUAGUACUUUCAGUUUGAGUGUUCAGCAUAUGGGUGCACCAAACUCAAUAAAAUGGUUGUCAAGUAUGUUAAAAUUCCAUUAAAUAUUUGGAGGAGUUUGUUUGGAGAGUUUUAUGUGAGUAGUUUAUCUGCUGGAUUUUAACUUAGAUUGAUAUUGAUAUUCUGCGCUUUCUAAUGAGAUUGAAAAUCAUUUAAAGUUUGUAUUUUUUUAUGUUUUAUUGAAGGAGAAUAUUAUUUUGAUACGACACUUUAAAUCCUUAAUAUCUCUAUUAUUUCUAGUAAUCACGAGAAAACACUUAGCGACUAAAUAUCACAAAAAGGAAUACAAACAACAUGCAACGUACGCUCUCUUAUACUAGUUGCUUAAAAUAUAGGACAAAAGAACAUGAUUUUAGUUUAGUACUCUAAAUUUGGGUUCAAAAUGUUUUCGGACGUGUUCAGAAAUCACCAUUGCCUGGAAUACAGCAUGUACAUGAUCUCGUUGAUAAUCAAAUUCAGUGAAGAAGUAAUUGAUGAGGGGAAAAAUCCACUUUUCGUCCCUAAAUUUUGAGUUAGGGACACAUUUCAUUCACAAACUUUUAGAUGUACCAUAUUUAAUACAUGAAUUAAUUAUAUUUUGCCACAUUUAGUCCAAAAACAGUAAAUUGCUUAAUUUGGAUAGAGAAAGUCACGUGUUUGGCAUGUGGUUGUUAAGUAAAAAAUAAUUUUUCAAUCAAAAUUAACAGUCACGUCAAUCUUCUCCAUCCAAAUUGAAUAUUUUAUCAUUUUUGUCUAAAUGUGGUCCAAAAUAAUUAAUUCGUGUACUAAAUGUGAUGCGUUUAAAAGUUUGAGGACGAGAUGUAUGCCUAACUAAAAAUUUAAGGACGAAAAGUAAAUUUUUCCUUAAUUGAUAUUCUUAAAAUGAGCUAUUAGAUUGUUUUGUUAAAGAAUAAGAGACUCAACAAACAUCUUAGUUAAGAGACUCGACAAACAUCUUAGUUAUGCACAUUUUCUUUUCGCUAGAUUCCUUUCUUUUCUCCUUCGAAUGGUGACUCAAUUUGACAUUAACAUCACCGUACACCCCAAAUAUGACUAUUCAUACCUGUUUCCAAAGAAUUUUGGGACCGGGCCACCCUUAAUUAUUGUGCUUCCACAGAAUUUUGGGACCAGUCCAUCCUAAUUCAAUUAUUGUGCUUCCUGGUCCAUCCUAAACUAAUGUGCAUCCACAGAAUAUUGGGACUAGUCCUUUGUAAAUUAUUGGAAGCCAGUCCUUCCUAUGCGUUCCACGUUUUAGUACAAAUGUCCAUGCAAAAUUAGUUACGUUUUGAUUUCCUCUACAAUUAUUCGUUUACUGUAAUUCCUCAACAAUUCCACUGCUAUAUUUGAUAUACAGAACUCGAGGACAUACAACUUGGUAAAAUGAAGUUGAAUAGUGGUGCUGGCUCAAAUUGUUUUGCUCAUAAAAUUAACUAUAACACUCCAUUCUAUCUGGCAAGUAAGGAAUAAACAGAUUGUCCAGCAAAUUCAAACUUCUUGUAUGUGGCAGCUGUUGAAAUGGUUGUCACCGCUGAUAAGAGUAUAUUUUACGUAUUUUUAGUGUUCUUUAUUAAUUAGUUUUGGUGUGUUUUAUUUAGUUUCAUAAAUAAUUAACUAAGAUUCUAGUGAAAAUAUGCAUUUUGUGGUUAAAGUGUGAAAAUUGCAUUUCUAUGGAUUUUUAUGAUAAAAAUUUCAUACUUUACAGGUUUAAUGAUUCAAUCAUCAAAUGGAGACCAUUGAGAAGAUAUUUAGAUGAUUGAUGAUGAUUUAGAGUGAUGAAAAUAAAAUAUGAAGUGUAAAAGGAGAAAUGCAAUUUGAGAACAAAAGAAUCAAACAAAAGUCAGCUUUGGCAUCUGUUGGUAUUUUGACUAUAUCUUGGGCUACAUACAUUGCAUUGAGAUGAUCUUUAUACCAUUUUGAAGCUAAGAGACGUAUCUACAUUUGGUAUGAAGACAUCAAAGUCCAAUUCAGCCGUUUCAUAGUCCAAAAGUUGAAAUACCGAAAUUCAACUUAGCUGUCCAAAGUUGGAAAAAGAGCUCUGACCAGUCUUUGGUAUUUUGGUCAUAUCUCGGUCUAGAGAGCUCCAAAUUGGAUGAUUCUUGAGGCAUUGGAAAGCUAAUUCAAAGGGCUACAACUUUUAUGUUUUACAGAAGAGUUAGUUCGGCUUCUAUCAUUACGAAAAUGGUAGUUGAAUUACACAGAACUCAAACGAGACUGUUCAAUACGCGACCAGAAAGUUGCGUUUUCUAAAGUCGCGUAUUCUAAUCUGAACGCUGCAAUUUUCUGACCAACUUGUCCUGCUUUCAUGCAACAUUUCCAACUCAGUUCCAGCCAAAAAUUUCGGUUGUAUAUGAUCAAGAAAAGGCUGGAAAGUUGGAAAAAUAACUCAAAAGAGUUUCAAGAGUCAAAAAUGACAACAAGAAACAAUUCAUUUGGCUCUUAAAUUUCUUUAUAAAUAGAAGUCUUGAAGGAUUGGAAGGCUAGAGAAACUCUACAAAAAUAUAGUCUUCACUAGUUUUUCUUAGUUCAUUAGCAUAGAGCAGUUAGUGUAGUUUAUUCAUCUUGUAUUUGUAGUUAGAUUUGGAUGAAAAUUGAGGAGCAAAGAUGAAGAGGUUGAUCUCAUGUGACAAGGGUGAUAUCUCUUCUACUACUUUCUCUCUUGUAUUGGAUUUCAUGUUUAAUUAUAAUACAAGUUGGCUUUGUAUUUUUAUUAUGUUUAGUUAAAGUUUAUGCCUAGAGUUAUGGUUGAACUUGCUAUAUUUUGUUUGUGAUGUUUACUUGGCUACUUGGUGAUAUUAUUUUGAGCAAGUUAUUUAUCACUUUUGGUUAUCUAAUCAUGAUUAACUGGCCAUUAAUUAUGAUAAUGUUAAGGUGUUAAGUUUGCAAUGAAAAUUGGAAUUUAACAUUAGUUCAAAGAAGUGAUAAGCCUAAGGAGUACACUUACGAGAGUAGAGGUGCACCUAUGUGGCUUUAGUGACUUGUUUUAUGUAAUUUCAUAGAAAAAAUGAGCUUGUAAUUAAUAUCAUAACCACGAUAGUAGGUAUGAUUUAGUUACAAGUAUAGUUGAUUCACUACGAGAGUAGGUUUUACAUAUAUUAGGAAAUUACGUCAUAAUUAGCUAAGAUAAUAACAUUCACUUAACCGGUAUUCUCAUUUACAAGAGUAAUAAGAAUUUCAUAUCUCUAGGAGUUUUCUUGUGUUAUUUUCAUUAAUUUUAUAUUUAAGGUAGUCUAGAUAAUAAAGGAGUUCGAAAAACAUCGGUAAUUACAAUCUUUCCUGUGGAAUCGACCCUUAAUACCCUAUACUCGCUCAUGAUUCGUAUACUUGCGAUAAAUCGCGUGUGGGGUAUUUAGGAGUUUAUAAAUGUAAAAUUUAAUUGUGAAUGAGUUACUUGUACAUGUAUGCCCCUCGCUCGUCAACCGCUAUUCGGAUGAUUCUUGCCUCUUGGCGUGGUGUUCCUCGAGCUAAACAAAAUUGGGAGCUUGCAUCGGAAUCCAGAUUUGAUCAGCAUUGCUUUGAGAAAUUUCUAAGUUUGUGAUGAAAUUUAAAAAAAUUCUACAAAAGGGGCGAUUUCGGUGAAGUAUUCCGUAGGGGGGUCUUCGCAUUUCAGAAAUGCGAGCUCAGCAGAUUUUUAAUUUUUUUUUUUCGGAGGGCAUAGAGCUCGCAUUCCGCGAAUGCGAGCUCAAUAAAAUUUAAAAUUUUUUGGUUUUUUUUUUGGAGGUAGACAAUUUUUUUUAGUAAUAACUAAAUGCGAGCUCCUAAAUUUUGUAAUAGUAAGAAUUUUAUUAAAAAUUUUUCAAAUAACUCGCAUUUGAUAAAUUUGACCACCAAAAAUUGUAUUUAAUUUUUUUGUUGGAUUUCACAUUUAUAAGUAUGACUAUUAGAAAAUUAAAUUCAAACUUCCUAGGAAAAAAAUUUAAAAUGAAAUUUACGAGCUCCCAAAAAAAUGUAAAAUUAACUGUAAAUGUUGUUUGUUUUGUAGAAUUUGCCUUUACUAAAAUGCUGUCGGUAGUAAAAUCUUAUUUUAAAAGCUGUACUAUAAUCUUAAAUUUUGGAGAAAUGUUAGAGAAAUGUUAUUUAAAAAUCUGUAAUUAGCAGAGGAAUAAAUUUUAUUUAUUUUAAAACUUGCACGUGCCUAAAGUCAUCAAAUAUGUGCUGUAAAAAAAUUCAUAUUACUUUUAUAUUAAAAAAAGUUGGAGCAUUUUUUACGAUUGGAAAUACAUUAUUUUAUUAUAAUACAUUUAAAUGGUGAAAAAAGUACACAUGCAUAGUUCUUUGUAUUCCAUAUAUCAAUGUAAAAAUAGAAUGAAAUUGUUAACAUGUAAGGUGUUGACUGUAUUUUAUGAAUAAAAUACUAACUUUUUUUCCUUUUCUAUCAAAUAAAUUUUUUUAAUCAAAUUCUAAUUUUUUCUUUGUUAUUAAUGAAUCGUAUUUAUUUGUUGACACCAGUGAAUAUUAGUUAUAAGAAUCUAAUAGUUAAUAGUCAUUAAUAUCUGUUACAAUUUCAAUUGUAAUUUUAGAAAGAUUAGGGAGUGAACGGAUGAAAUGGAAGAUUAGAGAGAGAGGGUUAGGGUUCGGUGAAAAGAGGGAAGAAAAUUGUGAAAAGUGCAGAAACGAGGUUUCGGUUCUGCUAUAUCCGCGAACCGAUCCGAACUCGGUUCGCAACCGAAAGGGUGCGGAUCCGGCAUGGUUCGGAUCCGCACCGCCGGAAGCACAGACGAUCCCUCGGAUAUUUAUGAACAAUUUUUGGAUUCGAGCUCGGAUCAAUGGAUCCGCGGUCGGAUCCGUCUGGGCACUUAGGAUCCGAGCUCGGAUCUGUAGUUCUCUGCACUAGUUGCAGAAACUGCAAUUUUUCAAACUUUUUCUCUCUUUUUCCGGCCAAUUCCAAAACACACGUUGGAAAAACGUUUUAUGAAAUCUAACCUCCCACGCACAUGUAAUAUACCAAAAGUAUAAUAUCCAAUCUCUUAAAACACAUCAAACACAUCUACAUUGCAAAUCGAAGGGCGAGAUUCUUUGAUCAUUUUUGCAUUUUUACACUAAAAUGGCACUUUUGGGCAUUACAUGCACAUCAAAUGAGUCCAUGAGCAUGUAUAAACAUGUUAUUAACAAAACUCACGUGAAUAUACUGAAAAUGCAACAUUGUACGUAUGCUUGGGAAUUCUAAACACUUAAAGCACAAUUUAAUAAGAAAACCCCCCUUUUUACACUUGUUCCUCAAUUGUACCUCCAAAAUAAUGAUGAAACUCUGGUACCGCCUGCAAACAAGUGAAAUAUAUCUAAUUAGUCAAUUAAAUCACACUAAAAUGUAAGAAACACAUAAAAACACAACUACAAUAUUAUAGGAUGUAAGGUUGCCUCCCAACAAGCGCUUUCGUUUUUAGUCGUUGGCUCGACUGAAAAAAAUUUCGAUCAUUUUAGAACAAUAGGGAGGGUUUUUUCUCCCCAUUGGUCGAAACUUCCGAGUCACUCUUUUUUUUGUGAGCCAAUAAUUUUAUUAUAAUACAACUAUACUAACGAAAUAACUACACAUCUUGCUUCUUUAUUUUCAAGGUCACAUUAAAAUAAAAUUAAAUUGUUAAUAAGUUAGGGCUUAAUUUUCAUGAACAAAAUUGGAAUCUUAUUUUUAACUUGUCCAUAUGAGAAUAUUAAAGUUUGUUCCCUAUAUUUAAUGGGGAAACUAUGAAUAACAAAUCUCAUAUAAUAACAAUUUAUAAAUAUAUUAUAAAUAGUAUGUUUAAUUUUUUUUUGUUGAAGUUUCGACAUUGCAACUAACUUACCGUGUAUGAACUAGAGGAGAGGUUAGUAUAGUUUACCUUUUUUGGUUUACAUAUGUAGCCAUUUUGUUUGGUUUUGUUUAAAAGAGUACUCAUAUAAAGUGAGAAAUGAGAUACGCGUGAUGGCAUUGUUCCUAACCCGAAUUCGUGAAAUUUUAGAAUAUAUACAAAAUGUCACCAAAAAAGUAUGCAAUCCAUAAGUUAGGUUAUUUAUACAAUAACGAUAUAAGUAGCGUGCCAUCAAUGCUGCCCAAGUCUUUCAUGAGUACCACAUGUUGUUGGUUUGGGUAUUCUUUGACUUCGACGUGGUCGGUUUGGGACUACUGUAUGGACUUGAGUAAUAUGUGUCAACAGUGUAGCAUCUUCAAUUUGAGUGCUUGUGCCUUCACCUCCUUCACAUUGCUCAGAAGUAUGCCGAUAUGAGUCCCUAUCGGGCGUAAACUCUGGAAAAGUAAUAGGGGAUCUAGAAUGCCCAAUCGAUACAUCUCUCUCAUGCAUGACUUCGGUCUGAGGAGUGACAAAAAUAGAUGCGCCAGCUUGGUCCUCAGUAGCCAUCGAACCUCCAUGGAAUCCAGUUUGUAUGGCGGGUUCUGGUGAUCGGAGUCUACGACGUCGUCCACCGCCAUGCUGACUUCCGUGGGUAUUUCUAGGAGCUCGCUGAACAUGACAUGGAUCAGGGUAUAGUGGAAUCUCCUGUGGUACGUGUGCAGGGCGAAAUGCAAGUCGGCGUGACUCUCCUACAUGAUGCAAAGAUGUGGAUGCAAAGUUCCUCAACUCUUGAAAAUAUCUGCUGUGUUGUUCAUCACUAACUACAAGAGAGUCCUGUGCCAUGAAAUACAUGCGAGACAUGACAUCGCUCUGGAAAAACAAAUAUAAGAAUUAGAAGGAGAUACUGUGGUAAAAAAUAGUUUAAAAUGUGAACAAACUCAAAGUGAUUAUUAAAAGUGGGUUGGAAAUAAACUUACAAGAUAUUGUGCCCUAGCGCUAUCACCCUAAAAGCCCACUGGAAAAGCGGGAAAUCGACUCGGAUUUGAAAUAUAAAUCACCGUCCGCUCCCGAUACCACUGAACAUACUCAUCCGAUGGAUAAGUAGUAUCUUCAAUUACAGUGCUAUCUUGUACAUGCACACGUCGAUCAGUCCAAAUAUCAAUAUAUUGUCUAUGCGUGGUGCUCCAGUCUUGAUUCGCCCUUCCACGACGAUCUAGAGAAUAUAGAGCUGCCUGAUUAUCCGUCAACCUCAUAUCAGGUAGGGACUGAUGAAACCCAAACUGCCGCAUAACCCGAUGAGGGAGGUGCGGCUCAACUACAUUCCAGCAAAUAAGAUACGUUACGGACCUCCAAAUGUCCCGAUCUGCAGUAUAAUAUGCAGGAAAAAAAGCGAGAACGUCCUCCAAAUAUGGCUGCCAUAUGAACUGAAAAAAAUAUAAAAUCAAAGUUGUUUCAUUUUUUCUAUUAAGAAAUAAUAAAACUUCCCAAUAUUCAAUUCUAACAAUUUCAUGAAAAAAGUGCUCGGCUGCGGUCAAUUUAAAAAUUAAAAAAAGUGCUAGACAAAUUGUGAAAAGUGAACCGAUCCGAGCUCGGUUUGCAGCUGAAAGGGUGCGGAUCCGGCAUGGUUCGGAUCCACACCGCUAGAAGCACAGACGAGCCCUCGGAUAUUUAUGAAGAAUUUUGAGAUCCGAACUCGGAUCAAAGGAUCCGAGUACGGAUCUAUCUGGGCACUUAGGAUCCGAGCUCGGAUCUGUAGUUAUCUGCACUAAUUGCAGAAAUUGCAAUUUUUCAAACUUUUUCGGAUUAUUUCCGGCCAAUUCUAAAACACGCAUUGGAAAAACAUUUUAUCAAAUCUAACCUCCCACGCACAUGUAAUAUACAAAAAGUACAAUAUCCAAUUUCUUAAAACACAUCAAACACAUCUACAUUGCAAAUCGAAAGGUGAGGUUCUUUGAUCAUUUUUACAUUUUUACACUAAAAUGGCACUUUUGUCCAUUACAUGCACAUCAAAUGCUAGUCAACCAUUAUUAUAAAAUUUUUUAAUUUCUAAAAAAAAUUCGGCAGAGUCUCCCCUAUAACUGGAAGUUAACUCCCUGCCAACAAACUCAAUUUCCAUUAACAAAAUGCAGUAUGACAAACUUAUACUUUGGAUCGACUAAAAUUGGCAGAAAAGACUACUGGAGCGAAUUUCAAAAAUUCCUAAUGUCCGGACAUAUGUACAAUACCUCUUCAGGACGCAGGCCUGUCAACUGAUCUCGGAAUGCGGGUACAACAUGCCUAACAACUCUGUGUACGUCCAAGUCAUUAUUCCACCUAUAUUUAAUAAAGUAGGAACCUGUUUAGAACAAAUUAAAGUUGGCAAAUAACAAAUGUCAUUAAAACAACUGAAAUAAGGGCGAAACGAGCACCUAGCUCCAUAUGGACCAGGGUAAUGCUCCAACGGCGCGAUUCGGUCCGGACGUAUGGUUGGUAUAUGUUCCCAAAUCCAGAGCUGUUAGAAAAUUAGAAUCAAUGUUAAAAUUGCAAAAUGAUAAAAUAAAAAAAAUAGAAGAUAAAUGUCACCAUUAUUGCAAUGUACCUGUAGUAAAACUAAUGGACCAGCAAUAGCCAAUUUGGCAGGAUGCGUGGCAUCAUAAAGUGACCGAUAGAGAGUCGCCAAACAUGCACUACCCCAAUCAUAUUGCCCAACAGUUUCCAAGUCCCGCAGUAAUGGAAGAUACAACAAAGGGACUUUGUUGCCGGACUUAUUGGAUAAUAAAUGUCCACCUAAUAUCAGUAAGAGUUAGAUGCGCGCGCGCUGCCUACAUUCGGCAUCUGAAGCAUUGGGUGGCAACUCUGUAUCCAAGACUCUUGCUAAACAUCCCAAUUUUAGCCUCUGUCCAUCAAAGUAUCCAACUGCAGGAGAAAAUUCAAUGAGCUCCUCACAACUGGCUCCCCACUCCUGAAUGCUGCGGUAUGUGUCUACCCCUAUAAUCGGUGGAUCAUCGAUGUGUAACCCCCACAACACCUCUACAUCCUGUAAUGUCACGGUAGCCUCUCCAACCGAUAAAUGGAAUGUAUGUGUCUCGGGCCGCCAUCUCUCCACUAAACUUGUGAUCAAAGAAUGAUCAACCAUCUGAUAUCCACUCUCAAGCACCCCCUCAAAUCCAGCCAAGGCAAUAUAACGACAAAUCCGAUCAGGAAUAAGCGUAUGCUCCCAAAAUCCUCUGUCACACCGUCUGACAUCUAACUGAUUGCCCUCAAUAUGUCCGUGAAAAAUGGAAUAUGCCCGGUGUGCAGUUCCCGCCAAUAUAAUGUCGUGCACGUAUGGUCCUGGAUGUAAGCCUGCAGGGAUAGGAGUGUCGGCCAUAAUCCCAAGCAAAUAUCUGACAUCGAUUAAAUUCCAUGAGUUAUGCAUGAGUAAAAUCCAAAAAGAAUAUGUAACCAAUUUUGACCUAUAAUUCGCGGUCACGACUUUUUUUUUUAGCAAAUUUUGACCAUAUAACACACCGUACAUCGACUAAAACUCCAUGUCUAUCAGUUAUUUUUUUUUAGAAAUAUUUUUUAUCCUUCUAUGUAUUCAUAUACUGCAACAAUGUAUUUGUAGUCAUAUUUUAAAAUUUUUUUUAAAAAUUUGGCAAAGUCUCCCCUAUAAAGCGGCCAUAACUCCCUGUCAAUAGCUCCUCAAAAAUACCAUAUCCUGUAUAUGCAAGAACAUUAACACAUAUAACACACCAUCCGAGCAUUCCUUUAACAGAUAUGUCAACAAAUCAAUGGAUAGGAGAUUUAGCGAUAAAAGAAUAAAACUGUUGGGUGGCACGUGUAAACUGGUUAUUUCAAUACUUAUCAAAGUACAGAACGAAGCAUGCAUUUGACAAAUGUACAAUGAAAGUCACUAAUGUAAUUAUUUAAAAUAAAUCCAGAAUCGAACACAAAUGAACUAGCUCGAACCCCACGGCCAAAAAAAAAUGCACUGACAUGAGUUUCAAAUUUCUGGGGAGUCGAUCAAAUCAAGACCUAUAAUUCGGACAAUUUCUCCUAUUGUGACCCGUCUGGUGAUAAUUUUGAUAUCUUCUUGGUUCGUCUUGAUCCCUUUCAUCCAUCUCAUUCCGAAUUCUGCUAACUCGAACCCGCCCUGCCCGACGUGUAACUAAUUUGCUCCUGUCUGCCUGCAGCUCCCACCCAGGAUGGAGCCAAGUAUCUUGAUGCGGCAGUGGGUUAAACUUUCCUGAAUACUGGAUGGCCCACCUUGUUUUGGUAAACUGCUGGUCCACAAGCAAUCCCGGAUUGUCACCACUAUUCCUGCACACCGCCAAAGCGGUGAACAAGGAAGGCUGUAAUUCUGCCACUUUCCACAAGAGCAUGUCUUAUCAAAAAACCUGAUGGUUUGCGUAUUGCCUCAUUUACCAUCGACACGCCGCCCUGUGAUAACCUUGUAUACGCCCGAUGGGCCAUCGAACUCAAUGACUCUGUGGGCGUCGGCCUUCCGUUUAGCAUUCUUAAAACGCCGCCAUAUCUUUGGAGGAAAAUGAUUGCGAUAAUGUAAAGCAUCUUCCCUUCUCGUCUUAAAUAAAGCAACUGUCCGAUGAAAUGUCAUGUCAAUGCAUGCACGAAUUGGCAAAUGACGUGCCCCGCGCAAGACAUUGUUAUAGCUUUCGGAUAUGUUGGUAGUUAGAAUACCCCAAAGACGGCCAUCGUCGUGUGUUAGGCACCACUUUUCUGGACUAAUGGCUAAUAGAUAAUUCCAAGCAUCUGGGAACAUGCUUCGUAGUUCUCUUCUGAACAUCCGCCACUUGCGUAAUUGUCUUGCCCUUCCCAUUGCCCAAAACAACUUUUUAAGGUGUAAAUCUUUGAAGUAUGUCAUCAAAUUGCUCCUAACAUGUCGCAGGCAAAAUCUAUUGUAGGCUAAAGGUUCCUCCCAAUAGUCAAAGUGUGUCAUGGUAUAGAUGAUACCAUUGUGGCGAUCGAAAAUGACACAGAUAGGAUGUCGAUCAAGUGCCACAUUAUAUCUUAAUUGUUCCAUGAACCACGACCAACUGGAAAUCGUCUCCUCAUCCACUAUGGCAUAAGCAAUUGGCAGAAUGUUGUUGUUCGCAUCUUGAGUGACUGCAACAAGGAGUUUGCCCUUGUAUUCGCCACGCAAAUGAGUGCCAUCAACGCAUAUAAUCGGCCUGCACAUGUGGAAUGCUUCAAUAGCCGGUCCAAACGCCCAAAAUACAUACUUAAAGGUCUUAACUCGAUCCGAACUAUCCGAAUGAUGUGACCACUCCACCACGGUGCCUGAAUUGGAUUGCACCAGGGCAUCGAGAUACUGUGGUAGUUCUGCAAAAUUCGGCUCCCAAAAUCCAAACACAAGCUCAAUUACUUUACGUCUGGCAUACCAGGCUUUUUUGUAAGACACAUCAACCUUCAAGUUUUCUUUAACGGAACUUAGUAUGUUCUUGACCUUUAAUCCAGGGUCAUCUUCAAUGCUACGGAGGAUGUGCUUUGAAAUAACGGAAGCCGUCAGGCUUGUAUUGUUAUUUCUAAUCAUGUCGCCCAAGCAGUUAUGGUCAUUGACCCAUUUUGUAAUUUGCCACAUUCCAUGGAUUUUUUUCUUUACGGCUCUAACACCCCAGUCGCAUGGUGGACACGAUGGCGCGGUUGAAGUGGAAGGAGUUCUUUCAAUUGAUGAUUUGCAUUUAGCAAACCACGUGUUACUCUUACUCUCAAUAACUCUGAACUCCCUAUUGUGAUUGAUGGACUACAUCCUAACUGCCCGGCUGAGCUGCUGCUUACUCUCAAAUCUCAUAUGGACACGUAUAUUAUUAUUCUCCUCACUGAAUGUUACAAUACGCUCCAAUCCAUCCUCCUCUUCUAUAUCAUUAUCAUCUAUGCUCCCAAGAUCGGAGAAAAAUGCCAUACCUCUUGGAACAUAAGCAGAGUUGCCAACUAUGCUAUUGCGUCUGUCCUCUUGGAACAUAUCAAGGUUUACUCUUAAACCCCCACCUUCAUGCUCAUCAUCCGAGUCACUACCAGACACAUCUUGCGACUCCGACUCUUCAACCUCUUCCGCAUCAACUUUCGGGUCAUCUUCUUCCGGAUCAUCUUCAAGAGAGCCAAGGAGCCUAUCAUGUAUACUAGCAUAUACAUCAUCUUCAGCUGAACUGCGACAACCUUGACCAGGGUUAGAUUCGAUCCCAUGUGGAGAAAUAUGGCAUAAUAGACCUGGAUCUCCAAAACUUGGAAUCGAAUCCAGGCCAUGAAAAUAUUCCUGAGCACCCAUGGACCCUGAUGUGAGCCUUGGUUCUAAUGAAUCCAUAGAUCGAUCAUCAUACAUAUAGUGACAUGCCGAUGAACUUUCUGGAACGACUGAACUAGAACUGAAAUUAAACUUUGUUGGAUCCAUGAAUGCAUGUACAAGCAACAUCAUUGGACCAACAUUACCUAUUGGUCCAGUGAAUACGCUAUUAACUGCAGGCAUUUGGACGAUUUCUUCCUUCUCGAUAUAAAUCUCCGCCAUGUAUGAAACUCUUUCGAUCCAAAGAUCGUACAUUACAUCAAGAGUUUCAUCAUCCACCACUGCGGAAACAGUAUAUUUGGAACUCUCCAACGGUUGACGAAAAAAUAAUUUCAGCUUGAACAUCCCUUUAUCGACCCCAAUAUAAUGGUAAAUCCUGUCAACCAACUCCCCGUAUCCAAUUCUAUGCUUCAAAGUGAAUGUCCGGUUGGAAGUACGAGGCAAAUAACAAACAAAGUCACCCUCGUAAUGUAUUUGUCCUCCCCAGUAUAGGUUUACCCGCAGAGGUCUUUUUACAGACAUGUCUGUGAAAUGAAUCCCUAUUUUGGAGACAAUAUAUUAGAAUUAGUAGUCCAAGGGUCCAAACAAAUGAAAGAGGGUGGACUCUAGGUUGAAAUUGGAACUAUUAAAUAGACUAAUUUCGAUCCAGAUGUUUAUGAAAAAUUUGAAAACAGGUAUGAAAUAUGCUAUAAAUGACGAUUGGAAUAGCCUAAAACUCCGAACGAAAUUUUUAAAAAAUUUAGACAGAGUCUCCCCUAAAAAUAGACUAAAACUCCCUGCCAACCAAUCCACAAAUUUCACUAAAACUCCCUGUCAGCCAAUCCGAACAGGGUUUAUAUGAAGUAGUAAUCACAUUUGCCACACUACAUAUUGUCAAGAGACCCUAUAAUUUUCAAAGUACAAGCGUAAGAAAUGUACGGGAAGUUAUAUAUAUUUGGGCUCCACAUUCACACCUCAUAACAAGAUCCACAUUCCCGAUGAUGUGAUAUUCUAGUAAUGAAUCUUACAAAAUUAAUGUUUUUCCCUGUAGCAGAUUUUGCCAUUUUUUUAGCAUUAUAGAUUUUGUCAAUUACAAAAAAUAUUACAAGGUUGGUCAUUGACUUUCAAUCCAUCAAUUCGCCUUAAAAUAAAUCCGUAUUUCAUAUUCUAACGCCCUAUUCUACUGAAACAAAAUUUAACAAAUUAUACUAUUUCAACUUGUCGGCAAACAUCCAAUAGUUGUAAUAUAAUAUAAAUUAGCUAAUGGCUUGUAUCAAAUCCGAAUUAAGCCUUAUGCAUAAGAAAUGGUAGUUGUAAUAUAAAAUAAAUUACCUAAUAGUCAGUUGCCCUCACAAAGAAAUAUCUACAAAAAUUUCGACAUAGUCUCCCCUAUAAAUGGGCAGAAACUCCUUGUCAAACAAUCCAAAUAUCCAUGAAAUUCAAAAGCGCCAAACUAUAAACUACAUGAUGUUAAUAAAAUUUCUAAACUCCAAUUGCAAAACAUACAAUGUCCAAUGUAGAUAGUGUUUCGACCAAAAAUAAUAGCUGCGAAAUAGAUUUUAAAAACAAAAAAUUAUGAUGAAUUUUAAAAGAAUUCUACAAAUGGAGCAUUUUGAGCAUCGGAUUACGUCCAAACGGUCUUCGCAUUCAGUAAAUGCGAACUCACGGAGCUCGAAUUUUUGAACGACGAAAUCCAAAAAAAAUUAAAAAAAAAUACCAGACCUCGCAUUUAUUAUGAAAUGCAAGGAUCCGAGCUCGGAUUCUUUAUGGCAACCCUCGGAUCCAACAGGGUUCGGAUCCGUCUCAGCAGAUGAUCAGACAAGCCCUCGGAUCUGAGUGAACAACUAUGGAUCCGAGCUCGUAUCAAAAUGAUCCGAGGUCGGAUCCGUCUGUGUUGAGUCGUAUCCGAGCUCGGAUCAUGCUUUUUCUGCACUAAUUGCAGAAACUGCAAAUAAACUGCAACAAAUUGGAAACAGAAAAAUUUGCCCGAAUUCAAAAAAUAUAACGUAUAUCCUCAGAUCCACCACAAAAAUUACAAAAAUAAGCACAACACACAUCAAUUAAACCCAAAUUUCACAACAAAUCUGAACUUGUCAUUGGAUUCAAGUAUUCAAGUAUUAAUUAAACUUAAAAUGCUAUAAGUGAGGCAUUGCAAGUGAAAAAGCCUAACCUUUAUGCUGUUUGAGAGUCGCAAUGGGACGGCAAUGCUGGCAAAUUUUGGGAAGCGGCACUCGCGGAACCAGUCUUUGGAUGCUCCGGUCAGCUCUAGUCAGCUCCGGUCUUUGGAUGCUUCGAUGCGCAGAAACCAGCUCUGUUUUCUUUGUUUUGCUGUUCGACAAUUCCGAAUUCUUUGUUUUGAUGUUCGGCAGCUAUGUUUCGAUAUUGCGUUCUGCUUCUCCUACUCACUUUUGUCUUUUUUUUUUUCGAAAUGGGUCUUGGCGGUCACUGAGCUCGCAUUGCGAGAAUGCGAGCUCAAUGCGAGCUCGCAUUCCGGAAAUGCGAGCUCAAUGUAGAAUUCUUGAAUGCGAGUUCAAAGAGCUCGCAUUUCCAGAAUGCGAAGACCCUCAUUUGUGGAAAACGAUCCAAGAACCGCCCUCAUUGUAGAAUUCUUUUUUUUUUCCAUCAUAAACUGAGAAUUCACCCGCAUUGCUUUGUUAAUUGUUCGAUAGUGAAUGUUUCAAUUUUGAUUUCGAUUGUAUAGUGCUAGAAGGUGUAGUAAAAUUUUGUCCAAAGUCACAAGGAGAGAAUCUGGAUUCUUUCAAUGGGAAUGAAGCUAAAAUGACAGAUUUGCCCAAAGAUAGUUUUGAAUAAAUUUAGGACCUCAAUUGGCCACGCUAUGCCCGUACUACCAUGUCACAUUAUCUAUUGGGAAGGACAAAAAUGACAUUACAGUUGUGGUCCACCACAACAUCAAUCAUUAUUUGGGCCCGCCCUAUCAUGAAGGAUGUCUUUCCUUUUCUCAUUCAAUUUAAGGCCUGUUUGCAAAUGGGUUUUUACCCAAAUUUGCCUCCUAUCAGUUUUUUAUUAACUUUAAUUACGGUAAUUUUAAAAAAAUUCUCAAAAUUUUUUAUCUAUUCACUUCAAAAUAUCCAAAAUACACAAUAAAAAUCCCGUUCUCCCUCUCUUCUUCCAUCUCAACCCACCACCACGGUAGACUGGCCGGUAACAGCAGAUGCAACUUUUUUUUUCUCUCCCUCUUUUCUCCCUCUCCCCACUCCUCCCCUCCUCUUCCCUUCCCCCUCUCCCCGCCACCAGAUUGGAGAGGGGGAUGUCCUUCUCCUCCCUCCUCCCCUCCCCUUCCUUUCCCCCUCCCCCGCCACCAGAUUUGAGAGGGGGAUGGGAAGGGUGGCAGGGGAGGGGGAAGGGAAGUGGAGGGGAGGAGGGGGGAAAGGGAGCAGAGGGGGAGAGAAAAAGCAAAAAAAAUUCUCAUUUUUGUUGUUGCAACUUCCAACAGAGGGAGGGAGAGGUGGUAGGGGAGGGGGAGAAGGGAGAAGAGAAGGAGAGAAAAAGCAAAAAAAAAAAUCCCGUUUCUAGUGCUGUAACUUCCGACGAAAGGAGGGAGAGGUGGCAGGGAAGGGAGAGAGGGAGAGGGAAAGGAAGGAGAGAGGGAGAGGGAGAGGGAGAGAGAAAAGGCAAAAAAUAAAUUUUUUUUGCAUCUGUUUCUUCCGGCUGGGAGGGGUGGCGGCCUGGCAGGGGUGGGAGAAGGGAGAAAGGAGAAGAAGAAGAGAGGAAAGAAAAGAAAAAAGAAAGGAAGAAAGAGAAAGAGAAAAAGAAAAGAAAUAAAAAGUUUUUCAUUUUAAAAUUUUUUCUACAAUUUCUACGAUAAGUUAUAAUAAAAUUUAGGCAAACAUUUCAAAAGACUCAUUUGCCAAAUGGAUAUUUGAAUUAUUAUUUUACUUUAAAACUCUAGAGCAGAACUUUUACAAUAUUUGAAUUCUUAUUGUUAUUGGUCCAAAGCGGCAAUGUUAGAAUGCGACAUUUAGCGCUAGUUUGCCGUGUUUCAUCAAUGCUCGAUCACUGAUAAAUCCGGUGAAAAUUAACUGAUAGGUCAUUAUUUGUCGCUAAAUCUAUAAUUAUUCUUCCCUUGAUUUCAGCCAAAUAUUGCGUUAAUUGAUGGAUUCUACUUAUAUUUGGUUAAUGGUGCUAAAUUGUAGGAAAAAGAGCAAAACGUGACAAAAAGGGGCAAUCUUCCAAUUAAUUUGAUGGUAGCACGUUCGGGAUCGAUUUCCAAGUUCGAUUCAAACUCUGGGCAGCUUGAGAGGAAGAUUUGGAAGACUUGAAUUCUAAUUACUAGUCUUAUUGUUGAAUUAGGAAACUUGAAAUACUUUCUUUUGUGGUUUAUUUUGCUAUUUAGGAAACUAGUUCUAUUUGGUAGUAUUUUUCCAUUAGGAAACUAAGGAAAAAGCCACGGUUGCUGACCUUGGAAAAGUGGGGACCAUUGCAAUUGUCUUCCAAUAUUGCUUUGACCGAAAUUGAAGGGAGAGAAGGCUACAAAAGGCCAGCCGACUUUGAAGUUUGAAGGGGGAGAAAGGACGGAUCCCGCGGGAUUACUACUUAGCCAGGGAUUUCACGUGAUAACUAGGGAGCGAAGGGAAUAAGAAAAAAAACAACGCAGCCGCUUGGCUCUGGUCCGCAGAGUAGUUCCUCUAUUGUAAAAUAUUAACGCAAUUUCCUUCAAUGGAAUUGCGUGAGUUACUCUCAAUGGAGAACUAAUCUCCUAAUUCUAGUCAAGGGGCACAACUGAAGAUUUGGUUCAACAAUUUCUGUGAGAUCUAAUUUAUUUUAAUUGCUUCCUCCAUUUAUUGGUAUUCAUAUGUUUCCUGCUUUUAACCGUUAUAGCUCGUGUGGAUGAUUGAUUAGUGCGCAAUAAUUGAUUAUUCAUGUAGGCUAUUUUGCUAAAUAGAGGUAACUGAAUCCGUAAUUGUUCGUUACCUCUAUCCCAGUAGCAACUGGCGUAAUUGGGUUUAUGUCAGAGAAACAUACGAUCUAAUUUAAAUAAACCCUCGUAGCGUGUUUAUUGGUUAGGAUUGGGCCUUUCUAAUUAUUAAUGCAAUCUGGAAAUUGAAUCCUACGGUCGUACCUAGGGUUGUUUUUGGGUUAGAGAAAUAGCUAACGGUCGUACCUUAGCUAUCGAUAAAUUACGGAAGGGUUGGUUGUUUAGCGCGUGCGAGACAACUAUAACCAAUCUAUUAGUAAAUGUUGGAAUUAUCCAUGAAUCAAUGAUCAGUUGCAUGAACCAUUUCUGACGUACACCCUUGGCUAGAGUUUCUCCAAUAAUUAUUUCUUUUAUUUAUUUUCUGCAUUUAAUUUAUUUAGUUAGCAUUUAAUCCAAAAAUCCCCCCAUACUUUGAACUCUAGAAGAAACGAAUUAUCCCCAGUCCCUGUGGAUUCGACCCUGCUUAUCACUAUCUACAGAAAUUAUAUUUUGUUUGAGCAGGUAUUUAUUAUUGCACAGGCUCGACCCCUGUCAUUAACUCUCGAAUCAAGCUCACAAUUCCUAUGUUUAAACUGUAAAAUUGAACCUUGACAAUUUGUCCAUCACCAUAAAGUAGUAAAACGAAAAUUCCCCAAAGCCUAAGAACUAGUGGCGUUUUUUGUAAGGAUCAUAGAGACAUGCACAACGAAUAAUUUAAAAAUUCAAUAAAAGUUUAUCAUGUAAUUAAUAUCUUUUUGUUACACUUAUCUUAUAUUAAUUUUGAAAUAAGUUGUGCUUAUUCUAUUAUUUGAUUGAAGUUCAUUUCUUAUACCAAAAGAUGACCCCAACGAAUAAAUACUUAGAAACACUUUUUAAAACUCUUCCACUUAACGCUAAGAAUUUCAAGUUAUACUUCUUCAAAUUGCCAGACAUGAAAUAGCUCCUUUUUCAUCAAAGGUGUUAAAUCCUUAUAAGUUAUUCACCAUAUUUUCAUGCUUUAAGUAUAUACUUAUAAGCUAAUGAUGUAAACAUUCUCUACUACGGGAGCAAUCAUAUAUCAAAACAAAAUAUAACCUUCCAUACUCAAGAUACCAUAAUAAUCUUAAAUCUAAGAAUUAAUUACACAAAUGUCAUUUAGAGAUUAAUCCUUUGGCACUUAAAGAAUAUCUAUAUACGGAUCAAUCUAGUAAAUUUGAUUAUCCUAUCAAACACUCAUAUACUAGUUUAGGUAUCUCAAACACUAUAGUAGAUGAGAUCUAAUACUUUUUAAAUAGAAGCAGUAUAGUAUGUGUUAGUUUAACCAUAUUAACAGUGUCUUGCCUUGUUAAUACUUUGACUAGAGAUAUUUAAGAAUAAACAUUAUUUAUAAUCGAAUGAAUCUCAUCAUCAUAACUCACAUGAUUUCAUCGAUUAGGUUUACUCUAAGGACUUUAUCAUACUUAUAUAAAUAUAAGCAAUCAAUAUAAUAAAGAUGUCACUUAUUAUAACAUAAAUAGUUCAAGUGAAUAUUAAACCCUGAAGUUGAUUGACUUUAAAGCAUAUACACUUUCAACUCCCACUUACAGUAAAGCCAAUCACUCAUAAGUCAAAGAUCAAAUGAGUCUACAUGACUAUUAUAUUUCCUUUAAAAUAAGUUUUACUAAAUGGAUCAACUAUGGAGCUAUCCGCAGGUGCUCUUUCUAUUUUCACAUUUAUACCUACCAUUGAUUUUCACCAAAUCAUGUGGUAGCAUCUUAACAAGUCUAUGGGUAUGUAAUGAGACCUAGUUCCUUCACUAGACCAAAUUUUCUUUAUAGUCUCAAUACAGGAUAAAGGAUUUAAAAUGAAAAGAACCAAUCCAAGUUCUAUUUGAACUUAUAGAUCCAAAUGUUUCCCUUUGCCACUUCUCAAGUAAUAACUUGUUACGAUUUAAUUGUAAAAAUUUUAGUUAUGUUUCACUUGAAACUAUUUCAACACACAAUAAUAUUAUAAAUAAAUGUAUAAUUAUUUGCAAAUCAUCUUUAUAAAAUUGUUUAUAAGUAUAUUCUCGAACUUUCAAUUUAAAUUUUUCAUGAACCAAAGGAUACAAUAAGUCUAGUAUAUCGAAAUGAUUAAUUCUAUACAAUAUAGACAAAACUCCUUAUUGGAUCACUUCAUCUUAAAUGAAUUUAGCAUCUCAUCUAUGUACAAGGGAAAAUUUCCUAUAUAUAUAGCAACCAGAAGAUUUGAUAUUCGAGAAUGGAGCAUAGCUUUGUCCAUGUUGGUAAAACCUCAACACCUCGCGACGAUUGGCAGGAAGUGGAAUCUUGGCGUGCCCACGCAAGGAGGGCGCGCAAAAGUGACUCAAGGUCAGUGGACGUUUUAUAAUUUGGGCGUGCCCACGCGGUGUUCGACGAACCAAAAAAAAUUUUAAGUUAACAAAAAUUUAUUUUCCUUUUAAACCUUCAGUUUUGUGUUUUCUUUUAGAAAUUCAAAUUUUGAAAAUUAAUUAAAUAAAAAAAAUAAAAAAAUUUAUUUUUUUAAAAAAUAAAUUAUAUUAGAAAAAUAAAUUUAUUUCUUCUUCUUGACCUUUAGUUUAGUUUUUCUCAGCAAUUGAUUUUUUUCUUGAAAUUUAAAUUCGAAAAGGAAAAAAAAAGACCAAAAGCUAUUUUUUUCUCUUUUCUUUCUUCCUUCUUCCCCGUUGCCUUGCUUUCCCUUUUCCCUUUUUCUCUUCGGCCAAAAUCCAUCGCCGCCGCCUGCAACCUGAAGCCCACGGACCUCCACCUCCACCAGCUCGCCACGCCUCUCUCCUCCCAUCGCGUGCUACCCGCGCGUGCAGCCCACAGCCGAGCGCCGCAGCUCCUCUUCCAUCGCGUGCGCUUCCCUCUCUUUCUCUUUCCACGCGAAGCCAACCGCCACCACCAGCGCAGACCACCCCCGUCCCCCGCGCGUUUCUUCUCUUAGCGCGCGACCGCCACGCACGUCCACCCCGCGCCUCUCCCUCUGCCGCGACCUCCAUCACUUCGCCAGCGCCACCAAACCACACGCCACCAGCUCCACCUGGCGCGACCUUCUCUAUCUCUCAUCUUCUCCCACACGAUCCACCAGCCUACGCCGCACGCGCCCGUCUCUCCGUUUCCUCCUUGCCGCGCGUCACCACCUGUCAAAAAUUGAUAGGCGGAGGUAUUGCAAUUUCUACCUUGAUUAGUAUUUUUCUGGUUCUUAAAUUGCUGGAAUUUGUGCCUUUUUUCUUAGGUUUCUUGAUGGAUAAAAGCAGGAGGUGAUUUGGGCAUUUUUUGGGGUUAAUUUUGGGUAGAGUUGAGUUUAUUUGCUACUCUAUUUGGGGGUGUUUUCUGGUAUUGAUCGAAUUGUUGGGCGUUAUUUGGGUUUCGUCUGCUUGAGACCCCUAUUGCACCUUUAGUUGAGUAAUUUUCUGGGUUGGUUUGUUGAAUUAGUAUUGCCGUUGGUUGACUCUAAGUACCUUGUUUGGGGAGUAUUCGGUUUUGUGAUUUCAAUUACUCAGCUCAUUGGAGCACUUGCUGCGAUUUUGGGUUGCAUUAUUUCUACAUUUGACUAACAUUAGAACCACCAUUGCCUAUUGUUUGUAAUUGCUGCUUUGUUGAGGCUUUUGUCUUGACCUUGGGUGCUUAAAGUUUCCAUUUUCUUUCUUGGGGUGGUCGUUUAUGUUGCUUCAUUAUCUGUGAGGUGCACCGGUGGUACUGAUUUGGGGUGUUUUGCCUACCUUUGUUGAUUUUAUUUGGUUACCUAUCUGAUUGCGAGCUAAACACCUCGUGCAUAAGUUGUUGUCCGCAUUUGAGUUGUGUUUGCUGGAAUUGCCAAUCUCUUGGGUCGUUUGCUAUUUUUAGUAGGUUGCCCUGUGUAAUUGAUUGUCCAUUUGGAGAUAGUUGUUGCGAUUUUGGGUGGAAUUGUGUCUAAUUGCUGAAAUUUGUUGAUUUUGUCCAAUUGGGCACUAUUUGAGUCUAAUUGCCUUGUUUGGGAGUAUUCUAGCAAGACAUUUCAAUUAUUUAGUUCAUUGGAGCACUUAUUGCGUUUUGGACUGUCUUGAUUCUGAAUUUGACCACAUUUGGACCAUAAGUGCUCAUUGAUUGCAAUUGUUAUUAGUGUUGGGGUAUUUGUCUACCCUAUGGGUGAGUGAAUUGUGUCUUUUGUUCACUGGGUUGGUUUUAAAAAUUGUUAUUGGUUUGAAUUUCCUGUUUCCAUUAUUUGUUGGCAAUUGUAGUCCCUUGUGAUUAGAGUGACAUCUAGAGACCAUGGUGAGGUCAAGAUCCGCUUCUAGGUCUAGGACACCUAGAAACUCACAGUCUCCCCUACCCCAGACCUCUAUUCUCGCCUCUGACCCCUCGCACGAACCUUCUUCCUCAGGGAGGAGGGCUCGCCUUGGGAGGCAAAGAAGCGUCCAUAUUUCUGACCCUGCACAUUUUAAGGGUCAUUUGGACUUCACCAGGCCCGCUGACAGGCAACGGUAUGCUGAUUGUUGUGAGCGGCAGAUUAUACCCUGCCGAUAUCGGGAUGCCGCCACCUUGGGCCUUUUGAAUAUUAGAGUUGACUUCGAUCGCUUGAUCCAGGCCAUUGGGUGGCGUCCCUACACUUAUAUUGUUGACCGUCCGGCUUUUGUAGAGUUGGUUAGGGAGUUCUAUGCCACAUUUGAGUUCAACCUCCCCCCACUGGUUACACAGUUUCUACCCCCAAUGUCAUCCGUUUCCGCUUAAUGGGUCAAGAGUUCCACCAUUCCAUUACUGACUUCAAUCUAGCCCUUAGUUUUAUUGAUCCUGCCUAUGCCGAGUCUCGUGAGUAUGCCGAGAGUGCGUGUGACUACAUAGAGCCUUUUUCUCCCGCUAUCGGUAUAUUUGGGAGGAUGUCUGUCGAUCGUGUUGAGUAUGACCCCCGUCAGUAUAAGAGUUGUUAUCUGAAGGACCCGGCGUCUCGCUAUAUCUAGCGUUUCUUGGCCUAUAGUUUCUCGGGUAGGCGAGAUAACUCGGGCAUUUUGUCUAAGUCGGAGUUUUUCUUUAUUUGGUGCAUGCAUAAUAACAUUAAAGUUAAUUUGGGGUGCUGGCUCGCUUCUCAGUUCAAAUCUGUUUUACCUAAAAAGAAGCGCCCCCUGAUUCUUGAGUCCUAUAUUACUCAUUUGGCUGUUAAUUUGCAUGUGCUUGAUCUUUCUAACCAUGAUUUGCAUGUGACAUGUCAAAUGGAGCCCUUAGACAUUCUUUGUCUAGAGAAAAUGGGCUUGGUACGGGAGGGUGACAACGGGUGGAAGGUUGUUCUCCCGGGACCGAUUCGUGUCCAUCCUCGAUCCUCUUUUGCCCGUUCUUCCAUUGCUGGCAGUGAUCCUGGCCCUUUUUCCUCCGCUCCGCCUCCUUCUACCCCAGGGGCUGACGAAUGGAACCAGCUCUAGAUGCGAGUUGAAAGACUAGAGACUCGGAUGACCCACAUUGACGUUAACGUGCAUAACAUGGCACAGAAUUUGGCAGUAUUUAUGCACCAUGUAGGCCUUGCUCCUCAAUUUUCACCUGACCCACCACUGUUUUGACAACUUCAGGGAAGUACCGUUGCCCUUCUGCUUGCUCUUACUAUUUAUUUGUCACAUUGAGAGCAAUGUGUCAUUUAGGUGUGGGGAGGAUCAGUUGUGGUGCUAGUUUUUCCAGUUUUUAGUUUCUAGAGGUUUUUCCUUUAUUUUAGUUUGUUUUUGUCCAUCUUUCGUUUAUUUUCUUUUCUUUUGUCUAGUGGUCAGUUCUUAUAUGAAUACCAAGUUUUGAUCUGGGGUUGUUGUCUCUAAUUCUGAUAUUGCCAAGUUUUAGUAAUAAAAGAGUAUCAAGUUAAUGUGGUUGAAUUCAAGAACAUCUCUCUGGUGAAUAUCAGUAAUUGCUUGACUUUUCUAAUUUUUGGUUAACUUUUCUAGGCAUAGGGAAUGAUUGUUGGCAUUUUUCAUGUGAAUUGGUCCAGUUAUUAAUUUUAGUUCUCCAUGUUUGAAAAUUUGAGGCUGAUUGCUGUUAUUUUUGUGUUAUUUUUAGUUAUUGUAUUAUAUGAUUGUAAAUAAGAGUUGACUGUGCUCCGCUAGUUGCUACGACCGAAUAACCGGGGAUCUUCACCUAAAGUGUCGAUUCUCGCGUCAAAAGGGAGUGAUUUCCAUGAGUACGUGGUCGUGUAGCGAUAGGAGCUGAGUAACUGGGUUCCUUCAUUUAACAAAUGUUGGAGUUCACAUCAAAAGGCUCUAAUGGCUAGAGAUUAAAUCUUUUGUUAUUCUAAAAAAAAGAAAGAGAAAAAUAGAACACGUGAAAAAAAAAGUAAAGUAAAGAUUGUGUUAGUAUGUGAAAAAUUCAGUUUGUCGAUUUGUGAAUUUAAUGUUGAGAUUUUGGUGAAUAGUUGGACUAUUUGCUGAUAAAUGUGGGCAACCAUUCCUUUUUCUUAGAUUAGUUUGCUUUAAAUUGGAGGAGUUGGUGGUUGGGAAGCUAACCGGGGAGAUUUUUCUUGGAUCUUGACCUGUGAUGCUUGAUAUAUGUUUUUCUGGGUAUCUUGGCAAUACGGUAGUUGGAGCAAUAGCCAUUGUCAAAUUUUGGUGUUCAAUUACUGUUCUCAUGCUUGAGGGCAAGCAUGGUUCAGGUGUGGGGGGAAUUGAUAGGGUGUUAAUUGUUAGUAAUUUUAUUAUUAAUUUUCCCCUUUGUUCUUACCAAAUAUUGUUUUAACUGUUAAUAUCUACUUAUAUUUGGUAGCUGGACUUAAUUUCAGGGAUUGGAGCAGAAAAUUACAAAAAAGGAGAGACUUGCUGGAGAAAAUGAAGACCUCUGAAAGCUUCACAAACCUGGCCCACAGGGGGCUGAGAAGAAACGGAUCUCUCUUUUCCUUGUGCUGAUGAAGAGGUGCUGACUAGGAGUCCUCUUAUGAAGAGGAAACGAGAAAAGUGGAAUUGGCAGGGGCUCUCUUCUUGUACUUUGACUCUCAAUUCGGUAGGGACCAGGGAGGCAUUAGUCAUUGCUUAGAAACAAAUGUACAGAGGCGAGAGUUUUUGUUUUUGUGAGCAAUAGUUUAGUUUUCUCUCUUUUUCCUUUCAUGCGUGCCUAGUGUUCGGCAAUAGUCCCGAAUAGAAAACAGCUUUGACUUCUUGAUUAUUAGUGAAGAAAUAUGAUGUUUUUGAACUCAAUUGAAUUGCGUGGCGAUUUUCUCAUGAGGCGUGGCUAAGCCUUUCAUCUAGUCAAGAUUCAACUCGACGGCGCAGUCCCGAAUAUCUAUGAGAUCUAAUUAGUUUUCACGCGUUCCUUAAUUUGUUAAUAUUUGCACGUUGUCUACUUGAAUUUUCUUAGGAUUAUUUUGUUAAUUGGAUGUCAAGGGCCCGAUGUUCAAUGUGACUUAUUAAUCUCCUGCCAAAUUAGUUAAUUAAAUCCAUAAUUGUUUGAUUGAUUAAUAUUAGUGGCAACUGGCGUGUUUACAUACUAAGGAAACGUGCAAUCUAAUUUAAAUAACCCUCGUAGCGUAUUAUUGAUUUGGGUUAGGUUUUUCUAGUUCUUAAUGCAAUUGAAAAAUUAAUUCCUACGGUCGUACCUAGGAGUAUUUUCUGGUUAGGGGUAAUCAAUGGUCGUACGUUGGUUAUCAAUAAAUUAAGGAAAAAUUGGUCGUUAGAGUUCAUCGGCGACUAUAACUAGCCUAUUAAUAAAUUAAGUGAACCUCUCUUGCAUCAAUGAUCGGGUAAGUGGACUGUGUCUGAGUAGUUGUAUCCUCGGCUAGAAUUUAUCUAUUUUUGAUUUAAUUCCUGCCUAUAUUCGUGCUAGUUAAUUAUUUAUUUUUAAUUGAAUUACUUAAUUGUUUUUAGUUUCAUUCCGAUAAAAUUCCCCUUACCAAUUGGAAUCUUAAAGAGACAAAUAUCCCCAGUCCCUAAGGAGACGAUCUUGCUUGCCACUGUCUACUAUUUAGUAAAUUUUUUCAACUGAUUAAUUUUGGUAUAUCGGAUUAAACAAACUCUUUGGGAACAGGGUGAAUCAAGUAACCCAUUGCACACCUAGAGUCCCUGCUCCAGUACCUAGAGUUGAUUAUUGAUUGCGUUAGUGGUAGUUAGGUUUAUUUAUUAUUAUUGCACAGGUUCGACAUCUGUCAUCCGCAAAACACUAAUAAUAUGCAUCCAAGACAUUCGAUCAUAUACCUUCACCAUGUCCAACUUUAGUGCCACAUUGCCCCCCUGGGAUUUCCUACCGAUGCCCAUCAUUAGCUCCUGUGUGAGCAAAUAAUUUUCUGUGAUGUUUCACCCUCUAACAAACCUCGUCUGUUGAGGGGAGAUAAUUUUCGAUAAAAUCGGAGCUACACGUUCCACCAGUAUCUUGGAAAUCAGUUUGUUGAAAAAGUUACAGAGACUUAUCGGCCAAAACUUAGAGAAAUCUUGGUGAUUGGGGACUUUCAGAAACAGCACUAUGGAGGUGGAUGAGAUCAACCGAGAGAGCUCUGCCCUACAAAAGAAGCUCACCACCGCCCUAUGAACAUCAUUAGCAAUGAUGUCCCAAGCAAAGGUAAAGAACUUACCCGUAAAAUCAUCCGGACUAGUAGCACUUUCUCUAUCCAUUGCGAACACCACACGUCUAACUUCCUCCAUCGUAGGCACCUCUUCUAACCCCCGAUUAUCCUCCCCCGUGAGCAUCGAUGGAAUUAGGUUGAGCAACCCACCCAAAUUGGGGAUUGAAGACCCAGAAAAUAGAUCAAAGAAAUAUGCCACCGUCUUACUUGCUAUUGUUUCAUCGUCCUCCACCCAUGAUCCAUUCGCAUUUUUAAUCCUGUGUAUCAUCCCUUGGACCCUCCUCUGCUUGACCACCGCAUGGAAGUACUUGGUGUUCCGGUCCUUGUUAUGAAGCCAUUUCACUCUAGCCUUCUGACGCCAAUAUUGCUCUUCCACCGCUAGCGACCUCCUAAACUCCGCUUGGGCCUUUUGUAGCUCAACUUGCACCGCCUCAGAUACAUCAUUUUUCGCGGCCGCCUCGGCUCUUAACAAGCCUACCUCUGCCUCCCUGACUGCAUCAAAAAUAUUCCCAAAGGAGUGCUUAUUCCACUCCUAAAUACCCCUCCUAGCUGUCAGCAGUUUAGUACACAGAAUCCGCAAAGGGGAGCCGUGCGUAUCGACACUCCAAGCCUGCCGAAUUACCUCCAAUAAAUCUGGUCUUGCUGCCCAUACAUUUAAGAAUCGAAAUGGGCACGGUUUAUUGUCUAACCUGGAUGCAAACGAGACCUUCAGCGGGGAGUGGUCCGAUGGGUGCCUUGCCAGAUAGGCAACAGAGAUUGCCGAAGCAACUCCCUGACACUCUCCAUUGACUAGCAAUCUAUCUAGUCACUUCCAAAUUCGCGUGCGCCCCCUCCUAUUAUUACACCAUGUAAAGCUCGGUCUUGAAAACCCAGCGUCAAACACCCCCACCUCUUAGGAGGAGCUGAAUUCUUAGUACUCAAUUAAAACAAAAAUUCAUGUUACUCCUCCCUCUUGAAUUUAGGCAUUUGAUACAAUGAAAACUUGUAUCUAGUUUUCAAAUUGCAGAAGAUCUAGAUAUAAAUUGAAAGAGUAAAAUUUAUUAAAGAGUAUAAUGUUAAUAUUUUAGAUGCUCGAAACGUUAUUUCCCCUUCUACCAUAUUGGUAUUUUCUUUUUCUUUUCUUUAUUAUUAUUAUCAUUAUUUUCUGUAAGCAAGUGGUUUUUCUUUUUUCCUCCCUCUCUUUUGAUAACAAUGGAUGUGAAGUUUUACAUGCAAAGGAGAUCGAUUUUCGGAAGAUUAUAUAAUGGGGCUUGUAGACAAAAGAAGCAUCCCUAGCAGUACCUGCAAAUUUGAAAAAUUCUUGUUCGGAUUAUAUAUUUCGACUUGUGAUCUGAGUAUGAAACCAUCAGACUCAUUCAGAAGAUCUAUAGAUUGUCGUUAAGAAUCGAAGAAGCUGACAGCUUUUACUUUUCUUUUGAUUGCUUCUUGUUAGUGUCUCUGUCUCUCUCUCCCAAGCAUGCCCACACAAAUACGCUAAGAUAUGAACAAACAAUAACUUUUGAGACCCUAUAACCAUUAUUAAGUUUAAUCUUAGAUUGCCAUUUUUUUCUUGGAUAAAGUUUGUACAUACUAACAGUGUAUACACAAGUGGAGCAGGAUACAUGAUAGUGGAUCACAAUUUAAAUUUAAAUAUUAUAUUUUACAUAUAUGAUAGAUAUCUAACCCUAUUUGUAUGUAUACUAUUAAUGUAUAUAAAAUUUAUAUAUCUCUUUUCUUAUAAUUGGUAUUAUUUUCUACUACUAUUAAAUUGAACCGGCUCAAUGAUUUGCGGUGGUCAUAGAAGGAGGAGCAAUAGCAAAGGUGCAAGCCUCAAGAAAACCUACCAGCAGAAGCUGAUGCAUGAAUAAUAGAGGCAGAGCUAAAUGGAGUUGAGGGUGACCAAUUGUGAUGUGAGCAUGAGAUUUAUCAAACUGAGUUAGAUGCGGGCAUGCCUAACUUGCAUGAAAUCUUCUGGUUUGCAUGGUUUGAAGUCGAGAAAUUGUCCCAAAACAUAUUAAAGAACUUGAGAAUGAAGAUUGGAAACUUAUUCACUUUAUUCAAGUGAAGGAAGAGGUCAAUGUUCAAAAUGGGGGUUGAUUCGCCUUCAAGUUUGGUCUAGUUCUUUCCUGAUGAUUUAAUCUGAUUGGUUGAGUUAUUUAGAGUGUUUUAGUAGUAAUUUAGUCAUUUUAUUUAAUAGAAUAUUCGGCCAAUCAAGUGCAAGAGAGCCAAAUUCAAGUGUCAUGUUUAUUUAGGAAACUAAGUCAUGUUUAGCCGUUUCUAAGUUGCAUUAGAGUUUCGGUUGUAAGGCUAUAAAUACAGCCUUUAAGUGACUUUUUUACCAUUCGGUAAUAAACUUUUGAGAGAUGAAUUAAUAAAAGUGAGUUUCUCUUCUUUUAUAGAGUUCCUUGACGGAACUUGAAUUUGAUCUUGAACUGUAUCAAGUAUUUGACUUAGAUACUUGUGGUGUUCAAAACAAGAUGAUUACAUCAUCUUGUUCUUUCAAGUCAAUAACCAAUCUACUAGGUUUCUAAAGAUGGAUUCUUUUUAGGUCUAAUAAGGUAAUUAUUGUUCCAUAACCUGGUCAAGAUAGAUCUUUUCGCUGCCUAAUCGAUUCGAUUUCUUCCCGAUCGGUUCUUGGAGAAUCGAAUUCGUAUUUAGUGCAGCGGAAGAUCCGAGCUAUUUUCACAUGGGAUCGGAGCUUGGUAUUAGAGCUAUUUGAAAAAGGAAAAGGAAAAUAAAAAGUUUAAUAAGUCUAUGUUAUGAAUAUCAUGAUUCACCUAACUAAUGUCCCUAUCGAAUAAUCUUAAAAGUUCUGGAUUGUUAAAAAUUCUCAAUUUUAGGAAGGGAGGAAUAGGUUAAGUGAUACGAGGGGAAGGAGUCUAAGUGAGAGGUUUCGGAUUCGAGACCUCUCACUUACACUAAAAAAUAAAUCUCAAAAUUUAAUAGACUUUGCACCUCCUAAGGUUCCAAAAAUUCUUUAAAACCCACUAUAAUCUUAAAGGUUCGCAAUUAUAUACUCAUAAAUGUUAGACUUCCUCAACCCAAGUUUUUUCACAAAAGUGUACAAAUGCCCCCUUAAUUUUGCAAUUGUUACUUGUCUUAACCUACCAAUCUCAACUUCUCAUUUUACCACUGCCCACAAAUACACUACACAGGCACGGACACAUUGACUUCUGAGUUCAAGAACGAUUGAGACCUAAUCACCAUUAUGAAGCUUAAUUUUAUUUAAUCAUCAAUUGCUAAAUGUCGUCAAAUUUUACUUGUAACAACUCUUUACUUUUGAAAAUCUUUGUGUGAAGACAUAGAAACCGCUCAUGCACGACAGGGACAUUAGAAAUGUCAAAUGGUCGAAACCUCAACCAUUAACAUAGAUCUCUUUUGGAUGCACCAAAAAAUACAUGAGUAAAAAAUGAAAAGACACGAGUAAUACAUGAAUGAAAAAUGAAAAGACACGUACAUGUUUAUCAAUACAAUUGCUGUAGCUUAUACUAUUAACUGAAGUUGCAAAUUGAUUUGCAGUGGGCAUAGAAGGAGAAGCAAUAGCAAAGGUGGGAGUCUCAAGAGUCCUGCCAGCUGGGGUUGAAGGUGAUGCAUUGAUGACACCUACGGAGUCAACUUUAACUACUCCCUCUAUUCCAAUUAUUUGGUCCUGUUUUAAGAAUUCAACUUUUUAAAAAUAGUGAUUUAAUUGUAAUAUUUAUAUUUCUCUUUCUAAUUUUAUAGCCAUAAAUUCAAAUUUUGAAUUUGAAUGGUGAGAUGCAUAUGAUUAGAGAGAGGGUCUAUACUAGACUGAGAAACUAAAAGGUGUUUUAAUUUUUUCAACAGGACAAAAAUUUUGGAACAUUUUAAAAUAGAAAGUAGAACACUUUCAAUGAGAUGGAGGAAGUAAUACUGGAGGACGUUGCCCUUUCCCAUGCUCUGUUGAUAGGCAGUGUCAAACUCGACUUUAUGUUGAUUUAGAGUCAAAAUCAAGUAAAAUAUCCGUAAAGCCAGAAAUGUUUUUUUUUUAAUUUUCAUUUUAAAAAGACAUGUCCAAUAUGAAAGGAUAUUUCUUUUUUGUCUUGGAUAGUUGGUCAAAGUGGUGGGGUGGACGUGAGAAAACGUGACCUGCAUCAGUUGGGGUUGAUUUUUGAGUAAUUAGUGCACAAGUCAAGAGAUUAGAAUAUUGAUCUCAUGGAGAUAUAUAUGAACAUUAUCAUUGAAGGCUGUACUCUAAAGGCUUCAUAAUAUUACUCUAGAUAAUAUUGAACAAAUGAAGCACAAGAAGUUGAUGGAUGAAGGAAAAUGAAAGAAUCAUUAAGUUCUUAAAACUUUUGUCCAAAAUGGAUUUCUCAAGUUGAGUUUUAUCCAAUUUAGCUUGGUUGAUAUAAUAUUAAUCGCGAAUUUACUCUCACUUAUUUGUAUGAGUUGACAAAUUUCAAUUAUCCUGAAAUUAUGUUAGUUUACAGCAUAUAUUGUAAGAGUUACAUUAAUUGGACAAAAUUCAAUUGGAGAAGCUGUAUAUUUGGGAGAAUUACGUACAAAUUUUCGAGAUGUAAUUAAUCAUUCGAGGUGAUGUAUCACGAAUUUCAUUCUGCAUGACAAGUUGCUACUUGUAAGAAAAGUAGUUAUUUAUAUACUUCAAUUUUAUUUAACAUGAUUCACUAUCUCGUGAAUCACUGAUACAUUACAUAGAUAUAUUCCACCCUCGCGGAAACCGAAAUACAUACUAAAAAGGGCAUAUUAUUUAGUACUGGUUUAGUAUGAUAUUAGCAAGCCCCAAUUGUUGCUUAGGCGGCCAGGUACAAUAGUGUGAAGUUCCAUCAGUAAAGUGAAGAGUGCAGCCGUUCUCGAAGCAGCAAUUGGUGCAGUCUUUGUAGGUCUUCUGUCCAUCACAUUCCACGUACUCGAUCCCCAAUAUGCAAUAGAGUGGGCAAAUCUGUCCAGGCCCAGGCCUGACAGCCGUGACCUCCACAUUUGCCCCCAGAAGGAUCAUCCCUGUUUUUAGUACCAAAAUCAUUUUAAAUAAUGUGCAAAUCAAUUGAAAGAUGGGAUGAAUAGUUUUCUUUUAUAUAUAUAUAUAUAUAUAUAUAUAUAUAUAUAUAGAUGGGAUGAAUAGUUCUCUUUUUAUUUUUUGAAACUGCCCCAACAGGUUUAAAAUUGUACAUACCACAAAAAAGAAUAGCCAUUGCACCAAUCUUGUUGAUUGCCACGAUGCCUUGUCUUCCAAAAGUUUGCCUUCGAUUUGAAAUGACCUAUUCCGAUUUGCCAUGGUUCUUACAUAGACUGAGAAGCGUAAAGAGUGAGAGUCUAUCAAGCUACUAGGUGCAAGUAUUCUGCUUAUUGUACUUCCACGGAAUUGCAAGAUUAGUCCAUCCUAAAUUAUUGAAUGUGUUUGUAUAGAUGAUUAUUUGGAAUAAAUAUUUUCAAAAAACACUGUAAUACUUUCUGUAAAAUGAUGUAUAUGAAAUAAAAAGAAAGAUAGAAAGAUAAAAAAUUACUUGAGAAAUAUGUUUACGAUGCAAUUAUAUAAUUUUUUACAAAUAAAAUGAUAUCCAAACAAACACAAUCUUCCUCAGGAUUUUGGGACCAAUCCAUCCUAAAUUAUUGUGCUUUGGCAAAAAUUUGGGACCAGUCCUUCGUAAAUUAUUGGGACCAGUCCUUUCUAUACAUUCCGUUCUUUAGUAGAAUUCCCAUGCAAAAUUAGUCACAUUUUAGUUUCCUCAAUUUGUUCUUCACUUGCAUGCCUGUCAUUUAUGAUACCCAGCCAUUAUUCGGCCGCCUUGUGUCUGAGGUUGUUAGCCAGAAAACAUCAUAAUUCCACAGCGAUGUUUGAUAGACAGAAGACAUACAACUUUUUUAAAAAUACAUAAGCCCACCAUUUGUUUCGUUUCAAAUGUUCGUAGAAACAUCAUCGUAAUGUUGGAAUUUCCAUCUUCAGUGUGUUUUUAGUUGAUAAAAUGUAUCUGUUGACAGUCUAAUCUAAUGGAUCACAGUAAGAACUGCUCUAAGUAUCCUUUUGUAGGAUUAUUCUUACAUUGUUUUAUAGAAUUUUGGAACCACUCCAUUCUAAUUAAAUUAUUGUGCUUCCUGGUCCAUUCUAAAUUAUUGUGCUUCAGCAUAAUUUUGGACCAGUCCUUUGUUAAUUAUUGGACUGGCACGAGUCCCUCAGAUUGACGCCAAUGUCACCAAACCCCACGAAUGUGACUAUUCUUACCUUGUUUCAUAGAAUUUUGGGACCAGACCAUCCUAAAUAUUGUACUUCCAAAGAAUUUUCAAUCACUCAUCUUGAUAUUAAACUUUUUAAGCUUUCACCAUAAAAAAUGGACUAUGUUUAUUCACAAAAACAUUUCAAUGGUAACUUUGGUCAAUGCGGCUUGCAAAUAUUUUUUUUAAAGGGAAAUCUUUUUUUAUAGUUCAGAUAUUUAUAAGGGAAAAUUUGGUAUAUAAUUGGCGAAAGAUUUGAUAUUCAAGGACGGAGUAAAAUUUUGUCCAAAGUCAUAAAUAGGGAGUUUGAAUUCUUUUAAUGGGAAUUAAGCUAAAAUGAUAGAUUUGCCCAUAGAUAGUUUUGCAUGAAUUUAGGACCUCAAUUGGCCACGUUAUGUCCGUAGACAGUUUUGUAAAGUUUUCCAUGAAUUUAGGACCUCUAUCUUUUGCGCAUAAAGGUAUUCACUGUGUUAUGAUAGGAGAUUAUUUGGAAUAAUUUUUUUUUAAAAAAAAAAUUGUGUAGUACUUUUCAAUGAAAAUAUGUUUGAUUUUGGCUGAUGAGAUUAUGUUCGGAUAGGAGAUUAUUUGGAAUAAUUUUUUUUAAAAAAUAAUACAGUACUUUUUUGAUGUGAUGCCUGUGAAAUAAAAAUGUGAUUAAAAAUAUAUUUAUGAUAUAAGCAGAUAAAUUUGUAUAAAUAAUUUGCCAUCCAAACUAAUUCGUUGUGAGGGCCCGAGUUAGAUAUGUAUCCAUAUCAACAUUAAUCAAGCAAUCAAUACAUAAAAAUUGAACCAUCAUGUUGUACUACAUUAAACACGUACGAAGACAACAUUAAUUUCUUCUUUUUUUUUUUUAGGGUAGGUGACAACAUUAAUUUCUUGCUUGCAUGUUUUGCUAGAUUUUAAAUGAUUCUUUCAUAUUGUUGAUUAUAUACCACAUAUAUAUAUAGUAUGAAUAAGGGUACCUCCUGAAAGGACUACAGCGAAAGAACCUUUUUCUUUGUUCAAUAUAUCAGCUUUUGCGAAUUUCCGUUGAUGGUUUUAAUCUUGCAUGUGAAUUUCUAUACAAAAAGUAGUCUAUGUCCUUCGUGAAGCAGCACUUUCAGUUUGAGUAUUCAGCACAUGGGUGCACCAAACUCAAUUAAAUAGUUGUCAAGCUUACAAUAGGAGUGUGAUAUUUUAUUACCGUUCCUGUGAAUUUCAUGCAUAAUAAUUGUGUGUUUUUAUAUAAAAUUUACAAGUAGUUCACAAAAAAAUUAUAAGAUAUUCAAGAAGUGUUACGUCAUUCUGGUCCAGGUUCGAAGUCUGUCAAAUUGAUGCUAACAUCACCGUACCCCACCAAUGUGACUACUCUUACCUUAUUUCACAGAAUUUUGGGACCAAUCCAUCCUCAUAUCAUACUUCCAAAUAAUUUUGGGACCAGUCCAUCUUAAUUAAAUUAUUGUCCUUCCUGGUCCAUCCCAGUGUUUUAAGAAUCGAAUCGGAUUGACUGGUUCGAUCGGUCGAAUCAUGAACCGACAAUAAUACCAGUCUACUUUUGUGAGAAAAAUGAAAAGUUUUUUUUAAAAAAAACCAAUCAAAGUCGGUUAAAAUCAGUGAAUCGGAAUAAACUGAUUAAACUAGUCAAGUUCGAUUUUUGAAUUUUGACUUGGAACUUGGACAUUUUUCUAUGGGCUGCUCACUUUUUUGAGCUUUUAAAUUCUAUCAAAGACCAACAACUACAACUAAUUAUCUGCUACUACAAUUAAGUUGGUAGAUGGCCAUUUUUCGUCAAAUUAAAAAAAAAAAAACCUUAGUUAGCCCAAUUUAAAAAUAAAAUGACUAAUCUAACAAAAAACUAAAGAAACUCUCAAUUCUCUUCAUCCUUGAAAAAUCUUUACCUCCCGGAGCCACACUACAAGUUCUGCUCAUCGCCUCAUUUUUUAUUUUUUUUCCCUCUUCUCUUCUAUCUUUUCUUUUACAUUAUUGAUGGUGAAGACAAUAAUGAAGUUGAACUAGGUAGAUAAAGGAGCACACUUGUUUACCCUUUCCUCUUUUAUCUUUUGUUUUGAUAUUCAUGAUUUUUUCUACUUUUUUUGGAUUUAAUUUUACAAAUCCUAUAGAUUUUCUUUUGAGUUGGGAAAGUUAAACUCUUCUUUUUUAAUUUCAGAUAUUGGAUGGAUUUGCUCAUAUUUUUGUUGAUUCUUCAUUUUUUUUUAUGAAAUAUAUUUUCUUUUAUUUGGUAGAUGAAUUAUAAGGUACUAGAUCAAUAAAUCUACUCAAGAAGAUAUUACAAAAUUUAGGAUUUUUAGGUUGAUUUUACAAAUUAGAAGGUACUAUAUCGCAGCGCAAACGUACUUCAGUAAUUUGAAAUUUUUGCCAUGAAAAUGUAAGAACCAAACUUUGAGUUCUGCAUAGAAGUUGUAGAGAAUUCUCUUAGCUUGAAAUUGAAUCAUAAAUCAUCUUAAUCCAAUUUGUGUAACUCAAGUUAUCGCUAAAAUAUUGAAACAUGUCAAUCCUGCAAAAUCUCGUUCUCUUAACUUUUUCAUCUUCCAUUGAUACUUCACGCCACUUUUUUAAUAUGUUUUCUCUCCACUGGAGUUUUUCACCAAUUAGAACACUAUAAAAGCAAAAUUAAAUAUUUUUUUCCAAGAUCAACCUCAAAUAAUAUAUUUAACUAGCAACUUAUACUUAUAAACGCACUACGAUUUACAUCUUAUCAUAGCUGAUGCCGAAGGUGACGCAUUGAUGACAAUUGUGGAGUCAACUUUAACUAAUACUAGAGGACGUUGCCCUUUCCCGUGCUCUGCAGAUAGGCAGUGUCAAACUCGACUUUGUAGGAAGACUAGAUGCGAAUAUAUCAACUUGAGUCUUAUCAAACACUGUGUCUAGUUUCUCCAUAAUUAUCACCUAAUUUCAUCUCUUGUAGGACCAAGGGAUUUGUAGUGUCGUGCAUUAAGCGGAUAUGUAUUUUUCUUGAUAUUCAUUUUAUUUUUUUGCUUGUAUUUGUCGUUCACCAUAUAAUGUAUGUUUCAUUUUUAACGUAGUCUAGUCAAAUGUAUUGCUAUUUACAUGGGAAGUUCAAUGGAAAUACAUAUAAGAGAUCCUUAUUGUUCAUUUGAUCAAUUCAUUUGGUGUCUAAAAUUAAGUUUAGAUUAAACUUUUUUUUUUUAAAGUUGACACCACAUAAAGUUGUGAAUCAAUAAACCACUUCAUCUUAGUACUUUUUUGUUCACAGAACUACUUUUGUUGAUCAUGGUCAACCUGUUCUGUAGAUAAUUUUGUAGUCUUGCAAAAUUGGUGUCUUCCAAGGUGCGAAUCUUGUUUGAGGCUUAAAGGUCUCCAAAUUGCUUCUUAUUUUAGUUAUUAACUUGAAUACCUACUUUAGAUUUUUUUUUGUGGAACUUGCACUCAGACGGUUAAUUUUUGAAGUGGAAAGUGCAAUUUUAGUCCUUUAUUUUUAUUCCGUCCAUCAAAAUUCCCAAACGCUUCGCCAGAAACAAAUAUGAUACCUCCUAAUUAUUCUGACAUCCAUCAAUAAAUUUAUUUCAAUUUCUAAUCGAACGGCGCACUUGCAAUUCAUAGGGAUUUUUUAGACUUGCUUAAUAAUCACUAUUGCAUCGAACAUAAUAUUUAGAUGGUUCUCCUAGUAACUGAAUUGUGUGAUGAAAUGAUAAUUAACUUUGUUGAUGCAUACUUGAUUCUUUAACUAAGCAAUGAGAGACUCCACAAAUAUAUUAAUGGGUUUGAAUUUGGUAACGGGAGCUUCUCUUCUUUUUGCUUGAAUACAACCUUAUCCUUCAUGUUCCUCUAUAUAAUUUUAGUUUGAGUAUUCAAUACAAGCAUGUACCAGACUCAAUAAAAUAGUUGUGAAGUCUGUUGAAUUUCAUUAAAUUUAUGGACAAGUUUUUUUGGAGAGUUUGAUGUGAGCAGUUUAUCAUCUUGAUUUUAAUUUAGUUUGAUAUUGAUGUUCUAUGCUUUCCAAUGAGAUUGAAAGUCAAUUAAAGUUUAUAAAAAUCUUGUAAAAGUUUUUAGGGAAUUUCGCCAAUUUGGUCCCUAAACAUUUUCACUUAAACCAAUUUCGUCCUUGAUGAAAUAUUUUAACCAAUUUAGUCCUUGAACUAAUUUUUUACUUCCAACGUAGGACUUUUCACUGCAUUUUACUCAAUUUGCGUGGACCAACGGGGGUAUAAUUGUCACGCUGGUUUAAUCUUUUGCAAUUAACCGAUGAAACAAAUUAGAUUGAAUGUACUCGGUCAAAGUUUUUGCUUCAAAGCUCGCCCUCUUCCAGAGUUCUACAAGGAACGGGAAACACAAAACAGUCAGACUAAAAAGGCAUGUUAUUACACACACCUUUGCUACAUCUAGAAUUAAAUGUACCACAUCUUCCGAUUCUGAACCACAGAAUCCAGUUUUCCGUUCUUCACCAUUAAAGCCUUCAUGUCAAAAAACCUUUUUCUCAGUUGUUUUGUUUCCCCAAAAUGUUUAGCCAAUCCAUAGAGCCAGCAGCAAAGCAAGUGUUAAAAGUUAACUCACGGGAAGUCAAGCAUCAAGCUUUCGAACUUUACGUGUCCAUUUAUUCCAAGUGCUUUGGUAUAACUUUCCACUUCUUGCAGAAUCCAGUUACACAAUCUCAGUCACCUAAACUGGGAAGAAAGCUCAGCUCCAGGACAAUGCAAGGCACGAUGCCAGUCUCACUCCCACCACCAGCAACCUCUUUAAACAAGAACGGCGGCAUAUCCAAGCAUGUUUCCGGGAAGAAUGGUCGAACUGCGACUAGCUUCCCUGCUUCACGACCACUGUACAUAACUUUCGAACUUUACGUGUCCAUUAAUUUCCCCUAUUAUCUGACCUAAUGUGGUUAAUUGCAAAAGAUUAAACCAGCGUGACAAUUAUACCCCCGUUGGUCCACGCAAAUUGAGUAAAAUGCAAUGAAAAGUCCUACAUUGGAAGUAAAAAACUAGUUCAAGGACUAAAUUGGUUAAAAUAUUUCAUCAAGGACGAAAUUGGUUUAAGUGAAAAUGUUUAGGGACCAAAUUGGCGAAAUUCCCAAGUUUUUAUAUGUUUUUAUUGAAGGAGAAGAUUAGUCGUAAUACAACGAUUUACAUACUUAGCAUCUCUUUUAUUUUUAAUAAUCAUGAGAACAAAACUUUGUGGCUGAGAAUCACAAAAAAGUAAUAUGUACAGCAUGCAAUGCUCGUUCUCUCAUACUAGUUACCCUAAGUACAAGACAAAAGGAGCAAAAAACUUGUAACGCACGUUAUCUUGAUUAUUUUAUGUAAGCUAAUUUUCUUCCUCAUAUUCUUCUUAUGUUGAUUUAGAGUCAAAAUCAAGUAAAAUAUCUGUAAAGCUAGAAAUGUUUUUUAUUUUUAUUUAAAAAUAUAUCCAAUAGGAAAGGACUUUUCUUUAUGUCUUGGAGAAUUGGUCAAAGUGUUAAGAUGGAGGUGAGAAAAUGUGACCUGCAUCAGUUGGGGUUGAUUUUCGAGUAAUUAGUGCACAAGUCAAGAGAUUAGAAUAUUGAUCUCAUGGAGAUAUAUUUGAACAUUAUCAAUGAAGGCUGUACUCUAAAGGCUCCAUAAUAUUACUCUGGAUAAUACUGAACAAAUGACGCACAAGAAGUUGGUGGAUCAAGUAGAUUGAAAGAAUCCUUAAGUUCUUGAAACUUUUAGCCACAAUGGGUUUCCUGAGUUGAGUUUUACCCAAUUCAGUGUGGUCGAUAUAAUAUUUAUAAGAUUUGAUAUAAACUCAUAUAGUUUUAAUGUGAUCGUGAAUUUUGCUCUACUUUAGUUAUAUGAGUUGACAAAUUUCAUAAUUAUAGUGAAAUUUUAUUAGUUUACAACACAUAUUGUACGAAUUAUAUCAAUUAGACAAAAUUCGACUAGAGAAUCUCUGGAUCCACUUUUAGCACUUGUCUCUAUCUCUCUCUCUUUCUCCCUCGUAUUUUUGGGAGAGUUAUAAUUUUUCAAGAUGUAAUUAAUCAUCCCAGAUGAUGUAUCACGAAUUUGGUCAUAUACUUUCAUUUUAUUGAACAUGAUUCACUGUCUCAUGAAUCACUAAUAGACUACAUAGUUAUAUGCCACCCUCGCGGAAACUACAUUGCCCAUUAUUUAGUACUCGAUUAGUAUGAUAUUAGGAAUCCAGAGUACAGAACCCCAAUCAUGAGAUUAAUACGUUGCAUAAGGCCAUUUACAAUCUAUUGAAAAUCCACCAAUAAAGUAAACAGUGCAGCCGUCGGAGACGCAACAAUUGGUGCAAGUUGUGUAGGUCUUCGUUCCAUUACAGAUCUUGUACACGG